ACAGACAAAGCAAUCUUUCAUGGAGAGAAACCUUAGUCUCAGUAUGAUCACUGUGUCAUUAACCUACUGCCUGCUUCUUUGCUUGGUUGCUGCAGCAGCAGCAGCGGCAAGCAACAAUAUUACCACAGACCAACAAGCUCUUCUUGCCCUGAAAGAUCAUAUAAUUUAUGAUCCGACCAGCCUUUUAGCUCACAAUUGGACCUCGAAUACCUCUGUUUGUACCUGGAUUGGCAUCACUUGUGAUGCCAAUAGCCAUAGAGUCACAACCUUAGAUAUUUCUCAAUUCAAUCUACAAGGCACCAUCCCUCCUCAACUUGGAAACCUCUCUUCACUCACAACACUUAAUCUUAGUCAUAACAGGCUUUCUGGAAGCGUUCCCUCCUCCAUCUACACCAUGCAUACGCUAAAAUUUCUUGACUUCACUGAUAACCAGCUCUCUGGUUCAGUGUCUUCCUUCGUCUUCAACAUGUCUUCAAUAUUAGUAAUUCGUUUGACCAAUAACAUAUUUUCUGGUGAGCUUCCGAAAAAUAUUUGCAACUAUCUUCCUUAUUUGAAGGCCCUUUUCUUAAACAAAAACAUGUUUCAUGGCAAAAUUCCUUCUGCUUUAUCAAAGUGCAAACAACUGCAACAAUUAAAUUUGCAGUUCAAUAAUUUAUCCGGUGCAAUACCAAAAGAAAUCGGCAACUUGACUAUGCUCAAAGGGAUAUAUCUCCUCUACAACAAACUCCACGGUAUGUUCACAAUACUAUAUAAAUAUUUUAAUUUAUCACUUAUUAUCUUUCUUGAAUAAUUUAGCUAAGAUCUUGUAAGAGAGAUAUUUUGCAUCUACGUUAAUUUACCAGGUGAGAUACCCCACGAAAUCGCUAAUCUUCCAAAUCUAGAGGCUUUAGCGCUUGGAAUCAACAACCUAGUUGGUGUGUUACCAGCUCCCAUCUUCAACAUGUCAACACUGAAGGUACUUAUCCUCAUAAAUAACUCUCUCUCCGGAAGUCUUCCAUCAAGAGUAGACCUUUCACUUCCAACUGUUGAGCAACUUAACUUGGCACUUAAUAGAUUUUCUGGAACCAUUCCUAGUUCCAUCACCAAUGCUUCUAAGCUCACCUUUCUAGAGUUGGGAGCAAACACAUUUUCGGGGUUUAUUCCAAACACAAUUGGUAAUUUAAGAAACCUUAAGUGGCUCGGCUUGGCUAAUAACUCCUUGACAUCUUCAACCUCAAAAUUGAGCUUUCUUUCCUCUUUGGCAAAUUGCAAGAAAUUAAGAUUCGUAAACUUAAUAGGCAAUCCACUGGACGGCUUCCUUCCAAGUUCAAUAGGUAAUCUUUCUGUGUCUUUGGAAACACUUGGCAUCGGCAAUUGCAGUAUUAGUGGCAACAUUCCUCCAGCAAUUAGCAAUUUAAGCAACUUGUUGACCUUAGUAUUACACGGCAAUAAAUUGACUGGACCAAUCCCAACUACAUUCGGCCAACUGCAGAAACUCCAAGGCUUAGAUCUUGCAUUCAAUAAGUUGGUAGGUUCAUUCCCAGAUGAGCUUUGCCAUCUGGCAAGGCUGGAUCAAUUGAUCUUAUUUGGCAAUAAGCUUUCAGGAUCUAUACCUUCAUGCUUAAGCAACCUCACUUCUCUAAGAUCUCUCUAUUUAGGGUCUAAUAAGUUUACUUCUGUUAUUCCCUCAACCUUCUGGAGCCUAAAAGACAUCUUGUUCUUUGACUUUUCAUCAAAUUUCUUGGUUGGUCCUCUUUCUUUAGAUAUAGGAAAUUUGAAGGUGCUUCUAGGAAUAAGUUUAUCGAAAAAUAAUUUAUCCGGUGAUAUCCCAGCCACAAUUGGAGGACUGAAAGAUCUUCAAUUUAUGGACCUAGCAUAUAAUAGAUUGGAAGGCCCAAUUCCUAAAUCAUUUGGUGACUUGAUAAGUUUAGAAGUUCUGAAUUUAUCAAAUAAUAAAAUCUUUGGGUCUAUUCCAACAUCCAUGGAGAAACUUUUUUACCUCGGAGAGUUAAAUCUCUCUUUCAAUAAACUAGAAGGUGAGAUUCCUAGUGGAGGAACUUUUGCCAACUUCACAGCUAAGUCAUUUAUGGGAAAUGAGUUUUUGUGUGGUUUACAAAAUCUUCAAGUCCAACCAUGCAAAGUUAGCAAGCCGAGGACAGAACAUAAAUCAAGGAAAAAGAUACUUCUCAUUGUGAUUGUUUCGCCAUUGAGUAUUGCUCUAACAAUAGCAAUCACUCUAGCUCUCAAAUCUAAGCUGAUCGAAUGUGGAGAAAGAAGCACAGUGUUGUCAAAUGAUAGUAUCUUGUCAUCACAAGCAACACUAAGAAGAUUUUCAUACUUAGAACUUUUACAAGCAACAGAUAAUUUUGCUGAAAACAGCAUAAUUGGCAGAGGAGGUUUCGGUUCCGUUUAUGGAGCAAGACUUGAAGAUGGGAUGAAGAUUGCAAUAAAAGUGUUUCACAGGCAAUGUGCAAGCGCAUUGAAGAGUUUUGAGGCUGAAUGUGAAGUGAUAAAAAAAAUUCGCCAUCGAAACCUUAUCAAAGUUAUCAGCAGUUGCUCGAACGAUGACUUCAAAGCAUUAGUCCUAGAAUACAUGUCCAACGGGAGCUUAGGGGAUUGGCUGCAUUCGAGCAAUUACGUGCUGAAUAUUUUUCAAAGGUUGAACAUACUAAUUGACGUUGCAUCAGCUUUAGAAUACCUCCACUUCGAUCAUUCAACUCCUAUUAUUCAUUGUGACUUAAAGCCUAGUAAUGUAUUGUUGGACGAAAAUAUGGUUGCUCAUUUGAGUGAUUUUGGCAUAGCAAAGCUUUUAAGUGGAGAAGAUGAGUCUACGAUGCGAACAAAAACCCUUGCCACUAUAGGUUAUAUGGCACCAGGUUUGCUUCAAACAACUUUUUUUUUUUAAACUUCAUUUUAAAUUUUCUAAAUCAUUGAUUUUUACGAUCCUCAUAUCAAAUUGUUAUUGAUUAUUUAUCUAAUUGUGAAAUUAAUUUGAUUCAUAGAGUAUGGCAUAGGAGGAGAAGUAUCUACAAAAAGCGAUGUUUACAGCUAUGGGAUUAUGCUGAUGGAAACUUUUACCAAGAAAAAACCCACAGAUGAAAUUUUUGUUGGAGAAUUGAGCUUAAAGCAUUGGGUUAAUGACUUGCUUCCUAAUUCAUUAGUGGAAGUUGUGGACAAAACUCUGCUAAGUGGAGAGGAAAAACACUCUGCAGCAAAGGAGCAAUGUCUGUUGUCUAUCUUUAGUUUGGCUCUGGAGUGUACAAUGGAAUCACCGGAAAAGAGGAUUAAUGCAAAAGAUAUUGUUACCGGAUUACUCAAGAUAAGAGACACAUUCAGUAAAAGGAUAGGAAAUUUAAGUUAAUUUCGUUUGCUUUCAUUGAUAGUUAAUUCGAAUUCAUGUAAUAAGUGUAAGAAUCUUAUAUCUUUUCCUUUGAUAUAUUUUUUUUCUUGAGAAAACUGUUGUAGUCAUCUUGUUUCCAUGGGCAGAGUUGAUUUAGUUCUUCCAAAAAAUGCUACUGAUGACCUUUGUUUAAUACUUUCUCUUUUUUUGCAUGUGUUUAGGUAGAACAGUGGUUUGGCUGCAGGCUAAUAAGUCAAGCUACGCCAAAAGCGUAUGAUUUAAUUUAUUAAACAUAACUUCAAGUUCAAGAAGUGUUUCUCAUUGCCACCAAUGCUUUGGACACCUGUUGGAAGGUUUGUUGUCCUCAGCUUUUGUUUAGAGCAAAAGUUCGAGUCCCAUAAAGGCUCAAACAUUCCUUUCCUUCAUCCCGAGGGCGCCUUCUGUCCUCUGUUUUCUGUUUCCACACACAAAUAGCACAAAGAAUUUAGAAUGACAACUGGGACAUAUAUAAGAGUGAAAUAAUUAAAAAAAUUAUGCUUUUUUGUUUGUCGUGUUAAAAUCGUAAGUACCGAAGUACUGUGAAAGAGAUUAAUUUACAGAAACUGAAGCCAAGGGUUCAAAAAAAACUAUUGAUGUAGCUAGAAUGCAAUGUCAUAUUCAUACAGAGAUGAAGUAUAUUAUUUACGGCUGGUAAGGACUAGGAAUUGAUGUAGCUAGAAUCCAAAGAUGAUAAGGUAUGUUGUGCACUAUUGUUUUAUUCUACGGUCAAUCUUGACCCUUGGUGCUUGGCUCUCAAUCUUGUCCAUUGAUCUUCUCUGAUCUUGGAAACUUCAAGACCUUUCACUCUCAUGCCUUAUUAUUGGUGUCUUCCAUGCUGUAGCUUUCAAAUACAAGCUUUCCCGCCAACUUGCCAAUUAUUUGUCCGUUGGUGCAUUUUAUCAAACAGUUUGGAUACUUAUACCAAACGCCUCCUGUUUUAACUCCCCCCUCAAGCUCAAGCAUGUGGGAAGACAUUAAUAAGCUUGUUUCUCAAGUAUAUGUAUCUGAAAAUUAAAUUUUAUAAAUUAUAUUCGGACUCUACAUUUUCUAAUGAACAUUGGUUUGGCUUAUAAGCUUAUUAUACUCAGGUUUGGUAGGAGCCAUGUCACAAUGUUAACGCUAACCAGCAGUACUGCCAAAGCUGGCCAACUCAGCCUGCAAGUUCAUAGCAACCAUAGUUACAGUCCUAGUCCGGUACAAAAAUCGUAAAUAUCAUUUACAUUACAAUGGUGUGGGGGGGGGGGGGGGGGGGGGGGGGGGGUGGCUGGAGAGGGAAUCAACAAAGAUCUAGAACGAAGGGUAGGCUUGUAUCCGUAACCCAUGUCACAGUGUUAAUGCUAACCGUGGACCUUAUUAUAUUAGUUUCUGGACUAUUAUUACUUUUGAAUUGCCAUCUUUGAAUUUACGUUCAUUUCUGCCUCGACAAGAUGUUUGUAAAAAUAUGCUAAUUAUUAAUGUGCCGUGUACAAAUAAGCAUGUUACUGUGCAAGGAUUGUAGUCAUGAUACAGUGGUGCAAAAUGUACAUGCUACUUCUUCUUUUCCUCAGUUAGGAUCACCGUCGUCACCAUUUAAUUCUAAGUCCACCCAUGCGGCCUAUGCAAUUGAAAUCAUGUGACCAUGUAAUUUUAGGUUCUGAUCUUCCUUGUGGGGUUAAACCUCAAAACUGUGACCAUUUUGGGACUUUUAAUCAGUUCCAAUCAUUUUCUGGUUCCCAUUCGUCCACCCAAGCCUUGAUUCCCCCGAUAUAGCAUGGCAAUAUAUAUAGGAAUAUUAAGGUUGUGUACAGUUUUUUUCUUUUCUGUUUUUAAUUUGAUAUAAAUUAUCAAUCAUGAAUCUACAUAAAGUUUCAACUAGGCUACUACCACAAUAAACAUUUGGAUGAACUAUUAUUGAAACCUUAUUGAGAAGUAGGACAUGUCGCAUACCAAUGCACUGACAUAUCUUCAAAUAGUGGUAACUCCACACAACAUGGCACAAUAAAUUAAGAGUUAUAUAGAUAAAAUCUUUCACUCUUUGGUAAUCAUCAAUGUCGGCAUGACAAUGCGUCCCACAAAUAUGGCUCCUUAUCAAAAUUCAUAAAUCAAAACAAAAAUAGAGAAUCAUAUUUGUUCCAGAUUGUAGUGAUGGUUGUUGAUGCACUCACAAUUUACAAUUUUAUUUAAUAUCUUCAAAUUCGCAUUUUAAAAUGCCCAAAUGUUUGUGUAUACAUAAUUAGAUAAAAUCUUUCAUUCUUUGGUAAUCAUCAAUUUCACUAUUAUUCGCUUUAUUAUGUUUGUUUCUUUCAGUAUGUUAAAAGAUUAUGUUGUGAAUUUGUUUUACAGGCCGCCCGUAAGUCUGCGCCCACUGUUGUGAAUUUGUGUAUACAUAAUUAGUAAUCGAUUCUCAAGCACGGACAUUUAAAAGCACUGCCGAAAGACAAAAUUUUAAUUUACUAUUUUUUGUCUUUUAAUUUUCUUUAAGUUUUAAUGAUUCCGCAUUUUAAAAUCCUGUGGAACGUGUAUGUAAAAUUCUUUUAUCUUUUAGAGGAAAACGGGCAAGAGAAGAAUAUUUGGCAAAGGAAUUGCAACCGCAUUUGGAGCUAUAUUUAAUUUUGUCUUUUAAGUCUUUUACACUUGUUUUUGUUAUUGAUGUUAGCUUGGAUGUGUGUGCGUGUGCGACUGAAUUCAACUUACAUGCUAUUGAUGCAGCCACCAAAAAGGGGUGGUCCAUCAUCAAUCAACAAGGUUUAUUAUUAUUAAUUUCCAUAUUGAUUUUCUUAAUUAUAAAUAAUACUAAUGUUAUUUCAUAGUUAUAAAUAUAUUAGAAUUAAUCGAAAUCAUUUUUUAGUGCGGCAUGGCUAAAACUACCCUCUUCUUUUUUUUUAUAAGUAAUUACUACUUUCACAUUAAGAAAAAUACUCCUAUUUUUUAGGAAAAGUCAAGUACCUGUAGUUGUGAAGACUCGAGCUCACUCCCUUAUGAUAAAUCUUCAUAUUAAUUACGUAAAUAUCCUCUAAAAUUUUAAAUUAGCUAUUCAAAAUUUGAUGUUAUACGGGUAUUUCAUUUAUUUGAGUAGGGGUUAGGGGUCAAUUGGAUACAAAUUCAAAAUUAUCCUUACUUGAGAUGGUGAUAAAAAUUGGGGAUUUAAUUUGGAUGUCAUUAGCUACAAAUAUUAAACUCAUACAUUUAAUUCAAAAUUGGAGGGCUGAUAUAAGCGCAUCAUCCCACAACCUCUCCAAUGAAAAAUUAACACGUUUCUUGUGUGCAUUUGAUCAGAAUCCUGAAAAUUAAUCACAAAAUUGUCCUGGAAAAAAAAAUACUUACAUAAAUGGUUUGAAAAAUCUAGAUUUCAAGUUGUCUAUAUUAGGUUGAUAUUUUUAUAAAUAGUCAUCCUCUCAAAAAAAUUCCGUCAAAAUAUAUUUUAAUUUUAUGUUAAUUCAUAAACAUGAAAAAAUCAUUUCAGAAUUAAUUAAAACAUAAUUUAUUGUUUCUCAAAAAAGGUAGAACUUAGUGAUAAGAAAAAAGUAUCUCAAAUAUAUGUAAAAAAAAAAAAAAUCUUGGUUAGUUGGAAUGAUUGAAUUUGUUUUUUUUUUUCUUUUUUAAGAAUUAAGACAAUCGGAUUGAUUGAGUAAUAAUAAUAUAUAUUUAUUUGGCAAAUGGCAGGUAGGCUUUCGUCUCAUGCAGAUUGAUUAGAGAGAAAAUAUAACAAUUUUAAGCUCGUCAGAUUCGAAGCUGCUUUCCUGUCGUGUGGGGAUCACUUCCGUGUCUUAUUUUUCUAGAAAAAUCAGGACCAUUGGAUUUAUGCGAAUCGUACUGAACAUUGGAAUUGAUGUAUAAGAAAAAAAUUCUGUAGUUUAAGAAGAACAAAAAGGCAUGUUGAAUAGAUUACAAUAGUUUAAGGAAAAAAAUUAUUCAAUUGGGAAUUUUUUUUUUCUUUAAUUUUUGUUGUACUUGAUUGAGAUUUCUCCUUAGUCCUUAGAGUUUUAAGUUUGGAAACCGUAGGAUCAGUAAUUUCGUACUUCCUUUGCAAGCUGAGUAUAAGGAUGAAAUUCUUUUAAGAAAUUAAAAAAGAUAAAAAAAAGCAUACCAAUAGGUAAUUAUAAAUAACCACAAAUAAAUAUAAACAAAAUGUUUAUGAAGUAAAUUAAACAUGCUCAUAUUAUUUUCUUUUAUUUUCUACUUGGAAAUCCAUAAAUACACUAAUCCAGUAUUACUAAUUUCAGACAGAAAAAUUUGAAUUUAACCAGUAUACACUAAUCCAGUAUUAUUUUUAUUAUUAUUUUAAUUUGUUUAUAAAUUACUAUUUUAAUUUUCACUUUUUAUUGGGUUGUUUAACGGAUUAGUGAAGCUGGUGGUCGUUGAUGCACUCACAAGGUACAAUUUUAUUUUAGAAUUUCAAAUUCGUAAUUUAAAAUGCAGGCACAUUAUGUAUACAUAAUUAUUGAUUUUCAUAUGUGGGUGUCUUGAAAUAUUGCCAAAAGAUCAAACUUUAAUAAACGAUUUUUGAUCUUUUUUUUUCCUUUGUACCUAAAGUUUGAGUGAUAUCCGCAUUUUAAAUUCAUGUGGACCAAAAGCUAAUGUAUGCACAAAAUUCUUUUAUUUUUUCCGAGAAAAAUGGGUAAGAGAAGAAGAUUUUUCUCUUGAAAAAGAAAAACUAAUACGUUGCAAGCAUAGGAAAGAGGCCAGUGUUUUGGAUUUGAAUUUAGUAUUGGGUUGAAUUUUAUGCUAAGCUCUUUUAUAAUACUUUAUAGAAUAAAAAUGUAAGGGGUAUUUGGUUAGGCAUGUACUUUGUAGAAUAAAAAUGUAAUAAUGUAAGUCAGUGCAAUGAUCUGCUGUCAUAAUAGUUGUAAAUAUUUAUGUGUAAUAUAGUAACAUGAUGCUUAAUCAGUUAAAAAAAAAUUGUAUAUCUUUUUUUAUUUUUUUUUAUUGUGAUCAAUAUAACUAGUCAAAUUUAUUUUUAAAUAUUUUUUUAAAAAUAUUUUUAUCGUGUGUUUGCUCCAUUACAGGGUUUCUUCAAUUUAAAAUAGAGAAUCAUUUGUGUUCUAGAUUAAUCGUGGGUCUAUAUCCAAAUCCAAAAAUUGACUAACUUGAUUUCUAUUAAGUUCUCAACCCUAACAAGAAAAAUAGAAGAUUAAAAAUGACUAUUUUGGUUUCUAUUAAUUUGAGUAACGCUUAAUAUUUAUCAUACAAUAGUCACUUAUAUUAUCAAAAUCUUGGGUCGAAAAUAUUAGGAUAGGUGAUAAUUGGAAUUAAGUUGUAGAUAAGAUAGCCUUUCAAAAAAAAGAAAAGAAAAAAAGUUGUAGAUAAGAUAGAAAUGGAUUUGGAGAGAGAUUGGAAUCCUGGCUAAUCCGGUGCACGUUGUUGCGUUAAAUUCUCGUUGACUUCACGUUGACCGAAGCAUUAUUGGAAGAAACAAGCAAGCUUAUUUUCUUCUCUCAUUUUUUACUUUUGUCUAAAUUUAUUGAUGUGAGGCCUCUGAGAUGGUAAAGUGUUAAAUCUGAGAAGAGUACCCACACACCCAUUAUCCUAUUACUCUUAUUUUAUCACAUGCAGAGACGUCAACGUUUGAUUCGCACAGAAAAAAAUUUGCGAGGAUUGUGAGGGUUGAUUCAAUAUAAUUUAGAUGCAAAGUGUUUACAAGUGCGAUGCUUCGUAAGUGCACCCGAAUCAUUAUAAACUCACCUUAUUUUCAUAGUGAUUAUUUCAUCUGCAUGUGAAUAUAAUCAUAUGUGGAGAUUUUUUUUUCCCUAAACUAUGAUCUUCUCUGGUAUUAAGGUGUUAUAUCUUUUAAAUUAUAAUUAUUAUUAGUAAAAAACUGCAACUAUGAAAAAGAAAUUUAAUAUUAUGUCCUGAAUAUAAUUAUUAAAUAAUAAUUUUGACAAAAUUAAUGAAUAUAUACAGAUUUUUUUAUCAUAUAAAUGUAAAAUUAUAUCAACUUAGCUUCUAAGCUAUACAACGGCUACUAUUUACUAAAUACUUUAGUGUCGUAGUUUUUAAGAUAUAUUUAUCCAACCUCAAUCCCAAACAUAACCUGUAAGGAUAAAAAAUUUCAUCCUAAAAAUUAUACGUCUUGUGACUUAUUUAAUUUAUAUUUUUGUUAUUUAUAUUUACUAAUUAUAGUCAUCUUUUAAUAAAUUACAAUUGAAGGAAGGUGGUUGAUGUUGUCGAGACACACACACAAAGAUAUAUUGGAAGUGCUUAUGUCCACUCGAAGUUGUGGGGAGUUAAUGCAUGUAUUGAUUUAUUGGGAGUGUUAAUGCAUGUAUUGAUUGAUUGAGUGAUUGAAUACUGUUUGAUUGCUUCAUAUCAAUUCUAGAAAGUUUAUUUCUUUGUGAAAUUUCAACGAAACGUGUUUUUUUAGAAUAAUAAGGGUGUUUUAAGUAAUUUUAAAAAAUGAAUGGACUAAUUAGAAUUAAUUAUUAGGUAAUUAACUCGAAUUGUAGAGGGUAAGCAAACAUUUAUCCUAAUUAUAUUAUGAUAAAUCCUUUUCCAAUUAGAAUUAGGAAACCAUAGAUAUACUGAAUUUUUUUUAUUUCCCUUCGCGAAAACGGAUUAGAGAAUUAGAAAACAAUCCUAGUGAUACUAUUGUUAGGUUUAAAACACUGCAUAGAUGGUAAAAACAUUGGAAUUGAUGUAGAUUAAUUUGUUAAUUGCUAUCGUACUGAACAUUGUUUUAUGCAAAUUAAUUUGAGAAUUAGAAAAUAUUUUGUUGCAUGCAAACUUUUUGUUUUAUGCAAAUCGUACUGAACAUUGGGACUGAUGUUUAAGAAAAAAAUUCUGUAGUUAAAGAAAAACAAAAAGGCAUGUUGAAUAGAUUACGAUAGUUUAUUCAAUUGGGAAUUUUUUUUUUUAAUUUUGUUGUACUUGAUUGAGAUUUCUCUUUAGUCCUUUCGUACUUCCUUUGUAAGCUGAGUAUAAGGAUGAAAUUCUUUUAAGAAAUUAAAAAAGAAAAAAAAGCAUGCCACUACGCAAUUAUAAAUAACCACAAAUAAAUAUAAACAAAAUGUUUAUGAAGUAAAUUAAACAUGCACAUAUUAUUUUCUUUUAUUUGCUGCUUGGAAACCCAUAAAUGCACUAAUCCAAUAUUACAAUUAAUUUCAGACAGAAAAAAUUGAACUCUAGGCUGCAGUUUGACUCAAAAUGAUGACCACUGGCUUCGCACCAUUCAACCGGUAUACAUUUCUACAAACCGAACAACGCUAUUGAUUUUUAUUAUUUUUUUAAUUUUUUUAUAAAUUACUAUUUUAAUUUUCACUUUUUAUUGGGUUGUUUAACGGAUUAGUGAAGCUGGUGGUCGUUGAUGCACUCAUAAGGUACAAUUUUAUUUUAGAAUUUCAAAUUCGUAUUUUAAAAUGCAGGCACAUUAUGUAUACAUAAUUAUUGAUUUUCAUAUGUGGGUGUUUUGAAAUAUUGCCAAAAGACCAAACUUUAAUAAACUAUUUUUGAUUUUUUUUUCCUUUUUACCUAAAGUUGGAGUGAUAUCCGCAUUUUAAAUUCAUGUGGAACAAAAGCUAAUGUAAGCACAAAAUUCUUUUAUUUUUUCCGAGAAAAAUGGGUAAGAGAAGAAGAUUUUUCUCUUGAAAAAGAAAAAAAAAUACAAUGCAAGCAUAGGAAAGAGGUCAGUGUUUUGGAUUUGAAUUUAGUAUUGAGCUGAAUUUUAUGCUAAGCUCUUUUAUAGUACUGCGAUUAAUAAGCUAGCUCAGGAUUUGCUUUUGCUUUUACUUCAAGUAAAAGAAUGAGGAAGCCUUUUGUUUUUUUGUUUGAUUUUUGACUAUAUAUGUUACCUAUAUAGAGAGUUGAGGUAGCAGCCUUAAGUGAUGGUGAUAAAAAGAUUAAGCAGCGCACACAAUCUUACUGUCGUCGAGACCAUCCAGUGAUGGCUCUUGUUUUUUUGUUACGUUAGCUUUAGUGGAAAGAAGGACCAAUUUAACAAAGACUAGAUUUGGUGGCUUACUAUGUUUAAUGUAAUGCUUAUUCUCAGCGCACACAAUCUUACUAUGUUUAAUGUAAUGGUUAUGUUGAAUGAUCUUCUAUGAUUGUGAGUAGUAUAGUAUAAUUGCAAGGGGCCUGGGCUCCUAUGAUGAAUAACAGUAACACAUUACUGUGAUUGAGAAAACUCAGUUCCAAUAAACUCUUCAUUUACUCAUUGCGGAGAUUGAAUGGCAAACAGAGAAUAGAAUGAAGCAGAAGAAUCUCAUUGUUAGGUUUUGAUGAUUUCAGAUGCUUUUUAAAAAAAAACAAUUGUGACAUCUUUGAUUUAAGGUAGUUUUGCAAAAAACAAAACAUAUAAAAAUUAAGAGGGAUGAUUUAACUGACGAUUACAAUCAUUACAGCAAUGCUGAUGAGUGAUAAAUCACUUGAAAUUUACUUGUCAGUUGCUGAAAUGAUGAAAAAAAACAAUAAACGAUAACAGUAAUAAUGUUCCCUUGCUGAAAUUCAAUUUUGACUUUCGACUCUUGGCUUUUAUGGAGAGUAAAAUGACUUGUAUAUUAUACUCAUACAAUCCACUCUACAUAAUGAUAUCGUUUUAGUAAGGCAAUGGCUGAUGAUCUCCAUUUAAAAACUACAUCAAUUUUUUUUUGCUUCAUUUAACUUUUUGGUUGUUGAAAAUAACCUUAAUUACCAAAUAAUUGGAGAAAGAGUUAAGAACAUUUAACAAAUUUAUGUGCAAAAAAAAAAGAAGGAGAAGUUGAAGAGAAAGGGUGCUUGCAGAAGUGGGUGUCAAAGAUAAAUCGGUCCAUAAGAAUUAUUGUGGUUAUUUUUUGGCAAUAUAAAAAAUUUUUAGUAAGUAAAAAUAAUUUUUUUUUCGAUUUACUAAAAAAUUAACUAAAAACUUCUGCGAUAGCAUUUUUUAUGGGUGCAGAUACCCUCCCUUUAAAAAAAAUAUAAUAAUUACUGCUUAAUAUAGUAUUAAAUACGAAAAUAUCAAUAUUUGACUACUCAAAUUUAUGUCAUUAGGUCCUUCAAAUUUAAAAUGGAAGAUAUGAAAGGAAAUAUAUAUAAAUUUCAUUGUCCUGGGAAAGGACCCUCUUAUAAUCUUAUAAUAUUUGAACUUUGAUAGAUUUUUUGAAACAAAUUUAGAUAGAUUUUUUGAAACAAAUUUACUUUUAUUUGUGUACAAUCAAUAUUUACUUAUUUAUUAUAUUUUAAUUUAUUAACUAUCAAUCAUGUUAAUAUAUUUAGUCAGAAAAAUCAUAUCAAGAGAAAAUCAUGACCCCACGCACGGAUAAAUACGUUAAUUUCUAUACUAUUCACUUUCCUGUAGAAUCAAUUAUUUAAAAUGCAAGUUUGUGGCUACAGAAAACUCGCCAAAGAAAGAAGAUAAUAACAAUUGAGCAUUGAUAGCAAAACUAAUGCAUCCAAUUCUUCUUGACUUGAUGAGAUGGCGCCAUAACGUAGAAACAAGUACCUAAAUUGACCGGCACUGAGUGGUGUGAAUACUACCAGCCAGUUCAUCUCUUCCAGUCGUGCUUAAUCACAAUCACAAACACCACGAGAUCGACAUUUGCAUUAUAUAUAUCUUCAGCAAUCGAAACACCUUGCAUUACCAAAUUAACCAGCAACAAACAAAGCAAUCUUUCAUGGAGAGAAACCUUAGUCUCAGUAUGAUCACUGUGUCAUUAACCCACUGCCUGCUUCUUUGCUUGGUUGUUGCAGCAGCAGCAGCAGCAAGCAGCAAUAUUACCACAGACCAACAAGCUCUUCUUGCCCUGAAAGAUCAUAUAAUUUAUGAUCCGACCAACCUUUUAGCCCAUAAUUGGACCUCGAACACCUCUCUUUGUACCUGGAUUGGCAUCACUUGUGAUGCCAAUAGCCAUAGAGUCACAACCUUAGAUAUUUCUCAAUUCAAUCUACAAGGCACCAUCCCUCCUCAACUUGGAAACCUCUCUUCACUCACAACGCUUAAUCUUAGUCAUAAUAAGCUUUCUGGAAGCGUUCCCCCCUCCAUCUACACCAUGCAUACGCUAAAAUUUCUAGACUCCACUGCUAACCAGCUCUCUGGUUCAGUGUCUUCCUUCGUCUUCAACAUGUCUUCAAUAUUAGACAUUCGUUUGACCAAUAACAGACUUUCUGGUGAGCUUCCGAAAAAUAUUUGCAACUAUCUUCCUCAUUUGAAAGCCCUUUUUUUGGACAAAAACAUGUUUCAUGGCAAAAUUCCUUCUGCUUUAUCAAAGUGCAAACAACUGCAACAAUUAAAUUUGCAGUUCAAUAAUUUAUCCGGUGCAAUACCAAAAGAAAUCGGCAACUUGACUAUGCUCAAAGGGAUAUAUCUCCUCUACAACAAACUCCACGGUAUGUUCACAAUACUAUAUAAAUAUUUUAAUUUAUCACUUAUUAUCUUUCUUGAAUAAUUUAACUAAGAUCUUGUAAGUGAGAUUUUUUGCAUCUAUGUUAAUAACCAGGUGAGAUACCCCACGAAAUCGCUAAUCUUCAAAAUCUAGAGGCUUUAGGGCUUGGAAUGAACAACCUAGUUGGUGUGUUACCAGCUCCCAUCUUCAACAUGUCAACACUGAAGGUACUUAUCCUCAUAAAUAACUCUCUCUCCGGAAGUCUUCCAUCAAGAAUGGACCUUUCACUUCCAACUGUUGACCAUCUUAACUUGGCACUUAAUAGAUUUUCUGGAACCAUUCCUAGUUCCAUCACCAAUGCUUCUAAGCUCACCUUUCUGGAGUUGGGAGGAAACACAUUUUCGGGGUUUAUUCCAAACACAAUUGGUAAUUGUUGUUUGUGAAAGCAAAUCCAGAAAACCAAAACGGCAGAAGACUUUGCGUUUAGAAGCUGGAAACACUUAAACUCAAAACGGCACAGGAGCCUGCGUUUUGGUGAGUAAAAGAAAUGCACUCCUGGACGACGUAUGGGUUUGACGUUUAGAUUUAAGUGAUUCACGCGUAUAUCACGUGCUUGAGUUCAGCCUUGCAAAGUUCGUUAUAUGUCGUUAGGAGCACGAAGAGCUCACGUGAGGUGCUGGGGUUUUUCUGGGUUUAUUAGCUAAAGCUGUUAUGGAACAGCUGAUGUGGAAGCAACGGACUGGAGAGCAGAGAGAGCUAAAGAUAGAGAAGGGAACUGGUUAUAUAAGCUAGUUAUAAUCUGUCUUUUAGGGACUAAGCAUUUACUCUGUAAUUCAUCUGAAAGAAAUCAAUAAAGCUGUGUUCUUUCCCUCCCGUGGAUGUAAGCUAGAGAAGUCUAGCUGAACCACGUUAAGAUUCUUUGUUCUUUCUUUACAUUACUUUCUUUUGAUUCUUUAGACCAAUUUUGUUUACCAUUUAAGUUCCAUAGAUUUCAUCUUAGUCAUAGCUUUUCGGUAAGCCAUCUUGCUGCAUCUUGUUCUGUUGGCUGGAGAUCUUGGGGCAGAGUCUUGGGUUGCUCUAUCAGUCUUUAGCACCUGAGAUUCUACAGUAAUUUAAUAAACCUUGAGUGGCUCAACUUGGGUAAUAACUCCUUGACAUCUUCAACCUCAAAAUUGAGCUUUCUUUCCUCUUUGGCAAAUUGCAAGAAAUUAAGAGUCAUAGGCUUAACAGGCAAUCCACUCAAUGGUAUCCUUCCAAGUUCAGUAGGUAAUCUUUCUAUGUCUUUGAAAACACUUGUCAUCGGCAAUUGCAGUAUUAUUGGCAACAUUCCUCGAGUAAUUGGCAAUUUAAGCAACUUGUUGGCCUUAUCAUUAGAAGGCAAUAAAUUGACUGGAUCAAUUCUAAUUACAUUCGCCCGACUACAGAAACUCCAAGGCUUAGAUCUCGCAUUCAAUAAGUUGGUAGGUUCAUUCCCAGAUGAGCUUUGCCAUCUAGCUAGGCUGGCAGAAUUGGUCUUAUUUGGCAAUAAGCCAAAUAAGCUUUCAGGAUCUAUACCUUCAUGCCUAAGUAAUUUCACUUCUAUAAGAUCUCUCUAUUUAGGGUCCAAUAGGUUUACUUCUGUCAUUCCCUCAACUUUCUGGAGCCUAAAAGACAUCUUGUUCUUUGACUUUUCAUCAAAUUUCUUGGUUGGUACUCUUUCUUUCGACAUAGGUAAUUUGAAGGUGCUUCGAGGAAUAAAUUUAUCAGAAAAUAACUUAUCGGGUGAUAUGCCAGCCACAAUUUGAGGACUAAAAAACCUUCAAAUUAUGGACCUAGCAUAUAAUAGAUUGGAAGGGCAAAUUCCUGAAUCAUUUGGUGACUUGACAAGUUUGGAGCUUUUGAAUUUGUCAAAUAAUAAAAUCUCUGGGUCUAUUCCAAAAUCCAUGGAGAAACUCUUUUACCUCCAAGAGUUAAAUCUCUCUUUCUAUGAACUAGAAGGUGAGAUUCCUAGUGGAGGAAUUUUUGCCAACUUCACAGCUGAGUCAUUUAUGGGAAAUGAGUUAUUGUGUGUUUUGCCAUUGAGUAUUGCUCUAACAAUAGCAAUCACUCUAGCUCUCAAAUAUAAGCUUAUUGAAUGUAGAAAGGGAAGAACAGUGUUGUCAAAUGAUAGUAUCUUGUCAUCACAAGCAACACUAAGAAGAUUUUCAUACUUAGAACUUUUACGAGCAACAAAUAAUUUUUCUGAAAACAACAUAAUUGGCAUAGGAGGUUUUGGUUCUGUUUACGGUGGAAGACUUGAAGAUGGGAUGAAGAUUGCAAUAAAAGUGUUUCACCAGCAAUGUGCAAGCGCAUUGAAGAGUUUUGAGGCUGAAUGUGAAGUGUUAAAAAAUAUUCGCCAUCGAAACCUUAUCAAAGUUAUCAGCAGUUAUUCAAACAAUGACUUCAAAGCAUUAGUCCAAGAAUACAUGUCCAACUGGAGCUUGGGGGAUUGGAUGCAUUCUAGCAAUUAUAUGCUGAAUAUAUUUCAAAGGUUGAACAUAAUGAUUGACGUUGCAUCAGCUUUAGAAUAUCUUCACUUCUAUCAUUCAACUGCUAUUAUUCACUGUGACUUAAAGCCUAGUAAUGUAUUGUUGGACGAAAAUAUGGUUGCUCAUUUAAGUGAUUUUGGCAUAGCAAAGCUUUUAAGUGGAGAAGAUGAGUCUAUGAUGCGAACAAAAACCCUUGCCACUAUAGGUUAUAUGGCACCAGGUUUGCUUCAAACAACUUUUUUUUUAGUUCAUUUUAAAUUUUCCAAAUCAUCGAUUUUUACGAUCCUCAUAUCAAAAUGUUAUUGAUUAUUUAUCUAAUUGUGAAAUUAAUUUGAUUCAUAGAGUACGGCAUAAAAGGAGAAGUAUCUACAAAAAGUGAUGUUUACAGCUAUGGGAUUAUGUUGAUGGAAACUUUUACCAAGAAAAAACCCACAGAUGAAAUUUUUGUCGGAGAAUUGAGCUUAAGGCGUUGGGUUAAUGACUUGCUUUCUGCUUCAUUAGUGGAAGUUGUGGACAAAACUCUGCUAAGUGGAGAGGAAAAAUAUUUUGCAUCAAAGGAGCAAUGUCUGUUGUCUAUCUUUAGUUUGGCUCUGGAGUGUACAAUGGAAUCACCGGAAAAGAGGAUUAAUGCAAAAGAUAUUGUUACCAGAUUACUCAAGAUAAGAGACACAUUGAGUAAAAGGAUCGGAAAUUUAAGUUAAUUUCGUUUGCUUUCGUUGAUAGUUAAUUCAAAUUCAUGUAAUAAGUGUAAGAAUCUUAUAUCUUUUCCUUUGAUAUUUUUUUUUUUGAGAAAACUGUUGUAGUCAUCUUAUUUCCAUGGGUAGAGUUGAUUUAGUUCUUCCAAGAAUUAAUUGAGCUUGUUUCACAAGUAUAUGAAUCAGACAGUUAAAUUUUAAAAAUUAUAUUCGGACUCUACGUUUUGUAAUGAACAUUGGUCUGACUUGUUAUACAUUUAUGCGGACAUUCAAGAGCAAAUAUUUUGAUUUACUAUUUUUUGUCUUUCAAUUUUCUUUUAGGUUCUGAUGACGUGCGCAUUUUAAAAUCCUAAGGUACAUAUAAAAUUCUUUUAUUUUUCGGAGGAAAAUGGGUGAGAGAAGAAGAUUUGGCAAAGGAAUUGCAACGGCAUUUGAAACUAGUCUUUGUCGUUUAAUUCUUUUAUAUUCGUUUUUUUUAUUGAUGUUAGCUUGGAUGUGGGCGCGUGUGACUGAAUUCAACUUAUAUUUGUUUUUGUUAUUAAUUUUAUUUGUUUUUGUUAAAUUGGACCACCAAAAAGGGUGGUCCAUUAUCAAAUCAACACCGUUUAAUUAUUAUUAUUUCUACACUUUUUUUUAUGAACAAAUAUAAAAUAAAAGGACAUUUACACCCAAAUUUUAGUGAAAUAGUCAUCAACACCCUUAAAUUUUUAAAAAGAGACAUCAAGAUCAUUUUUUGAUCUUAAUACUCUUAUACAGUACCUCUAUUAUUCCUAAAAAUUGACUCUAAUGUUUUAUAAUAAAUAAAAAUAAAAGAUUAAAAUAAAUGUAAUAACAUAUACAUUUUAAAACCAUUUCAAUAUUUAAAAAAUAUUUUUAACAUUUUACAAUCUAUUAAAUAUAUUUUAUUAUAUUAAAGUAAAUUUUAUAAUAAAUAGAAUCAUAUUAUUAAAAUAAAUGCAUUAAAAUUUAAAUUAUUUUGAAUAUCAUGUAAGAUAAUAAUUUUAACAUUACUAGUAUGUCAGAUUUUUUUUUUAAUUGUAGAGUGUAUUUAGUGCAAAUAUUUAUUUCAAAUAUCUACAAUAAAUAAAAGAUUAAAGUAAAUAUAAUAAUUUACAUAUCUAAAUUUAUUAAAAUAUUUUAAUAUUGUUAGUCUACUGCAUAGAUCACAAUAUUCAUAUAACAUUUGUAUUUAUUAAAAACUUUAAAAUCAAUUCUUUUGAGAAUAAUAGAGGUAAAGGGUAUAAUGGUCAAAAGGGAAAUUUUGUAUCCCUUUCUGAAAACUUGAGGAUGUUGGUGACUAUUUCUCCAAAUCUUCAGCGUGUAGAUGUCCUUUUCUCCGACAGUAUCUGAACUUUGAAGUAAUAAGGAUCACCUUUUACGAAAUUAUAUUGCUUUUCAUGAUAGACUGUUACCAUUUUUCUACAAUAGAUUGAAUUUAGUAAAAAAUUGAUUAAGAUGUCUACUCAUGGAGAGUGAAAUUUAUGUUCAAAACUAAUUUCAACAGGCAUGCACCAUCGAACGUGUUUCUCACGGAAAAGUUGCUUGGAUUUUUGGGACUUCCUGUUCAAAUAUUCAACACGGCAUGCACCACGCGAUUGAACAUGCAAAAGUAGGGGUCUAUUUUCAUUUCCAGCAUUAUAGAAAUCUUAAUUUUGUUCAUUAUUUAUUUUGAUCAGCACUGUUGAAUCUCCAUGCAUUGCCAAUCACUAGGAAACAACAUAUUUUUAUUAAUUAUAUCCUCUAAUGGAGAGAACUCAUUGUCUCAGUAAGAUCACUGUGUCAUUAACCCACAGCCUGCUGAUUUGCUUGGUUGCUACUGCAAGCAAAAAUAUUACCACAGAUCAAAAAGCUCUUCUUGCCCCAAAAGAUCACAUAACUUAUGCUCCAACUAAUCUAUUGACCCAGAAUUGGACCUCAAAUACCUCUGUUUGUACGGGGAUUAGCAUCACUUGUGAUGUCAAUGGCCAUGAAGUUGCAGCCUUGGAUAUUUCUCAAUUCAAUCUACAAGGCACCAUUAUUCCAAACACAACUGGUAAUUUAAGAAACCUUAAGUGGCUCGGCUUGGCUUAUAAACUACUUGACAUCUUAAACUUCAAAAUUGAGCUUUCUUUCCUCUUUGGCAAAUUGCAAAAAAUUAAGAAUCUUAGGCUUACUGGAAAUCCACUUGACCGUAUCCUCUCAGGUUCAAUAGGUAAUCUUUCUAUGUCUUAGGAAAUAUUUCACAUCGCCAAUUGCAGCAUUAGUGGCAGAAUUCCUUAAGUAAUCAGCAAUUUAAGCAACUUGUUGGCUAGUGUGCAAAAUUUUAAUGUACUCGCAAGCGCAUGAACCUAAAAAUAGAAUAGUGGUAACGAGGUCAAACUCACAGGGAUUGUUAUAAAAUGACAAAAGAAUAGCUGCUGGUCUAGAGGUGGCUUAUUACAUUCAUACAAGAUCGUUUCUUGUUCUCUAAGAUGUGCAUUAUGCUAAUAAUGCUAUACAAACUUAUCCAAAGGUCUAUUGAUUAAUUCAUUAAUCCAACUGCUGGUUAGGUUGUCCUUUCAUCCAAACAGCUGCAUGCUUGUCUUCUUAUAUGCUGAUCUUAUCCUCUAGAUCUGUUCAGGCUGAGUGAUCUCUCACAUUUGCCAUAUCAGAAGAUUACAUGCCAGUAAUGUCUUGUGAUGAUCUGUUGCUUGGUGAUGUCGAAUGCCUGGCCUUUACUUCUCUGAGCAAAUUGAUCAAACAAUUUGUUCAUUUUAUCGAUGGUUUUUAAGUGCAUUUAAUGAUUAUUUUUGCUCCAACUUCAGAUAAACCAAACGCUAGUAUAUUAGAUGAAGAAGUUAACUGGCAGCUAACCAGGUCAAAAUAGCGACUCUAUAUAAAAAAUAUAUAUAUAUAAUAUAAAAUAUAAAAUGGGAAUUUAUUUAAUUAAUUGUUGGUCUAAAGCUGUUGGUAUCCGUUGGCCACGUUUCUGAAGAGUCAUCUCAAAUCGAAAUUUUUAACGAACAAAGAACUUUGCUUUUUUCCAUUGUUCACAUAUCUGCUGGCUGCCACCCGUGAGAUAAAAGUGCUACAAUCCAAAAUGUUCCACCAUUAUUUAUUCUAAUUUUAAUUUUCCAAUGGAAAAAAUUACAUAAUUAAAAUGGCUUCUAAUAUCAUUUCCACCCCUCAAUAUGUGUCACUAUCAGAAGGUUGUUUUCAUGAUUCAUGGUAAAUUUGGAUUACAGCACCUGUACUUUCUGAUGGUUCAUUAUUUAUUCUCAGGAAUCGAGUCUCCUUACAUUACCAAACUAAUAACAAACAGCAAUAUUUUAUCCUUUCAUGGAGAGAAAUUACAGUCUUCGUUUGACCGCAGUGCUAUUAACCCACUGCUUGCUUCUUCAGUUGGUUGUUGCAGCAGCAGCAGCAAGCAACAUUACAACAGACCAACAAGCUCUUCUUGCCCUGGAAGCUUAUAUAAGUUAUCAUCCAACUAAUUUUUUGGCUCAAAAUUGGACCUCAAAUACCUCUGUUUGUAACUGGGUAGGCAUUACUUGUGAUGUCAAUAGCCAUAGAGUUACGGCCUUGAAUAUUUCCAGCUUGAAUCUACAGGGUACCAUCCCCCCUCAACUUGGAAACCGAUCUUCACUGACAACACUUAAUCUUAGUCAAAACAAGCUUUAAGGCGACAUUCCCCCCCUUCAUCUUCACCGUGCAUGAGCUGAAAUUUCUUGAUUUCAGUGAUAAUCAGCUCUCUGGUUCUUUGUCUUCCUUUACCUUCAAUUUGUCUUCAAUAUUAGAUAUUCGUUUGGAUAGUAACAAACUCUCUGGUGAACUCCCAUUAAAUAUUUGCAAUUAUCUUCACUAUUUAAAAGUCCUUUUUUUGGCCGAAAACAUGUUUCACGGUCAAAUACCACUGGCUUUAUCCAAGUUCAAACAGCUACAACUGUUAAAUUUGGGGUUCAAUAAAUUAUCAGGAGCCAUACCGAAAGAAAUCAGCAACUUGACUAUACUUCGAAAGAUAUCUCUCAGAAAUAAUAAACUUCGCGGUAUAAAUGUUUAUAAUAUAUACUUUGUAAAUGCUCUUAUUAAUCAUUCUUGAACUUUCUUAGAUACUUUUGUCUAAAUAAGAUUUUGUAAAAGAGUUUUUUGCAUCUCUGUUAAUUUUGCAGGCGAGAUACCUCACGAAAUUGGGUAUCUUCCAAAUCUAGAGAAUUUGGUGCUUGGAUUCAACAACCUAGUAGGUGUUGUACCUGCUGCAAUCUUCAACAUGUCAACAGUGAAAGAAAUUUACCUAUUAGAUAACUCUCUCUUGGGAAGUUUUUCAUUAGGAAUAGACCUUUCACUUCCUAACGUUGAGAGACUGAACCUGGGGCUGAACAGAUUUUCUGGAACCAUUCCUAGUUUCAUCACCAACGCAUCUAAACUUGUAUAUCUAGAUAUGGGAACAAACUCUUUUUCGGGCAUUAUUCCGAACACAAUUGGUAAUAAUCUAAGAAACCUUGAGUGGCUCGACUUAACAUACAAUCGCUUGACAUCAUUAACUCUAGAAUUGAGCUUUCUUUCCUCUUUGACAAAUUGCAAGAAAUUAAGAUUCUUAGGCUUAACAGGCAAUCCACUUGACGGUGUCCUUCCAACUUCAAUAGGUAAUCUUUCUAUGUCUUUGGAAAACAUUUACAUCUCAAAUUGUAGUAUUGGUGGCAGCAUUCCUCAACUAAUCACCAAUUUAAGCAAUUUGUUGCUCUUAGAUUUAGAAGGCAAUAAGUUGACUGGAUCAAUUCCAGUCACAUUCGGCCGGUUGCAGAAACUCUAGGGUUUAUAUCUUCCAUUUAACAAGUUAGCAGGAUCAAUCCCAGACCAGCUUUGCCAUUUAGCUAGACUGAAUACAUUAGGUUUGGCUGGUAAUAAGUUUUCUGGAUCAAUCCCUUCAUGUUUAGGUAAUCUCACUUCUCUAAGGUCUCCCGACUUAGGGUCCAAUAGGCUUACAUCAGUCUUGCCCUCAACUUUUUGGAAUCUAAAAGACAUCUUGUUCUUUGACCUUUCAUCAAAUUCUUUGGAUGGUCCUCUUUCUUUAGACAUAGGAAAUUUAAGGGUUGUGAUAUCAAUAAAUUUAUCACGAAAUAACUUUUCAGGUGAUAUCCCAAGUACAAUUGGAGAUCUAAAAGACUUACAGAAUAUCUCCUUAGCAUGUAAUGGAUUGGAAGGUCUAAUUCCUGAAUCAUUUGGUUACUUGACAGGUUUGGAAAUUUUAGAUUUGUGAAAUAACAAAAUCUUUGGGUUUAUUCCGAUAUCUUUUGAAAAACUCUUGUACCUCAAAGAGCUAAAUUUGUCUUUCAACGAACUAGAAGGAGAGAUUCCUAGGGGAGGACCUUUUGCAAAUUUCACAGCUAAGUCAUUCAUGGGAAAUGAGAAAUUGUGUGGUUUACCAAAUCUCCAAUUCCCAAAAUGCAAGCGUCGGACACGUCGAAAAUCAAAGAAAAAGAUGCUUCUACUUGUGAUUGUCUUGCCAUUGAGUACUACUCUAAUAAUCGUAGUCCCUCUAGCUCUAAAAUAUAAAUCGAUAAGAGGUGGAAAGAGUAGUACUAGGUUGUUAAAUGAUGGUAUCUUGUCAUCACAAGAAACACUAAGAAGAUUUUCAUACCAAGAUCUUUUUCGUGCAACAGAAAAAUUUAGUAAAGACAAUCUAAUUGGCGUAGGAAGUUUUGGUUCUAUUUAUCGAGGAAGACUUCAUGAUGGAAUUGAGGUUGCAAUAAAAGUGUUUCACCAGAAUUGUGCAAUGGCAUUGAAGAGUUUUGAGGCUGAAUGUGAAGUGAUGAAAAAUAUGUUGGGAAAAUAUGCUCUUUAAAAGCAUAUGUGUUUAUUUAAUUGUAAUAAACAUUUUUUCUGAUUAAUAAAAGUAAUGAGGUAUUUUAUCCAAAUAUCUUAAUUGCAUUAAUAUUUUUAUUAAAGUCCAUUUAAUCAUAUUAUAUGUAUUUAUGUGAUCACCAUGUGGAUUCACAGAAGACAUAAAUACAAGUUAUCUUAUGAUUAAAUAAAUUUAGUUCGCAGUUGAUAAAUAAAGUUGGGCACUUUAUUUAGGUAUAGACUGUAAUGAAUUCAUUGAAUGAUUUGUCUUAAUCAUGUAUGAAUUUAUUGAUGUAGUACGACUACAUUGAACAGGAUCACAUAUGAGAUUUAAUUAACUUUGUAAUAACUGUCAGACUUAUUAAAUCUCAUAGGCAUUGAUUUUACUGUAAUCUUAAUCUUGAGUUAAUUAUGAUUUCAUGAUUGUAAUUGUUAUUCCAUUUGAGUUACCAAUAGGCAUGACACAUACUUGUAGUCUAGAUAACCUGGUAUCUUGGUGGGAGCAUUUAUGAGUAUUAGAGUUAUAGAUUAACAAUAUAGAAUUUGUAUAACACAUCUCUUGAUGGGUUUUCGGCACUUGAUCAUAGAAUUCUCUGGCCAGAGUGUGUCAACAUAUUUAGUAUGUUGAAAAUGAUCAUUAGAGAAAACCAGUAAGUAUCAAGAAACAAGAUGUAAUUAAAUUGAUUGGACAGUUGAGAUAUCGAUUUAAUUAAUGAAGUGGUACAAAGGAUUGUGCAGUAAAGAAAUCAAUAUGGCUUGGGACGAAUUAUUAUUCGAGCAUACAAUUCUGGAAGUCAGUUCCAAUCUUUUAGUGGAGUAGAUUUGGAAUUAAAUAAUUGGGCUAGUUUAAUUACAAGCCUAAUUAUUGUAGCCACUAUUGUAUGUUCCCAAAUGAUCCCCGGGUUAGCUCAUUUAAUUGACUGCACCACUACUGGACUAAUAAGUAAGAUAACUAGCUAUUUGGGUCAAAAAGCCUAAAUAUAUCAUUUAGCGGGAGGCUCCAUUUAAUUAGCUUUUGUAUAAGGGGCCUUAUGUUAUUUUACAAGGUGGGUCCCCUAUAGAAAAAACAAAUAACGUGAGUUUUGUUUUUUGAUUAUUUGGAGCCUAGGGUUUUCACUAAAGGGUGAUAUAAAAGGCUUAUUUUCUCUAAAGAAAAAAAAGCAGCCACUUUAUACAGAUCAGGAGAAUAAGAUUUUUCUCUCUAUUGUUGAGAGAAAAAUUUUCUCGUGCUAGUUGCUUUGGUAGUGAUAAAGGCGCCCACACGUCAAGUGCAGAUUGAACUUGAGUCAUAACCUGGAAGAUCAUUGAUGACAGUUCGUGAUCUAACAAGCGUGGUGGUGACGGAUCGUGAUCUAACAUGAGUGGUGGUGGCGGAUCGUGAUCUAGGAGUCUAAAUCACUUCAACGGAAAAAGCCAAAUCGGAUUUUCAAGGUACGAUUUCUAGAUUACAAAUUCUUAUAUAUUAUAUGAGAGCGAUCUUCAAAAGGUUUUAUAAAAAAUUUAAAAACCUAAUUUUUCCCCAACAAAAUAUUCGUCAUCGAAAUCUUGUCAAAAGAAUCAGUUGUUGUUCGAACGAAGAUUUCAAAGCAUUAGUUUUAUAAUAUAUGCCCAAUAGAAGCUUGGAGGAUUGCCUGCAUUCUACCAAUUGUUCGUUAAAUAUUUUUGACAAGUUGAACAUAAUGAUAGAUGUUGCAUCGACUUUGGAAUAUCUCCACUUCAAUCAUUCAACUCCUGUCAUUCAUUGUGACUUAAAGCCCAAAAAUGUAUUGUUAGAUAAAAACAUGGUUGCUCAUUUCAGUGAUUUUGGAAUUGGAAGGCUCUUAACUGGAGAUCGAUCAAUGAUACAAACAGAAACACUUGUCACAAUUGGUUAUAUGGCACCAGGUUUGCUCUGAAAUAAUUUUUGUUUUUUGGGUUUUCAUUCAGACUUUCCAAAUUAUUAUUUUUCCAUGAUCCUUCUAUCCUAAUGUUAUUGAUUAUUUAUCUAAUGAUAAAAUCAAUUUGGUUGAUAGAAUAUGGCAUAGAAGGAUGAGUAUCUACAAGAAGUGAUGUUUAUAGUUAUGGAAUUAUGUUAAUAGAAACAUUUACUAGGAAGAAACCCACAGAUGAAAUGUUUACUACAGAAUUGGGCUUAAAACUUUGGGUUAACAACUUACUACCUACUUCAUUGAUGGAAGUUGUGGACAAAACUCUUUUAAGUAGGGAAGAAGAAGAUUUUGCUGCGAUGGAGCAACGUGUGUUAUCAAUCUUGAGUUUAGCCAUGGAGUACGUGAUGGAAAUGCCAGAAAAAAGGAUCGAUCCAAUAGAUAUUGUAACUAAACUAUUGAAAAUAAGAGACACAUUGAGUAAAAGGUUAGCAAAUUUAGGUUAACCUUAUUUCUUGGCAUUGAUACUUGAAUCAAUAUGUACUUAAUUUGAAUCAAUGUAUGAGUGUAAGAAUAUGAUAUAUUUUCUUUUAAUUUUUUUUCCUGAGAGAAAUGUCAUAGCUGCCUUGUUUCAAAUUAAUUUUAUACUUUUUUUUUCUUUUUCUAAGAUCAUGCCAAUGAGUUGUAGGAAGAUCAGCUACAAAUUCAAAGCCGGCUAAGGCAUUUGAAGAUGGAGAGAUUGUUAGUUUUUUUCCCAUUAAAAUUAACAUAUAUCACUUAUCCCAACUAUUUUCAUAAUACCUAAUAAGCUCUUGGCACCAUAACUUUACCAUAUAACCCUUAUUUUGAAAUACACUUUUAUUCAUAUUAAUAUUAAUUAAAUAAAUCAUAUGAGUUGAAAUUAAAAUUAAAAAAAUUAAAUACCAAAAAUAAGAAAUAUACGUUUUAGUGUGCUAAAAAAAUUAAUAUUAAAAUAUUUUUCCUGUACUUUUUAUUAUUUUGUGAAUAUUUUUCUUAUAAUAUAUAUAUAUAUAUAUAUUAUUCUCAAAAUAAUGUAUCAAGCAAAUGACUUUUUUCUCUUCUUUUUCUUUAACUUUUUUUGUGCUAGUAGAGUUUUUAGAUAUUAUAAAAACAAUAAAAGAAUAAGUGAUAUAUAUUAAUUUCAGUUGGAAAUAACCGACAAUCCCCCUUUAAUUACGUGUCACACCCAACUUUUUUGCCAAUGUUGACAUUUGCCUAUAUCAGGUUUUUGAUGUGUACAGUGCAGGUUCAACUUAAGCCAUAAAUAAAACAACUUGAGAGAGCAAAAGAAUUGCAAGUUCUUGAUUUCAAAUCUCCAAGCAUAGGAAGCCAAAGCAUCUGCUUCUUUUGGGCAUGCUGCAAAUGAUGGUUCUAGUUCGAAUGUGACCUUUCAGUCAUCUCAAGGGCUAUUCAUUGGGGACAUCGACGUAACUUUACCCCACCUAGAGGUUUGAUAAUUGAUGGGUGUCGAAGCCAACAAAAAUAAAUUCUUAUUCUAAAUAAAUUGUGUAUAGUGAUUGAGCAGGGUUGUGUCCACAGAGAUCGGUAAUUAAUUAAAUCCUUUUGAAACAUAAAACGUAAAAUGGGGGAAUUGUUGACAAUAAUAAAAAUCAAAUUAAAAUAACAAGAAUGCAAAUUAAAGUUGUAACUCAAAUUGGAGAAAGCUCUGGUUGAAGGAAUUAACUCAGCUUGAUUCGACUACUGAUCAUUGAUUCAAAUAUAGAUUAUUAUUACUCAUGAAUAGACCGGUUAUAGCUACUGAGACCCUCUAAUAGCCAAUCUCUCCUUAACUAGUCGAUAACCAAGGUACGACCGUUGGUUAUUUCCCUAAUCAAUAGACAACCCUAGAUACGAUCAUAGGAUUUAAUCAAUUGACAGCCUGAAAAACCAGAGAGACCUAAAUCCUAAUCAACACAUAUGAUGAUUCAUUUAAAUUAGAUUAUUUAUUCUCACAACACAACUCUCUGCUAUGUUAUUUGUCACAAGCAUUAAAUUCUUCAUACGAUGAAUCCUUUAAUUGACAAUAGAUUAAGUUGAUAAUUAAAUAGUGGCCAAUUACCUAAUUAAUAAACAUAAUCAUGAAACUAAUUCAGAGAAUAAACAAAUACCCAAAAAGCAAUAAAACAAUUAAAGCACAAGAAAGAUCUCACAGUAGUGAUGAAUCAAAGCUUCAUUAUCCUUCAACCAGAAAAAUAGGUUUAGUUCUUCAUAGAGAGAAGAGAAAAAUUAAGAUCUAGGGUUUCUUUCUUUCUCCAAUCCCCAAAAUCCCCCCUUUUCACAAUAGAUUCCUCCCUUAAAUACUCUCUCUCUCUUCUCUUUUAGAAUUCUAUUUAAAAUAAAAUCCUAAUAUCUAAAAUAUUAAAUUCGUAAUUACAAAAAUAGCCAAAAAUAUAAAACACGUUAAACUAAAAACUGCAGGUUCGCAGUUGACAGCACGCGCCCACGCCUUAUCAACAAAGUUCUUCUGCCGCUCAUAAUUUCUCCAAGGGAACAAUCAUCCCUAAACAUCAUCUUGUAGCUCAAUUUUAUCACCAAUCAAUAGAAUUGCACCUACAAAAGUAAAUCACAAGUAAAUCACUAUUAUUAAGUGCAAAACAUCGAUAUUAAAGGAAGUAAACAAUGCAAAACUAGUGUAUAAAUUGCACUCUAACAAAUUCCCCCACACCAAGAUGAUGCUUGUCCUCAAGCAUAUAACUCAAGAUUAAUCCCAAAUCUCCACUCAAUUCUCAUCUCAACUCAUCCAAAAACAAUUUUAAGCAAGCAUACCUCAAGAAAUUAAGUCGAUCAACAUUUGAGAGAUAAGGAUUUUAAAGCAUAGAAUUUCAUAAGAUAGAAUAAGAACAUUCAACCACCAAGAAGAUCCAUUCAAAAUUCAAGUGCAGCAAGAUUUAAUAGCCCUCUCAAUAACUUCACUCCAUGCACUCAAAGUGUUUAGGGUGUCAUUUAUCCACUCAAAUCAAAUCAAAGAAUGUCAUUACCAUAAGCUUGCUCAUAUAUCACAUCUCAAUCCACAAAACAUGAAUAAAAUGCAAAAAUCUAAGGGUCUUAAAAGGGUUGUAAUGGGGUAAAAUGGGUGAAAUGAAAAAGAAAGGUUUAUGAAAGAAAAAGAGAUCAAAAUGAGAAGAAUGAACUCAUUGAAUGAACUUAUGAUAUCAAAAUGCUUAUUUCUACUCAAGUCACCAAGAAUGUAAACAUUUUUUUUUUCGAUUUUUUUUCUUCGAUUUUCUUUUUCUUUUUUUUCUUUUUCCUUUUCUUUUUCUUUCUUUUUUCAUUUUUUUCAUUUUUUUUUUGUUUUUUUUUUCGAAUCAAACAAAAGAAACGAACCUUGCACAAUUUAAUUCAAGCAUAAUGCUUGUUGAUCUAAUUGAGAAACUUCAAUAUAAGGUAGAAAAAGCAACAAAAUAUAUCCAUAUAAUGAGUCCAAAAAUCUCCUUAAAUUGAGGCUCAAAAAAAGAAGAAAAAUGGUUAAGUAGACGGAGAGAAUUAGAUGGGUAAUGGUUAAGGCUCAAACAAAGGUAGCAAAUAAAGGUCUUCGGGUAGAGAAAAAGGAAAAUGCGAGAAUAGAAAAAUGGUAAAUGGUUUGCCCUUAUCAUUUUAAUGCAUAAAAUCCCGUAAUGUGGCUUCAACAUGCAUAACAAAGCAAGUUCUAGAAUAAACAAACUAGGAUUGAUAUUCACAUAACAAAAAAAAAAAUAAUUAGAGCAAAGUGGUUGCUCAUAGGCUCAAAUCCUCACAAAAUUGGUAAAUUUGCCAUCAAAUCAUGUACACUCUUCAAAUGAAUCAACCAUCAAUAGUGGUGUAGAAUGAGAAGAAGGUAUGAGUGAGAUAUAAAAGGAAAGGUAAAAAGGAUAAUAAGCGAGAAAGAUGUAUGUAGUAAUAUGAAAAGUGAAAGAUAAAAUGUGAGUGAUGAAAGAGUAUGGUAAAAUAAAAAUAGACAUGAAUAAUUUGAGAUAGAUGGGAAAAAAGUAGUGAGAAGGAAAAGAAAAGAAAAAUAAUAAUAUAUGAAGCAUACUAACUCCAAAAUCAUUUAAGGAUGAGUAGAGUGAAAAUAGAUUAGUAGAGUGAAAACAAUAAUUCCAGACAUCAAUAAUGCAAAAAUCCCUCCCCCAUACCAAGAACUUACAUUGUCCCUAAUGUAAGAUAAUCAAAGCUCACAUAAAAGUUAAAGCGUAACGAUAAAAGAUUAAGGGCAAAAAGAAACUUUCCUGAAUUGUGAGCUUUGAUCCACAUAACGUCUAUGGGCUUGGCGGAAAUGGUGGGGUAAAUCCCACACUCUCGAAGUAUGCGGCCAAAUUCUGCUCCAUCUUGUUCAGCUUGUGCUCUAUUUUCUCUAACUGAAUGCUCAAAGGUGGUGCAGAUGUAGAAUGAAUAGUUGGCGGGGCAGCAAUGUCGUCGUCAAACUCAUCAUCAGAGGUAGCACCACUCCUAGCAUAAAGCUUCUUCGGAAGUUGAGUGGGUCCUGGUUCAGUAAACUGAAAUCUUCCCUCCUUGAAUUCAACCACACCUGUUCUUUCAAACACAGACAUAUCCAAAAAUUCCUCUCUUUCUCUUGUUGAGUCGCGAACGCGAGGCACCCUCCGAGAUUGGAUUCCGCAAGUGGCAAAACACUCAUGCCUUUUCCAUGCUUCGAUCUUUGUCUCACGGCUUUCAAUUUACCCGGCUGGAAUACAGGGCGUAGGCUGGUUGCGUUGCGUUGCUGCUCGGUUUGGGGCUAGUUACGCACUGCUGCUGCGUGGCUGUGUUGCGCGCAAGAGCUGGUUCGCGCUGCUGGUCUGCUGCUGCUCGGCUAUGUUGCACGCGCGGGACUGAUGCGCUGCGGGAUGGUGCUGGCUGGAUUGAUUUAGGCUGCGCGCGCGGGCUGGAGCUGAGAAUCUGCGUUGCUGGGGCUUGCGUUGCGGGUCUGUUGCGUGCUGCUCGUCUGCGUUGCGCGUGCGGAAUGGUGGUCGAUGCUGGUGCUGCGCGCGCGGGGCUUGCUUUGCGCGCUGUUGGGCUGCGAGAUGCAGGAUAGUGCUCGAUGCUUGCUAGUUCAGGCGGGCUGGUUUGCGUUGCAGGUGGGACUGAUGCGGUUGCAGCUGGUUCUGCGCGCUGGAGCUAAGGGUUGCUGCGGGAAAACGAAAAUCAACAAUGAAUUUUUUUGAAUUAGGGAUUUGUGAACAGUGAUUUUUGAUUUUUGGUUUUUUUUUUCGUUUUUUUAAAUAAAUAAAUAAAUAAAUAUAUAUAUAUAUAAGAAAGAAAAGAAGGGAAAAAAAACUUUUUUUUUCAUUUUUUUUAUAAAUAAAUAAAAAAUAUAUAUAAGAAAGAAAAUAAGGAGAAAAAAAGAAAACUCCUUUUUUUUCUUUUUUUUUUCUUUUUUUUAGUGAUGAAUCACUUUGAGACACUAAAAAUUUCAGAAGUACUUUUCUAAUAAGCACGUGGGCACGCCUUAAAACUAUUUUACUUUAAAAAUUACAGAAGUACUUAUUAGUUAAGACGUGGGCACGCCUUAUCAAAAAUUUUCUUCUGAUCAAAAUAAACAAACACAUUAUUAUAAAAAAAAAUCUGAAUCAAAAUUAAAAGAAGAUAUAACAAAAACCAAAAUAAACAAAUCAUUUGGGUUGCCUCCCAAAGAGCGCCUUUAUUUUAUGUCUUUGGCUAGACACAUUUAUGCAUCAAUCUCCAUAAUUGGGACUCUCGAGAGCCACAUCCUCCACAAUAUUCACCGAAAAACCUUCAUAAAAAGGUUUUAAGUGAUGACCGUUAACCUUAAAAACUUUGUCAGAGGUCGAACUCCGAAUCUCAACAGCACCAUGAGGAAAAACAUUAGUAACAAUAAAAGGUCCAACCCAGCAAGAUCGUAAUUUACUUGGAAAAAGUUUAAGCUUAGAAUGAAAAAGAAGAACUUUUUGACCAACAGAGAACUCCUUUCUCAAAAUCAUUCUAUCAUGAAAUGUUGUUAGAGUGCAAUUUAUGCACUAGUUUUGCAUUGUUUACUUCCCUUAAUAUCGAUGUUUUGCACUUAAUAAUAGUGAUUUACUUGUGAUUUACUUUUGUAGGUGCAAUUCUAUUGAUUGGUGAUAAAAUUCAUCCCUAAACAUCAUCUUGUAGCUCAAUUUUAUCACCAAUCAAUAGAAUUGCACCUACAAAAGUAAAUCACAAGUAAAUCACUAUUAUUAAGUGCAAAACAUCGAUAUUAAGGGAAGUAAACAAUGCAAAACUAGUGCAUAAAUUGCACUCUAACAAUAAUCCAACUUUCUCAAUGGAUUUGUCUAAUACAUUCAAUUUAUUUUUAUUCUGUACAUGUUUGGUUAAUUAUCUUGGUCUGUUAAGUUUAAGUCCAGUUGCAAGUCCCAUUUGGUUACGCAUUGUGUUCGUGUUGCUACUCAAUCCUUCAUAAAAUAGUUUAAGGUUUGGAAGUUAACUACUUUUAUUGAUUUCGUAUGACUUUUUGCUAGUUUAUCACUCACGGCAUAUAAUUAAUCAAUUCUUCCAGGCGUACCAUGACAUCUAGGACCAUAAGCAUUUGUGUGUUAAUGUAUUAAACUGAUCACUUAGAUCAAAUUUCAAUUUGGACUUGAAUUGCAGUUUUAGUGUCCUAUAUGAUUGGUCUUUCUCAAUUUUACCAAACAUAUGUUCGUUCUGAAAAUAUUAAAGUGGAUUUGAUAGUUUAAACAAUUUGAGGUUGGAUUUUGGCAGUUUGAAGUUGUAUAUUCUGGUACCAAUCAAGACAAGGAAGUGGAUGCCGAGUUUGAAACAACGAGUAGACAUCUGAAAGUCACGCCACAUUGGAUGAUCACACAAAAAUUGGACCUUACAGAGGAACAACACGGACAAAUUAAGCAGGAGCUGGAAAUGUAUAAAAUUUGAGCAGCUGUAGGAUCCAUAAAUGCAAAGAAUCAACCGGAUUAUUCGAACGAACGUACCUCUAAUGGUCUUUUUGGAAUGUCAACCAGUCAUGAAGUCCAAACGCGAAGUGGACGAGGAGGAGGCUGAUACUAAUUCUAGAAACUUCAAGAGCUUUCACUCCCAUGCCUUUUGAAUGUCUUUCUUGCUUCAGAAUUCAAAUGCAAGCUUUCCCUCUCAGUAUUUCUUCGUUGAGACAUUUUCUCGAACAGUUUUAUACUUAUGUCAAACAUCUUCUGAUAUAACUAGGAAGCCAGUAAGAUUGUUUUUCAAGUACGCUAAGCGGAAACAGUAGGCAAGGCCUUUGUCAUUAUAUCUGCCACUUGAUUUUUUCUGCCCACAUUCUUCUUAUUCAAUUCGUUUGUUCCAAUUUUGUCCCUAAUGAAGUGGUCUUAUAUCUCUAUACACUUUGCUCUUCCAUGAAAGACUAGAUUCUCUGCAAGUGCUAUUGCACUCUUGUUGUCACAUCACAACAGAGGAAUAAUUAAACAUACAAGGAUCUUAACCAGCUGAUCAUUUCUGCCGCUACAUGAGACAGGGCUCUGUAUUAUACUUUUGUACUUGAUUUUGAGACCACCUUUUGAUUCUUGGAGCUACAUGAGAUCAGAUUUCUUGCGGGGUAAAAAUAUUCAUGAAAACCCUCAAGUAUUUAUGACAUUUAAAUAAAAAUAGAGUUUGAUUUUUCUUUCAAGUAUGUUCCUACAUUAAUAUCUACUUAAAAACUGACAAUAUCAUUUAAAAAAAAUUAUUCUUCCACCUUUAAAAUUCAAUAUUAAAGAGUAAUUUGUCAUUUUUAAUUAGAGUUAGAGGCUUGUUUUAUUAUAUAUAUAAAAUCAUUCUCAGAUGCAAUAGUCCUCAUUUUUUUGUGCAGAUACACUAUUAAACCACGCAGUUCAAAAGUUAAUUAAAAUGAAUGGUUUAACAGUGUGUUUAUAUAAAAAAAAAUAAUAAUAAGGGCCUCGACAUUAGAGAUUAUAUAUAUUAUUCUAAUUAGGGAUCCCUAACCAUAUUAAAGUCAGGGGACAAGUUAAAAAAUAAAAAAUAAAAAUUUCAAUGUAUUUUGUCAUAUAAUGUAUUGAAAUCUGUAUUUUCUUUUGUCUUUUAUGCUGUGUUUACUUUUUGGAUUGGAGUGGGAAUCUUGAGAAGUGGAAAUCCUUGGAUUAGGAGUGUGGAGUGGGAGUGGGAGUAGGGUGUUUACUUAGACUAAAUGAAAGUAUGGAUUGUCAAUCAGAAUCCCAAUUAUUUGUUUACUUUGUCUUGGAUUGACAGUAAAUUGUUUUAAAUUAUAAUUUUAUCCUUAUGUAUAGAAUUAUAAUUUGUAAUUAAAAAAUUAAUAAAAAAUAUAUUUGGAAAAUAAAAUAAAUAUUUUAUUAUAUUUAUAAAUUAAUAAUAAUUACUAAUAUUCUUAAUUAUGUAAAUCAUAAUUUUUUAUUAAUUUUAAUUUAAAUUAUGUGAAUAAAAAUUAUUAAUAAUAGCAACACAAAUGAAAUAUUAUUAUUGAUAAUAUAGUACAAAAUUAAUAUUUUUUUAGAAUAAAAUAUUUAUUAUUAUUAAAUAAAUAAUUAAUAUUUAUUAAAAUUAAUUUUUAAUAUUAUUAAUUUAAAUAUAAUAUUUAUUUAUUUUUAUUUUAUUAAAUUUAAUAAAAUAAAUAUGAUAUAAUUAUUAUUUUUAAUAAAUAUUAUUUAUUUAUUUUAUUAAAUAUUAUUUAUUUUAUUUAUAAGGAUAAAAUGGGAAGAGGGGGGAGGGGAUUCCCACUCUCACCUCCCCCCAUGGGAGUGGGAAUCCCACUUCCCACUCCAAAAUUGGGUGGGACUCACAGAUUCCCACUCCCACUCCCCCCUUGUUUAAGGUAAGUAAACACUGGAGUGGGAGGAAUCCACACUCCACACUCCCACUCCAAAAAAUAAACACUGCCUUAGUUUAUCCCUAUUUUAAUAUGGUUGAAGAUUCGUAAUUAGAAACCCACUCUAAUUAUCUAUGUAUUUACUAUUUUUAAUACAUUCGCACAAAUAUUUAUAUACAAUAAAUGUAUUACUUAGCCCUGCCUGAUAAAAGAUCCCGGGUCCGGCUCUGAAGGAAGAUGCAAUAUCCUCCUGCUGACGCUUCAUUAACCUUUUUCCUUUCAUUUUAAACUUUCUGAAUUAUUGCCUUUCGUAAUUCUCAUAUCAUGCAUUGAGUAUUUAUCUAACUAUGAAAUUAAUUUGAUUAAUAGAGUAUGUUAUAGAAGGACGGGUAUCUAUUAAAAGUGAUGUUGUCGCGGAAUUGAGCUUGAAGUGUUGGAUUAAUGACUUGUUACCUAUUUCAUUGAUGGAAUUGUUGUGGACAUAAAUCUGCUAAGUGGAGAGGAAAGACAUUUUUGCUGUAAAGAAGCAAUGUGUGCUGUCUAUGGGAGCUGUAAUGAGUGGACUCUUCAACAAUGUACAAUAUUAUACAGUAUAUACAAAGACACACUAUCACACUAAAAAAUCUUGAGUUGACUCCUUAAUUUAUUUCAUCAAUCCCCACUUUUGAGUUAAUAUUAUUUAUCUUAAGAUUGUCCUUAAUGAAAAAUAAAAAUAAUUAAAAAAAUAAAUAUUUUUUCAUUCUAUCAAGUUCUUAGUAGAUUAAAUUCUUAUCUCUCACAAUUCUCUCAUCUUUUAAUUUAUUCAUAAUUUGAAUCAAAUAUUAACUCUUGAUCAAACCCCAAAUUAAAAUAAACAAAAUAUUAGAUUAUCACGUAAAAUCAAAACCAGUAUUAUCAAUAACAACAAAAAUCACCGCUUAUCCAUUAAAUUUAACAAAAACCAACAUUUAAAUUCAUCAAAUAUUGGCAGAGGUAGUGGAUUCAAGGUGAAGAAAAUAGAUGAUGGGAACGAACUCGUUGUUGAUGAAGUGGUGGGGGUGAUAAUUAUAUACGAGGGAGGGGAAGGUAGAGACAGAAUAAAAUAAUUUUUUUUUUGUUUCAAUAGAGAUAAUUCUACAAAAUAAUAAGAUUAAUUGAUAAGCGGGGUUGAUGAGAUAAUUUGAGGGGUUCAAAUAUCAUUACUCAUAUCCAUUUACAUGAAGCUAAUUAAAAAUAGUGAAGUAAUUAAAUACGCUAAUCAUACACAGCUGCCAUGUUAACUAUUAAAACAGCCUAAUGAGCUUAGCCUCAGUUUGAUCCUCUCCGUUGAUCUGCCAUUCCUAUCAUCACUACUUGCCACCUCGCAUUGUAUCAAAUCUCUUCUGUGUCCUCAUUGUACCCUCUCUUCGUAACACAUAAGCAGAAUCUAUUCUUGUACCAAAUUACCAAAUUACCACAAAACUGUUAGAGAGUCGGUGUGAUUUACUUACUGUUAAAUAAUAAAGAGAGUAAUUUUCUUUUUUUAAAUUUGAAUCUACCCGCCACUUCCAAGACAGAGAAAGCGUCGUCGUUUUAUGAUGGCUCCAUCAUCAUUUCCAUCUCCUCUCGAACGCACUGUCGCUUCAGCUCUUCUCCUGCUCUCCGUCUCCAAUCAAUCUCCCUCUCUCUCUUCCCCACUGUAAGACCUUCAUUAUUUCACUCUCAAAACUGUUUUUGUUUCUUAUUUGUUUUUCCUUAUUGAUUUGUUUGAUGUUUGUUUAAUGCAACGUGUAGGUUCGACACAGAUGGUGAAUUACUGCUGAAGAGCAAGAGCAGCAGCCGGGACGAAGAGAGCGUGAGCUUACUGUCGAGUGGAGAUUCAAAACGGUGCGUUUCGACGGUUACUAGUGAAGAUGCCUCCUCCAGUGAGAUCCGAGCUCACAAGCUGAGGAUCAUCGCUGUUGUGGCUCGCUGUCAUGAAGUGAAACUCAAGGUACAUGUUCUUCUGUUUGGUUUAAUAUAUAUGAUUAUGUAAAUGGUUUCGUAGUUCUUAGUUUGAAUUUGAUCUGAAAUUUUUUGUUUGAUAAUAAAAUGAAAUCACAUCUCUGUUUUCUACUUCGUAAACAGUCAUCUCUUCGGAAUCAAUUUUUUUGUUGUUCGUGUUGAAUUUUAUCAAAAGUGAUCAUUAAAACUUGUUUUUCUCAAAUUUAUGUUUGAUCUCUCAGUUUUUUUUUUUUUCUCGACUCUUCAAUUCAAUUUCACUGGAAAUUUACUAGAAGAUUCAAAUUCUGCUCUGUUUGGACCUGUUUCGUUUUGAAUUCUCGUAAUCAUUUGAAGGCUCAAGCUACUUAAAUUUUGUUAAAACUGUAGAACCUGAAGGGCACUUCAGUUGCUCAAACACCUUCAGCCUCUGCCCAAGAUUCAAGAUCAGAUUCCUAGAUGCUUGACUAUAGAUGACUUGAAAAAGGUUUAACCAAGAACUUCAAGUGAACAGAACAAUCAAUGGUUUAAGAAUCAAAGAAUCGAAAGAAACUAAAGAAUAAAGAACAGAAGAGAUUUAACGUGGUUCAGCUAAAACACUUAGCUUACAUCCACGGAGGAACAAGACUUCAGGCUUUUAUUGAAUGAACUCAAGAUUACAGAGAAUUACAGAUUGUAUCUCAUGGAAAAUUACCACCCUUAAACCCAGGAGUAACCCCCCUUUUAUACUCAUAAAUUGUAGCCAACUCUCUGCACCAGAAUCAGCUCCUUUUCAGUUGCUGAUAACUUCCUGGAAACUAAUCCCAGAUGCUCACGUGCAAGCCAUGCUUCAUUAACGACUUUAACCGCUUCUUUCAUUCGAAUCCAUUCACGUGAGUCUCAGGUGUUUCACUUAAGUCAAACGACAUUCCAAGACAUCGUUUCACUUAGCUUUGGUUUACACUCCGAAACGCACUCCCUCAAGUCGUUUUGAAUGUCACUGAAUUGCUUUCACUGGUUACUUUACAAAUCUCCACCUUGAAACAAUUCAUCCCUGUCAAUCUUUCUCCUCAACUUCAUGCAAGUUACAAACUGCAUAUUUCAGCUAUGUCCAAGCAGGUCUUAAACUUAGCUGAGGGUACCACCUUUGUAAGCAUAUCUGCAGGGUUGUUGCUGGUAUGUAUUUUUACCAUUUUUACAACUCCUUUUGAUAUUACAUUCCUUAUGAAAUGCAACUUAAUGUCGAUAUGCUUGGUCUUCUCAUGAUGAGCUGGAUUUUUGCUCAAGUAAAUGGCACUUGAGCUGUCACAGUGAAUAUCAACAACCUUCUGAGGUAUUCCUAACUCACUGAUUAAGCCUUUAAGCCAUAAAGCCUCCUUUACAGCUUCUGAGACUGCAGUAUACUCAGCCUCUGUAGUUGAUAAAGCCACUACAUGUUGCAAGCUUGCUUUCCAGCUUAUCAGACAUCCAUUCAACAUGAACAUGUAUCCAGUUUGUGACCUCCUUCUGUCCAGAUCUCCAGCAUAAUCAGAGUCAACAUAGCCCCAUAAACCAGCUUCAUUUAACUCUUGAUUCUUUCCAUAUAGCAACCCAAACUCCAAAGUUCCAUUUAGGUAUCUCAGCACCCAUUUAGCUGCCUUCCAAUGCUCUUUUCCAGGUGAAGCCAUAUACCUGCUUAUCAAGCUUAGAGCAUGUGAAAUAUAUGGUCUUGUGAGGACCAUUGCAUACAUCAUACACCCUACUGCAUUGGCAUAGGGUACCUUAGACAUCUCUUGCCUUUCUUCACUUGACUUUGGACACUGCUGGUUUGAGAGUUUAAAAUGAGAGGCUAGAGGUGUUAUCACUGGUUUACAGUUGCUCAUUCCAAAGGUAUUAAGUACUUUUUCCAAGUACUUCUUCUGAGACAAAAACAUAGUUCCCUUCCUUCAGUCUCUUGUUAUUUCUAUUCCCAAAAUCUUCUUGGCAUGACCCAGAUCCUUCAUAUCAAACUCAGAGUUCAGCAUCUAUUUUAAGGCUUCAACUUCUUUCCUCACUUUACAAGCAAUCAACAUAUCAUCAACAUAUAGUAGCAAGUAUAUGUGAUGAUCUGAAUCUAUUUGCUUGUAGUAUACACAACAAUCAAAAUUGCACCUCAUAAAUCCAUGUGAAAUCAUGAAUUCAUCAAACCUGAGGUACCAUUGCCUUGGGGACUGCUUUAAGCCAUACAAUGACUUCUUCAGCAAGCACACAUGGUCAGGGUAUUUAGAGCUUUCAAAACCUUCAGGUUGAGUCAUUAAAAUCUCCUCCUGUAGUCUCCCAUGUAAGAAAGCUGUUUUAACAUCAAGUUGAUCAAGCUCCAUGUCAUAUACAGCUGUUAGAGCUAACAAAACUCUUAUGGAAACAUGUCUGACCACUGGAGAGAAGACUUCCUUAAAAUCAACUCCUUCCUGCUGUGUAUAUCCCUUUGCUACUAACCUAGCUUUGAAUCUCCUAGGUUCAUCAGUUGUCGGCCCUUCUUUUACCUUGAAAAUCAAUUUGCACCCCACAAUCCUUCUUUUCUCAGGUUUCUUUACCAAUUCCCAGGUGUUGUUCUUGUACAGUGAGUCCAUUUAAUCUUCCAUAGUCCUCUGCCACUCUGAUUUAUAUGAACUCUUCAUAGCCUCUCUAUAGCUUGUUGGCUCAUUUUCCUCAAUCUCAUGUGAUGCUGCCAGUGCAUAUGCAAUGAGGUCUGCAUAACCAUAUCUUUGUGGAGGUCUUAUCUGUCUUCUCUCUCUAUCUUUGACCAGGUGAUAGUCUCUAAGUUGGGUUUGAGUGUGCUGUUGAGAUUGUGGCUCAGUGUUUCCACUACUGUCAUCUUUAUCUCCAUUAGAAUCUAUAGCUUCUUGUGAGGAUUUUAGAUUUGGAUGCUCCACCUCAAAAUGUAUACUCUCUGGAGUUUUAGUCUGAGGUUUAGUACCAUUUUCUUGUAGCUUUUUCUUGAGCACAGUCUCUUCAUUAAAGAUCACAUCCCUGCUGAUGAUGCACCUUGGUGGGGAUAGGUCUGUGCACCAUAACUUGUAACCCUUUACACCCUCUGGAUACCCGAUAAACUUCCCUUUCAGAGCUCUUGGAGAUAACUUCCCUUGCUUUACAUGUGCAUAAGCAUCACAUCCAAAAGCCUUAAGCUCUAUAUAGUUACCAGGUUUUCCAGACCACAUUUCUGAUGGUGUUUUAAAGUCAAUUGCAGCAGAUGGGCUAAGGUUCACCAAAAAACAGGCAGUCAGCAAGGUUUCUGCCCAUAGCCCUUUAGGAAGUUGGGACUGUAUCAUCAUGCAUCUGACUUUAUCCAUUAAAGUCCUGUUCAUCCUUUCAGCUAGGCCAUUUUGCUAUGGGGUUAACCUUACUAUUCUAUGUCUUGCAAUCCCUUCAUUUGCACAGAAACUGUCAAACUCUUGAUUACAAUACUCAAGGCCAUUGUCUGUUCUUAGUUUCUUAACCCUUUUCUCAGUUUGAUUUUCAACCAAUGCUUUCCACUCUUUAAAUUUCCCAAACACCUGAUCUUUACUUUUCAGCACAUACACCCACACUCUCCUAGAGUAGUCAUCUAUCAUUGUCAUAAAAUAUCUAUUUCCACCCAAAGAUGGAACCUGAGAAGGUCCCCAUAAGUCUGAAUGUAUAUAUUGCAGAAUCUCAGAUGUCUUAUGUAUAGAUUUCUUGAAGUUAUUCCUAGUGGAUUUACCUAGAAUGCAUUCUUCACAGAACACUAGCUCCCCAAUCUUAUCUUUCCCCAGAACACUCUGCUUAUUAAGUUCUUUCAGGCCUUUAAUACUCAUAUGCCCAAGUCUUAAGUGCCAUAGAGUAGUUUUAUCUAUGUCAGUGCUUUCAAUGGCAUUAGAGACCCCUGUUACAGACUCCCCAUCUAAGACAUAAACCCCAUUCUUUCUGGUCCCUUUCAUAACCAGUGCAGAUCUAUUAAGAAUCUUCAAUUCACCUGAUUCAAGCUUAAUGCUACAUCCCAUUUGAUCUAUCAUUCCUAAAGAAAUCAAAUUCCUUUUAAGUUCUGGAACAUGCCUAACUUGUCUGAUUUCUUUUACAGACCCAUCAUGUACCUUAAGAUGAAUUUUACCAAUCCCAAUGAUUUUACACACUGAAUUAUUACCCAUCAUUACUCUUCCUCCAUCAAAGUCUUGAUAAUUAGAAAAAUAACCCUUAUAUGGACUCAUAUAAAAUGUGCAACUAGAGUCAAGAAUCCACUUACCCUUUUGCAUAUCCUCAGUAGCAACACACACACCUGCUGACUCAUAGCCAUCUUCUUCUUCUUCAGCUGUAGCUGCAUUCCCAACCCUCUCCUUAUUCUUGUGCUUUAAGUCUGGGCAAUCCUUCUUGAAAUGUCCUUCCUUAUGGCAAUGGAAACAUUUCAAGUCUUUUGGCUUGGUCUUGGAUUUGGACUGCUUCUGAUUCUUUGCUGCAUUCUUAUUCUUUUCAAACUUCCCCUUUACUGUUAACCCAACUCCACUUUCUAUACUCACAGACUUUUGUUGCAACCCUCUAGUAUUUAAGGCUGCAUUUACCUCAUCCAGGGACAGUGUCUGCCUCCCAUACAUUAGGGCAUCCACAAAAUUAGAGUAUGAUUGUGGAAGUGAGCUUACCAAGAGCAGAGCUUUACUUUCAUCACUGAGGCUUUCAUCAAUUGUCUCCAGGGUGUCACACACUCUAUUGAAUUCAUCUAUAUGAUCAUCAAGAGAGGAUCCCUCUGCCAUCUUUAGAGUAAACAUCCUUUUCUUUAUAUGCAAUCUGUUGGUGUUAGAGUGCAAUUUAUGCACUAGUUUUGCAUUGUUUACUUCCCUUAAUAUCGAUGUUUUGCACUUAAUAAUAGUGAUUUACUUGUGAUUUACUUUUGUAGGAGCAAUUCUAUUGAUUGGUGAUAAAAUUGAGCUACAAGAUGAUGUUUAGGGAUGAUUGUUCCCUUGGAGAAAUUAUGAGCGGCAGAAGAACUUUGUUGAUAAGGCGUGGGCGCGUGCUGUCAGCUGCGGACCUACAUUUUUAGUUUAACGUGUUUUAUAUUUUUGGUUAUUUUUGUAAUUACGAAUUUAAUAUUUCAUAUAUUAGUAUUUUAUUUUAAAUAGAAUUCUAGAGGAGAAGAGAGAGAGAAUAUUUAACGGAGGAAUCUAUUGUGAAAAAGAGGGAUUUUUUGGGGGAUUGGAGAAAAAGAAAAAAACCCUAGAUUUAAUUUUCCUCUUCUCUCUAUGAAGAACUAAACCUAUUUUUCUGGUUGAAGGAUAAUGAAGCUUUGAUUCAUCACUACUGUGAGAUCUUUCUUGUGCUUUAAUUGUUUUAUUACUUUUUGGGUAUUUGUUUAUUCUCUGAAUUAUUUUUAUGAUUAUGUUUGUUAAUUAGGUAAUUGGCCACUAUUUAAUUAUCAACUUAAUCUAUUGUCAAUUAAAGGAUUCAUCGUAUGGAGAAUUUAAUGUUGGUGACAAAUAACAUAGCAGAGAGUUGUGUUGUGAGAAUAAACAAUCUAAUUUAAAUGAAUCAUCAUAUGUGUUGAUUAGGAUUUGGGUCUCUCUGGUUUUUCAGGCUGUCAAUUGAUUAAAUCCUAUGAUCGUAUCUAGGGUUGUCUAUUGAUUAGGGAAAUAACCAACGGUCGUACCUUGGUUAUCGACUAGUUAAGGAGAGAUUGGCUAUUAGAGGGUCUCAGUAGCUAUAACCGGUCUAUUCAUAAGUAAUAAUAAUCUAUAUUUGAAUCAAUGAUCAGUAGUCGAAUCAAGCUGAGUUAAUUCCUUCAACCAGAGCUUUCUCCAAUUUGAAUUACAACUUUAAUUUGCAUUCUUGUUAUUUUAAUUUGAUUUUAUUAUUGUCAACAAUUCCCCCAUUUUACGUUUUACGUUUCAAAAGGAUUUAAAUAAUUACCGAUCUCUGUGGACACGACCCUGCUCAAUCACUAUACACAAUUUAUUUAGAGUAUGAAUUUAUUUUUGUUGGCUUCGACACCCAUCAAAUUUUGGCGCUGUUGCCGGGGAUUGGUGUCAUUUAUUUAAUCCUUUUUACGUUUUACUUGGUGUAUGGUUCGUUCUUCUCGUACAGGUACACUUUCGUUUGAUCCUGAAAUUGAGAAGACAGCUUGCCAGCUGAGACAGCAGACUAAGCAAGCUAAGCAACGAUCCUCGUCGCCUUUGCUUUUUGAAACAGAUACGGUGCCUAAUUUAGUUGAAUCAUCUAGCGAUUCGGAAGAACAAGUGAUGGAUAGACCUGCACCUGUAGAAAGAACUCUUAGAGAGUUAGCUGAACCAGACUUGAAUCAGCAACCACUCUGCAUUCAUUAUGUAGAUUUGGAGGUAAAUUUUGAAUUAAAGUCUGGUCUUAUUCAUUUAUUACCCAAGUUUCAUGGUUUUGCAGGUGAAGAUCCUCAUAAACAUCUUAACGAGUUUCAUGUUGUGUGUUCAAGUAUGAGACCACAAGGCGUGACUGAAGAGCAUAUUAAGCUGCGUGCUUUUCCGUUCUCUGUAGAUGGGCUAGCUAAAGACUGGUUGUACUACUUGCCUCCUGGAUCGAUUACAACGUGGAAUGAUUUAAAGAAGCAGUUCCUCGAGAAGUACUUUCCUGCUUCAAGAGCUGCUAACAUCAGAAAAGACAUUUGUGGGAUCAGACAACUUCCUGGGGAGACUUUGUAUGAGUAUUGGGAGCGAUUCAAACAAUUGUGUGCCAGCUGUCCUCAGCAUCAGAUUUCUCAUCAACUUCUUAUUCAAUAUUUUUACGAAGGAUUGUCAUUGAUGGAUAGGAGUAUGAUAGAUGCUGCUAGUGGAGGCAUGUUGGUGAACAAGACCCCUAGUCAAGCAAGGGAGUUGAUAUCAAAUAUGGCUGCCAAUGCACAACAAUUUGGCAGCAGGCAAGAUCUCACUUCAAGGAAGGUGAAUGAGGUAAAUAUUUCUUCUGUUGAACAACGUUUAGAUAAACUUACUUCUCUUGUGGAAAAGUUUGUUGUAGGUAAUGUGCAACAGGUGAAGACUUGUGGCAUUUGUUACAAUAUGGAUCAUUCAACUGAUAUGUGUCCUACACUUCAAGAAGAACUCAUUGAACAAGCCAAUGCAGUUGGAGGAUUUCCAGGCAUGCCUCAGAGGAGGUAUGAUCCUUAUGCACAAACAUACAAUCUGGGAUGGAAGGAUCAUCCCAACUUCAGCUAUGGAGUUAAGCCGUCAGGAUUCCCACAACAGUAUCCACCAAGACAACCAACACCUCCACAGUCAAACUCCAAGUCAGGUAUAUCUCUUGAAGAAAUUGUUAAAUCACUUGCGACUAACACUCAACAAUUUCAGCAGGCAACUACAGCAAGCAUUCAAAACUUGGAUAACCAAAUGAGUCAAUUGGCGACUACAGUGAGCCGUCUGGAGUCUCAAGUAUGAGGGAGAUUGCCUUCACAAUCUGAGGUGAAUCCAAAGCAAAACGUUAGUGCUGUCAUCCUUAGAAGUGGGAAGGAGUUGCAAGAGCCUAGUAAGAAAGUGAAAAAGUAUGUAGAAGAUGAGUUUGAGAAGAAUGAAUUGAUGCCUCAAUCUCAAGAUGCGGAACCCACCAGAGCGAAACCCCUACCUAUUGUGAUACCUCCUCCUUUUCCAAGCCGGUUUGCAAAAUCCAAAAAGGAGGAACAAGAGAAAGAUAUCCUUGAGACAUUUCGCAAGGUUGAGGUAAAUAUCCCUUUAUUAGAUGCUAUAAAACAAAUACCUCGAUAUGCUAAAGUCCUUAAGGAACUGUGCACCUCUAAGAGAAAAUUAAGAGGAGAUGAAAAAGUUCACAUGGGGGAGAAUGUUUCAGCAGUUCUCCAAAAGAAACUACCUCCUAAAUGCAAGGAUCCAGGUAUGUUUACUAUACCUUGUAAAAUUGGUAGUGUUAGAAUUGAAAAGGCUUUGUUAGAUCUAGGAGCUUCUAUUAAUGUCAUGCCUCGUUCUAUUUAUUCAUCUUUGAAUAUUGGUCCAUUAAAAGAAACUGGCGUGAUAAUUCAACUAGCUGAUAGGUCUAAUGCAUAUCCUAAUGGGAUAUUAGAAGAUGUCUUAGUACAAGUUAAUGAGUUGGUUUUUCCUGCUGAUUUUUAUGUACUUGAUAUGGAAGAUGAUAACUCCUCUAAUUCUGUCCCAAUUUUGCUAGGAAGACCUUUUCUUAAGACUGCUAGGACUAAAAUGGAUGUACAUAAAGGGACUCUCACUAUGGAGUUUGAUGGAGAGGUUAUAGAAUUCAAUAUGAAUGAUACCAUGAAAUAUCCUAGUGAGGAACAUUCAGUAUUUUUUGUGGAUGUUAUUAACCCUAUAGCGCAGGAAAUUUUUUACAAGGAAAAGACGAAGACAUUUCAUGAUAGAAUGAUUUUGAGAAAGGAGUUCUCUGUUGGUCAAAAAGUUCUUCUUUUUCAUUCUAAGCUUAAACUUUUUCUGGGUAAAUUAUGUUCUUACUGGGUUGGACCUUUUAUUGUUACUAAUGUUUUUCCUCAUGGUGCAGUUGAGAUUCGGAGUCCGACCUCUGACAAAGUUUUUAAGGUUAAUGGUCAUCGCUUAAAACCUUUUUAUGAAGGUUUUUCGGUGAAUAUUGUGGAGGAUGUGGCUCUCGAGAGUCCCAAUUAUGGAGAUUGAUGCAUAAAUGUGUCUAGCCAAAGACAUAAAACAAAGGCGAUUUUGGGAGGCAACCCAAAUGAUUUAUUUAUUUUGGUUUUUGUUAUAUCUUCUUUUAAUUUUGAUUCAGAUUUUUUUUAAAAAUAAUGUGUUUGCUUAUUUUGGCCAGAAGAAAAUUUUUGAUAAGGCGUGCCCAGGUCUUAACUAAAAAGUACUUCUGUAAUUUUUAAAGUAAAAUAGUUUUAAGGCGUGCCCACGUGCUUAUUAAAAAAAUACUUCUGAAAUUUUUGGUGUCUCAAAGUGUUUCAUCACUAAAAAAAAAAAAAAUCUUUUUUUAAUUUAAUUUAAUUUAUUUUUUAUUUAAAAAAAAUGAAAAAAAAAAGAGAUUUUCUUUUGUUCUUUCUUUUAUAUAUAUAUUUAUUUAUUUAUUAAAAAAAAAAACCAAAAAUCGAAAAUCAUUGUUCACAAAUCCCUAAUUCAAAAAUUACUGUUGAUUAUCGUUUUACAGCAGCGCGCCUCAGCUCCAGCCUUCACCCCGCAAUGCAAGCAGCAGCCAGUGCGAACCAGUCGCGUGCAACGCAAGCCCCAGCAACCCAGAUUCUCAGCUCCAGCCGUGCGCAACGUAGCUGAGCAGCAGCAAACCAGCAGUGCGAACCAGCUCUCGCGCGCAAUACAACGCGAACGCAGCAGUGCGUAGAUCCAGCCCAGCAACGCAGCACGAACCACCAGCGCGCAACGCAAGCCCCCGCGCGCGCAACACCAGCAUCCCGUGUCUCGCAGCCCAGUAGCGCGAACCACCAGCGCGCAGCGCAACGCAGCACCCGCAAAGCAAGCCUCACCAGCGCGCAACGCAAGCCCGCAACGCAGCAACGAGCACACCCUGCAACGCAACCAGCUUACGCCCUGUAUUCCAGCCGGGUAAAUCGAAAUUCGUGAGUGCAAUUAUUGUAACAAUGCCGAAGAGGAAAGCAUCCACUUCCAAGUCAUCGAAAAAGACACCCAUCGUAAAGAAAUCUAAGAUUGCCGCUCCCACUACGGUUCCAUGGAACACAAUUUCAGAUUCACGCCAAGCCGUGAGACAAAGAUCGAAGCAUGGAAAAGGCAUGAGUGUUUUGCCACUUGCGGAAUCCAAUCUCGGAGGGUGCCUUGCGUUCGCGACUCAACAAGAGAAAGAGAGGUACAAAGAUAUUUCCAUGCGCAAAAUACUUCCAGCUAAGUAUAUUCAUUACCCGACUCUUGAAAAAUUGAAUGUUAAGGAUAAUUUUGAUUCUUUGAUAGAUAAGAUUGGGUUGCGUAUAUUUGUUAAUGUUGAUUGUUUGGGUUAUGUUGAGUUGAUUAGGGAGUUUUAUGCUACUUUUCAAUUUAAUAUGCCGAAUGAUUUUACUUUGCAUACCCCGGAUGUCAUUAAGUUUAGGUUAAUGGGAUGAAAUUUUUCACACUCUAUCACGGAUUUUAACCUAGCUUUAGGAUUCAUUGAUGAUGAUUAUUCUUCUAGUGAUGCAUAUUUAGGAACAACUUGUGACUUUAGCGGAAAUUUUGAGCCUUAUGGUCUUUGGCAUAAUUUAUCUGUUGAUCACAAUGCCUAUGACCCGAGUAAAUCAAAAAGUUCUUUCUUACGUGAUCCUGUUUUGAAAUGUGUGCAUCGAUUCUUAGCAUAUAAUUUUUUAGGCAAGAAAGAUCACUCAGGAGUUUUCUCUAAAACUGAAUUUUAUUUUAUCUGGUGCAUGUUAAAUGAUGUGAGGCCUAAUUUAGGUUUUUGGUUAGCGGAUCAAUUUCAAAGUGUGCUUAAACGGUAUAGGACUUUAUUUCUUGGUCCAUACAUAACUCUGUUAGCUAUAAACCUAUGUGUGCUUGAUCCCGACAAUAAUGAUUUGCAUCCUGCUUGCAAAAAGGAAUUUUUGGAUAUGUCUGUGUUUGCAAGAACAGGUGUGGUUGAAUUCAAGGAGGGGAGAUUUCAGUUUACUGAACCAGGACCCACUCAACUUCCGAAGAAGCUUUAUGCUAGGAGUGGUGCUACCUCUGAUGACGAGUUUGACGACGACACUGCUGCCCCGCCAACUAUUCCUUCUACAUCCGCACCACCUUUGAGUAUUCAGUUAGAGAAAAUGGAGCACAAGCUGAACAAGAUGGAGCAGAAUUUGGCCGCAUACUUCGAGAGUGUGGGAUUUACCCCACCAUUUCCGCCAAGCCCAUAGACGUUAUGUGGAUCAAAGCUCACAAUUCAGGGAAGUUUCUUUUUGCCCUUAAUCUUUUAUCCUUACGCUUUAAUUUUUAUGUGAGCUUUGAUUAUCUUACAUUGGGGACAAUGUAAGUUCUUGGUGUGGGGGAGGGAUUUUUGCAUUAUUGAUGCCUGGAAUUAUUAUUUUCACUCUACUCAUCUAUUUUCACUCUACUCAUCCUUAAAUGAUUUUGGAGUUAGCAUGCUUCAUAUAUUAUUAUUUUUCUUUUCUUUUCCUUCUCACUACUUUUUUCCCAUCUAUCUCAAAUUAUUCAUGUCUAUUUUUAUUUUAUUAUACUCUUUCAUCACUCACAUUUUAUCUUUCACUUUUCAUAUUACUACAUACAUCUUUCUCGCUUAUUAUCCUUUUUACCUUUCCUUUUAUAUCUCACUCAUACUUUCUUCUCAUUCUACACCAUUAUUGAUGGUUGAUUCAUUUGAAGAGUGUACAGGAUUUGAUGGCAAAUUUACCAACUUUGUGAGGAUUUGAGCCUAUGAGCAACCACUUUGCUCUAAUUAUUUUUAUUAUGUGAAUAUCAAUCCUAGUUUGUUUAUUCUAGAACUUGCUUUAUUAUGCAUGUUGAAGCCACAUUACGGGAUUUUAUGCAUUAAAAUGAUAAGGGCAAACCAUUUACCAUUUUUCUAUUCUCGCAUUUUCCUUUUUCUCUACCCGAAGACCUUUAUUUGCUACCUUUGUUUGAGCCUUAACAAUUACCCAUCUAAUUCUCUCCGUCUACUUAACCAUUUUUCUUCUUUUUUGAGCCUUAAUUUAAGGAGAUUUUUGGACUCAUUGUGUGGAUAUAUUUUGUUGCUUUUUCUACCUUGUAAUAAAGUUUCUCAAUUAGAUCAACAAGCAUUAUGCUUGAAUUAAAUUGUACAAGGUUCGUUUCUUUUGUUUGAUUCAUCACUAAAAAAAAAACAAAAACAAAAACAAAAGAAAAAAAAGAAAAAGAAAAAUCACAAAAAAAAAAUGUUUACAUUCUUGGUGACUUGAGUAGAAAUAAGCAUUUUGAUAUCAUAAGUUCAUUCAAUGAGUUCAUUUUUCUCGUUUUGAUCUCUUUUUCUUUCGUAAACCUUUCUUUUUCAUUUAACCUAUUUAACCCCAUUACAACCCUUUUAAGACCCUUAGAUUUUUGCACUUUAUUCAUGUUUUGUGGAUUGAGAUGUGAUAUAUGAGCAAGCUUAUGGUAAUAGCAUUCUUUGAUUUGAUUUGAGUGGAUAAAUGACACCCUAAACACUUUGAGUGCAUGGAGUGAAGUUAUUGAGAGGGCUAUUAAAUCUUGUUGCACUUGAAUUUUGAAUGGAUCUUCUUGGUGGUUGAAUGUUCUUAUUCUAUCUUAUGAAAUUCUAUGCUUUAAAAUCCUUGUCUCUCAAAUGUUGAUCGACUUAAUUUCUUGAGAUAUGCCUGCUUAAAAUUGUUUUUGGAUGAGUUGAGAUGAGAAUUGAGUGGAGAUUUGGAAUUAAUCUUGAGUUAUAUGCUUGAGGACAAGCAUCAUCUUGGUGUGGGGGAAUUUGUUAGAGUGCAAUUUAUGCACUAGUUUUGCAUUGUUUACUUCCCUUAAUAUCGAUGUUUUGCACUUAAUAAUAGUGAUUUACUUGUGAUUUACUUUUGUAGGUGCAAUUCUAUUGAUUGGUGAUAAAAUUGAGCUACAAGAUGAUGUUUAGGGAUGAUUGUUCCCUUGGAGAAAUUAUGAGCGGCAGAAGAACUUUGUUGAUAAGGCGUGGGCGCGUGCUGUCAGCUGCAGACCUACAGUUUUUAGUUUAACGUGUUUUAUAUUUUUGGUUAUUUUUGUAAUUACGAAUUUAAUAUUUCAAAUAUUAGUAUUUUAUUUUAAAUAGAAUUCUAGAGGAGAAGAGAGAGAGAGUAUUUAAGGGAGGAAUCUAUUGUGAAAAAUGGGGAUUUUUUGGGGGAUUGGAGAAAAGAAAGAAACCCUAGAUUUAAUUUUGCUCUUCUCUCUAUGAAGAACUAAACCUAUUUUUCUGGUUGAAGGAUAAUGAAGCUUUGAUUCAUCACUACUGUGAGAUCUUUCUUGUGCUUUAAUUGUUUUAUUGCUUUUUGGGUAUUUGUUUAUUCUCUGAAUUAUUUUUAUGAUUAUGUUUGUUAAUUAGGUAAUUGGCCACUAUUUAAUUAUCAACUUAAUCUAUUGUCAAUUAAAGGAUUCAUCGUAUGGAGAAUUUAAUGUUGGUGACAAAUAACAUAGCAGAGAGUUGUGUUGUGAGAAUAAACAAUCUAAUUUAAAUGAAUCAUCAUAUGUGUUGAUUAAGAUUUGGGUCUCUCUGGUUUUUCAGGCUGUCAAUUGAUUAAAUCCUAUGAUCGUAUCUAGGGUUGUCUAUUGAUUAGGGAAAUAACCAACGGUCGUUCCUUGGUUAUCGACUAGUUAAGGAGAGAUUGGCUAUUAGAGGGUCUUAGUAGCUAUAACCGGUCUAUUCAUAAGUAGUAAUAAUCUAUAUUUGAAUCAAUGAUCAGUAGUCGAAUCAAGCUGAGUUAAUUCCUUCAACCAGAGCUUUCUCCAAUUUGAAUUACAACUUUAAUUUGCAUUCUUGUUAUUUUAAUUUGAUUUUAUUAUUGUCAACAAUUCCCCCAUUUUACAUUUUACGUUUCAAAAGGAUUUAAAUAAUUACCGAUCUCUGUGGACACGACCCUGCUCAAUCACUAUACACAAUUUAUUUAGAGUAGGAAUUUAUUUUUGUUGGCUUCGACACCCAUCAGUUGGCGAGAGACUUUGUCAUAUAGAUUGUUUCCAGUUUUGCCCACAGAUCAGCCACUGUCUUUUCUUUGGCAACUUCUCUAAUAACAGAGUCUCCAAGACUCAAGAUUAUUGUGCUCCUUGCCCUUUUAUCUAUAUCAGUAGCCUGUUGAGGUGUUAGUGAUGAUAAAGCUUCCAUUCCCUCCUUCUUGGUGACUGGUUCUAAGGCAUCUCCCAGUCCCUGAGUUAUCAGUAGAGCCUCCAUCUUUACUUUCCACAUAUUGAAGUCGUUCUUGCCUGUAAACUUCUCCAGAUCAACUUUAGGGUGAGCCAUACUAGAAUCUGAUUAAAGAAACCCUGCUCUGAUACCAAUUGUAGAACUUGAAGGGCACUUCAGUUGCUCAAACACCUUCAGCCACUGCCCAAGAUUCAAGAUCAGAUUCCUAGAUGCUUGACUAUAUAUGACUUGAAAAAGGUUUAACCAAGAACUUCAAGUGAACAGAACAAUCAAUGGUUUAAGAAUCAAAGAAUCGAAAGAAACUAAAGAAUAAAGAACAGAAGAGAUUUAACGUGGUUCAGCUAAAACACUUAGCUUACAUCCACGGAGGAACAAGACUUCAGGCUUUUAUUGAAUAAACUCAAGAUUACAGAGAAUUACAGAUUGUAUCUCAUGGAAAAUUACCACCCUUAAACCCAGGAGUAACCCCCCUUUUAUACUCAUAAAUUGUAGCCAGCUCUCUGCACCAGAAUCAUCUCCUUUUCAGUUGCUGAUAACUUCCUAGAAACUAAUCCCAGAUGCUUACGUGCAAGCCAUGCUUCAUUAACGACUUUAACGCCUUCUUUCAUUCGAAUCCAUUCACGUGAGUCUCAGGUGUUUCACUUAAGUCAAACGGCAUUCCAAGACAUCAUUUCACUUAGCUUUGGUUUACACUCCGAAACGCACUCCCUCAAGUCGUUUUGAAUGUCACUGAAUUGCUUUCACUGGUUACUUUACAAAAACAUUUUAAUUAGCUUCAAUAAAUUUGUAAUUCACUUGCUCAUAGAUGUGAUCUCUCCGUUUCACCUAAAUUUUGCGCAUUGUUUGCUCAUAAUCUUUGUUUUUAACUUGAUUUUAAGAUUUUAUUUUCAAUUUUUAGCUCUUUCAUCCUGUUAUCAUUUAUUUUUCUAUAAUUAAUUUGAUUUCUCUUAGUCUGAAUAUGAAUUUAAAUUGUUUGCUUUUAGUUCUGUUCUGAGAUGUCCGCAGUUUGGAUUCGUAUUUCGGUUCAUUUUUAUCAAUAUUUUAUUACGAAACUUUUACACUCUAGUUUAUAGAAGUUUAAUUUCAAUUUGAAUUCGAUUUGUUGCUGGAAUUUUAAAUUUAAUUUCACAACAAGUAUGAUGGAAGAUUCAAUUUCUGUUCUGCCUUUGAAUCUUCAUUUUGAAUUUCUUGUACACUUUUGAGUGUUCAAGCUAAAUUAUAUGCUUCUCCAGUUCAUAAUUCGGUUCCUAAAUUUAUUAUUAUUCAUCUGGUGUUUGUAAACUCUCUGUUUGAAUUUAAUAAUUUCAUGCAUUUUUUUCCUUCUUCUUCUCAGGUCAUGCGAAAGAGUCGCUCAAAGAUGAGCCAGAAAUUCACAGCCGAUAAGCCGCCACCGUCACGGCAACCAACGGAGAAGUCAACAACUUCCUCAGGAUCCUUCUCGACAGAGGCUGGAUCGUGCCUAUCAAGCACCGCGAGCGCCGUUUCGAGCUCGCAAAGCCGCUACUGGGUUGCGGCUCGUGGGAAGCCGAGGGUUAGAAGAACUAGCAGCGGCCCGUCUCACAUUGAGCGCCGAGCCGAAGCCAUUCUGAAGCUGCUUUCUUCCCACGGCUGUUCGUCAGAAAUCAAGAUCCGUCAAGCCCUGGGUGACAGUCCCGACACUAGCAAAGCACUGAGAAUGUGCGAGUUGGCUUGGCUCUUUAUUUCGCGUUUGAUUUAAACCGUUAGAUCAUACGAAAUCUCUUUUACUAACUUGUCGAUCCGACGGUUGUUGUAGCGUGUCCAAACGAAACAGUUUAAAUUCUAACCGUCUGAUUUAUUUAUUUGCAGGUUAUUGAGGAGUGAUGAAGUCAAGAGAUAUGGCACAGGAGGACGGCAGGACCCAUAUAUUUACUAGGUAUUAAUCUCCUUAUCAUUCGUUAUCUUACUUAAUUAUAGAACUACAUGAUAUUAUUAUACACUAAUCACAGUUCUCUUUUUUUUUUUUUUUUUUCUAAUUACUAACAUAUGAAACUCUAUUGCCUGUGAAAUUCAGGGAAUUUUGUUUGUGUAUAAUUAAUCAUUUCUUUUUUUGGGAUUAAUUUAUAAUUAAUUUUGCAGAUAGCAAGUAUCUAGAACGAGCAGGACCCAGCAACACCGGGUAAUAUAUAUAUAGCGAGACUUUGCAAUUGGUAAAUAUUAAGAGUGGCAGCCAUUAAAGUUGAUUAAUAUGCUAGUAUAAUAUUAGUAUUGACAUUAGGCAGAGACGGAGACUUUAGUGAAUAUUAUUGCUAUAUGAGUGUGGCGUACGCCUACGUAGUUAAUUACAAUUUCCAAAUCUCUGCGGGUUACUGAAAAUUUAAGUGCCUUGCAUAUUAUUGCUAUUAACCCAGUUUUUCAUGCUCGCUCGAAGCAUAUUGAAUUAGAUUAUUACUUCAUUCGAGAAAAGGUUGCUGAUGGUGCCUUGGUUACGAAGUUUGUCCCUUCUUCGUUACAAAUUGCAGAUGUUUUUACUAAGGCUUUGUCAAAAGCCAUGUUCCGCAAUUUCAGAUACAAGCUUGGCGUUCAUCAAAUGUCACUUGCCAGCUUGAGCGGGGAUGUUAAGCAAGCUGACCAAGAUUACCAAAAGGAAAGUCAUCAACGGUCAAGUCAACAACGGGUUUAUCACUCCACACAACUUGCUCACAUCAAAGCUAUUUGUCAAGGAAUAUCUCCAGCACGAUUUUUGCACUUGAAUGCCAAUAUCAUGUACGAAUAUUUCAUUCCUAUUUUAUAAAGAUAUUGUGCGAUAGUUUAGGAAGUAUUCACUUAUUUUCCUUUAAUAUUAUUAAGCUUUUUAACGGCUACUUUGUCUUUAUUUUGUAUGAAUAAUUCUGUAAAUUUCAUUAAAAAUAUAGAACAAGAAUUAUACUCUUCAUAGAAUUUCUUUCACUAAAUUAAUUAAAAAUAUAGAACAAGAAUUAUCCUCUUCAUAGAAUUUCUUUCACUAAAUUCAUCAGCCUCUUGAACCCUCUCCUGAGGGCGCCUUCUAUCCUCUGUUUUCUGUUACCAUACACUAAUAGACAAAAGCAUUUAGAAUGACAACUGGGACAUAUAUAAGAGUGAAAUAAUUGAAAAAUUAUGCUUUUUUGUUUGUCAUGUUAAAAUCGUAAAGUGCAUAAGUACUAUGAAAGAGAUUAAUUUACGGAAACUGAAGCCAAGGGUUAAAAAAAAAAGGUGCAAAGAGAAUAAAGGGCAACGCUUAUGUAAAGAGACAUAAUUGUAUUGGUAGCACAAUGUCACGUUCAUACAGGGAUCAAGCAUACUAUUUACAGGUGGUAAGUGCUAAGAAUUGAUGUAGCUAGAAUCCAAAGAUGAUAAGGUAUGUUGUGCACUAUUGUUUAUUCUACAAUCAAUCUUGACCCUUGAUGCUUGGCUCUCAAUCUUGUCCAUCGAUCUUCUCUGAUCUCGAAAACUUCAAGACCUUUCAAUCUUAUGCCUUAUUAUUGGUGUCUUCCAUGCUGUAGAUUUCAAAUACAAGCUUUCCCGCCAACUUGCCAAGUAUUUGUCCAUUGGUGCAUUUUAUCAAACAGUUUGGAUACUUAUACCAAACGCCUUCUGUUUUAACUCCCCCUCUCAAGCUCAAGCAUCUGGGAAGACAUUAAUAAGCUUGUUUCUCAAGUAUAUGUAUCUGAAAAUUAAAUUUUAUAAAUUGUAUUCGGACUCUACAUUUUCUAAGGAACAUUGGUUUGGCUUAUAAGCUUAUUAUACUCAGGCUUGGUAGGAUUAUCGGUCGGUAGAUGACCGAGUGUUAGAGCUUUCGAAUUUAUGCCAAUUAAAAAAAAAUCUACAUAAGUUUUCAACUAGGCUAUUACCACAAUAAACAUUUGGAUAAACUAUUAUUGAAACCUUAUUGAGAAGUGGGACAUGUCGCAUACCAAUGCACUGACAUAUCUUCAAAUAGUGGUAACUCCACACAACAUGGCGCAACAAAUUAAGAGUUACAUAGAUAAAUUGGGUUCCCAAGAUUUCUUGAUAGACGGUUAAUGACUAUUUUGAUGUCUGUUUUGCAGACUGAUCUGCGUUUCCAGAGCCAUGCAGUGCUGGCCCUGCAGGAGGCAGCCGUGGCUUAGGGCAUCUCUAAUGUAGCACUAAACCUAACACCAAAUCACAUUUUACACCAAAAAGCUUCUCCAAUGUAACACCAAAAUGGUGUAAUGAAUAGUAUUGCACCAAAUAUGGUGCAAUACUAUUCAUUUGCACCAUAUUUGGUGCUAGGAAAAAAAAUCUCAAAUAUCCUUAUUACUUUAUAUUAUUUACAUAUAUGUCCUAUUUUAUAUAAUAUUUUAAGUUAUUAUUAUUUUUUGUUAUUUUUUAAUUUUUGAAUAUUAUACUAAUAUUUUAAAUAAAAAAUAUUCAGAACAAAAAUUUAUAAUAAAAAUAAAAUGCCAAUAACAUUAAUUACUAGAUUACAUAUUACAAAAUAAAAAAUACAAAAUUAAAUUAACACAAAUUAAGAAAACUACUACUACUGGCAUAAAUUAGAACAAUUAUUUAGUAAUGUGGGAGAUCAUUAUUAGAUCCUCCAAUAUCAUUAAAAUAUUUUUCGAUAUUAAUGUAAUGUUUAAUUUUCAUAAUGCACUUAUUAUUGUUAUUGUAUUUUCUAUAUUAAUGUAAUGUUUAAUUUUUAUAAUGUACUAAUUUAGUUAAUUAAAUGUAAAUUUAAUAAUUUUCUAUAUUUUUUUUGUUAAUCGAUAUAAAAUUAUUUAUUACUUAAUUAUCUAUAUUAAUAGUAAUAUUUAUUGUGUUUGAAUUAAUUCUUGAGAAUUAAAAGAAUAAAAAGAAGAAUAUUCUUUUUGGUGUAAAUGGGUUGGAGAUGAAAUAUUAAUUUAAUGUGAAAAAGGUACAUUUUAGGUAUUGGUGUUAUACCAAAAUAGUGUUAUGCAUUGGAGAUGGCCUUACCUCCUUAAGGACACUAACCUCUGCGCCAUUCACGCAAAGCGUGUCACUAUUAUGCCCAAGGACAUACAGCUUGCCCGUAGGAUCCGUGGCGAGCGUGCUUAAGCGCAAUUGCCGCUUGCUUCAAUUGAAUGACUGGAAAGGGAAGGGGGAAGUUGUAAUGUGUUAAUUUGUAUGUGGGGUUGGUGGGGACGGCGUCGCUUUUUCUUAGUUUUUUUUUUUCUUUUUCCUCCCUUAAAAAUGGUGAAAUUACUUAUACUGGUUUUUCUAUUUUACAUUUUGAAUAUUAUUAAUUAAUAUAAUUCAGGGAAAUUAUCAUUCGUAUACCCUAUAUUUGUUCUGUUAUCAAAAAUACUAUAACACUUUGAGGGUGUAUCAAUCGUCUACCCUUAGUUGACAAAAUGUAUCAUCCGACCACCAAACCGUUAGUUGCCGUUUGAAAGUUAACGGAAUUAUAGUGAAUUAAUGAUUUUACCCUUGAAAAUUAUCACUUGUAUACCCUUAAAUUCUUUUUUUAUCACUCGUAUACCCUUAAAUUAUUACUUGUAUCAUAUGAAAAGACCAAAUUACUCUUCUGACGUCAUCAUACUUAAACAGCAACUAAUGGUUUGGUGGUCAGCUGAUAUAUUUUGUCAACUUAGGGUGGACGAUUGAUACACCCUCAAAGUGUUGAAGUAUUUUUGAUAAUGGAGUAAACUAAGGGUAUAUAAAUGAUAAUUUUCCUAUAAUUUAAGAUAACAAUUAGGGAUAAAACAAUAAUUUUUUAUUCAAGAUCAUUUCAUCAAUAUUCUGUUAAAUAUUCUCACAAUUUAACUUUAUCCUUAACAAAAAUUUAACUUUUUUUUUAAAACUAACGGAACCAAAUCCUAUAUAUAAAUGUAUAGUAUGCAUUAAUAAAUAAAUAAAACUUUGACGACCGGAGGGAAUGAAUAAAUAAAUAGAUAAAACUUUCGAAGCUCGUGAAUGUGCUAUUUUUGUGUUUUUUAGUAAUUGUUUAAUUGAAAAAAGAAAGCUUCGGGGAUUUAUUUUUGACGGGACGGCUGAGAUUUGUCGACCUUCCAGAGAAUGAGAACAGAUUUUCAAUUUGUUGAUAAGUAUUCCUACAGUCCAGCCCAAAAGUACCGGCUCAAUGAGUUCGGUCAUGUUUGGUAACAGGUAUCCAUCACUUUCAAAAUCCGGUCCUACCAACGUAUCGGCUUUCACUGGCUGUCGUAUCAUCCGUGAAUUCAUGGGAGAGUGAGACUACUCCAAUCUCCACGCGAGAAAUUUUAGAAUAUUUUUGUUAUAUUAUAAUUAAUUAAUACAUAUAUGACAUGUGUAAUUGAGUUUAAUAUAACCACCAUUUGUAUAAUAGUUUAUAAAAUAAAUGCACACAUAUCAUGAUAUUAUUUACUUAUUGUAUGGAUAAUGAAUGCACACAUUGCAUCACUCUUUGAUAAACAAAUUCAUAAUAUAUAUUAAUCUUUGUGGAAGUUAUGUCCAAAAAAUAAAUAUUGUAAAAAAAUUUUAAUUACUAAUUUUUUGGACAUUAAUAAAAAAAAUUAAUAUAUUAACUCCUCAUGGAGUAUUCAAAACAAUUAAUAUAAAUUUUUUUGUUUCUAUUUUACUUUUUUCGGUUUAAAUUGAUAAUUUAAUUUUUCUUUUUAUUAAUGUCCAAUAAAAAAGAAAUAUUAUUGUAGGAGUGUAAUAUUGUAAAAACAAGUCAAAAAGAACAAAAAGUAACAAUAAGGGUGUCAAUACUUAACGACAAUGAUGUUUUGAGAUAUUUUUAAAAAUAUAAGAAUUAAAUAGGUAUUAAUCUCAAAAUAUAGGGAUUAAACGAGAUUUUACCCUUAUUAAUUAUAGUCAUCUUUUUAUAAAUUACAAUUGGAGGAAGUUGGCUAAUGUUGUUGACACGCACGCACGCACACAUAAAGAUUUAUUGGAAGUGCUUAUGCCGGCUCGAAGUUGUUGGGAAUUAAUGCAUGUAUUGAUUUAUUGGGAGUGUUUAAAUGAUUUUGUGAUUUACUUGAUUGAUUGAAUAUUGUUUGAUUGCUUCAUAUCCAUUCUACAAAGUUUAUUUCUUUGUGAAAUUUCAACGACAUAUUUUUUUUUAAAAAAAAUAUUAAGGGUGUUCUAAAUAAUUUUCAAAAAUAUAUGGACUAAUUAGAAUUAAUUACUAGGUAAUUAACUUGAUCUGUACAGGGUGAAACAAUAUUUAUCCUAAUUGUAUCAUGACAAAUACUUUUCCGAUUAGAAUUAGGAAACCAUAAGUUUAUUGAAUUAUUUUUUUUUAUUUUCCUUUGGAGAAACGGAUUAGAGAAUUAGAAAACAAUCCUAAUGAUAUAAUUAUCAGGUUUAAAACAGUGCAUAAACAGUGAAAAGCUAAUUAGUCUGUAGAGUAAUUUGCUAAUUGUUAUCUCCUCUCUAUGCGCGCUGAAUAAUUUGUUGCAUGCAAACUUUUUAUUUUAUGCAAAUCGUACUUACUGUAACAUUGGAAUUGAUGUAUAAGCAAAAUUACAAUAAUAUUUAUGUCAAUAAAAAUAGUUUUUUUUUUCCUUUUUAAAUAAAGGAGAGCAACGGGAUGUUGCUCUGCUCUACAUUUUUGCUAUCAUUUUAUUCUUUUUUUUUUUUUUUUUUGGCUUCUUAAAGCCUCAAACUUUGAUAACCAAAACUUCACCGACCUCUGAAAAAAUCGGCAGAUUAGUUUUUAUUAUCGGAAUAAUUGUUUGAGAAUACUAAAACAAAAUAUAAAAUAAGAAAAUAUGGGGUUAAAUUUGGGGAAAACAAAAAAAUCCAAUUGGGAAUUUUUUUUCUUUAAUUUUUGUUUUACUUGAUUGAGAUUUCUCCUUAGUUCUUACAGUUUUAAGUUUGGAUGCCGUAGGGUUAGUAAUUUAGUACUUCCUUUGCAAGCUGAGUGCGAGAACGAAAAUCUUUAAAGAAAUUAAAAAAGAUUAAAAAAAAGCAUACCAAUAGGUAAUUAUAAAUAACCAUAAAUAAACAUAAACAAAAUGUUUAUGAAGUAAAUUACACAUGCACAUAUUAUUUUCUUGUUUUAUUUCUUACUUGUCUAUUUUAUUUGCUGCUUGAUAACCCUUAAAUACUAAUCUAGUACUGCUAAUUUCAGACACAAAAUUUUUAACUCUAGGCUGCAGUUUUACUCAAAAUGAUGACCGCUGGCUUCGCACCAUUUAACCGGCAUACAUUUCUACAAAUUGAACAAGGCUAUUGAUUUUCAUUAUUAUUUUUUUAUUUAUUUAUAAAUUACUAUUUUAAUUUUCACUUUUUAUUGGGUUGUUUAACGGAUUAGUGAAGUUGGUGGUCGUGAUGCACUCACAAGGUACAAUUUUAUUUUAUAAUUUCAAAUUUGUAUUUUAAAAUGCAGGUACAUUAUGUAUACAUAAUUAUUGAUUUUCGUAUGUGGGUGUUUUGUAAUAUUGCUAAAAGACCAAACUUUAAUAAACUAUUUUUCAUCUUUUUUUUCCUUUUUUCCUAAAGUUUGAGUGAUAUCCGCAUUUUAAAUUCAUGUGGAACAAAAGCUAAUGUAUGCACAAAAUUCUUUUAUUUUUUCGGAGAAAAAUGGGUAAGAGAAGAAGAUUUUUCUCUUGCAAAAGAAAAACUAAUACGAUGCAAGCAUAGGAAAGAGGUCAGUGUUUUGGAUUAGAAUUUAGUAUUGAACUGAAUUUUAUACUAAAUAGUACUGCGAUUAAUAAACUCAUGAUUUGCUUUUGUUUUUACUUCAAGUGAAAGAAAGAGGAAACCUUUUGUUUUUUGUUUGAUUCUUGACUAUAGAUGUUACCUAUAUACAGAGUUGAGGUAGCUACCUUAAGUGAUGGUGAUAAAAAGAUUAAGCAGCGCACACAAUCUUAUUGUCGUCCAGACCAUCGAGCUGUGAUGACUCUAGCUUUUUGGUUACAUUAGCUUUAGUGGAAAGGAGGGCCAAUUUAAUAAAGACUAGAUUUGGUGGCUUACUAUAAUGCUUAUUCUCAGGGAAUCUAAUGUUAUAAGAUGAUUUAAUGAUCUUCUAUGAUUGUGAGUAGUAUAGUAUAAUUGAAAAGAGCCUGGGCUCCUAUGAUGAAUAUAUAAUAGUAACACAGUACUGUGAUUGAAAAAAACACAGUUACAAUAAACUCUUCAUUUAUUCAUUGCGGAGAUUGAAUGGCAAACAGAGAAUAAAAUGAAGUAGAGGGAUCUCAUUGCCAGUAAAAUUGACCCUCUUUAAUGUUAUAUGGCACAGGUGUGUGUACAGCAAGAGCAAGUUACUUGCAGUUUUUAUUGUAAAAUAUACAGGUUAUGACCAUGAUCAUUGUAGUUAGGUUUUGAUGAUUUUAGAUGCUUUUUUUUAUUUUUUUUAAAUUGUGACACCUUUGAUUUAUGGUAGUUUUGCAGAAGAAAAAAAUAUAUAUAAAAAUUAGGAGGGAUGAGUUAACUAACAAUUGCAAUCAUUGCAGUAAUGUUGAUGAGUGAUACAUCAUUUUAAAUUUACUUGUCAGUUGCUGAAAUGAUGAAAAAAAAACAAUAAACAAUAGCAGUAAUAUUUUUAUGGAAAUUCUUGGUUUUUAUGGAAAUACUCUUGCUGAAAUUCUAAGUUUGACUUUCAACUCUUGGUUUUUAUGGAAAGUAAAAUGACUUGUUUGUUAUAUUCAUACAACCCACUCUACAUAAUGAUUUCAUUUUAAUAAAUGGUUGAUGAUCUCCACAGAAAAACUACUUCAAUUCUUUUUUUUUUAUUUAACUUUUUGGUUGUUGAAAAUAGCCUUAAUUUUCAAAUCAUUGGAGAAAGAGUAAAGAACAUUUAACAAAUUUAUGUGCCAAAAAUAAAGGAGAAAUUGAAGAGAAAGGGUGCUUGCAGAAGUGGGUGCAAAGAUAAAUCAGUCCAUAAGAAUUAUUGUGGUUAUUAAUUUUUUGGCAAUAUAAAAAUUUUUCAGCAAAUAAAAAUAGAUUUUUUCUGAUUUACUAAAAAAUUAAUUAAAAACUUCGGCGAUAGCAUUUUUUAUGGGUGCAUGUACCCUCCCUUUAAAAAAAAUAUAAUAAUUAAUACUUAAUAUAGUAUUAAAUACGAAAAUAUCAAUAUUUGACUACACAAAUUUAUAUCAUUAGGUCCUUAAAAUUUAAAAUUGAAGACACAAAAUGAAAUUUAUAUAAAUUUCAUUCUCAUAGGAAAGGAUCCUCUUAUAAUCUUAAAAUAUUUGAGCUUUGAAAGAUUUUUUAAAACAAAUGUACUUUUAUUUUUGUACAAUCAAUAUUUACUUAUAUAUUAUAUUUUUAUUUAUUACACUACUAGAAAAAUGGUCUUUUGUGACACUUGUCUUCUGACACUUUAUUAUAAAGUAUCAGUAAUUAGAUGUAUUUGGGGCAUUUUCCGUGUUUAACAUAUAAGUAUCACAAAUUGCUAAUACUAUGGUGUCAGUAAAUUUAAUAUCACAGAUUCGUGACACUAAAGUAUUAGUAGUUAAAAAAAUAAAAUUUUAAUUUUGUAUCUAGUAAUAAUCGAACCGAAGCCCCCUAAGCCAUAACCUUUUGAUUUUAACCGCUACACCACUCGGCCACAAAUUGCAUUUUUGAACUUAUAAAUUAAUAAAUAAAUAAAUAUUAAAACUUAAAACCUAAAACCUAAAAAAUUUUCAUGUAUGGUAUGUGUGAAACGUAAAACCUAAAAAUUUUUGUUAAGUCAAAAAUCUAUCUUAUGGCCGCCGAAGCUUUCUUCCUUCUCUCUCCUUCCCUCUCUCUCGCUCUCUUUCUCUCUCGAACAAUGAUCUACCUUGAAAGCCACCUCCGUCAACACCUUGAAAGCCGCCGUCCUUAAGCUAAAAUAUCCCUGAAAAGAACCCAGAAAGUGCUAUGAAGAAUUUGGGCAAAGCUAAGGUUAAUUUGAAAGUCCGAAUCAGUGUUGUGGUAACUCUUUGCCUCAUUCUCUAUUCUCAUUGUUUAAGUAUUUAUCUGUUAAUUGAUUGAUGUUUAUUGAGUGCAAAUGAGAGCUUGCACUUGUUUGGAAAUCUAGCCAUCUAGGGUUUUUGUUGCUUAUAAUCUAAUUUAUUGUUUAAUAAAAUAAAUAAAACUCAGCUUUAUUAUAGGUGGAAUUCAGUUUAUUAAGUGAAAGAAUGAUUACAAUUGGUGAUUAUGGAUUUAGGUUGAAUGCAAUUUGUUAAUUAAAAGAAUAAUGGCAAUCAACAGUCAUGGAUUUAGUAUGUAUUAUAUAUUUCGUUUAAUGGUGUGUAUGAAAACCCAAAACCUAAAAUUUUCUUAAGUAAAAAUCUCAGUUCUCCCUCACAACCUAUAAGCCCAUCACUCUCUCUCUCUCUCUCCCCCCUCUUUCUAGCUAACAACCCAAAACGUAUUGUGAAACCGCCAUUUCAAUCUUUCAAAGCUCAUUAGUUAGCUGGUCAUUGUGAAAAGUAAGGUUAUUGUUUGCUUUUAUGUCUAAUUUUACUUUAAACAUGGGGAUUGAUGAUAUUCGAGUUGCUGAACACUUGAUUUUGAGGUGAAAGAUUAAUUAAUAGUUUACGAAAUUAUGCUGAAAAUUUGAGGAUUGAUAGACUGUUGUUGUGAACUUGGUUGUUUCCGAACUUGACUAAAUGACUUUCAAUUGAUUUGAAAGUUUGAUUAAACUAAGUUUAAAUGAGAACAUUUUAAUUCUGGAAAUUUUGGAAUGAAUUGGGUUUAUAUUUGAUUUUGAAUGGAUUUCUCAAUAUGGUUGGUUGUUGUCCAAUUUUAUUAGAAAUUACAUAUGUACCAUGUUUGAUAUUGCAAACGUAUAGUCUAACAUAGUUAGAAUAAGUUGAAAUUCGGAUAGACUACAAUUCUAUUUGCAUACUUCGAAUCUGGAAAAUUUUAUUUUGAUUGAACCUGUAAUUUAUUUUUAAUGAUUUUUCAAACUCUGCUGCCUCUGCAGUAACUUCUUUUGACAUAAAUGUUCAUUAAUAUUUGAUCCUAUCAAACACCAGCCUAAUGAUAUCGGAAUAGCCUCAAAUUUUAAUAUGUUGUUGACUUAUAUGUCCACUUAAACUCUGGAAAGUAUCAUUCUAAUAUAUUUAGUAUUUUAAAUUUAAUAAAUAUUCAAACACCUGCUGCUACUUUUACAGUUUCAUAUGCAAUUUUAACUUAUAUAGUUUUAUCAUGUGAGAAGCAAAUGUAUGGUUGUCCAAAUGACUUGGAAAUUUUUUUUGUGGUGCAUUGAAAUGUCUAAUUAUGUUUUGUAAGUUUCAUAGCAUUCCAAAUUGAAUUAAAGAAAAUCUUAAAUUCAAGUUGUCAAUUUUUCCUAUUAAAUCUGAUUAGUGAUAAAUCUACUAACUUGCAGUACUUUUCAGGAAAAAAAAUGUGUCAACGCUGUGAAUUGCAAUGGGAGAAGAAAGUACUAAAGGCAUAAAUCUUUUUUCAUUAUAUUUGGGACUAUUCUUAAAGGUUAGUCUUUUCCUUUUUCCUUUUUUUCUUUUUUAUUUAAGGUAAUCAUAUUCAUUUUAAUUUUAAUUACAAUCAAUUUUGCGUUGUUAGACAACUUGCACCAACCAAUCCAACAACAAAUGAAGAUAACAUUUUUGAAAUGCAUUCAAUUUUUUAAAAUAGCAAAAAGAAAAGGAAAAAUGAUACUAGUUUAGGCUUUAGGAAAUUUGCAUCAUCAUUCUUGCACUGCAGCUGCCUCUAUCUCGGUGCUCUCGGAGAAGUAAUCUUGCUUGAUUUUGCGUGAUAGUUGAUACAAGCCCGUCCUAGCCAUUGCAAAAUUGACACUAAAAAGGUUCCAGUUUUUCAUAUUGUAGUUUGAAAAGUCUGCAAUGUUUGCUAUGCUGAUGCCCCAUUUGAAUGUUGGAGCCCAAAAAUGAAUGGUUUUAGGACUAGCCGGGUGGUUCCAGAAAGCUAGGAGCUUGUUAGCUAUUCUUUUUAAUUGAACUAAUUUAACUUAAAUAUUAGCCCGAUUAUUGAUUUCUAUGGUUUGCCAUUGAUUUGAGUUUGACAUUCUUGUUUUGUGUUGGUUUGAGUUUGACAUCCUAGUUUAAGACUUUGAAGGCUUCCAAGAAAUGAUUUUGGAUUAUGAGCAAAUGAGUAAUAGUUUGAAAAUUAAUUUACUCUAUCAAAUAUAUACUUAGUGUAGCAUAUUAAUUUUAAGAACUAUGGAUCAUUCCUUGAAUAUUCUAGUAAAUGUUUAUGUUAUAUAUGCAUGUCUUAAUAUAUAAUAAUUAUAUUUUGAAGUUUGUUUUUUUUUCCCCCUUUCUAGGUUUAGGAAAAAUGUUUAAAGUGAUUUUGGGUUAUGAUGUCAAUCAAGUUAAAGCAACAUUACUUGUGAGUGGAAAUAUAUAAUGAUUAUAUUUUUAUUCUACUUUUUUUUCUUCUUAAAGUUUUAUAAUUAGGCAAAAUUAAUGAAUACUUAAUUACAAUUUAGGGUGAUAUUCUUUAAAUGGUUCACAUGAAUAGAUUUAAGUAGUAUAAUAAAUCUCAUACUCACUUUAUAAAGGCUUAACUAAGUUUGCAAAUAUUAUUUCUUUUAGUAGUAAUAAUUUUGGAUUGAACUCUCAAAUUAUUGAAAUAUUUUAUGUCCAAACUUUAUUAUGCCUAAUAUAAAUAUGGAGAUUCAUAGUUAUUUUAUGCCCAGUUUAAGGAAACUGCAGUUUGAGGAAUUAUUUUUUGCCUUGUUAAAUAAGCUUUUAAAAUGAAUAAAUUGAGGAAAUGAGUGGUGAUUUAUUUAUAAUAGAGCAUUUGUGAUAGCUUUUAACUAUGCACAAAAAUCAUUUUGUAUAUGUAGAUAGAGUAACAUGCUUGUGCUGAAAGUAGAUAUUACAUUGAAAACUUCUUGUCUACUAUAGUUUGCUAUAUAUAUAACCUUUACCAAAAGAGAAUAAUUGAGUUUAUUUAUAAAUAGCUUAUGAGGAUUUUUUUUUCUUUCGAACAAAAUAAUUUUAUUUAUGUUAAUUGUUGUUUCUCUAAUGGCUGGAUAUUGGCAGCUAAUUUUUUUUUCUUUUCCAUGUAUUCAUAUGCAGAUUUGAUCAAUGUGUUUGAAGUGUUUAUUCUUCAACUUCACUUAUAUCCUAACCCAUACAGUCUAUUGAAUGGAGAAGCUGCUGAUGUGAUAACGCAAUUAUACUACUCAUAUUCAAAGAGUGAAAGACAGUCAUCCUUCUCAAUUUAGCUUCUCGAUUUAUUAAAUUUAGCCACAAGUAGUAGGCAUUUGAUUGGAUGGUAGAAAUUUUUAUGUAUUGAAUUUGGAUUAUUGAGUUAUGAGAGUAGGAUAUCUCAUAUUUUUGUUAUUGAAGUUUUGAAAUUUGUAAUAUAUACUAAUAAUAUUUAAAUGUGAAAUGAAAGAUUUUGUGAUAUAAAUCAAUUUCUUUUUGUUAUUUUGUGGUGCCUUUUAAUUUUACCAAUAAAUCAAUAGGCAAUGAUCCAAUUCAUUUUUUAAAAAAAUAAAUUAACUAGUGAUACUAUGGUAACAGUAAUCAUAGACACUAAUAAAAUAUCAAUAACUACUAACAUUAUGGUGUCAUAAUAUCGGUGAUACUGUAGUAAUAGUAAUCACUGACACCACUUACAAGUGUCACUAUUUUUCUGAAUCCCAGAUUACUGGCACAAUUAACAAGUGUCAGUGACAGUAAUUUCUGACACUAUUCUAAAGUCAGUAAAGACCAUUUUUCUAGUAAUGUUAACUAUCAAUCAUGUGAGUAUAUUUACUCAGAAAUAUCAUAUCAAUAGAGAAUCUUGAUCCCACGCACACGCAAAUAUGUUAAUUUCUAUACGCUUCACUUAACCUAUAGAAUCAAUUAUCUAAAAUGCAAGUUUGUGGCCACAAAAAAAGCCAAAGAAAGAAGAUAACAACAAUUGACUUGUCUAUUAUACUCAUACUAUCCUCUCGACAUAAUGAUAUCAUUUUAAUAAGGCAAUGGCUGAUGAUCUCCGUUGAAAAACUAAUUCAAUUUUUUUGCUUCAUUUAACUUUUUGGUUGUUGAAAAUAAGCUUAAUUAUCAAAUAAUUGGAGAAAGAGUAAAGAACAUUUAACAAAUUUAUGUGCCAAAAAAAAAAAAAAAAGAAGUUGAAGAGAAAGGGUGCUUGCAGAAGUGGGUGUCAAAGAUAAAUCGGUCCAUAAGAAUUAUUGCGGUUAUUUUUUGGCAAUGUAAAAUUUUUAUAGCAAGUAAAAAUUAUUUUUUUUCCGAUUUACUAAAAAAUUAACUAAAAACUUCUGUGUCAGCAUUUUUUAUGGGUGCAUAUACCCUCCCUUUAAAAUAAAUAAUAAUUAAUGCUUAAUAUAAUAUUAAAUACGAAAAUAUCAAUAUUUGACUACUCAAAUUUAUAUCAUUAGGUCCUUAAAAUUUAAAAUUGAAGAUACGAAAGGAAACAUAUAUAAAUUUCAUUCUCAUGGAAAUGAUUCUCUUAUAAUCUUAUAAUAUUUGAGUUUUGAAAUUUUUUUUGAAACAAAUGUAAUUUUAUUUGUGUACAAUCAAUAUUUACUUAUUUAUUAUAUUUUAAUUUAUUAACUAUCAAUCAUGUAAGUAUAUUUAGUCAGAAAAAUUAUAUCAAGAGAGAAUCCUAAUUUCACGCAAACACAAAUACAAGACAAAUAUGUCAAUUUCUAUACUAUUCACUUUCCUGUAGAAUCAAUUAUCUAAAGUGCAAGUUUGUGGCUACAGAAAACUCGCCAAAGAAAGAAGAUAAUAACAAUUGAGCAUUGAUAGCAAAACUAAUGCAUCAUUUUCUUCUUGACUUGAUAAGAUGGCGCCAUUACAAAAAAACAAGUACCUUAAUUGAUACUACUGGCCAGUUCAUCUCUUCCAGUCUUGCUUAGUUACAAUCACAAACACCACGAGAACGACAUUUGCAUUAUAUAUAUCUUCAGCAGUCGAAACACCUUGCAUUACCAAAUAAACCAGUAACAAACAAAGCAAUCUUUCCUGGAGACGAACCUUAGUCUCAGUAUGAUCACUGUGUCAUUAACCCACUGCCUGCUUCUUUGCUUGGUUGUUGCAGCAGCAGCAGCAGCAAGCAGCAAUAUUACCACAGACCAACAAGCUCUUCUUGCCCUGAAAGAUCAUAUAACUUAUGAUCCGACCAACCUUUUAGCCCAUAAUUGGACCUCGAAUACCCCUGUUUGUACCUGGAUUGGCAUCACUUGUGAUGUCAAUAGCCGUAGAGUCACAGCCUUAGAUAUUUCUCAAUUCAAUCUACAAGGCACCAUCCCUCCUCAACUCGGAAACCUCUCUUCGCUCGCAACGCUUAAUCUUAGUCAUAACAAGCUUUCUGGAGACGUUCCAUCCUCCAUCUACACCAUGCAUUCGCUAAAAUUUCUUGACUUCACUGAUAACCAGCUCUCUGGUUCAGUGUCUUCCUUCGUCUUCAACAUGUCUUCAAUAUUAGACAUUCGUUUGACCAAUAACAGACUUUCUGGUCAGCUUCCGAAAAAUAUUUGCAACUAUCUUCCUCAUUUGAAAGCCCUUUUUUUGGACAAAAACAUGUUUCAUAGCAAAAUUCCUUCUGCUUUAUCAAAGUGCAAACAACUGCAACAAUUAAAUUUGCAGUUCAAUAAUUUAUCCGGUGCAAUACCAAAAGAAAUCGGCAACUUGACUAUGCUCAAAGGGAUAUAUCUCCUCUACAACAAACUCCACGGUAUGUUCACAAUCCUAUAUAAAUAUUUUAAUUUAUCACUUAUUAUCUUUCUUGAAUAAUAUAGAUAAGAUUUUGUAAGAGAGAUUUUUUGCAUCUAUAUUAAUUUUCCAGGUGAGAUACCGCACGAAAUCGCUAAUCUUCCAAAUCUAGAGGCUUUAGUACUUGGAAUCAACAACCUAGUUGGUGUGUUACCAGCUCCCAUCUUCAACAUGUCAACACUGAAGGUACUUAUCCUCAUAAAUAACUCUCUCUCCGGAAGUCUUCCAUCAAGAAUAGACCUUUCACUUCCAACUAUUGAGCAUCUUAACUUGGGACUUAAUAGAUUUUCUGGAACCAUUCCUAGUUCCAUCACCAAUGCUUCUAAGCUCACCUUGCUAGAAUUGGGAGGAAACACAUUUUUGGGAUUUAUUCCAAACACAAUUGGUAAUUUAAGAAACCUUGAGUGGCUCGGCUUGGCUUUUAACUACUUGACAUCUUCAACCUCAAAAUUGAGCUUUCUUUCCUCUUUGGCAAAUUGCAAGAAAUUAAGAGUCAUAAACUUAGCAGGCAAUCCACUUGACGGCUUCCUUCCAAGUUCAAUAGGAAAUCUUUCUAAGUCCUUGGAAACACUUGUCAUCACCAAUUGCAGUAUUAGUGGCAACAUUCCUCCAGCAAUUGGCAAUUUAAGCAACUUGUUGGGCUUAGUAUUAGAAGGCAAUAAAUUGACUUGACCAAUUCCAAUUACAUUCGGCCGACUGCAGAAACUCCAAAACUUAGAUCUCGCAUUCAAUAAGUUGGUAGGUUCAUUCCCAGAUGAGCUUUGCCAUCUAGCAAGGCUGGGUCAAUUGGUCUUAUUUGGCAAUAAGCUUUCAGGAUCUAUACCUUCAUGCCUAAGUAAUCUCACUUCUCUAAGAUCUCUCUAUUUAGGGUCCAAUAGGUUUACUUCUGUUAUUCCCUCAACUUUCUGGAGCUUAAAAGACAUCUUGUUCGUUGACUUUUCAUCAAAUUUCUUGGUUGGUCCUCUUUCUUUAGAUAUAGGAAAUUUGAAGGUGCUUGUAAGAAUAGAUUUAUCAAAAAAUAACUUAUCCGGUGAUAUCCCAGCCACAAUUGGAGGUCUAAAAGGUCUUCAAAUUAUGGACAUAGCAUAUAAUAGAUUGGAAGGCCCAAUUCCUGAAUCAUUUGGUGACUUGAUAAGUUUAGAAGUUUUGAAUUUGUCAAAUAAUAAAAUCUCUGGGUCUAUUCCAACAUCCAUGGAGAAACUGUUUUUCCUCCAAGUGUUAAAUCUCUCUUUCAAUAAACUAGAAGGUGAGAUUCCUAGUGGAGGAAUUUUUGCCAACUUCACAGCUGAGUCAUUUAUGGGAAAUGAGUUAUUGUGUGGUUUACCAAAUCUUCAAGUCCAACCAUGCAAAGUUAGCAAGCCGAGGACAGAACAUAAAUCAAGGAAAAAGAUACUUCUCAUUGUGAUUGUUUUGCCAUUGAGUAUUGCUCUAACGAUAGCAAUCACUCUAGCUCUCAAAUCUAAGCUGAUCGAAUGUGGAAAAAGAAGCACAGUGUUGUCAAACGAUAGUGUCUUGUCAUCACAAGCAACACUAAGAAGAUUUUCAUACUUAGAACUUUUACAAGCAACAGAUAAUUUUGCUGAAAACAACAUAAUUGGCAUAGGAGGUUUUGGUUCUGUUUAUAGAGCAAGACUUGAAGAUGGGAUGAAGAUUGCAAUAAAAGUGUUUCACCAGCAAUGUGCAAGCGCAUUGAAAAGUUUUGAGGCUGAAUGUGAAGUGUUAAAAAAAAUUCGCCAUCGAAACCUUAUCAAAGUUAUCAGCAGUUGCUCGAACGAUGAUUUCAAAGCAUUAGUCCUAGAAUACAUGUCCAAUGGGAGCUUGGGGGAUUGGCUGCAUUCUAGCAAUUAUGUGCUGAAUAUAUUUCAAAGGUUGAACAUAAUGAUUGACGUUGCAUCAGCUUUAGAAUAUCUCCACUUCGAUCAUUCAACUCCUAUUAUUCAUUGUGACUUAAAGCCUAGUAAUGUAUUGUUGGACGAACAUAUGGUUGCUCAUUUGAGUGAUUUUGGCAUAGCAAAGCUUUUAAGUGGAGAAGAUGAGUCAACGAUGCGAACAAAAACCCUUGCCACUAUAGGUUAUAUGGCACCAGGUUUGCUUCAAACAACUUUUGUUGUUAGUUCAUUUUAAAUUUUCCAACUUAUUGAUUUUUACGAUCCUCACAUCAAAAUGUUAUUGAUUAUUUAUCUAAUUGUGAAAUUAAUUUGAUUCAUAGAGUACGGCAUAGAAGGAGAAGUAUCUACAAAAAGUGAUGUUUACAGCUAUGGGAUUAUGUUGAUGGAAACUUUUACCAAGAAAAAACCCACAGAUGAAAUUUUUGUCGGAGAAUUGAGCUUAAAGCGUUGGGUUAAUGACUUGCUUCCUACUUCAUUAGUGGAAGUUGUGGACAAAACUCUGCUAAGUGGAGAGGAAAAACAUUCUGCAGCAAAGGAGCAAUGUCUGUUGUCUAUCUUUAGCUUGGCUCUGGAGUGUACAAUGGAAUCACCGGAAAAGAGGAUUAAUGCAAAAGAUAUUGUUACCGGAUUACUCAAGAUAAGAGACGCAUUGGGUAAAAGGAUAGGAAAUUUAAGUUAAUUUCGUUUGCUUUCAUUGAUAGUUAAUCUGAAUUCAUGUAAUAAGUGUAGGAAUCUUAUAUCUUUUCCUUUGAUAUUUUUUUUUUCUUGAGAAAACUGUUGUAGUCAUCUUGUUUCCAUGGGCGGAGUUGACUUAGUUCUUCCAAGAAAUGCUACUGAUGAUCUUUGUUAUAUACUUUCUCUUUUUUUUGCAUGCGUUUAGGUAGAAUAGUGGUCUAGCUGCAGGCUAAUAUGUCAAGCUACGCCAAAAGCGUAUGAUUUAAUUUACUAAACAUAACUUCAAGUUCAAGAAGUGUUUUUCACUGCCACCAAUGCUUUGGACACCUGUUGGAAGGUUUGUUGUCCUCAGCUUUUGUUUAGAGCAAAAGUUCGAGUCCCAUAAAGGCUCACACAUUCCUUUCCUUCAUCGCGAGGUGAAGAAAUUAGAAUGACAACUGGGACAUAUAUAAGAGUGAAAUAAUUAAAAAAUUAUGCUUUUUUGUUUCACCGAAGUACUGUGAAAGAGAUUAAUUUACAGAAACUGAAGCCAAGGGUUCAAAAAAAAAGUGCAAAGAGAAUAAUUGUAUUAGUAGCACAAUGUCAUAGAGAGAUCAAUUAUAUUAUUUACGGCUGGUAAGGACUAAGAAUUGAUGUAGCUAGAAUGCGAAGAUGAUAAGGUAUGUUGUGCACUAUUGUUUUAUUCUAUAAUCAAUCUUGACCCUUGAUGCUUGGCUCUCAAUCUUGUCCAUUGAUCUUCUCUGAUUUUGGAGACUUGAAGACCUUUCAGUAUCAUGCCUUGUUGUUGGUGUCUUCCAUGCUGUAGAACCGCCGACUUGCCAAGUAUUUGUUCAUUGACGCAUUUUAUCAAACAGUUGGCCUGCUCAUAGCAAAUAGCUCCUCUUUUAGAGCUUUCGAAUUCAUGCCAAUUAAUUUUCAACUAGGCUAUUACCACAAUAAACAUUUAGAAAUCUAAAUUUGUUCAUUAUAUAUUCUGAUCAUCACUUGAACAUCCAUGCAGACUCCUAUUAAUUAUAUCCUCUAAUGGAGAGAACUCAUUGCCUCAGUAUGAUCACUGUGUCAUCAACCCACUGCCCGCUUCUUUGCUUGGUUGUUGCAGCAAGCAACAAUAUUACCACAGAUCAACAAUAGUUUGUCCAUUUUUUUCAGUAAGGUCGUCAUUAAAAAUUAAUUUUCAUAUUGAUUUUCUUAAUUAUAAAUAAUACUAAUGAUAUUUCAUAGUUAUAAAUAUAUUAGAAUUAAUCAAAAUCAUUUUUUAGUGCGGCAUGGCUAAAACUACCUUUUUUUUUUUUUUUAUAAGUAAUUACUACUUUAAGGAAAAUACUCGUAUUUUCAGGAAAAAGUCAAGUACCCGUAGUUGUGAAGACUCGAGCUCACCCUCUUAUGAUAAAUCUUCAUAUCAAUUACAUAAAUAUCCUCUAAAUGUUUAGUUAACUAUUCAAAAUUCGAUGUUAUAUGGGUAUUUCAUUUAUUUGAGUAGGGGUUAGGGGUCAAUUGGAUACAAAUUCAAAAUUAUCCUUACUUGAGAAGGUGAUAAACAUUGGGGAUUUAGUUUGGGUGUCAUUAGCUACAAAUAUUAAACUCAUACAUCUAAUUCAAAAUUGCAUCCAGGUUCAUUGCAGCUAAGGCUUGUGGAAUUUCAUCAGUAAGAUGUGAGUAGUCAUACCUACGUCGACAUUCAAUGGCUGUAUGUUUCUGUAAAUGACAAAUUUGGCAUAUGACAGUUUCUUCAUUGACUUCCUCAGCUUGUUGUUUGGAUUGAUUCUGAAUUUUGUGCCAAGGCUGUCCAGAAUUAUUUUGUCGAGGUUGCUGCCACUGUUGUCCCGAAUUUCCUUGCCAUGAUUGUUGCCCUUGUUGACUUGGAUUAUUGUUUGAUUUUUGCCAUGGCUGACUUGCAUUAUUAUUCCAACUUUUUCCACCAUUGUAGUUGAUUUUUUGACCACUUGAAUCAGCCAAAUUUUGUCCUCCUGCUGCUGUAAAACCACGACCUUUUGAGUUAAAGAAACCUCCAUUUCCACGACCUUUUCCCUUGCCUCAUUGGCUAAAAAAGGCUUGAGCCAGAUUGAUUGUAUUCUUCUUUUCUUCUUCAAAAUUAAUAAGAGUUUGUUCAUGAUUUUCGAGGGCCAUGACAAACUGCUUAAAUGAGGGAUAAGGUGGUUUCGAAAGUUGAGCAAGUUUGAAGUCUUGAUACCUGUAGCCAAGACCUCUUGCAAGACCAAAGACUUCAUCUAAGUCAUUCACUGGCUUAUUUAUUGCAGCCAAACAAUCACAGAUAUGCUUGUAUUUGCGCACAUACUCUUCAACUGAUAGAGAUCCCUUUUUAAACCGAGAGAAUUACUAUAUUUACACAAUUAACCUUGGCUAGAAUUAAUUGUGCAGAUUGGAUGAUAACUAGAGAAUAGAAAUGAAGAAAAGGAAGCACACAACACCGAGAAGAGUAAUAAUUAAUGCUGCCAUUGACGAAAUGUUUUAUAUUACUCUUCUUUCUUGGUAUUUAUUUAUUUACAAUUUUUAAUGUAAAUGUACAGUUGUUGGGCUAAUAUCUUAUUUACUUUUGAACGUAUUAGAUGCCUUUUUUUUUCUUGGUUCAUAAUAAUUUUGUAGAAAUUCCUCAAGUUUGCCUAAAUGAUAGCACAUAUUCAUAAUUGGAUUGAUUGAGUAAUAAUAAAAUAUAUUUAUUUGGCAAAUGGCAGUUAGGCUUUCUUUUGAUGCAGAUUAAUUAGAGAGAAUAUAUAACAAUUUUAAGCUCGUCAGAUUCGGAAGCUGCUUAUCUGUCGUGUGGGGAUCACUUCCGUGUCUUAUUUUUCUAGAAAAAUCUGGACCAUUGGAUUUCCCAUUAUUCAAUAGAUAAAUGUUUGAUCUUGAUUCUUGAUUAAGAUCGAAGUUUGAUUCUAACCAACAUGAUGUCAGAUUCAGAUUGCGAAGCAAGCAAAUUGAAAGUAACUUGUUCUAUUUUGAUAAACACAAGUUCUAAUAAAACAUUCUCAUAGUAAAGUGAAUUACCAUCCAACGAUCCAACUCAUGUUUUCAAAUUGUAAAUUGCAAAUCGUGCGUUUGCUCCAUUACAGCGUUUCUUCAAUCUGAAAUAGAGAAUCAUUUGUGUUUUGGAUUAAUCGUGGGUCUAUAUCCAAAUCUAAAAAUUGACUAAUUUAAUUUCUAUUAAAUUCUUAAUCCUAACAAGAAAAAUUGAAGAUUAAAAACGACUAAUUUGGUACCAUACCACUAUUGUAACAUAGGUAGAUCCUCUAUUAAUUGGAGUAAAGAUUGAAUUAUCUCAUUUAUUAAGGUUUAUCAAAAUCUUGUGUCAAAAUCUAUUAAUGAUAUAGGUUCAAGGAUGAAAGAGUCACUUCAUUACUUUUGAGUUCCCAAAUAGAUGAAUGGAUGUUAUUUUUGGAUUCCGGAGAGUCGAAAAUAUUAGGAUAGGUGCUAAAUCGAAUUAAGUUGUAGAUAAGAUAGAAAUGGAUUUGGAGAGAUUGGAAUCCUAGGUAAUCCGGUGCACGUUGUCGUGUUAAAUUCUCGUUGACUUCACGUUGACUGAAGCAUUAUUGGAAGAAACAAGUUUAUUGAUGUGAGGCCUUUGAGAUUGUAAGUGUUAAAUCUGAGAAGAAUACCCACACAACCAUUAUCCUAUUACUCUUAUAUCACGUGAAGAGAAUUCAACAUUUGAUUCACACGGAAAAAAUUUGUGAGGAUUGUGAGGGUUGAUGCAAUAUAAUUUAGAUACAAAGUGUUUACCAGUGCGAUGCUUCGCAAGUGUUCUUGAAUCAAUAUAAACUCACGUUAUUUUCAUAGUGAUUGUUUCAUCUGCACGUGGAUAUAAUCACAUGUCGAGAUUUUUUUUUCUUAAAUUAUGGUCUUAUUUAGUAUUGCGGUGUUAUAUCUUUUAAGGUACAAUUAUUGUUGGAAAAAAGUUGCAACUAUUAAAUAAAAUUAAUACUAUGUGCUAAAUAUAAUUGUUAAAUAAUAAUUUUGACAAAAUUAGUGAAGUUAUGUAGAUUUUUUUUCAUCAUACAAGUAUAAAAUCAAAUCAACUUAACUUCUAAGUUCUAUAUCAGCUACUGUUUAUCAUAUGUUUUAGUUCUGUAACUUUUAAGUUAUAGUUACCCAACCUCAAUUCUAAACCAGACCUAUAAAGAUCAAAGAUUUCCUCAUUAAAUUAUAUGUCUUGUGAUUGCUUAUUUAAUUUAUAUUUUUUUUAUUUAUCUUUAUUAAUUAUAAUCAUCUUUUUAUAAAUUAAAAUUGAAGGAAGUUGAUUGAUGUUGUUGACACACACACACACACACGCACGCACGCACGCACUCACAAAGAUCACCACAAGAAAAUAGAGUAUUGGCUACAAAUUCUAUUGCAACAAAACUUACUUUAUUGCUAAAAUUCAUAUCUUGCAACAAAAAUUAGUCUUUAUCGCUAUAGCUAAACAGAUUUUAUUCUUCUUAAUGAUGUGGAAUAGGCAAGAAAAUUAGAAUAUAUGGCAACAAAAUAUUUUCUUGCCCUAUGCUAUGUUUGGCAACAAAAGUGUUCUUGUUGCCUAACAAGCUUAAUGAAGGCAAAAUAUGUUUCGUUGCUCAAGUUUUUCCACAACAAACACUUGAAUCAGUUGCAACAAAUGAAAUAUUGUAAAAGGUUGUGAUUAGCGAGAAAAUUUGUUUUGUACUCUCAGAGUUUUUUGCAACAAGAUUAAUUUUGUUGCGCAAAGGUUAACAAAAAUAUUAAAUUAAUAAAUGAAAAUAUAAAGAUAAUAUAAAAGCAAACAUGACUUUGUGGGAGGCUUUUUAAUUUUUUAUUUCCGCGCCCUUUAUUUAAUAAACCGCGUGCUAACCGAAGUAAAGUUUCCAUCUCCAAUUUUUUCUUAAUUAAAAUAUUGCUUCUAGAAUAUUUCCACUUUACUCUUCGCUUGUUUCUUUUGCCCUGCCUUGGAGUCAUUCUCUCUGGCCAAGCUUUAAGCCAUUGAAGAGUUGUACUUGGAAGGCACCACUCAAGACAACGAUUUCUUCAAGUAAAUUUAGUUUUAUUUUAUAUAUUGGCCUGUUGAGUUUGAUUUUGUUUAGUGGGUUUUGCUUUAAUUAUUUAUUAAGUGGGUCUUUGUUUCAAUUUUUAAUUUGUUAAAUUAAAGUUAAUGGAUUUUUCAUGGUGAAGAACUUGAGUUUGUGGACAAUAGUCAAAUGAAUGUAGGAUCUAUGCCCAGUAAUAGGAUCUUUCAUGUUAUAAUUUCUUUGACAAAAUUAUAGUUAUAUUGAUUUAUUUUUAUGUUGAUUAUUAAUAAACUCUAAUGUAUAUUUUUAAUAAUUACUAGAUGGGUCCUGGACAUAGAGUUACCAAACGUGUAAGAGCAGAAAUUGUUGUCGCAUCUACAAUUCCCCAAUCUCAGCCUGUUAUGCCCAGCCAAGAGUUUGUGCAAGGUGUUGUUACAACUCUAGAAUUUGGUACUUAAAGAGUUUAAUUGGUAGGUUUUGUUUGAUCGACUAUUAGUAAGUACUUAUGAUUAUUAAUAUUCUUCAUCUGUCAUUUUUUUUAAUUAUAAACUGAGAUAUCUUUUUUUCCUAAAUUCAGUCAAAUUUUGAGAUUGAUUUGAACUUACCACAUGUUCGUCGAUGUGUGAAUAACAUUAUGGGUGGGAGAUAUCAUGAUAUGAGACAUUGGAUGUAUGAUCAUUACUUGGAUUAUCCAUCCUUUGAAGAGGCACUUAAGCAUUCAUAUCCAGGCAUAUGUCCAGAUGAUUGGGCUUGGCUUUGUCAUAACAUUUACAAUUCCGCAAGUUUCCAGGUCCAAUGAUAUUCAUAUUAUGAACUUUAAAUUGUCCAACUAGUUGUCAAUAUGCUUGUAUAUGUAUCUUAUUUUCCACUGUUAUAUUUUUUUAAUGUAGACUCAAUCUACCAAAAACAAAGCUAAUCGUGCUAAGCUUCCAUAUGUCCAUUGUGGGGGAUCAAGACCUUUUGUUAAUUAUCUUGAGGAUGACAUGGUUGAUGGUGAAAUAGAAUUAUUUCGCGUCACUCAUUUCAGCAAGACAAAAGGUUGGGUGAAUGAGGUGGCACACUUAAACCAUGUAAGAUGCUUUGUUGGAAACAAAAUUUUUAAUUUUAUUAUUUCUUAUCACCUACAUACUGUUGAUGAAAGUUUACUCAUUGAGUUUUUUUUCUUAAUUUUUCUUUCAUGCUCUAAUUAACUUUAUUAUUUGAAAUAUCAAAUAAUUAGAUUUAUAAGUAUAACAACAAGUUUUUUUUUUUUUCAAUUUAUGUCUUAAUACAAAUUAAUUCCAUGACCAAUGGAUUAAAUUUCAACUAUUUAAUUAAUAAAAUUCUUUUUUUUCUUCCUUCGUUUACUAACAAAGCUUUACGUAUAGGACCAAAUGGUAGAGAUACAACAACAACAACAAAUAGAUCCUCAAGAAGCAAAACCACUAACUCAAAGGGAAAUAUGCAUUGAAGUACUUGGAAAGAAAACAUGCUAUUUUCGAGGACUUGGCAACGGACCACGCCCAACUUCAAACCAUGGUGUUGAUACUUCUGAGGCUGAUAGAUUGCAUGGUAUUAUAUCUUCACAACAAAGUAGAUUGGAUUCACAAGAUGUUGAGCUUCAAGAACAAAAGAAGACUAUUGAUCAAUUGGAGUCCAGAUUGUCCCAAUUUGAGGGUAUGAUGCAGCAAUUUUUUUCUUCUCAAGGAUCCGCUUUUCGCUUUACAGAUUCAGCUACUCAAUGAUUACUCAUUUCAAUGAUGUCCUUAGAGUAUCUUGAACUUGUUAGUAUUUUGAAUUGGUCAUCACUUGAUCUUUUUGGUUACUGCUGGUGCAUGUCAUAUCUUUAAGGAUUUGGAGUUUGGAGCAGUUGUAAUUAGAGAUCGUUUAUAAUUUUUGCUCAUUACAUUUUUGGGAUAGAUGACAAUCCACUUUUGUAUUUGACUAUCAUAUGUGAUUCUUAAAGUCAGUUUUGUAUAUAUAUAUAUAUAGCUUGGAUACUGAAUGGGCCUUUAACUUUUAAAUUAGUUCAAUGACAUUAAUGAUUUUUUUGUUAGAUUUCUCAACAUAUAUUUGUAGUUUAUUAUUGUCAUGGUGGGGGAAAAAAUUGGUAUCUUUCCCAACGAACUUGGUUUGCUUCCUUUUAUACCAUGAUAUUAUUAAAAAAAAUUGUACUAUUUUUUAAUGACAAAAUUGAUUUGUUUCUAAAAAUAUUUAAAUAUUUAUUGCAAAUUUGUAAAAUUUUCAACAUAAAGAAACAAAGUAGUUUUGUUGCCUAAAAUGAUCUUAGCUAACAAACACCUUUGUUGGUACACGUUUUUUUUAUAAAAUGUACUUUAUUUCUUAGCAACAAAUUAGUUUUGUAGUAAAUAACUAUAUAGAAACAAAAUUAUUUUGUUGUGUAAAACUGUUUAGCGCAACAAAAAUGUUUGUUGCCAAAUUAUUCUCUAAACAAGUUGAAGACUCCUUCACAACGAAUCUGUUUUGUUGCGAAAGGAAGUUUGAGGCGAGAAAUGUUUUGAUAUGUUGUUAAACAUAGAGGGCGACAGUGCUAGGCCGACGACGGGCCGACAAGCUUGUUUUUGUAGCAAUAACCUAUGGCAACAAAAUUGGCACUUUAGGCAACAAAAUCUUUUUGUUGCAAAAAGCCAUUUCUGUUGUGGUGGAUAUAUUGGAAGUGCUUAAUUACGUCGACUCGAAGUUGUUGGGAAUUAAUGCAUGUAUUGAUUUAUUGGGAGUGUUUAAAUGAUUUUGUGAUUUACUUGAUUGAUUGAAUAUUGUUUGAUUGCUUCAUAUCCAUUCUACAAAGUUUAUUUCUUUGUGAAAUUUCAACGAAAUAUGUUUUUUUUUUUUUAAAUAAGGGUGUUCUAAAUAAUUUUAAAAAAUAUAUGGACUAAUUAGAAUUAAUUAUUAGGUAAUUAACUCAAUCUGUACAGGGUGAAACAACAUUUAUCCUAAUUAUAUCAUGAUAAAUACUUUUCUGAUUAGAAUUAGGAAAUCAUAGGUUUAUUGAAUUGUUUUUUUUUUCCUUUGCGGAAACGGAUUAGAGAAUUAGAAAACAAUCAUGUUGAUGUCAAAAUCUGAUCUAGUCGGUUAGCGACUUAACAUCAUAUUACUGCACCAGUAUUAAAUUUAUUUGGUAGAGAAUCGGCUGGUCAAUUGUCAAGAUGUCCUGCAAUCACUAGCGAUUAACCUACGAAUACAUGAAAUCAUAGAAGACGGUAAGAGCCACCAGAAGUUUUUUCGUCGUGAAUCUUCUGACGCUCAAGUCAGUUUAUAGGUUUACCAUAAUAAAAAUAAAUAAUUUCUAUUUAAAACAAAAAAUAGAGAUCAAAAGCUCAAAAAUAAAACCCAAUCCCAAUAUGAAAAUGAAUUUCUUUUUUUUUUUUAGCUUGGCCGAAUCCUUCUGCCUCCUAAAGAAACAUAAUAGAGGAGCAGGUAGCCAUGUUCCCUAGGUAACGCCCCACUCCCCUCUUUUAUUCCUCCCCCUCUCUUCCGUUUCCUUCUUUUGCUCACUAUCCUUUAUAAUUUUUUAUGCUUGUCUUCCCAAAAUAGCCUUUGAAUACACAAGUAAAUGUCUAGGCUUUGGUGAGGAUAGUUUGGUUAUUGCAUUUUACAAGUAAGAUGAGUGGUGGAGAAAAAUGAGGAGUGCAUAUAACUCUUCAGCAAAUCCCACCAACAAUUCAAUUUUCUUAAUUAAUUAAUCUCCUUUUUUAUCCCCAAACAAAUCCUAAUGAUACUAUUAUCAGGUUUAAAACAGUACAUAAAUAGUGAAAAGCUAACUAGUCUGUAGAGUAAUUGCUAAUUGCUUUCUCCUCUCUGAGCGCGCUGAAUAAUUUGUUGCAUGCAAACUUUUUAUUAUAUGCAAAUCGUACGUACUGUAACAUUGGAAUUGAUGUAUAAGCAAAAAUACAAGAAUAUUUAUGUCAAUAAAAAUAGUUUUUUUUUCCUUUUUAAAUAAACACAACGCGAUGUUGCUCUUCUCUACAUUUUUGCUAUCUCUUUAUUCUUUUUUUUUUUUUUUGGGCUUCUUAAAGCCUCAAACUUUGAUAACCAAAACUUCAUCGACCUAUGAAAAAAAUCUGCAGAUUAGUUUUUAUUAUCGGAAUAAUUGUUUGAGAAUACUAAAACAAAAUAUAAAAUAAGAAAAUAGGAGGUUAAAUUAGAGGGGGGGGAAAAAGGCAUGUUCUAUCGAUUACUAUAGUUUAAGGGAAAAAAAAAUCCAAUUGGGAAUUUUUUUCUUUAAUUUUUGUUUUACUUGAUUGAGAUUUCUCCUUAGUCCUUACAGUUUUAAGUUUGGAUGCCGUAGGGUUAGUAAUUUAGUACUUCCUUUGCAAGCUGAGUGCAAGAAUGAAAAUCUUUUAAGAAAUUAAAAAAGAUUAAAAAAAAGCAUACCAAUAGGUAAUUAUAAAUAACCAUAAAUAAACAUAAACAAAAUGUUUAUGAAGUAAAUUACACAUGCACAUAUUUUUUUUUUGUUUUAUUUCUUACUUGUCUAUUUUAUUUGCUGCUUGAUAACCCGUAAAUACUAAUCUAUUACUGCUAAUUCCAGACACAAAAUUUUUAACUCUAGGCUGCAGUUUUACUCAAAAUGAUGACCACUGGCUUCGCACCAUUUAACCGGCAUACAUUUCUACAAAUUGAACAAGGCUAUUGAUUUUCAUUAUUAUUUUUUAUUUAUUUAUAAAUUACUAUUUUAAUUUUCACUUUUUAUUGGGUUGUUUAACGGAUUAGUGAAGUUGGUGGUCGUGAUGCACUCACAAGGUACAAUUUUAUUUUAUAAUUUCAAAUUUGUAUUUUAAAAUACAGGUACAUUAUGUAUACAUAAUUAUUGAUUUUCGUAUGUGGGUGUUUUGAAAUAUUGCUAAAAGACCAAACUUUAAUAAACUAUUUUUCAUCUUUUUUUUUCCUUUUUUCCUAGAGUUUGAGUGAUAUCCGCAUUUUAAAUUCAUGAGGAACAAAAGCUAAUGUAUGCACAAAAUUCUUUUAUUUUUUCCUAGAAAAAUGGGUAAGAGAAGAAGAUUUUUCUCUUGAAAAAGAAAAACUAAUACGAUGCAAGCAUAGGAAAGAGGUCAGUGUUUUUGGAUUAGAAUUUAGUAUUGAGCUGAAUUUUAUACUAAACUCUUUUGUGGUGCUGCGAUUAAUAAACUCAUGAUUUGCUUUUGCUUUUACUUCAAGUGAAAGAAAGAGGAAACCUUUUGUUUUUUGUUUGAUUCUUGACUAUAGAUGUUACCUAUAUAGAGAGUUGAGGUAUCUGCCUUAAGUGAUGGUGAUAAAAAGAUUAAGCAGCGCACACAAUCUUACUGUCGUCCAGACCAUCCAGCUGUGAUGACUCUAGUUUUUUGGUUACAUUAGCUUUAGUGGAAAGGAGGGCCAAUUUAACAAAGACUAGAUUUGGUGGCUUACUAUAAUGCUUAUUCUCAGGGAAUCUAAUGUUAUAAGAUGAUUUAAUGAUCUUCUAUGAUUGUGAGUAGUAUAGUAUAAUUGAAAAGAGUCUGGGCUUCUAUGAUGAAUAUAUAAUAUUAACACAGUACUGUGAUUGAAAAAAACACAGUUACAAUAUACUCUUCAUUUAUUCAUUGCGGAGAUUAAAUGGCAAACAGAGAAUAAAAUGAAGCAGAGGGAUCUCAUUGCCAGUAAAAUUGACCCUCUUUAAUGUUAUAUGGCACAGGUGUGUGUACAGCAAGAGCAAGUUACUUGCAGUUUUUAUUGUAAAAUAUACAGGUUAUGACCAUGAUCAUUGUAGUUAGGUUUUGAUGAUUUUAGAUGCUUUUUUUAUUUUUUUAAAUUGUGACACCUUUGAUUUAUGGUAGUUUUGCAGAAGAAAAAAAUAUAAAUAAAAAUUAGGAGGGAUGAGUUAACUAACGAUUGCAAUCAUUACUGUAAUGUUGAUGAGUGAUACAUCAUUUGAAAUGUACUUGUCAGUUGCUGAAAUGAUGAAAAAAAACAAUAAACAAUAGCAGUAAUAUUUUUAUGGAAAUUCAUGGUUUUUAUGGAAAUACUCUUGCUGAAAUUCUAAUUUUGACUUUCAACUCUUGGUUUUUAUGGAAAAUAAAAUGACUUGUUUAUUAUAUUCAUACAAUCCACUCUACAUAAUGAUUUCAUUUUAAUAAAUGCUUGAUGAUCUCCACUGAAAAACUACUUCAAUUCUUUUGUUUUUUUUUAACUUUUUGGUUGUUGAAAAUAGCCUUAAUUUUCAAAUAACUGGAGAAAGAGUAAAGAACAUUUAACAAAUUUAUGUGCCAAAAAUAAAUGAGAAAUUGAAGAGAAAGGGUGCUUGCAGAAGUGGGUGCAAAGAUAAAUUAGUCUAUAAGAAUUAUUGUGGUUAUUAAUUUUUUGGCAAUAUAAAAAUUUUUCAGCAAAUAAAAAUUGAUUUUUUCCGAUUUACUAAAAAAUUAAUUAAAAACUUUGGCGAUAGCAUUUUUUAUGGGGCAUGUACCCUCCCUUUUAAAAAAAAAUAUAAUAAUUAAUACUUAAUAUAGUAUUAAAUACGAAAAUCUCAAUAUUUGACUACACAAAUUUAUAUCAUUAGGUCCUUAAAAUUUAAAAUUGAAGACACAUAAUGAAAUAUAUAUAAAUUUUCAACCUCAUAGGAAAUGAUCCUCUUAUAAUCUUAAAAUAUUUGAGAUUUGAAAGAUUUUUUAAAACAAAUGUACUUUUAUUUUUGUACAAUCAAUAUUUACUUAUUUAUUAUAUUUUUAUUCAUUAACUAUCAAUCAUGUGAGUAUAUUUACUCAAAAAUAUCAUAUCAACGGAGCAUCUUGAUCCCACGCACACGCAAAUAUGUUAAUUUCUAUACGCUUCACUUACCUCUAGAAUCAAUUAUCUAAAAUGCAAGUUUGUGGCCACAAAAAAAGCCAAAGAAAGAAGAUAACAAUUGACUUGUAUAUUAUACUCAUACAAUCCACUCGACAUAAUGAUAUCAUUUUAAUAAGGCAAUGGCUGAUGAUCUCCAUUGAAAAACUAAUUCAAUUUUUUUGCUUCAUUUAACUUUUUGGUCGUUGAUAAUAACCUUAAUUAUCACAUAAUUGGAGAAAGAGUAAAGAACAUUUAACAAAUUUAUGUGCAAAAAAAAAAAAAAAGGAGAAGUUGAAGAGAAAGGGUGCUUGCAGAAGUGGGUGUCAGAGAAAAAUCGGUCCAUAAGAAUUAUUGCGGUUAUUUUUUGGCAAUAUAAAAUUUUAUAGCAAGUAAAAAUUAAUUUUUUUCCGAUUUAUUAAAAAAAUAACUAAAAACUUCUGCGACAGCAUUUUUAUGGGUGCAUAUACCCUCCCUUUAAAAAAAAUAAUAAUUAAUGCUUAAUAUAGUAUUAAAUACGAAAAUAUCAAUAAUUGACUACUCAAAUUUAUAUCAUUAGGUCCUUAAAAUUUAAAAUUGAAGACACGAAAAAAUUGAAGAUAUGAAAGGAAAUAUAUAUAAAUUUCAUUCUCAUGGAAAGGAUUCUCUUAUAAUCUUAUAAUAUUUGAGUUUUGAAAUUUUUUUGAAACAAAUGUAAUUUUAUUAGUGUACAAUCAAUAUUUACUUAUUUAUUAUAUUUUAAUUUAUUUAUUAUAUUUAGUCAGAAAAAUUAUAUCAAGAGAGAAUCCUAAUUUCACGCAAACACAACUACAAGACAAAUAUGUUAAUUUCUAUACUAUUCACUUUCCUGUAGAAUCAAUUAUCUAAAAUGCAAGUUUGUGGCUACAGAAAACUCGCCAAAGAAAGAAGAUAAUAACAAUUGAGCAUUGAUAGCAAAACUAAUGCAUCCAAUUCUUCUUGACUUGAUGAGAUGGCGCCAUAACGUAGAAACAAGUACCUAAAUUGACCGGCACUGAGUGAUGUGAAUACUACCAGCCAGUUCAUCUCUUCCAGUCUUGCUUAAUCACAAUCACAAACACCACGAGAUCGACAUUUGCAUUAUAUAUAUCUUCAGCAAUCGAAACACCUUGCAUUACCAAAUUAACCAGUAACAAACAAAGCAAUGUUUCAUGGAGAGAAAGCUUAGUCUCAGUAUGAUCAUUGUGUCAUUAACCCACUGCCUGCUUCUUUGCUUGGUUGUUGCAGCAGCAGCAGCAGCAAGCAGCAAUAUUACCACAGACCAACAAGCUCUUCUUGCCCUGAAAGAUCAUAUAACUUAUGAUCCGACCAACCUUUUUGCCCAUAAUUGGACCUCGAAUACCUCUGUUUGUAACUGGAUUGGCAUCACUUGUGAUGUCAAUAGCCAUAGAGUCACAACCUUAGAUAUUUCUCAAUUCAAUCUACAAGGCACCGUCCCUCCUCAACUUGGAAACCUCUCUUCACUCACAACACUUAAUCUUAGUCAUAACAAGCUUUCCGGAAGCGUUCCCACCUCCAUCUACACCAUGCAUACACUAAAAUUUCUUGACUUCACUGAUAACCAGCUCUCUGGUUCAGUUUCAUCCUUCGUCUUCAACAUGUCUUCAAUAUUAGACAUUCGUUUGACCAAUAACAGACUUUCUGGUGAGCUUCCGAAAAAUAUUUGCAACUAUCUUCCUUAUUUGAAAGCCCUUUUUUUGGACAAAAACAUGUUGCAUGGCAAAAUUCCUUCUGCUUUAUCAAAGUGCAAACAACUGCAACAAUUAAAUUUGCAGUUCAAUAAUUUAUCCGGUGCAAUACCAAAAGAAAUCGGCAACUUGACCAUGCUCAAAGGGAUAGACCUCGGCUACAACAAACUCCACGGUAUGUUCAUAAUACUAUGUAAAUAUUUUAAUUUCUCACUUGUUAAUUUUCUUGAAUAUCUUAGAUAAGAUUUUGUAAGUGAGAUUUUUUGCAUCUAUGUUAAUUUACCAGGUGAGAUACCCCACGAAAUCGCUAAUCUUCGAAAUCUAGAGGCUUUAGUGCUAGGAAUGAACAACCUAGUUGGUGUGGUAUCAGCUAUAAUCUUCAACAUGUCAUCACUGAAGGUACUUAUCCUCAUCAAUAACUCUCUCUCCGGAAGUCUCCCAUCAAGAAUGGACCUUUCACUUCCAACUAUUGAGCAUCUUAACUUGGCACUUAAUAGAUUUUCUGGAACCAUUCCUAGUUCCAUCACCAAUGCUUCUAAGCUCUCCUUUCUAGAGUUGGGAGGAAACACAUUUUCGGGCUUUAUUCCAAACACAAUUGGAAAUUUAAGAAACCUUGAGUGGCUCGGCUUGGCUAAUAACUCCUUGACAUCUUCAACCUCAAAAUUGAGCUUUCUUUCCUCUUUGGCAAAUUGCAAGAAAUUAAGAUCCUUAAACUUAAUAGGCAAUCCGCUUGACGGCUUCCUUCCAAGUUCAAUAGGUAAUCUUUCCAUGUCUUUGAAAAUACUUCUCAUCGCCAAUUGCAGUAUUAUUGGCAACAUUCCUCGAGCAAUUGGCAAUUUAAGCAACUUGUUGGCCUUGACAUUAGAAGGCAAUAAAUUGACUGGACCAAUUCCAAUUACAUUCGCCCGACUGCAGAAACUCCAAGGUUUAUAUCUUCCAUUCAAUAAGUUGGUAGGUUCAUUCCCAGAUGAGCUUUGCCAUCUAGCUAGGCUGGCUGAAUUGGUCUUACUUGGCAAUAAGCUUUCAGGAUCUAUACCUUCAUGCUUAAGUAAUCUCACUUCUCUAAGAUCUCUCUAUUUAGGGUCCAAUAGGUUUACUUCUGUCAUUCCCUCAACUUUCUGGAGCCUAAAAGACAUCUUGUUCUUUGACUUUUCAUCAAAUUUCUUGGUUGGUCCUCUUUCUUUAGACAUAGGAAAUUUGAAGGUGCUUGUAAGAAUAAAUUUAUCAAAAAAUAACUUAUCCGGUGAUAUCCCAGCCACAAUUGGAGGAUUGAAAGAUCUUCAAAUUAUGGACCUAGCAUAUAAUAGACUGGAAGGCCUAAUUCCUGAAUCAUUUGGUGACUUGAUAAGUUUAGAAGUUUUGAAUUUGUCAAAUAAUAAAAUCUCUGGGUCUAUUCCAACAUCCAUGGAGAAAAUCUUUUACCUCCGAGACUUAAAUCUCUCUUUCAAUAAACUAGAAGGUGAGAUUCCUAGUGGAGGAAUUUUUGCCAACUUCACAGCUGAGUCAUUUAUGGGAAAUGAGUUAUUGUGUGGUUUACCAAAUCUUCAAGUCCAACCAUGCAAAGUUAGCAAGCCGAGGACAGAACAUAAAUCAAGGAAAGAGAUACUUCUCAUUGUGAUUGUUUUGCCAUUGAGUAUUGCUCUAACAAUAGCAAUCACUCUACCUCUCAAAUCUAAGCUGAUCGAAUGUGGAAAAAGAUGCACAGUGUUGUCAAAUGAUAGUGUCUUGUCAUCACAAGCAACACAAAGAAGAUUUUCAUACUUAGAACUUUUACAAGCAACAGAUAAUUUUGCUGAAAACAACAUAAUUGGCAGAGGAGGUUUUGGUUCCGUUUUUGGAGCAAGACUUGAAGAUGGGAUGAAGAUUGCAAUAAAAGUGUUUCACCAGCAAUGUGCAAGCGCAUUGAAGAGUUUUGAGGCUGAAUGUGAAGUGUUAAAAAAUAUUCGCCAUCGAAACCUUAUCAAAGUUAUCAGCAGUUGCUCGAACGAUGACUUCAAAGCAUUAGUCCUAGAAUACAUGUCCAACGGGAGCUUGGAGGAUUGGCUGCAUUCUAGCAAUUACGUGCUGAAUAUAUUUCAUAGGUUGAACAUAAUGAUUGACGUUGCAUCAGCUUUAGAAUAUCUCCACUUCGAUCAUUCAACUCCUAUUAUUCAUUGUGACUUAAAGCCUAGUAAUGUAUUGUUGGACGAAAAUAUGGUUGCUCAUUUGAGUGAUUUUGGCAUAGCAAAGCUUUUAAGUGGAGAAGAUGAGUCUACGAUGCGAACAAAAACCCUUGCCACUAUAGGUUAUAUGGCACCAGGUUUGCUUCAAAUAACUUUUUUUUUUAGUUCAUUUUAAAUUUUGCAACUUAUUGAUUUUUACGAUCCUCACAUCAAAAUUUUAUUGAUUAUUUAUCUAAUUGUGAAAUUAAUUUGAUUCAUAGAGUACGGCAUAGAAGGAGAAGUAUCUACAAAAAGUGAUGUUUACAGCUAUGGGAUUAUGUUGAUGGAAACUUUUACCAAGAAAAAACCCACAGAUGAAAUUUUUGUUGGAGAAUUGAGCUUAAAGCGUUGGGUUAAUGACUUGCUUCCUACUUCAUUAGUGGAAGUUGUGGACAAAACUCUGCUAAGUGGAGAGGAAAAACAUUUUGCAUCAAAGGAGCAAUGUCUGUUGUCUGUCUUUUGUUUGGCUCUGGAGUGUACAAUGGAAUCACCGGAAAAGAGGAUUAAUGCAAAAGAUAUUGUUACCAGAUUACUCAAGAUAAGAGACACAUUGAGUAAAAGGAUAGGAAACUUCAGUUAAUUUCGUUUGCUUUCAUUGAUGGUUAAUUCAAAUUCAUGUAAUAAGUGUAAGAAUCUUAUAUGCUUUCCUUAGAUAUAUAUUUUUUUUUUUGAGAAAACUGUCGUAGUCAUCUUGUUUCCAUGGGCAGAGUUGAUUUAGUUCUUCCAAAAAAUGCUACUGAUGACCUUUGUUUAAUACUCUCUUUUUUUGCAUGUGUUUAGGUAGAACAGUGGUUUGGCUGCAGGCUAAGAAGACUAACUACACUAAAAGAAUAUGAUUUAAUUUAUUAAACAAAACUUCAAGUUCAAGAAAAGUAUUUCACUGCCCCCAAUGCUUUGGACACCUACUGGUAGGUUUGUACGUGUCCUCAACUUUUUUUUGGAGCACAAAAUUCGAGUCCCAUGGAGACUCAAACAUUCCUUUCCCGCAUCCCGAGCACGCUAAAUUCAUCAGACUGACGACUGGGACAUAUACAAGAGUGAAAUGUUUGGAGCACACUAAGUUCGAGUGAAAGAGAUUAAUUUACGGAAACUAAAGCCGAAGGUUCAAAAAAAAGUGCAAAGUGAAUUGAUGCACAAUGUCAUAUUCAUACAGAGAUCAAUUAUAUUAUUUACAGCUGGUAAGGGCUAAGAAUUGAUGUAGCUAGAAUACAAAGAGGAUAAGGUAUGUUGAGCACUAUUGUUUUUAUUCUACAAUCAAUCUUGACCCUUGAUGCUUGGCUCUCAAUCUUGUCCAUUGAUCGUCUCUGAUUUUGGAGACCUCAAGACCUUUCAGUAUCAUGCCUUGUUAUUGGUGUCUUCCGUGCUGUAGAAUUCAUAUACAAGCUUUCCCGCCGACUUGCCAAGUAUUCGUUCAUUGAUGCAUUUUUAUCAAACAGCUGGGCUACUUAUACCAAACACCGCCUGGUUUAACUCCCCCUCUCUAGCUCAACUAUCUGGGAAGACAAUUAAUUGAGAUAUGAAUCAGAAAGUUAAAUUUUAACAAUUAUAUUCGGACUCUACAUUUUGUAAUGAACAUUGGUUUGACUUGUUAUACAUUUAUGCGUACAUAAUUAAUAACCGAUUCUCAAGUGCGGACAUUCAAGAGCACUGCUUAAAGACCAAAUAUUUUGAUUUACUAUUUUUUGUCUUUCAAUUUUCUUUUAAGUUCUGAUGACGUCCGCAUUUUAAAAUCCUGUGGAACAAAGGCCUGAGGUGCAUAUAAAAUUCUUUUAUUUUUCAGAGGAAAAUGGGUGAGAGAAGAAGAUUUGGCAAAAGAAUUGCAACGGCAAUAUGAAACUAGUCUUUGUCUUUUAAUUCUUUUAUAUUUGUUUUUGUUAUUGAUGUUAGCUUGGAUGUGUGCGCGUGUUGUUAACAUAUAUGUUUACAUAAUGUUGAUUUUGAUGAUAACAAACAAAAUUAAGAAUGAUUAAUCUUUUAAGCUCAAAUUAUUUAAUAUUCUUUUUAAAUAAAUCAUUAUUUUCACAUUAUAAAUGUUUCAUAUUUAAUGGAAAAUUGAUUUUAUGAAAUUGGUUGUUUUUCAAAGUUUAUGGUUUAAUUGAAAGAAUUUUGAAAACUUUGAAAUAAACAAGUAUUGCUUGAAAUUUUAGUAAAGGACUUAUUUGAAAAGUGUCUUAGCAUUUUUGGCUAUAUCAUAAUUUCAGAAAGUUUUGGGAUUAACAAAGCAUUACUUAGAAAUUCUGAAAUUGGACCUAUUUGCAAAGUUUCAUAACGUUUUGGGCCUUAAUAUAGUUUUGUAAAGUUUGGGAGUCAAAAUGUAAUUUUAGAAAAUAAUUUCACUGUAGCAUCACUGUAGUAAACGGCUAACCGUUUAUUUAAAACGGCUAACCGAUAAUUUUCAGAAAGCAUAUUUUGCAUAGUAUUGUUAAAAUGAUGAUUCUGAAACAUAACGGUGAACCGUUUACUGAAAACGGUUAACCGAUUAUUUUCAGAUUGCUAACCUUGAACCGUUUAGUAAGAACGGUUAAACCAAAUUUGUUUUGCAGGUCUCUGGAAUUUAACGGCGAAAGGGUAAUACUAAACGAUAAACCGUUUAUUUGAAAAUUGGUCCAACGGUAACUUUGACCAGCCUAAACGGUUAACCGUUAAUGGUUAACGGCGAACCAUUUUCGAGCAGACAGUCUAUAACGGCUAGUUUUUCAGCUCCAACUAUAAAUAAGCUCAAUCCAAUUCAAACAAGAUAAAUUCCAACGAUCAUCAUUGAGCAAAAUAUUGAGAAUACAACUUUCAUUGAGCUUUAAAUCCUUGUAUUCAUCUCAUUCAUUCACACAUUGAGCUUUCACUUGUGAUCAAACACAUUGUGUGAGAGAGAUUCAUUUGAAAUCCUCUUUGUAAAAUCAAGUUAAAAGAUUGUAAGUGUUGGGAUACACUUGAGUUAAGAGAUUGGGGAUAAUCUCUUGUUGUAAAGGUCCAUUGACACCUUGGAAGUCAAUUGUAAGCGUUUGAAGCCUAGGGAGGCUAGCUUAGUGAAAUCCUCAAGCCCAGUGAGCUUGGAGGCGUGGACGUAGGCGGGGUUUGCCGAACCACGUAAAAAUCAUUGUGUUUGUUUUCUCUUCCCUUAGUCUUUUAAUAUUGUGCAUGAUUGAAUUUAUUGUUUUCAAUUUGAUUAAGGCAAUAAAUUAAAUUGUUGUGCGAAUUGUAUUGCAUAAAUUUUAAAAUCCCAAUUCACCCCCCUCUUGGGUUGCCUAGUUAGUAUUUCACGUGUGACUGAAUUCAACUUAUAUUUGUUUUUGUUAUUGUUAUUAAUUUUAUUUGUUUGUGUUAAAUUGGACCACCAAAAAGGGCUGUCCAUUAUCAAAUCAACACGGUUUAAUUAUUAUUAUUUCUACACUUUUUUUAUAAACAAAUAUAAAUAAAAGGAUAUUUACACCCCAAAUUUUAGUGAAAUAGUCAUUAACACUCCUAAAUUUUUAAAAAAAGAUAUCAAGAUCAUUUUUUGAUCUUAAUACUCUCAUACGGUACCUCUAUUAUUCUUAAAAAUUGACUCUAAUGUUUUAUAAUAAAUAAAAAUAAAACAUUAAAAUAAAUGUAAUAACAUAUAAUUUUAAAAUAAUUUCAUUAUUUAAAAAAUAUUUUUAACAUUUUACAAUCUAUUAAAUAUAUUUUAUUAUAUUAAAGUAAUUUUAUAAUAAAUAGAAUCAUAUUAUUAGAAUAAAUGCAUUAAAACUUAAAUUAUUUUGAAUAUCAUGUAAGAUAAUAAUUUUAACAUUACUAGUAUGUCAGUUUUUUUUUAAUUGUAGAAUGUAUUUAGUGCAAAUAUUUAUUUCAAAUCUCUACAAUAAAUAAAAGAUUAAAAUAAAUAUAAUAAUUUACAUAUCUAAAUUUAUUAAAAUAUUUUAAUAUUGUUAGUCUACUGCAUAUAUCACAAUAUUUAUAUAACAUUUGUAUUUAUUAAAAGCUUUAAAAUCAAUUCUUUUGAGAAUAAUAGAGGUAAAGGGUACAAUGGUCAAAAUGGGGACUUUGUACCCUUUUUUGAAAACUUGAAAGUGUUGGUGGUUAUUUUUCCAAACCUUCAGGGUAUAGAUGUCCUUUUUCCACAAAUAUAUGAGAAAAUUAUCAAGAAAUACAGUAUCUGAACUUUGAAGUAACAAGGAUCACCUUUUAUGAAAUCGAUUGCUUUUCAUGAUAGACUGUUACCAUUUUUCUACAAUAGAUUGAAUUUAGUAAAAAAUUGAUUAAGAUGUCUACUCAUGGAGAGUGAAAUUUAUGUUCAAAACUAAUUUCAACAAGCAUGCACCACCGAACGUGUUUCUCACGGAAAAGUUGCUUGGAUUUUUGGGACUUCCUGUUCAAAUAUUCAACACGGCAUGCACCACGCGAUUGAACAUGCAAAAGUAGGGGUCUAUUUUCAUUUCCAGCAUUAUAGAAAUCUUAAUUUUGUUCAUUAGUUAUUUUGAUCAGCACUGUUGAAUCUCCAUGUAUUGCCAAUCACUAAGAAACAACAUAUUCUUAUUAAUUAUAUCCUCUAAUGGAGAGAACUCAUUGUCUCAGUAAGAUCACUGUGUCAUUAACCCACAGCAUGCUGAUUUGCUUGGUUGCUGCAGCAAGCAAAAAUAUUACCACAGAUCAAAAAUCUCUUCUUGCCCCAAAAGAUCACAUAACUUAUGCUCCAACUAAUCUUUUGACCCAAAAUUGGACCUCAAAUACGUCUGUUUGUACGGGGAUUAGCAUCCCUUGUGAUGUCAAUAGCCAUGAAGUCGCAGCCUUGGAUAUUUCUCAAUUCAAUCUACAAGGCACCAUUAUUCCAAACACAACUGGUAAUUUAAGAAACCUUAAGUGGCUCGGCUUGGCUUAUAAACUACUUGACAUCUUCAACUUCAAAAUUGAGCUUUCUUUCCUCUUUGGCAAAUUGCAAAAAAUUAAGAAUCUUAGGCUUACUGGAAAUCCACUUGACCGUAUCCUCUCAGGUUCAAUAGGUAAUCUUUCUAUGUCUUAGGAAAGAUUUCACAUCGCCAAUUGCAGCAUUAGUGGCAGAAUUCCUCAAGUAAUCAGCAAUUUAAGCAACUUGUUGGCUGGUGUGCAAAAUUUUAAUAUACUCGCAAACGCAGGAAUCUAGAAAUAGAAUAAUGGUAACGAGGUCAAACCCACAUGGAUUGUUAUAAAAUGACAAAAGAAUAGCUGCUGGUCUAGAGGUGGCUUACUACAUUCAUACAAGAUCGUUUCUUGUUCUCCAAGAUGUGCAUUAUACUAAUAAUGCUAUACAAACUUAUAUACUGAUCUUAUCCUCUAGAUCUGUUCAGGCUGAGUGAUCUCUCACAUUUGCCAUAUCAGAAGAUUACAUGCCAGUAAUGUCAUGUGAUGACCUGUUGCUUGGUGAUGUCGAAUGCCUGGCCUUUACUUCUCUGAGCAAAUUGAUCAAACAAUCUGUUCAUUUUAUCGAACACCUUCACCAACUAACAUUUAAUUUACUUUUGAUGGUUUUUAAGUGCAUUUAAUGAUUAUUUUUGCUCCAACUUCAGAUAAACCAAACGCUAGUAUAUUAGAAGAAGAAGUUAACUGGCAGCUAACCAGGUCAAAAUAGCGACUCUAUAUAAAAAAUAUAUAUAUAAAAUAAAAAAUAAAAAAUGGGACUUUAUUUAAUUAAUUGUUGGUCUAAAGCUGUUGGUAUCCGUUGGCCACGUUUCUGAAGAGUCAUCUCAAAUCAAAAUUUUUAACGAACAAAGAACUUUGCUUUUUUCCAUUGUUCACAUUGCUGCUGGCUGCCACCCGUGAGAUAAAAGUGCUACAAUCCAAAAUGUUCCACCAUUAUUUAUUCUAAUUUUAAUUUUCCAAUGGAAAAAAUUACAUAAUUAAAAUGGCUUCUAAUAUCAUUUCCACAUCUCAAUAUGUGUCACUAUCAGAAGGUUGUUUUCAUGAUUCAUUGUAAAUUUGGAUUACAGUACCUGUACUUUCUGAUGGUUCAUUAUUUAUUCUCAGGAAUCGAGUCUCCUUACAUUACCAAACUAAUAACAACCAGCAAUCUUUUAUCCUUUCACGGUGAGAAAUCACAGUCUUCGUAUGAUCGCAGUGCCAUUAACCCACUGCCUGCUUCUUUACUUGGUUGUUGCAGUAGCAGCAGCAAGCAACAUUACCACAGGCCAACAAGCUCUUCUUGCCCUGAAAGCUCAUAUAAGUUAUGAUCCAACUAAUCUUUUGGCUCAAAAUUCGACCUCAAAUACCUCUGUUUGUAACUGGAUAGGCAUUACUUGUAAUGUCAAUAGCCAUAGAGUUACAGCCUUGAAUAUUUCCAGCUUGAAUCUACAAGGUACCAUCCCCCCUCAACUUGGAAACCUUUCUUCACUGACAACACUUAAUCUUAGUCAUAACAAGCUUUCCGGCGACAUUCCCCCCUCCAUCUUCACCAUGCAUAAGCUGAAAUUUCUUGAUUUCAGUGAUAAUCAGCUCUCUGGUUCUUUGUCCUCCGUCACCUUCAACUUGUCUUCAGUAUUAGAUAUUCGUUUGGAUAGUGACAAACUCUCUGGUGAACUCCCAGUAAAUAUUUGCAAUUAUCUUCACUAUUUAAAAGUCCUUUUUUUGGCCAAAAACAUGUUUCACGGUCAAAUACCACUGGCUUUAUCCAAGUGCAAACGGCUACAACUGUUAAAUUUGGGGUUCAAUAAAUUAUCAGGAGCCAUACCGAAAGAAAUCAGCAACUUGACUAUACUUCGAAAGAUAUCUCUCAGAAAUAAUAAACUUCGCGGUAUAAAUGUUUAUAAUAUAUACUUUGUAAAUGCUCUUAUUAAUCAUUCUUAAACUUUCUUAGACACUUUUGUCUAAAUAAAUUUCGUAAGAGAGUUUUUUGCAUCUCUGUUAAUUUUGCAGAUGAGAUACCUCACGAAAUUGGGUAUCUUCCAAAUCUAGAGAAUUUGGUGCUUGGAUUCAACAACCUAGUAGGCGUUGCACCUGCUGCAAUCUUCAACAUGUCAACAGUGAAAGAAAUUUACCGGUUAGAUAACUCUCUCUCGGGAAGUUUUUCAUCAGGAAUAGACCUUUCACUUCCUGAACAGAUUUUCUGGAACCAUUCCUAGUUUCAUCACCAACGCAUCUAAACUUGUAUAUCUAGAUAUGGGAACAAACUCUUUUUCGGGCAUUAUUCCGAACACAAUUGGUAAUAAUCUAAGAAAACUUGACUGGCUCGACUUAACAUACAAUUGCUUGACAUCUUUAACUCUAGAAUUGAGUAGUACUAGGUUGUUAAAUGACGGUAUCUUGUCAUCACAAGGAACACUAGGAAGAUUUUCAUACCAAGAUCUUUUUCGUGCAACAGAUAAAUUUAGUAAAGACAAUCUAAUUGACAUAGGAAGUUUUGGUUCUGUUUAUCGAGGAAGACUUCGUGAUGGAAUUGAGGUUGCAAUAAAAGUGUUUCACCAGAAUUUGUGCAAUGGAAUUGAUGAGUUUUGAGGCUGAAUGUGAAGUGAUGAAAAAUAUUCGUCAUCGAAAUCUUGUCAAAAUAAUCAGUAGUUGUUCGAACGAAGAUUUCAAAGCAUUAGUUCUAUAAUAUAUGCCCAAUGGGAGAUUGGAGGAUUGCUUGCAUUCUACCAAUUGUUCGUUAAAUAUUUUUGGCAGGUUGAACAUAAUGAUAGAUGUUGCAUCGGCUUUGGAAUAUCUCCACUUCAAUCAUUCAACUCCUAUCAUUCAUUGCGAUUUAAAGCCUAGUAAUGUAUUGUUAGAUGAAAAUAUGGUUGCUCAUUUGAGAUUUUGGAAUUGGAAGGCUCUUAACUGGAGACAAAUCAAUGAUACAAACAGAAACACUUGCCACAAUUGGUUAUAUGGCACCAGGUUUGCUCUGAAACAAUUUUUUUUUUUUUUUUUUUGGGUUUUCAUUUACACUUUCCAAAUUAUUAUUUUUCCAUGAUCCUUCUAUCCUAAUGUUGUUGAUUAUUUAUCUAAUGAUAAAAUCAAUUUGGUUGAUAGAAUAUGGCAUAGAAGGACGAGUAUCUACUAGAAGUGAUGUUUAUAGCUAUGGAAUUAUGUUAAUAGAAACAUUUACCAGGAAGAAACCCACAGAUGAAAUGUUUACAACAGAAUUGAGCUUGAAGCUUUGGGUUAACAACUUGCUACCUGCUUCAUUGAUGGAAGUUGUGGACAAAACUUUUUAAGUAGGGAAGAAGAAGAUUUUACUGUGAAGGAGCAGUGUGUGUUAUCAAUCCUGAGUUUAGCUAUGAAGUGUGUGAUGGAAAUGCCAGAAAAAAGGAUCAAUGCAAUAGAUAUUGUAACUAAAAUAUUGAAAAUAAGAGAUGUAUUGAGUAAAUGGUUAGCAAAUUUAGGUUAAUCUCAUUUCUUGGCAUUGAAACUUUAACUUGAAUCAAUAUAUACUUAAUUUGAAUCUUUGUAUGAGUGUAAGAAUAUGAUAUAUUUUCCUUUGAUUUUUUUUUUUGAGACAAACAUCGUAGCUAUCUUGUUUCAAAUUAAUUUUAUGCUUUUUUUUUCUUUUUCUAAGAUCAUGCCUAAGAGCCGUAGGAAGAUCAGCUACAAAUUCAAAGCCGGCUAAGGCAUUUGACAAUGGAGAGAUUGUUAGUUUUUUCUCCAUUGAAAUUAAUAUAUAUCACCUAUCCCAACUAUUUUCAUAAUGUCUAAUAACCUCCUGGCACCAUAAUUUUACCAUAUAACCCUUAUUUUUAAAUGCACUUUUAUUUAUAUUAAUAUUAAUUAAAUAAAUCAUAUGAGUUGGAAUUAAAAUUAAAAAAUUAAAGACCAAGAAUAAGAAAUAUACGUUUUAGUGUGCUUAAAAAAUUAAUAUUAAAAUAUUUUUUUUUUGUACUUUUUAUUGUCCAACCAAUGUUGACAUUUGCCUAUAUCAGGUUUUUUAUGUGUACAGUGCAGGUUCAACUUAAGCCAUUAAUAGAACAACUUGAGAGAGCAAAAGUAUUGCAAGUUCUUGAUUUUGAAAUCUCCAAGCAUAGGAAGCCAAAGCAUCUGCUUCUUCUGGGCAUGCUGCAAUGCUGGUUCUAGUUCGAACGUGACCUCUCAGUCAUCUCAAGAAGGGCUAUUCAUUGGGGACAUCGAGGUAACUUUACCCCACCCGGAGGUUUGAUAAUUCAACUUUUUUAAUAGAUUUGUCUAAUACAUUCAAUUUGAUUUUAUUAUGUACAUGUUUGGUUAAUUACCGUGUUCUGUUAAGUUCAAGUCCAGUUGCAAGUCCCAUUUGGUUUUGCAUUGUGUUCGUUCCGCCACUGAAUCCUUCAUAAAAUAGUUUAAGGUUUGGAAGUUGGUUGGAUAAAUAGUGCUAUAAUGGUAGUUACUUUCUUUUAUUUCGUUUGACUUUUCGCUAGUGUAUCACUCCUAGCAUAUAAUUAAUCAAUUCUUCCAGGCAUACCAUGACUUGAUUGUGAUGCUGUGGAUUAUCUAGGACCAUAAGCAUUUGUGUGUUAAUGUAUUAAACUUUUGCCAUACCUUUAACCAAUCUCAUAUGCAAGUAAAUAUGAUCACUUAGAUCAAAUUUCAGUUUAGACUUGAAUUGAAGUUUUAGUGUCCUGUAUGACUGGUCUUUCUCAAUUUUAUCAAACAUAUGUUUCCUUCUGAAAAUAUUAAAGUGGAUUUGAUAGUUUAAGCAAUUUGUGGUUGGAUUUUGGCAGUUUGAAGUUGUAAUUCUGGUACCAAUCAAGACGAGGAAGUGGAUGCCAAGUGUGAAACAACAAGUGGGCAUCUGAAAGUCACGCCACAUUGGAUGAUCCCACAAAAAAUGAAUCUUACAGAGGAACAACAUGGACAGAUUAAGCAGGAGCUAUAAAUGGAUAAAAUUUGAGCAGCUGGAGGAUCCAUAGAUGCCAAUAAACAACCGGAUUAUUCGAACGGACGUACCUCUAAUGGUCUAUCUGGAAAGUCCAGCGGGCAUGAAGUCUAAACGUGAAGUGGAUGAGGAGGAAGAUGAUACUAAUUCUAGAAACUUCAAGAGCUUUCAUUCUCAUGCUUUAUGAAUUUCUUUCUUGCUUCAGAAUUCAAAUGCAAGCUUUCCCUCUCAGUAUUUCUUCAUUGAGACAUUUUUCUCGAACAGGUUUAUACUUGUGUCAAACAUCUUCUGUUAUAACUAGGAAGCCAGUAAGAUUGUUUUUCAAGUACGUUAAGCGGAAACAAUAGGCAAGGCCUUUUGUCAUUAUAUCUACCACUUGAUUUUUUCUGCCCAAGUACUUACUAUUCAAUUCGUUUGUUCCAAUUUUGUCCCUAAUGAAGUGGUCUUAUAUCCCCACAAACUUUGCUCUUCCAUGAAAGACGAGAUUCUGUGCAAGUGCUAUUGCACUCUUGUUGUCACAUAACAACAGAGGAAUAAUUAAACAUACAUGAAUAUGCACUUUAGUAAGCAAGGAUCUUAACCAGCUGAUCAUUUCUGCUGCUACAUGAGACAGGGCUCUGUCUUAUACUUUUGUACUAGAUUUUGAGACCACCUUUUGCUUCUUGGAGCUACAUGAGAUCAGAUUUCUUGCGGGGUAAAAAAAUUCAUGAAAACCCUCAAGUAUUUAUGACAUUUAUAUAAAAAUAGAGUUUGAUUUUUCUUUCAAGUAUGUUCCUACAUUAAUCUCUACUUAAAAACUGAAAUAUCAUUUAAAAAAAUAAUUAUUCUUCCACCUUUAAAAUUCAAUAUUAAAGAGUAAUUUGUCAUUUUUAAUUAGAGUUAGAGGCUUGUUUUAUUAUGUAUAUAAAAUAUUUCUUAGGUGCAAGAACCCUCAUUUUUUUGUGCGGAUAUACUAUUAAACCAUGCAGUUUAAAAGUUGAUUAAAAUGAAUGGUGUAAUAGUGUGUCCAUAUAAAAAAAAAAAAAACAUAAUAAGGGCAUUGGCAUUAAAGAACAUAUAUAUUAUCCCAAUUAGGGAUCCCUAACCAUAUUAAAGUCAGGGGACAAGUUAAAAACAAAAAACAAAAACUUCAAUGUAUUUUGUCAUAUAAUGUAUUAAAAUCUGUAUUUUCUUUUAUCUUUUAGUUUAUCCCUAUUUUAAUAUGGUUAAAGAUUCGUAAUUGGAAACCCACUCUAAUUAUCUAUGUAUUUCUUAUUUUUAAUACAUUCGCACAAAUAUUUAUAUACAAUAAAUGUAUUACUUAGCCCUGCCUGAUAAAAGAUCCCGGGUCCGGCUCUGAAGGAAGAUGCAAUAUCCUCCUGCUGACGCUUCAUUAACCUUUUUCCUUUCAUUUUAAACUUUCUGAAUUAUUGCCUUUCGUAAUUCUCAUAUCAUGCAUUGAGUAUUUAUCUAACUAUGAAAUUAAUUUGAUUAAUAGAGUAUGGCAUAGAAGGACGGGUAUCUAUUAAAAGUGAUGUCGUUGCGGAAUUGAGCUUGAAGUAAGUUUUGGAUAAAUCUGCCGUAAAGAAGCAAUGUGUGCUGUCUAUCUUGAGUUUUGGAUUAAUCUCCUUAUCAUUUGUUAUCUUACUUAAUUAUAGCACUAUAUGAUAUUAUUAUACACUAUUUACAGUUUUCUGUGUUUUUUUUUUUUUUCUAAUUACUAACAUAUGAAACUCUAUUGCCUGGGAAAUUCAAGGAAUUUUGUUUGUGUAUAAUUAAUCAUUUCUUUUUUGGGAUUAAUUUAUAAUUAAUUUUGCAGAUACCAAGUAUCUAGAAAGAGCAGGACCCAGCAAGACCGGGUAAUAGAUAUAUAGAGAGAGACUUUGCAAUUGGUAAAUAUUAAGAGUGGCAGCAAUUAAAGUUGAUUAAUAUGCUAGUAUAAUAUUAGUAUUGACAUUAGGCAGAGACGGAGACUUUAGUGAAUAUUAUUGCUAUAUGAGUAAUUUUUGUAUAUGAGCGUGGCUAAUUACAAUUUCCAAAUCUCUGCGGGUUACUGAAAAUUUAAGUGCCUUGCAUAUGACUAUUAACCCAGUUUUUCAUGCUCGCUCGAAGCAUAUUGAAUUAGAUUAUCACUUCAUUUGAGAAAAAGGUUGCUGAUGGUGCCUUGGUUACGAAGUUUGUCCCUUCUUCGUUACAAAUUGCAGAUGUUUUUACUAAGGCUUUGUCAAAAGCCAUGUUCCGCAAUUUCAGAUACAAGCUUGGCGUUCAUCAAAUGUCACUUGCCAGCUUGAGGGGGGAUGUUAAGCAAGCUGACCAAGAUUACUAAAAGGAAAGUCAUCAACGGUCAAGUCAACAACGGGUUUAUCACUCCACACAACUUGCUCACGUCAAAGCUAUUUGUCAAGGAAUAUCUCCAGCACGAUUUUUGCACUUGAAUGCCAAUAUCAUGUAGGAAUAUUUCAUUCCUAUUUUAUAAAGAUAUUGUGCAAUAGUUUAGGAAGUAUUCACUUAUUUUCCUUUAAUAUUAUUAAGCCUUUUAACGGCUACUUUGUCUUUAUUUUGUAUAAAUAAUUCUGUAAAUUUCAUUAAAAAUAUAGAACAAGAAUUAUACUCUUCAUAGAAUUUCUUUCACUAAAUUCAUCAGCCUCUUGAACCCUCUCCUGAGGGCACCUUCUGUCCUCUGUUUUCUGUUACCAUACACUAACAGACAAAAGCAUUCAGAAUGACAACUGGGACAUAUAUAAGAGUGAAAUAAUUGAAAAAUUAUGCUUUUUUGUUUGUCAUGUUAAAAUCGUAAAGUGCGUAAGUACUAUGAAAGAGAUUAGUUUACGGAAACUGAAGCCAAGGGUUAAAAAAAAAAAAGGUGCAAAGAGAAUAAAGGGCAACGCUUAUGUAAAGAGACAUAAUUGUAUUGGUAGCACAAUGUCACGUUCAUACAGGGAUCAAGCAUAUUAUUUACAGGUGGUAAGGGCUAAGAAUUGAUGUAGCUAGAAUACAAAGGUGAUAAGGUAUGUUGUGCACUAUUUAUUUAUUCUACAAUCAAUCUUGACCAUUGAUGCUUGGAUCUCAAUCUUGUCCAUUGAUCUUCUCUGAUCUCGAAAACUUCAAGACCUUUCAAUCUUAUGCCUUAUUAUUGGUGUCUUCCAUGCUGUAGAUUUCAAAUACAAGGUUUCCCGCCAACUUGCCAAGUAUUUGUCCAUUGGUGCAUUUUAUCAAACAGUUUGAUACUUAUACCAAACGCCUUCUGUUUUAACUCCCCCUCUCAAGCUCAACUAUCUGGGAAGACAUUAAUAAACUUGUUUCUCAAGUAUAUGUAUCUGAAAAUGAAAUUUUAAAAAUUAUAUUCGGACUCUACAUUUUCUAAUGAACAUUGGUUUGGCUUAUAAGCUUAUUAUACUCAGGCUUGGUGGGAUUAUCGGUCGGUAGAUGACCGAGUGUUAGAGCUUUCGAAUUUAUGCCAAUUAAAAAAAAAAAAAAAAGAAUCUACAUAAAGUUUCAACUAGGCUACUACCACAAUAAACAUUUGGAUCAACUAUUAUUGAAACCUUAUUGAGAAGUGGGACAUGUCGCAUACCAAUGCACUGACAUAUCUUCAAAUAGUGGUAACUCCACACAGCAUGGCACAAUAAAUUAAGAGUUAUAUAGAUAAAAUCUUUCACUCUUUGGUAAUCAUCAAUUUCACUAUUAUUCGGUUUAUUAUGUUUGUUUCUUUCAGUAUGUUAAAAGAUUAUGUUGUGAAUUUGUUUUACAGGCUGCCCGUAAGUCUGCGCCCACCACCGGUGGUGUUAAGAAGCCUCAUCGUUACCGUCCUGGAACCGUCGCCCUUCGGUUUGUUCUCUAAUUUAAAUUUCCGUUGUAUAGCUUUAGUUGUUCUUGUCUAAUUUUGUGGGUAAUUUUGUAUAGAGAAAUUCGCAAGUACCAGAAGAGUACCGAACUGCUUAUCAGGAAACUCCCAUUCCAGGGACUUGUUCGUGAAAUUGCUCAGGACUUCAAGGUACCUUGUUAUCGUUUUGGUUGUUAUCUUUGUUAUCUUUAAAUUGGGUUCCCAAGAUUUCUUGAUAGACGGUUAAUGGCUAUUUUGUUGUCUGUUUUGCAGACUGAUCUGCGUUUCCAGAGCCAUGCAGUGCUGGCCCUGCAGGAGGCAGCCGAGGCUUAGGGCAUCUCCAAUGUAGCACUAAACCUAACACCAAAUCAUCUUUUACAUCAUUUUUGGUGUAAAAUGCUUCUCCAAUGUAACACCAAAAUGGUGCAAUGAAUAGUAUUGCACCAAAUAUGGUGCAAUACUAUUCAUUUGCACCAUAUUUGGUGCUAGGAAAAAAAGUCUCAAGUAUCCUUAUUACUUUAUCUUAUUUACAUAUAUGUCAUAUUUUAUAUAAUAUUUUAAGUUAUUAUUAUUAUUGUUAUUUUUUAAUUUCAUUUUUUAAUUUUUGAAUAUUUUAAAUAAAAAAUAUUCAACACAAAAAUUUAUAAUAAAAAUAAAAUGCCAAUAACAUUAAUUACUAGAUUACAUAUUACAAAAUUAAAAAUACAAAAUUAAAUUAACACAAAUUAAAAAAGCUACUACUACUAGCAUAAAUUAAAACAAUUAUUUAGUAAUGUGGGAGAUCAUUAUUAGAUUCUCCAAUAUCAUCAAAAUAUUUUUCUAUAUUAAUGUAAUGUUUAAUUUUCAUAAUGCACUUAUUAUUGUUAUUGUAUUUUUCUAUAUUAAUGUAAUGUUUAAUUUUUAUAAUGUACUAAUUUAGUUAAUUAAAUGCAAUAUUUAUUAAUUUUCUAUUUUUUUGUUAAUCGAUAUAAAAUUACUUAUUACUUAAUUAUCUAUAUUAAUAGUAAUAUUUAUUGUGUUAAUUGAAUUAAUUCUUGAGAAUUAAAAGAAUAAAAAGAAAAAUAUUCUUUUUGAUGUAAAAUUUGGUGUAAAUGGGUUGGAGAUGAAAUAAUAAUUUAGUGUGAAAAAGGUUCAUUUUUAGUGUUGGUGUUACACCAAAAUGAUGUUAUGCAUUGGAGAUGGCCUUACCUCGUCGGUCACUUUGAGGACACCAAUUGAAUGACUGGAAAGGGAAGGGGGAAGUUGUAAUGUGUUAAUUUGUAUGUGGGGUUCGUGGGGACGACGUCGCUUUUUCUUAGAUAUUUUUUUUCUUUUUCCUCCCUUAAAAACAGUGAAAUUACUUAUACUGGUUUUUCUAUUUUACAUUUUGAAUAUUAUUAAUUAAUAUAAUUUAAGAUAACAAUCAGGGAUAAAACAAUCAUUUUUUAUUCAAGAUCAUUUUAUCAAUAUUCUGUUAAAUAUUCUCACAAUUUAACUUUAUCCUUAACAAAAAUUUAACUUUUUUUUUUAAACUAACGGAACCAAAUUCUAUAUAUAAAUGUAUAGUACGCAUUAAUAAAUAAAUAAAACUUUGACGACCGGAGGGAAUGAAUAAAUAAAUAGAUAAAACUUUCGAAGCUCGUGAAUGUGCUAUUUUGGUUUUUUUUUUUUAGUAAUUGUUUAAUUGAAAAAAGAAAGCUUCGGGAUUUAUUUUUGACGGGACGGCUGAGAUUUGUUGACCUUCUAGAGAAUGAGAACAGAUUUUCAAUUUGUUGAUUAGUAUUCCUACAGUCCAGCCCAAAAGUACCGGCUCAAUGAGUUCGGUCAUGUUUGGUAACAGGUAUCCAUCACUUUCAAAAUCCGGUCCUACCAACGUAUCGGCUUUUACUGGCUGUCGUAUCAUCCGUGAAUGCAUGGGAGAGUGAGACUACUCCAAUCUCCACGACAGAAAUUUUAGAAUAUAUCUAUUGUAUUAUAAUUAAUUGAUACAUAUAUGACAUGUAUAAUUGAGUAUAAUAUAACCACUAUUUAUAUAAUAAUUUAUAAAAUAAAUGCACACAUAUUAUGACAUUAUUUACUUGUUAUAUGGAUAAUAAAUGCACACAUGUCAUCAGUCUUUGGUAAACAAAUUCACAAUAUAUAUUAAUCUUUGUGGAAGCUAUGUCCAAAAAAUAAAUAUUGUAAAAAAAUUUUAAUUAAUAAUUUUUUGGACAUUAAUAAAAAAAAUUAAUAUAUUAACUCCUCAUGGAGUAUUCAAAACAAUUGAUAUAAAUUUUGUUGUUUCUAUUUUACUUUUUUGGUUUAAAUUGACAAUUUAAUUUUUCUUUUUAUUAAUGUCCAAUAAAAAAGAAAUAUUAUUGUACGAGUGUAAUACUGUAAAAACAAGUCAAAAAGAAUAAAAAGUAACAAUUAGGGUGUCAAUACUUAACAACAAAGAUGUUUUGAGAUAUUUUUAAAAAUAUAAGGAUUAAACGAGAUUUUACCAUUAUUAAUUAUAGUCAUCUUUUUAUAAAUUACAAUUAGAGGAAGUUGGUUAAUGUUGUUGACACGCACGCACACAUAAAGAUUUAUUGGAAGUGCUUAUGCCGACUCGAAGUUGUUGGGAAUUAAUGCAUGUAUUGAUUUAUUGGGAGUGUUUAAAUGAUUUUGUGAUUUACUUGAUUGAUUGAAUAUUGUUUGAUUGCUUCAUAUCCAUUCUACAAAGUUUAUUUCUUUGUGAAAUUUCAACGACAUAUUUUUAAAAAAUAAUAAUAAUAAGGGUGUUCUAAAUCAUUUUAAAAAAUAUAUGGACUUAUUAGAAUUAAUUACUAGGUAAUUAACUUGAUCUGUACAGGGUGAAACAACAUUUAUCCUAAUUGUAUCAUGACAAAUACUUUUCCGAUUAGAAUUAGGAAACCAUAGGUUUAUUGAAUUAUUUUUUUUUAUUUUCGUUUGGAGAAACGGAUUAGAGAAUUAGAAAACAAUCCUAAUGAUAUAAUUAUCAGGUUUAAAACAGUGCAUAAACAGUGAAAAGCUAAUUAGUCUGUAGAGUAAUUUGCUAAUUGUUAUCUCCUCUCUAUGCGCGCUGAAUAAUUUGUUGCAUGCAAACUUUUUAUUUUAUGCAAAUCGUACUUACUGUAACAUUGGAAUUGAUGUAUAAGCAAAAUUACAAUAAUAUUUAUGUCAAUAAAAAUAGUUUUUUUUUCCUUUUUAAAUAAACACAACGCGAUGUUGCUCUGCUCUACAUUUUUGCUAUCUCUUUAUUCUUUUUUUUUUUUUGGGCUUCUUAAAGCCUCAAACUUUGAUAACCAAAACUUCAUCGACCUAUGAAAAAAUCUGCAGAUUAGUUUUUAUUAUCGGAAUAAUUGUUUGAGAAUACGAAAACAAAAUAUAAAAUAAGAAAAUAGGGGGUUAAAUUAGAGGGGGAAAAAAAGGCAUGUUCUAUCGAUUACUAUAGUUUAAGGGAAAAAAAAUCAAUUGGGGAUUUUUUUUCUUUAAUUUUUGUUUUACUUGAUGGAGAUUUCUCCUUAGUCCUUACAGUUUUAAGUUUGGAUGCCGUAGGGUUAGUAAUUUAGUACUUCCUUUGCAAGCUGAGUGUAAGAAUGAAAAUCUUUAAAGAAAUUAAAAAAGAAAAAAAUAAAAAAAGCAUACCAAUAGGCAAUUAUAAAUAACCAUAAAUAAACAUAAACAAAAUGUUUAUGAAGUAAAUUACACAUGCACAUAUUAUUUUCUUGUUUUAUUUCUUACUUGUCUAUUUUAUUUGCUGCUUGAUAACCCUUAAAUACUAAUCUAGUACUGCUAAUUUCAGACACAAAAUGUUUAACUCUAGGCUGCAGUUUUACUCAAAAUGAUGACCACUGGCUUCGCACCAUUUAACCAGCAUACAUUUCUACAAAGGGAAAAGGACAUUCAACCCCCCAACGUUUAGGAAAAUGGACAAAAAACCCUUCAACGUUUCAAAAAGGACUUAUAACCCUCUUUCUGUUAACAAACACCGUUUGUUUUAACAGUAAAUUUAUUUUUAAUUUUUAAUUACUAUUAUACCCUUAUAAUAAAAAAAUUAAUGUAUUAAUUUGAGAUAUAUCACAAUUAAUAAUUUUUUAAAAGCUUAAAAUUAAGAUACAAUUAUUUUUUUGCCAAAAUUAUUUACUAUAAAUUAUACCUUUCUAACAAUAAUAAUAUCGUUUUGAUUCCUCAAAGAAAAAGAGUUUAAUCAAAUUUCGUUUUAUUAGUAAUAAUCACAUAUGAAAGAUUUUAUCAUUAGAAACGUAUAAUUUAUAGCAAAUAAUUUGGGCAAAAAUGUAAUUGUAUCUCAAUUUUUAGUUUUAAAAAAAUUAUUAAUUGUGACAUGUCUCAAAUCAAUAUAUUAAUUUAUAUUUAUUAUAAGGGUAUAAUAGUAAUUAAAAAUUAAAAAUAAAUUUACUGUUAAAACAAACGGUAUUUAUUAACGGAAAGAGGGUUAUAAGUCCUUUUUAAAAUAUUGAGGGGUUUUUUGUCCCUUUUCCUAAACGUUGGGGGGUUGAACGUCCUUUUCCCUUCUACAAAUUGAACAAGGCUAUUAAUUUUCAUUAUUAUUUUUUAUUUAUUUAUAAAUUACUAUUUUAAUUUUCACUUUUUAUUGGGUUGUUUAACGGAUUAGUGAAGUUGGUGGUCGUGAUGCACUCACAAGGUACAAUUUUAUUUUAUAAUUUCGAAUUUGUAUUUUAAAAUGCAGGAACAUUAUGUAUACAUAAUUAUUGAUUUUCGUAUGUGGAUGUUUUGAAAUAUUGCUAAAAGACCAAACUUUAAUAAACUAUUUUUCAUCUUUUUUUUCCUAAAGUUUGAGUGAUAUCCGCAUUUUAAAUUCAUCUGGAACAAAAGCUAAUGUAUGCACAAAAUUCUUUUAUUUUUUCCGAGAAAAAUGGGUAAGAGAAGAAGAUUUUUCUCUUGAAAAAGAAAAACUAAUACGAUGCAAGCAUAGGAAAGAGGUCAAUGUUUUGGAUUAGAAUUUAGUAUUGAGCUGAAUUUUAUACUAAACUCUUUUAUAGUACUGCGAUUAAUAAACUCAUGAUUUGCUUUUGCUUUUACUUCAAGUGAAAGAAAGAGGAAACCUUUUGUUUUUUGUUUGAUUCUUGACUAUAGAUGUUACCUAUAUAGAGAGUUGAGGUAGCUACCUUAAGUGAUGGUGAUAAAAAGAUUAAGCAGCGCACACAAUCUUACUGUCGUCCAGACCAUCCAGCUGUGAUGACUCUAGUUUUUUGGGUUACAUUAGCUUUAGUGGAAAGGAGGGCCAAUUUAACAAAGACUAGAUUUGGUGGCUUACUAUAAUGCUUAUUCUCAGGGAAUCUAAUGUUAUAAGAUGAUUUAAUGAUCUUCUAUGAUUGUGAGUAGUAUAGUAUAAUUGAAAAGAGCCUGGGCUCCUAUGAUGAAUAUAUAAUAGUAACACAGUACUGUGAUUGAAAAAAACACAGUUACAAUAAACUCUUCAUUUAUUCAUUGCGGAGAUUGAAUGGCAAAGAGAGAAUAAAAUGAAGCAGAGGAAUCUCAUUGCCAGUAAAAUUGAUCCUCUUUAAUGUUAUAUGGCACAGGUGUGUGUACAGCAAGAGCAAGUUACUUGCAGUUUUUAUUGUAAAAUAUACAGGUUAUGACCAUGAUCAUUGUAGUUAGGUUUUGAUGAUUUUAGAUGCUUUUUUUUUAUUUUUUUAAAUUGUGACACCUUUGAUUUAUGGUAGUUUUGCAGAAGAAAAAAAUAUAUAUAAAAAUUAGGAGGGAUGAGUUAACUAACGAUUGCAAUCAUUACAGUAAUGUUGAUGAGUGAUACAUCAUUUGAAAUUUACUUGUCAGUUGCUGAAAUGAUGAAAAAAAACAAUAAACAAUAGCAGUAAUAUUUUUAUGGAAAUUCUUGGUUUUUAUGGAAAUACUCUUGCUGAAAUUCUAAUUUUGACUUUCAACUCUUGGUUUUUAUGGAAAGUAAAAUGACUUGUUUGUUAUAUUCAUACAACCCACUCUACAUAAUGAUUUCAUUUUAAUAAAUGGUUGAUGAUCUCCACAGAAAAACUACUUCAAUUCUUUUUUUUUUUAUUUAACUUUUUGGUUGUUGAAAAUAGCCUUAAUUUUCAAAUCAUUGGAGAAAGAGUAAAGAACAUUUAACAAAUUUAUGUGCCAAAAAUAAAGGAGAAAUUGAAGAGAAAGGGUGCUUGCAGAAGUGGGUGCAAAGAUAAAUCAGUCCAUAAGAAUUAUUGUGGUUAUUAAUUUUUUGGCAAUAUAAAAAUUUUUCAGCAAAUAAAAAUUGAAUUUUCCGAUUUACUAAAAAAUCAAUUAAAAACUUCGGCGAUAGCAUUUUUUAUGGGUGCAUGUACCCUCCCUUUAAAAAAAAAUAAUAAUUAAUACUUAAUAUAGUAUUAAAUACGAAAAUAUCAAUAUUUGACUACACAAAUUUAUAUCAUUAGGUCCUUAAAAUUUAAAAUUGAAGACACAAAAUGAAAUAUAUAUAAAUUUCAUUCUCAUAGGAAAGGAUCCUCUUAUAAUCUUAAAAUAUUUGAGCUUUGAAAGAUUUUUUAAAACAAAUGUACUUUUAUUUUUGUACAAUCAAUAAUUACUUAUUUAUUAUAUUUUUAUUCAUUAACUAUCAAUCAUGUGAGUAUAUCUACUCAGAAAUAUCAUAUCAAGGGAGAAUCUUGAUCCCACGCACACGCAAAUAUGUUAAUUUCUAUACGCUUCACUUACCUGUAGAAUCAAUUAUCUAAAAUGCAAGUUUGUGGCCACAAAAAAAGCCAAAGAAAGAAGAUAAUAACAAUUGACUUGUAUAUUAUACUCAUACAAUCCACUCGACAUAAUGAUAUCAUUUUAAUAAGGCAAUGGCUGAUGAUCUCCAUUGAAAAACUAAUUCAAUUUUUUGCUUCAUUUAACUUGUUGGUUGUUGAAAAUAACCUUAAUUAUCAAAUAAUUGGAGAAAGAGUAAAGAACAUUUAACAAAUUUAUGUGCAAAAAAAAAAAAAAGAAAGGAGAAGUUGAAGAGAAAGGGUGCUUGCAGAAGUGGGUGUCAAAGAAAAAUCAGUCCAUAAUAAUUAUUGCCGUUAUUUUUUGGCAAUAUAAAAUUUUUAUAGCAAGUAAAAAUUAAUUUUUUUCCAAUUUACUAAAAACUUCUGCGACAGCAUUUUUUAUGGGUGCUUAUACCAUCCCUUUAAAAAAAAUAAUAAUAAUUUAAUGCUUAAUAUAGUAUUAAAUACGAAAAUAUCAAUAUUUGACUACUCAAAUUUAUAUCAUUAGGUCCUUAAAAUUUAAAAUUGAAGAUACGAAAGGAAAUAUAUAUAAAUUUCAUUCUCAUGGAAAGGAUUCUCUUAUAAUCUUAUAAUAUUUGAGUUCUGAUUUUUUUUUUAAACAAAUGUAAUUUUAUUUGUGCACAAUCAGUAUUUACUUAUUUAUUAUAUUUUAAUUUAUUAACUAUCAAUCAUGUAAGUAUAUUUAGUCAGAAAAAUUAUAUCAAGAGAGAAUCCUAAUUUCACGCAAACACAAAUAUAAGACAAAUAUGUCAAUUUCUAUACUAUUCACUUCCUGUAGAAUCAAUUAUCUAAAAUGCAAGUUUGUGGCUACAGAAAACUCGCCAAAGAAAGAAGAUAAUAACAAUUGAGCAUUGAUAGCAAAACUAAUGCAUCAUUUUAUUCUUGACUUGAUGAGAUGGUGGCAUUACAAAAAAAACAAGUACCUUAAUUGACGGGCACUGAGUGAUGUGAAUACUACCAGCCAGUUCAUCUCUUCCAGUCUUGCUUAAUCACAAUCACAAACACCACGAGAUCGACAUUUGCAUUAUAUAUAUCUUCAGCAAUCGAAACACCUUGCAUUACCAAAUUAACCAGUAACAAACAAAGCAAUCUUUCAUGGAGAGAAACCUUAGUCUCAGUAUGAUCACUGUGUCAUUAACCCACUGCCUGCUUCUUUGCUUGGUUGUUGCAGCAGCAGCAGCAGCAAGCAACAAUAUUACCACAGACCAACAAGCUCUUCUUGCCCUGAAAGAUCAUAUAACUUAUGAUCCAACCAACCUUUUUGCCCAUAAUUGGACCUCGAAUACCUCUGUUUGUACCUGGAUUGGCAUCACUUGUGAUGUCAAUAGCCAUAGAGUCACAGCCUUAGAUAUUUCUCAAUUCAAUCUACAAGGCACCAUCCCUCCUCAACUCGGAAACCUCUCUUCACUCACAACGCUUAAUCUUAGUCAUAACAGGCUUUCUGGAAACGUUCCCUCCUCCAUCUACACAAUGCAUACGCUAAAAUUUCUUGACUUCACUGAUAACCAGCUCUCUGGUUCAGUGUCUUCCUUCGUCUUCAACAUGUCUUCAAUAGUAGACAUUCGUUUGACCAAUAACAGACUUUCUGGUGAGCUUCCGAAAACUAUUUGCAACUAUCUUCCUCAUUUGAAAGCCCUUUUUUUGGACAAAAACAUGUUUCAUGGCAAAUUUCCUUCUGCUUUAUCAAAGUGCAAACAACUGCAACAAUUAAAUUUGCAGUUCAAUAAUUUAUCCGGUGCAAUACCAAAAGAAAUCGGCAACUUGACUAUGCUCAAAUGGAUAGACCUCGGCUACAACAAACUCCACGGUAUGUCCAUAAUAAUAUGUAAAUAUUUUAAUUUCUCACUUGUUAUUUUUCUUGAAUACUUUAGAUAAGAUUUGUAAGGGAGAUUUUUUUGCAUCUGUGUUAAUUUGCUAGGUGAGAUACCCCACGAAAUCGCUCAUCUUCGAAAUCUAGAGGAUUUAGUGCUUGGAAUGAACAACCUAGUUGGUGUGGUAUCAGCUACAAUCUUCAACAUGUCAACACUGAAGGUAAUUAUUCUCGCAAAUAACUCUCUCUCCGGAAGUCUUCCAUCAAGAAUAGACCUUUCACUUCCAACUAUUGAGCAUCUUAGCUUGGCACUUAAUAGAUUUUCUGGAACCAUUCCUAGUUCCAUCACCAAUGCUUCUAAGCUCACCUUGCUAGAAUUGGGAGGAAACACAUUUUCAGGCUUUAUUCCAAAUACAGUUGGUAAUUUAAGAAACCUUGAGAGACUCGGCUUGGCUAAUAACUCCUUGACAUCUUCCACCUCAAGAUUGAGUUUUCUUUCCUCUUUGGCAAAUUGCAAGAAAUUAAGAUCCUUAAACUUAAAUGGAAAUCCACUUGACGGCUUCCUUCCAAGUUCAAUAGGUAAUCUUUCCAUGUCUUUGAAAAUACUUCUCAUCGCCAAUUGCAGUAUUAUUGGCAACAUUCCUCCAGCAAUUAGCAAUUUAAGCAACUUGUUGGCCUUAGUAUUAGACCGCAAUAAAUUGACUGGACCAAUUCCAAUUACAUUCGGCCGACUGCAGAAACUCCAAGGCUUAUAUCUUGCAUCCAAUAAGUUGGUAGGUUCAUUCCCAGAUGAGCUUUGCCAUCUAGCUAGGCUGGCUGAAUUGGUCUUAUUGGGCAAUAAGCUUUCAGGAUCUAUACCUUCAUGCUUAAGUAACCUCACUUCUCUGAGAUCUCUCUACUUAGGGUCCAAUAGGUUUACUUCUGUUAUUCCCUCAACCUUCUGGAGCCUAAAAGACAUCUUGUUCUUUGACUUUUCAUCAAAUUUCUUUGUUGGUACUCUUUCUUUCGACAUAGGUAAUUUGAAGGUGCUUCUAGGAAUAAAUUUAUCAGAAAAUAACUUAUCGGGUGAUAUCCCAGCCACAAUUGGAGGAUUAAAAAACCUUCAAAUUAUGGACCUAGCAUAUAAUAGAUUGGAAGGGCAAAUUCCUGAAUCAUUUGGUGACUUGACAAGUUUGGAGUUUUUGAAUUUGUCAAAUAAUAAAAUCUCUGGGUCUAUUCCAACAUCCAUGGAGAAACUGUUUUUCCUCCGAGUGUUAAAUCUCUCUUUCAAUAAACUAGAAGGUGAGAUUCCUAGUGGAGGAAUUUUUGCCAACUUCACGGCUGAGUCAUUUAUGGGAAAUGAGUUAUUGUGUGGUUUACCAAAUCUUCAAGUCCAACCAUGCAAAGUUAGCAAGCCGAGGAAAGAACAUAAAUCAAGGAAAAAGAUACUUCUCAUUGUGAUUGUUUUGCCAUUGAUUAUUGCUCUAACAAUAGCAAUCACUCUAGCUCUCAAAUCUAAGCGGAUUGAAUGUGGAAAAAGAAGCACAGUGUUGUCAAAUGAUAGUGUCUUGUCAUCACAAGCAACACUAAGAAGAUUUUCAUACUUAGAACUUUUACGAGCAACAGAUAAUUUUGCUGAAAACAACAUAAUUGGCAGAGGAGGUUUUGGUUCUGUUUAUAGAGCAAGACUUGAAGAUGGGAUGAAGAUUGCAAUAAAAGUGUUUCAUCAGCAAUGUACAAGCGCAUUGAAGAGUUUUGAAGUUGAAUGUGAAGUGUUAAAAAAUAUUCGCCAUCGAAACCUUCUCAAAGUUAUCAGCAGUUGUUCGAACCAUGACUUCAAAGCAUUAGUCCUAGAAUACAUGUCCAACGGGAGCUUGGGGGAUUGGCUGCAUUCGAGCAAUUAUGUGCUGAAUAUAUUUCAGAGGUUGAACAUAAUGAUUGACGUUGCAUCAGCUUUAGAAUAUCUCCACUUCGAUCAUUCAACUCCUAUUAUUCAUUGUGACUUAAAGCCUAGUAAUGUAUUGUUGGACGAAAAUAUGGUUGCUCAUUUGAGUGAUUUUGGCAUAGCAAAGCUUUUAAGUGGAGAGGAUGAGUCUACGAUGCGAACAAAAACCCUUGCCACUAUAGGUUAUAUGGCACCAGGUUUGCUUCGAACAACUUUUUUUUUUUAGUUCAUUUUAAAUUUUGCAACUUAUUGAUUUUUACGAUCCUCACAUCAAAAUGUUAUUGAUUAUUUAUCUAAUUGUGAAAUUAAUUUGAUUCAUAGAGUACGGCAUAGAAGGAGAAGUAUCUACAAAAAGUGAUGUUUACAGCUAUGGGAUUAUGUUGAUGGAAACUUUUACCAAGAAAAAACCCACAGAUGAAAUUUUUGUUGCAGAAUUGAGCUUAAAACGUUGGGUUAAUGACUUGCUUCCUACUUCAUUAGUGGAAGUUGUGGACAAAACUCUGCUAAGUGGAGAGGAAAAACAUUUUGCAUCAAAGGAGCAAUGUCUGUUGUCUAUCUUUAGUUUGGCUCUGGAGUGUACAAUGGAAUCACCGGAAAAGAGGAUCAAUGCAAAAGAUAUUGUUACCAGAUUACUCAAGAUAAGAGACACAUUGAGUAAAAGGAUAGGAAACUUAAGUUAAUUUCGUUUGCUUUCAUUGAUAGUUAAUUCGAAUUCAUGUAAUAAGUGUAAGAAUCUUAUAUCUUUUCCUUUGAUAUAUUUUUUUUCUUGAGAAAACUGUUGUAGUCAUGUUGUUUCCAUGGGUAGAGUUGAUUUAGUUCUUCCAAAAAAUGCUACUGAUGACCUUUGUUUUAUACUUUCUCUUUUUUUGCAUGUGUUUAGGUAGAACAGUGGUUUGGCUGCAGGCUAAGAAGUCUAACUACACUAAAAGAAUAUGAUUUAAUUUAUUAAACAAAACUUCAAGUUCAAGAAAAGUAUUUCACUGCCCCCAAUGCUUUGGACACGUACUGGUAGUUUUGUACGUGUCCUCAACUUUUUUUUGGAGCACAAAAUUCGAGUCCCAUGGAGACUCAAACAUUCCUUUCCCACAUCCCGAGCACGCUAAAUUUAUCAGACUGACAACGGGGACAUAUACAAGAGUGAAAUGUUUAGAGCACGCUAAGUUCGAGUGAAAGAGAUUAAUUUACGGAAACUAAAGCCAAGGGUUCAGAAAAAAGUGCAAAGAGAAUAAAGGACAACACUUUUGUGAAGCGACAUUGUUGUAUUGAUAGCACAAUGUCAUAUUCAUACAGAGAUCUAGAAUAUUAUUUACAGCUGGUAAGGGCUAAGAAUUGAUGUAGCUAGAAUACAAAGACGAUAAGGUAUGUUGUGCACUAUUGUUUUAUUCUACGAUCAAUCUUGACCCUUGAUGCUUGGCUCUCAAUCUUGUCCACUGAUCUUCUUUGAUUUUGGACACUUCAAGACCUUUCAGUAUCAUGCCUUGUUAUUGGUGUCUUCCGUGCUGUGGAAUUCAUGUACAAGCUUUCCCGCCGACUUGCCAAGUAUUCGUUCAUUGAUGCAUUUUUAUCAAACAGCUGGGCUACUUAUACCAAACACCGCCUGGUUUAACUCCCCUUCUCUAGCUCAACUAUCUAGGAAGACAAUUAAUUGAGAUAUGAAUCAGAAAAUUAAAUUUUAAAAAUUAUAUUCGGACUCUACAUUUUGUAAUGAACAUUGGUUUGAAUUGUUAUACAUUUAUGCGUACAUAAUUAAUAACCGAUUCUCAAGUGCGGACAUUCAAGAGCACUGCUUAAAGACCAAAUAUUUUGAUUUACUAUUUUUUGACUUACAAUUUUCUUUUAAGUUUUGAUGACGUCCGCAUUUUAAAAUCCUGUGGAACAAAGGCCUGAGGUGCAUAUAAAAUUCUUUUAUAUAAAAUUUGGGGUUCAAUAAAUUAUCGGGAGCCAUACCGAAAGAAAUCGGCAACUUUAUUAUGCUUCGAACGAUAUCUCUCAGAAAUAAUAAACUUCGCGGUAUAAAUGUUUAUAAUAUAUACUUUGUAAAUGCUCUUAUUAAUCAUUCUUAAACUUUCUUAGAGACUUUUGUCUAAAUAAAUUUCGUAAGAGAGUUUUUUGCAUCUCUGUUAAUUUUGCAGAUGAGAUACCUCACGAAAUUGGGUAUCUUCCAAAUCUAGAGAAUUUGGCGCUUGGAUUCAACAACCUGGUAGGUGUUGCACCUGCUGCAAUCUUCAACAUGUCAACAGUGAAAGAAAUUUACCGGUUAGAUAACUCUCUCUCGGGAAGUUUUUCAUCAGGAAUAGACCUUUCACUUCCUGAACAGAUUUUCUGGAACCAUUCCUAGUUUCAUCACCAACGCAUCUAAACUUGUAUAUCUAGAUAUGGGAACAAACUCUUUUUCGGGCAUUAUUCCGAACACAAUUGGUAAUAAUCUAAGAAACCUUGACUGGCUCGACUUAACAUACAAUUGCUUGACAUCUUUAACUCUAGAAUUGAGCUUUCUUUCCUCUUUGACAAAUUGCAAGAAAUUAAGAUUCUUAGGCUUAACAGGCAAUCAACUUGACGGUGUCCUUCCAACUUCAAUAGGUAAUCUUUCUAUGUCUUUGGAAAACAUUUACAUCUCAAAUUGUAGUAUUGGCGGCAGCAUUCCUCAACUAAUCAGCUAUUUAAGCAAUUUGUUGCUCUUAGAUUUAGAAGGCAAUAAGUUGACUGGAUCAAUUCCAGUCACAUUCGGCCGGUUGCAGAAACUCCAAGGUUUAUAUCUUCCAUUUAACAAGUUAGCAGGAUCAAUCCCAGACCAGCUUUGCCAUUUAGCUAGACUGGAUACAUUAGGUUUGGCUGGUAAUAAGUUUUCUGGAUCAAUCCCUUCAUGUUUAGGUAAUCUCACUUCUCCACGGUUUCCCGACUUAGGGUCCAAUAGGCUUACAUCAGUCUUGCCCUCGACUUUUUGGAAUCUAAAAGACAUUUUGUUCUUUGACCUUUCAUCAAAUUCUUUGGAUGGUCCUCUUUCUUUAGACAUAGGAAAUUUAAAGGUUGUGAUAGGUAUAAAUUUAUCACGAAAUAACUUUUCAGGUGAUAUCCCAAGUACAAUUGGAGGUCUAAAAGACUUACAGAAUAUCUCCUUAGCAUGUAAUGGAUUGGAAGGUCUAAUUCCUGAAUCAUUUGGUUACUUGACAGGUUUGGAAAUUUUAGAUUUGUCAAAUAACAAAAUCUUUGGGUUUAUUCCGAUAUCUUUCGAAAAACUCUUGUACCUCAAAAGCUAAAUUUGUCUUUUAACAAACUAGAAGAAGAGAUUCCUAGGGGAGGACCUUUUGCAAAUUUCACAGCUAAGUCAUUCAUGGGAAAUGAGAAAUUGUGUGGUUUACCAAAUCUCCAAUUCCCAAAAUGCAAGCGUCGGACGCGUUGAAAAUCAAAGAAAAAGAUGCUUCUACUUGUGAUUGUCUUGCCAUUGAGUACUGCUCUAAUAAUCGUAAUCCCUCUAGCUCUCAAAUAUAAAUCGAUAAGAGGUGGAAAGAGUAGUACUAGGUUGUUAAAUGAUGUUAUCUUGUCAUAACAAGGAACACUAAGAAGAUUUUCAUACCAAGAUCUUUUUCGUGCAACAGAUAAAUUUAGUAAAGACAAUCUAAUUGACAUAGGAAGUUUUGGUUCUGUUUAUCGAGGAAGACUUCGUGAUGGAAUUGAGGUUGCAAUAAAAGUGUUUCACCAGAAUUUGUGCAAUGGCAUUGAAGAGUUUUGAGGCUGAAUGUGAAGUGAUGAAAAAUAUUCGCCAUCGAAAUCUUGUCUAAAUAAUCAGUAGUUGUUCGAACGAAGAUUCCAAAGCAUUAGUUCUAUAAUAUAUGCCCAAUGGGAGAUUGGAGGAUUGCUUGCAUUCUACCAAUUGUUCGUUAAAUAUUUUUGGCAGGUUGAACAUAAUGAUAGAUGUUGCAUCGGCUUUGGAAUAUCUCCACUUCAAUCAUUCAACUCCUAUCAUUCAUUGCGACUUAAAGCCUAGUAAUGUAUUGUUAGAUGAAAGUAUGGUUGCUCAUUUAGUGAUUUUGGAAUUGGAAGGCUCUUAACUGGAGAUCAAUCAAUGACAUAAACAGAAACACUUGCCACAAUUGAUUAUAUGGAACCAGGUUUGCUCUGAAACAAUUUUUUUUUUUUUGAGUUUUCAUUUAGACUUUCCAAAUUAUUAUUUUUUCCAUGAUCCUUCUAUCCUAAUGUUAUUGAUUAAUUAUCUAAUGAUAAAAUCAACUUGGUUGAUAGAAUAUGGCAUAGAAGGACGAGUGUCUACAUGAAGUGAUGUUUAUAGCUAUGGAAUUAUAUUAAUAGAAAUAUUUACCAGGAAGAAACCCACAGAUGAAAUGUUUACUACAGAAUUGAGCUUGAAGCUUUGGGUUAACAACUUACUACCUGCUUCAUUGAUGGAACUUGUGGACAAAACUCUUUUAAGAAGGGAAGAAGAAGAUUUUACUAUGAAGGAGCAGAGUGUGUUAUCAAUCCUGAGUUUAGCUUUGAAGUGUGUGAUGGAAAUGCCAGAAAAAAAGAUCAAUGCAAUAGAUAUUGUAACUAAACUAUUGAAACUAAGAGACAUACUGAGCAAAGGUUAGCAAAUUUAGAUUAACCUCAUUUCUUGGCAUUGAUAUUUUAACUUGAAUCAAUAUAUACUUAAUUUGAAUCGAUGUAUGAGUGUAAGAAUAUGAUAUAUUUUCCUUUGAUUUGUUUUUUCUUGAGAGAAAUAUCGUAGCUAUCUUGUUUCAAAUUAAUUUUAUGCAUUUUUUUUCUUUUUCUAAGAUCAUGCCUAAGAGCCGUAGGAAGAUCAGCUAAAAAUUCAAAGCCGGCUAAGGCAUUGGAAGAUGGAGAGAUUGUUAGUUUUUUCCCUAUUGAAAUUAAUAUAUAUCACCUAUCCCAACUAUUUUCAUAAUGUGUGAUAACCUCCUGCCACUAUAAUUUUACCAUAUAAUCCUUAUUUUUAAAUACACUUUUAUUCAUAUUAAUAUUAAUUAAAUAAAUCAUAUGAGUUGAAAUUAAAAUUAAAAAAUUAAAUGCCAAAAAUAAGAAAUAUACGUUUUAGUGUGAUAAAAAAAAUAAUAUUAAAAUAUUUUUCUUGUACUUUUUAUUAUACAACCAAUGUUAAGUUCAAGUCCAGUUGCAAGUCCCAUUUGGUCAUGCAUUGUGUUCGUUUCGCUACUGAAUCCUUCAUAAAAUAGUUUAAGGUUUGGAAGUUGGUUGGAUAAAUAGUGCCAUAAUGGUAGUUACUUUUUUUUAUUUCGUAUGACUUUUCGCUAGUGUAUCACUCCUAGCAUAUAAUUAAUCAAUUCUUCCAGGCAUACCAUGACUUGAUUGUGAUGCUGUGGAUUAUCUAGGAAGCAUUUGUGUGUUAAUGUAUUAAACUUUUGUCAUACUGUAUGACUGGUCUUUCUCAGUUUUAUCAAACAUAUGUUCCUUCUGAAAAUAUUAAAGUGGAUUUGAUAGUUUAAGCAAUUUGUGGUUGGAUUUUGGCAGUUUGAAGUUGUAAUUCUGGUACCAAUCAAGACAAGGAAGUGGAUGCCAAGUGUCAAACAACAAGUGGGCAUCUGAAAGUCACGCCACAUUGGAUGAUCCCACAAAAAAUGAACCUUACAGAGGAACAACAUGGACAGAUUGAGCAGGAGCUAUAAAUGGAUAAAAUUUGAGCAGCUGGAGGAUCCAUAGGUGACAAGAAACAACCGGAUUAUUCGAACGGACGUACCUCUAAUGGUCUAUCUGGAAAGUCCAGCGGGUAUGAAGUCUAUACGUGAAGUGGAUGAGGAGGAAGAUGAUACUAAUUCUAGAAACUUCAAGAGCUUUCAUUCUCAUGCUUUAUGAAUUUCUUUCUUGCUUCAGAAUUCAAAUGCAAGCUUUCCCUCUCAGUAUUUCUUCAUUGAGACAUUCUUCUCGAACAGGUUUAUACUUAUGUCAAACAUCUUCUGUUAUAACUAGGAAGCCAGUAAGAUUGUUUUUCAAGUACGUUAAGCGGAAACAAUAGGCAAGGCCUUUUGUCAUUAUAUCUGCCACUUGAUUUUUUCUGCGCAAGUACUUCUUAUUCAAUUCGUUUGUUCCAAUUUUGUCCCUAAUGAAGUGGUCUUAUAUCCCCACACACUUUGCUCUUCCAUGAAAGACUAGAUUCUGUGCAAGUGCUAUUGCACUCUUGUUGUCACAUCACAACAGAGGAAUAAUUAAACAUACAUGAAUAUGCACUUUAGUAAGCAAGGAUCUUAACCAGCUGAUCAUUUCUGCUGCUACAUGAGACAGGGCUCUGUAUUAUACUUUUGUACUAGAUUUUGAGACCACCUUUUGCUUCUUGGAGCUACAUGAGAUCAGAUUUCUUGCGGGGUAAAAAAAUUCAUGAAAACCCUCAAGUAUUUAUGACAUUUAUAUAAAAAUAGAGUUUGAUUUUUCUUUCAAGUAUGUUCCUACAUUAAUAUCUACUUAAAAACUGAAAAUAUCAUUUAAAAAAAUAAUUAUUACUCCACCUUUAAAAUUCAAUAUUAAAGAGUAAUUUGUCAUUUUUAAUUAGAGUUAGAGGCUUGUUUUAUUAUAUAUAUAAAAUCAUUCUUAGGUGCAAGAACCAUCAUUUUUUUGUGCGGAUACAGUAUUAAACCAUGCAGUUUAAAAGUUGAUAAAAUGAAUGGUUUAAUAGUGUGUCCAUAUAAAAAAAAAAAACAUAAUAAGGGCAUUGGCAUUAAAGAACAUAUAUAUUAUCCCAAUUAGGGAUCCCUAAUCAUACUAAAGUCAGGGGACAAUUUAAAAAAUAAAAAAACAAAAACUUCAAUACAGUAUAUUUUGUUAUAUAGUAUAUUGAAAUAUGUAUUUUCUUUUGUCUUUUAGUUUAUCCCUAUUUUAAUAUGGUUAAAGAUUUGUAAUUAGAAACUCACUCUAAUUAUCUAUGUAUUUACUAUUUUUAAUACAUUCACACAAAUAUUUAUAUACAAUAAAUGUAUUACUUAGCCCUGCCUGAUAAAAGAUCCCGGGUCCGGCUCUGAAGGAAGAUGCAAUAUCCCCCUGCUGACGCUUCAUUAACUUUUUCCUUUCAUUUUAAACUUUCUGAAUUAUUGCCUUUCGUAAUUCUCAUAUCAUGCAUUGAGUAUUUACCUAUAUGAAAUUAAUUAUUGAUUAAUAGAGUAUGGCAUAGAAGGGCGGGUAUCUAUUAAAAGUGAUGUUUACAGCUAUGGAAUUAUGCUAAUGGAAACAUUUACCAAGAAGAAACCCACAGAUGUUGUCGCGGAAUUGAGCUUGAAGUGUUGGAUUAAUGACUUGUUACCUAUUUCAUUGAUGGAAUUGUUGUGGACAUAAAUCUGCUAAGUGGAGAGGAAAGACAUUUUUGCCGUAAAGAAGCAAUGUGUGCUGUCUAUCUUGAGUUUGGCUUUGGAGUGUACCAUGGAAUCACCCGAAUAGAGGAUCGAUGCAAAAGAUAUUGUUACUAGACUUUUGAAGAUAAGAGAUAAGUUGACUAAAAGUUAAGCAAAUUUAAAUUAACUUCUUCUCUUUUCUUUUCUUUUCUUUUCAUUGUAAUGAACUUUAAUCCAUGUUAUGAGAAGACUCUUACAGCAAGAAGUGUAAGAACAUUGAAUAUUUUCCUCAGAUAUUUUGUUGAGAAAACUAUUGUAGCCAUCUUUUUCCCAUGGGAGCUGCAAUGAGCAGACUCUUCAACAAUGUGCAAUAUUAUACAGUAUAUUCAAAGACACACUAUCACACUAAAAAAUCUUGAGUUGACUCCUUAAUUUAUUUCAUCAAUCCCCACUUUUGAGUUAAUAUUAUUUAUCUUAGGAUUGUCCUUAUUGAAAAAUAAAAAUAAUUAAAAAAAUAAAUAUUUUUUCAUUCUCUCAAGCUCUUAGUAGAUUAAAUUCUUAUCUCUCACAACUCUCUCAUCGUUUUAAUUUAUUCAUAAUUUGAAUCAAAUAUUAACUCUUGAUCAAACCCCAAAUUAAAAUAAACAAAAUAUUAGAUUAUCACACAAAAUCAAAACCAGUAUUAUCAAUAACAACAAAAAUUACCGCUCAUCCAUUAAAUUUAACAAAAACCAACAUUUAAAUUCAUCAAAUAUUGGUGGAGGUAGUGGAUUCAUGGUGAAGAAAAUAGAUGAUGGGAAUGAACUCGUUGUUGAUGAAGUGGUGGGGGUGAUAAUUAUAUACGAGGGAGGGGAAGGUAGAGACAGAAUAAAAAUAAUAUUUUUUUUGUUUCAAUAAAGAUAAUUCUACAAAAUAAUAAGAUUAAUUGAUAAGCGGGGUUGAUGAGAUAAUUUGAGGGGUUCAAAUAUCAUUACUCAUAUCCGUUUACAUGAAGCUAAUUAAAAAUAGUGAAGUAAUUAAAUACGCUAAUCAUACACAGCUGCAAUGUAUUAAAACAGCCUAAUGAGCUUAGCCUCAAAUUGACCCUCACCGUUGAUCUGCCAUUCCUAUCGUCACUACUUGCCACCUCGCAUUGUAUCAAUAUCUCUUCGUAACACAUAAACAGAAUCAAUUCUUGUACCAAAUUACCAAAUUACCACAAAACUGUUAGAGAGUCGGUGUGAUUUACUCACUGUUAAAUAAUAAAGAGAGUAAAUUUUAUUUUUAUUUUUUUUAAAUUUGAAUCUACCCGCCACUUCCAAAACAGAGAAAGCGUCGUCGUUUUACGAUGGCUCCAUCAUCAUUUCCAUCUCCUCUCGAACGCACUGUCGCUUCAGCUCUUCUCCUUCUCUCCGUCUCCGACAAACCUCCCUCUCUCACUUCUCCACUGUAAGAUCUUCAUUAUUUCACUCUUAAAACUGUUUUUGUUUCUUAUUUGUUUUUCCUUAUUGAUUUGUUUGAUGUUUGUUUAAUGCUGCUGAAGAGCAAGAGCAGCAGCCGGGACGAAGAGAGCGUGAGCUUACUGUCGAGUGGAGAUUCAAAACGGUGCGUUUCAACGGUUACUAGUGAAUAUGCCUCCUCCAGUGAGAUCCGAGCUCAUAAGCUGAGGAUCAUCGCUGUUGUGGCUCGCUGUCAUGAAGUGAAACUCAAGGUACAUAUUCUUCUGUUUGGUUUAAUAUAUAUGAUUAUGUAAAUGGUUUCGUAGUUCUUAGUUUGAAUUUGAUCUGAAGUUGUUUGUUUGAUAAUAAAAUGAAAUCACAUCUCUGUUUUCUACUUCGUAAACAGUCAUCUCUUCGGAAUCAAUUUUUUGUGUUGUUCAUGUUGAAUUUUAUCAAAAGUGAUCAUUAAAACUUGUUUUUCUCAAAUUUAUGUUUGAUCUCUCAGUUUUUUUUUUCUCGACUCUUCAAUUCAAUUUCACUGGAAAUUUACUAGAAGAUUCAAAUUCUGUUCUGCUUGGACCUGUUUCGUUUUGAAUUCUCGUAAUCAUUUGAAGGCUCAAGCAACUUAAAUUUUGUUAAAACAUUUUAAUUAGCUUCGAUAAAUUUGUAAUUCACUUGCUCAUAGAUGUGAUCUCUCCGUUUCACCUCAAUUUUGCGCAUUGUUUGCUCAUAAUCUUUGUUUUUAACUUGAUUUUAAAAAAUGAUUUUAAGAUUUUAUUUUCAAUUUUUAGCUCUUUCAUCCUGUUAUCAUUUAUUUUUCUAUAAUUAAUUUCAUUUCUCUUAGUCUGAAUAUGAAUUUAAAUUGUUUUCUUUUAGUUCUGUUCUGAGACUUUGCAAUUGGUAAAUAUUAAGAGUGGCAGCAAUUAAAGUUGAUUAAUAUGCUAGUAUAAUAUUAGUAUUGACAUUAGGCAGAGACGGAGACUUUAGUGAAUAUUAUUGCUAUAUGAGUAAUUUUUGUAUAUGAGCGUGGCGUAGGCCUACGUAGUUAAUUACAAUUUCCAAAUCUCUGCGGGUUACUGAAAAUUUAAGUGCCUUGCAUAUGACUAUUAACCCAGUUUUUCAUGCUCGCUCGAAGCAUAUUGAAUUAGAUUAUCACUUCAUUCGAGAAAAGGUUGCUGAUGGUGCCUUGGUUACGAAGUUUGUCCCUUCUUCGUUACAAAUUGCAGAUGUUUUUACUAGGGCUUUGUCAAAAGCCAUGUUCCGCAAUUUCAGAUACAAGCUUGGCGUUCAUCAAAUGUCACUUGCCAGCUUGAGGGGGUAUGUUAAGCAAGCUGACCAAGAUUACCAAAAGGAAAGUCAUCAACGGUCAAGUCAACAACGGGUUUAUCACUCCACACAACUUGCUCACGUCAAAGCUAUUUGUCAAGGAAUAUCUCCAGCACGAUUUUUGCACUUGAAUGCCAAUAUCAUGUAGGAAUAUUUCAUUCCUAUUUUAUAAAGAUAUUGUGCAAUAGUUUAGGAAGUAUUCACUUAUUUUCCUUUAAUAUUAUUAAGCCUUUUAACGGCUACUUUGUCUUUAUUUUGUAUAAAUAAAUCUGUAAAUUUCAUUAAAAAUAUAGAACAAGAAUUAUACUCUUCAUAGAAUUUCUUUCACUAAAUUCAUCAGCCUCUUGAACCCUCUCCUGAGGGCGCCUUCUGUCCUCUGUUUUCUGUUACCAUACACUAAUAGACAAAAGCAUUCAGAAUGACAACUGGGACAUAUAUAAGAGUGAAAUAAUUGAAAAAUUAUGCUUUUUUGUUUGUCAUGUUAAAAUCGUAAAGUGCGUAAGUACUAUGAAAGAGAUUAGUUUACGGAAACUGAAGCCAAGGGUUAAAAAAAAAAAGGUGCAAAGAGAAUAAAGGGCAACGCUUAUGUAAAGAGACAUAAUUGUAUUGGUAGCACAAUGUCACGUUCAUACAGGGAUCAAGCAUAUUAUUUACAGGUGGUAAGGGCUAAGAAUUGAUGUAGCUAGAAUACAAAGAUAAUAAGGUAUGUUGUGCACUAUUUAUUUAUUCUACAAUCAAUCUUGACCCUUGAUGCUUGGCUCUCAAUCUUGCCCAUUGAUCUUCUCUGAUCUCUAAAACUUCAAGACCUUUCAAUCUUAUGCCUUAUUAUUGGUGUCUUCCAUGCUGUAGAUUUCAAAUACAAGCUUUCCCGCCAACUUGCCAAGUAUUUGUCCAUUGGUGCAUUUUAUCAAACAGUUUGGAUACUUAUACCAAACGCCUUCUGUUUUAACUCCCCCUCUCAAGCUCAAGCAUCUGGGAAGACAUUAAUAAGCUUGUUUCUCAAGUAUAUGUAUCUGAAAAUUAAAUUUUAUAAAUUAUAUUCGGACUCUACAUUUUCUAAGGAACAUUGGUUUGGCUUAUAAGCUUAUUAUACUCAGGCUUGGUAGGAUUAUCGGUCGGUAGAUGACCGAGUGUUAGAGCUUUCGAAUUUAUGCCAAUUAAAAAAAAAAAAAAAAAGAAUCUACAUAAGUUUUCAACUGGGCUAUUACCACAAUAAACAUUUGGUAAUCAUCAAUUUCACUAUUAUUCGCUUUAUUAUGUUUGUUUCUUUCAGUAUGUUAAAAGAUUAUGUUGUGAAUUUGUUUUACAGGCCGCCCGUAAGUCUGCGCCCACCACCGGUGGUGUUAAGAAGCCUCAUCGUUACCGUCCUGGAACCGUCGCCCUUCGGUUCGUUCUCUAAUUUAAAUUUCCGUUGUAUAGCUUUAGUUGUGGGUAAUUUUGUAUAGAGAAAUUCGCAAGUACCAGAAGAGUACCGAGCUGCUUAUCAGGAAACUCCCAUUCCAGAGACUUGUUCGUGAAAUUGCUUAGGACUUCAAGGUACCUUGUUAUUGUUUUGGUUGUUAUCUUUGUUAUCUUUAAAUUGGGUUCCCAAGAUUUCUUGAUAGACGGUUAAUGGCUAUUUUGUUGCCUGUUUUGCAGACUGAUCUGCGUUUCCAGAGCCAUGCAGUGCUGGCCCUGCAGGAGGCAGCCGAGGCUUAGGGUAUUUCCAAUGUAGCACUAAACUUAACACCAAAUCACAUUUUACACCAUUUUUGGUGUAAAAUGCUUCUCCAAAUGUAACACCAAAAUGGUGUAAUGAAUAGCAUUGCACCAAAUAUGGUGCAACACUAUUCAUUUGCACCAUAUUUGGUGCUAGGAAAAAAAAUCUCAAAUAUUCUUAUUACUUUAUCUUAUUUAUAUAUAUGUCCUAUUUUAUAUAAUAUUUUAAGUUAUUAUUAUUAUUGUUAUUUUUUAAUUUUUGAAUAUUAUACUAAUAUUUUAAAUAAAAAAUAUUCAACACAAAAAUUUAUAAUAAAAAUAAAAUGCCAAUAACAUUAAUUACUAGAUUACAUAUUACAAAAUUAAAUUAACACAAAUUAAAAAAACUACUACUACUAGCAUAAAUUAGAACAAUUAUUUAGUAAUGUGGGAGAUCAUUAUUAGAUCCUCCAAUAUCAUCAAAAUAUUUUUCUAUAUUAAUGAAUGUUUAAUUUUCAUAAUGCACUUAUUAUUGUUAUUGUAUUUUUCUAUAUUAAUGUAAUGUUUAAUUUUUAUAAUGUACUAAUUUAGUUAAUUAAAUGCAAAUUUAAUAAUUUUCUAUAUUUUUUUUGUUAAUCGAUAUAAAAUUACUUAUUACUUAAUUAUCUAUAUUAAUAGUAAUAUUUAUUGUGUUAAUUGAAUUAAUUCUUGAGAAUUAAAAGAAUAAAAAGAAGAAUAUUCUUUUUGGUGUAAAUGGGUUGGAGAUGAAAUAAUAAUUUAAAGUGAAAAAUGUGUAUUUUUUGUGUUGGUGUUAUACUAAAAUGGUGUUAUGCAUUGGAGAUGGCCUUACCUCGUCGGUCUCUUUGAGGACACUAACCUCUGCGCCAUUCACGCAAAGCGUGUCACUAUUAUGCCCAAGGACAUACAGCUUGCCCAUAGGAUCCGUGGCGAGCGUGCUUAAGCGCAAUUAGAGCUGGCAAAAUGGGUCAUCGGGUCGUGUUCGUGUCGUGUCAAAUUUAGGUCGACCCAAACCCGACCCAUUUAAUAAUCGUGUCAAAAUAUUGAGACCCAACCCCGACACGGAAAAAUAAUCGGGUUACCCAAUAACCCGUUUAAUAUCUAUAUAUUAAAUAAAAGUUACAUCAAAUAUUUACACACUAUCAUACAUACAUAUGUACAUAAAUACAUACAUACAUAAUUUAUCGAUAUUAUAAAAUAUACAUAUCUACCAAUAUAUUAUACAUUUACACUAUUGAGGUUUUAAUUAUAUAUAUAUAAAAUAUUAUAUAUCAAUAUUAUAAAAUAUACAUGUCUAUUAAUUUUUACACAUUUACACUAUUGAAGCUUUAAAUGUAUGUAAAAUUUUAUAAAUAAAACACUGUUUAUAUUCACCAUUUUAAAGAAUAAAAAAAAAGAACAUCUCUAAUAUUUGAGUUUUAAUUAUAACAAUAUGUAAAUUAUUUUAAAAUAGAAAAUAUAAUCGGGUCAUUGAUCGGGUAAAUGGGUCAAGAAUUUUAACCCAAACCUGACACGGAAAAAAAUCGUGUUGACCCGGACCCGACCCAUUUAAUAAUCGUGUUAAAUUUGACGACCCAUACCCAUUUAUUUAUGUCGUGUUCGUAUCGGGUAAUCGGGUCGUGUCAAAUUUUACCAGCUCUAAGCGCAAUUGCCGCUUGCUUCAAUUGAAUGACUGGAAAGGGAAGGGGGAAGUUGUAAUGUGUUAAUUUGUAUGUGGGGUUGGUGGGGACGGCGUCGCUUUUUCUUAGACCUUUUUUUUUCUUUUUCCUCCCUUAAAAACAGUGAAAUUACUUAUACUGGUUUUUCUAUUUUACAUUUUGAAUAUUAUUAAUUAAUAUAAUUUAAGAUAACAAUCAGGGAUAAAACAAUCAUUUUUUAUUCAAGAUCAUUUUAUCAAUAUUCUGUUAAAUAUUCUCACAAUUUAACUUUAUCCUUAACAAAAAUUUAACUUUUUUUUUUUAAAACUAACGGAACCAAAUCCUAUAUAUAAAUGUAUAGUAUGCAUUAAUAAAUAAAUAAAACUUUGACGACCGGAGGGAAUGAAUAAAUAAAUAGAUAAAACUUUCGAAGCUCGUGAAUGUGCUAUUUUUGUUUUUUUUAGUAAUUGUUUAAUUGAAAAAAGAAAGCUUCGGGAUUUAUUUUUGACGGGACGGCUGAGAUUUGUUGACCUUCUAGAGAAUGAGAACAGAUUUUCAAUUUGUUGAUAAGUAUUCCUACAGUCCAGCCCAAAAGUACCGGCUCAAUGAGUUCGGUCAUGUUUGGUAACAGGUAUCCAUCACUUUCAAAAUCCGGUCCUACCAACGUAUCGGCUUUCACUGGCUGUCGUAUCAUCCGUGAAAGCAUGGGAGAGUGAGGCUACUCCAAUCUCUACUAGAGAAAUUUUAGAAUAUAUCUGUUGUAUUAUAAUUAAUUGAUGCAUGUAUGAUAUGUGUAAUUGAGUUUAAUACAAUCACCAUUUGUAUAAUAAUUUACAAAAUAAAUGCACACAUAUCAUGACAUUAUUUACUUAUUGUACGAAUAAUAAAUGCACACAUGUCAUCAUUCUUUGGUAAACAAAUUCACAAUAUAUAUUAAUCUUUGUGGAAGUUAUGUCCAAAAAAUAAAUAUUGUAAAAAAAUUUUAAUUACUAAUUUGUUGGACAUUAAUAAAAAAAUUUAAUAUAUUAACUCCUCAUGGAGUAUUAAAAACAAUUAAUAUAAAUUUUUUUGUUUCUAAUUUACUUUUUCAGUUUAAAUUGAUAAUUUAAUUUUUCUUUUUAUUAAUGUCUAAUAAAAAAGAAAUAUUAUUGUACGAGUGUAAUAUUGUAAAAACAAGUCAAAAAGAACAAAAAGUAACAAUAAGGGUGUCAAUAUUUAAUGACAAUGAUAUUUUGAGAUAUUUUUUAAAAUAUAGGGAUUAAAUAUGUAUUAAUCUCAAAAUAUAGGGAUUAAACGAGAUUUUACCAUUAUUAAUUGUAGUCAUCUUUUUAUAAAUUACAAUUGGAGGAAGUUGGUUAAUGUUGUUGACACGCACGCACACACGCACACACGCACACAUAAAGAUUUAUUGGAAGUGCUUAUGCCGACUCGAAGUUGUGGGAAUUAAUGCAUGUAUUGAUUUAUUGGGAGUGUUUAAAUGAUUUUGUGAUUUACUUGAUUGAUUGAAUAUUGUUUGAUUGCUUCAUAUCCAUUCUACAAAGUUUAUUUCUUUGUGAAAUUUCAACGACAUAUUUUUUUUAAAAAAAAAUAAUAAGGGUGUUAUAAAUAAUUUUAAAAAAUAUAUGGACUAAUUAGAACUAAUUACUAGGUAAUUAACUUGAUCUGUACAGGGUGAAACAACAUUUAUCCUAAUUGUAUCAUGACAAAUACUUUUCCGAUUAGAAUUAGGAAACCAUAGGUUUAUUGAAUUUUUUUUUUCCUCUGGAGAAACGGAUUAGAGAAUUAGAAAGCAAUCCUAAUGAUAUAAUUAUCAGGUUUAAAACAGUGCAUAAACAGUGAAAAGCUAAUUAGUCUGUAGAGUAAUUUGCUAAUUGUUACCUCCUCUCUAUGCGCGCUGAAUAAUUUGUUGCAUGCAAACUUUUUAUUUUAUACAAAUCAUACGUACUGUAACAUUGGAAUUGAUGUAUAAGCAAAAAUACAAGAAUAUUUAUGUCAAUAAAAAUAGUUUUUUCGUUCCUUUUUAAAUAAACACAACGCGAUGUUGCUCUGCUCUACAUUUUUGCUAUCAUUUUAUUCUUUUUUUUUUUUUUUGUGGGCUUCUUAAAGCCUCAAACUUUGAUAACCAAAACUUCAUCGACCUAUGAAAAAAUCUGCAGAUUAGUUUUCAUUAUCGGAAUAAUUGUUUGAGAAUACGAAAACAAAAUAUAAAAUAAGAAAAUAGGGGGUUAAAUUUGGGGAAAACAAAAAAAACCAAUUGGGAAUUUUUUUUCUUUAAUUUUUGUUUUACUUGAUUGAGAUUUCUCCUUAGUCCUUACAGUUUUAAGUUUGGAUGCCGUAGGGUUAGUAAUUUAGUACUUCCUUUGCAAGCUGAGUGCGAGAACGAAAAUCUUUAAAGAAAUUAAAAAAGAGUAAAAAAAAGCAUACCAAUAGGUAAUUAUAAAUAACCAUAAAUAAACAUAAACAAAAUGUUUAUGAAGUAAAUUACAAAUGCACAUAUUAUUUUUUUGUUUUAUUUCUUACUUGUCUAUUUUAUUUGCUGCUUGAUAACCCGUAAAUACUAAUCUAGUACUGCUAAUUUCAGACACAAAAUGUUUAACUCUAGGCUGUAGUUUUACUCAAAAUGAUGACCACUGGCUUCGCACCAUUUAACCAGCAUACAUUUCUACAAAUUGAACAAGGCUAUUGAUUUUCAUUAUUAUUUUUUAUUUAUUUAUAAAUUACUAUUUUAAUUUUCACUUUUUAUUGGGUUGUUUAACGGAUUAGUGAAGUUGGUGGUCGUGAUGCACUCACAAGGUACAAUUUUAUUUUAUAAUUUCAAAUUUGUAUUUUAAAAUGCAGGUACAUUAUGUAUACAUAAUUAUUGAUUUUCGUAUGUGGGUGUUUUGAAAUAUUGCUAAAAGACCAAACUUUAAUAAACUAUUUUUCAUCUUUUUUUUUUCCUUUUUUCCUAGAGUUUGAGUGAUAUCCUCAUUUUAAAUUCAUGUGGAACAAAAGCUAAUGUAUGCACAAAAUUCUUUUAUUUUUUCCUAGAAAAAUGGGUAAGAGAAGAAGAUUUUUCUCUUGAAAAAGAAAAACUAAUACGAUGCAAGCAUAGGAAAGAGGUCAGUGUUUUGGAUUAGAAUUUAGUAUUGAGCUGAAUUUUAUACUAAACUCUUUUAUGGUACUGCGAUUAAUAAACUCAUGAUUUGCUUUUGCUUUUACUUCAAGUGAAAGAAAGAGGAAACCUUUUGUUUUUUGUUUGAUUCUUGACUAUAAAAAGAUUAACCAGCGCACACAAUCUUACUGUAGUCCAGACCAUCCAGCUGUGAUGACUCUAGUUUUUUGGUUACAUUAGCUUUAGUGGAAAGGAGGGCCAAUUUAACAAAGACUAUAUUUGGUGGCUUACUAUAAUGCUUAUUCUCAGGGAAUCUAAUGUUAUAAGAUGAUUUAAUGAUCUUCUAUGAUUGUGAGUAGUAUAGUAUAAUUGAAAAGAGCCUGGGCUCCUAUGAUGAAUAUAUAAUAGUAACACAGUACUGUGAUUGAAAAAAACAAAGUUACAAUAAACUCUUCAUUUAUUCAUUGUGGAGAUUGAAUGGCAAACAGAGAAUAAAAUGAAGCAGAGGAAUCUCAUUGCCAGUAAAAUUGACCCUCUUUAAUGUUAUAUGGCACAGGUGUGUGUACAGCAAGAGCAAGUUACUUGCAGUUUUUAUUGUAAAAUAUACAGGUUAUGACCAUGAUCAUUGUAAGGUUUUGAUGAUUUUAGAUGCUUUUUUAUUUUUUUAAAUUGUGACACCUUUGAUUUAUGGUAGUUUUGCAGAAGAAAAAAAUAUAUAUAAAAAUUAGGAGGGAUGAGUUAACUAACGAUUGCAAUAAUAUUUUUAUGGAAAUUCUUGGUUUUUAUGGAAAUACUCUUGCUGAAAUUCUAAUUUUGACUUUCAACUCUUGGUUUUUAUGGAAAGUAAAAUGACUUAUUUGUUAUAUUCAUACAAUCCACUCUACAUAAUGAUUUCAUUUUAAUAAAUGCUUGAUGAUCUCCACUGAAAAACUACUUCAAUUCUUUUGUUUUAUUUAACUUUUUGGUUGUUGAAAAUAGCCUUAAUUUUCAAAUAAUUGGAGAAAGAGUAAAGAACGUUUAACAAAUUUAUGUGCCAAAAAUAAAGGAGAAAUUGAAGAGAAAGGGUGCUUGCAGAAGUGGGUGCAAAGAUAAAUCAGUCCGUAAGAAUUAUUGUGGUUAUUAAGUUUUUGGCAAUAUAAAAAUUUUUCAGCAAAUAAAAAUUGAUUUUUUCCGAUUUACUAAAAAAUUAAUUAAAAACUUCGGUGAUAGCAUUUUUUAUGGGUGCAUGUACACUCCCUUUAAAAAAAAUAUAAUAAUUAAUACUUAAUAUAGUAUUAAAUACGAAAAUAUCAAUAUUUGACUACACAAAUUUAUAUCAUUAGGUCCUUAAAAUUUAAAAUUGAAGACAAAAAAUGAAAUAUAUAUAAAUUUCAUUCUCACAGGAAAGGAUCCUCUUAUAAUCUUAAAAUAUUUGAGCUUUGAAAGAUUUUUUAAAAUAAAUGUACUUUUAUUUUUGUACAAUCAAUAUUUACUUAUUUAUUAUAUUUUUAUUCAUUAACUAUCAAUCAUGUGAGUAUAUUUACUCAGAAAUAUCAUAUCAAGGAAGAAUCUUGAUCCCACGCACACACAAAUAUGUUAAUUUCUAUACGCUUCACUUACCUGUAGAAUCAAUUAUCUAAAAUGCAAGUUUGUGGCCACAAAAAAAGCCAAAGAAAGAAGAUAAUAACAAUUGACUUGUAUAUUAUACUCAUACAAUCCACUCGACAUAAUGAUAUCAUUUUAAUAAGGCAAUGGCUGAUGAUCUCCAUUGAAAAACUAAUUCAAUUUUUUUGCUUCAUUUAACUUUUUGGUUGUUGAAAAUAACCUUAAUUAUCAAAUAAUUGGAGAAAGAGUAAAGAACAUUUAACAAAUUUAUGUGCAAAAAAAAAAAGGAGAAGUUGAAGAGAAAGGGUGCUUGCAGAAGUGGGUGUCAAAGAAAAAUCUGUCCAUAAGAAUUAUUGCGGUUAUUUUUUGGCAAUAUAAAAUUUUAUAGCAAGUAAAAAUUAAUUUUUUUCCGAUUUACUUAAAAAUUAACUAAAAACUUCUCCGACAGCAUUUUUAUGGGUGCAUAUACCCACCCUUUAAAAAAUAAUAAUAAUUAAUGCUUAAUAUAGUAUUAAAUAUGAAAAUAUCAAUAUUUGACUACUCAAAUUUAUAUCAUUAGGUCCUUAAAAUUUAAAAUUGAAGAUACGAAAGGAAAUAUAUAUAAAUUUCAUUCUCAUGGAAAGGAUUCUCUUAUAAUCUUAUAAUAUUUGAGUUUUGAAAUUUUUUUGAAACAAAUGUAAUUUUAUUUGUGUACAAUCAAUAUUUACUUAUUUAUUAUAUUUUAAUUUAUUAACUAUCAAUCAUGUAAGUAUAUUUAGUCAGAAAAAUUAUAUCAAGAGAGAAUCCUAAUUUCACGCAAACACAAAUACAAGACAAAUAUGUCAAUUUCUAUACUAUUCACUUUCCUGUAGAAUCAAUUAUCUAAAAUGCAAGUUUGUGGCUAUAGAAAACUCGCCAAAGAAAGAAGAUAAUAACAAUUAUGGGAAAUGAGUUAUUGUGUGGUUUACCAAAUCUUCAAGUCCAACCAUGCAAAGUUAGCAAGCCGAGGACAGAACAUAAAUCAAGGAAAAAGAUACUUCUCAUUGUGAUUGUUUUGCCAUUGAGUAUUGCUCUAACGAUAGCAAUCACUCUAGCUCUCAAAUAUAAGCUGAACGAAUGUGGAAAAAGAAGCACAGUGUUAUCAAAUGAUUGUAUCUUGUCAUCACAGGCAACACUAAGAAGGUUUUCAUACUUAGAACUUUUACAAGCAACAGAUAAUUUUACUGAAAACAACAUAAUUGGCAGAGGAGGUUUUGGUUCCGUUUAUGGAGCAAGACUUGAAGAUGGGAUGAAGAUUGCAAUAAAAGUGUUUCACCAGCAAUGUGCAAGCGCAUUGAAGAGUUUUGAGGCUGAAUGUGAAGUGUGAAAAAAUAUUCGCCAUCGAAACCUGAUCAAAGUUAUCAGCAGUUGCUCGAACGAUGAUUUCAAAGCAUUAGUCCUAGAAUACAUGUCCAACGGGAGCUUGGGGGAUUGGCUGCAUUCUAGCAAUUACGUGCUGAAUAUAUUUCAGAGGUUGAACAUAAUGAUUGACGUUGCAUCAGCUUUAGAAUAUCUCCACUUCGAUCAUUUACCUCCUAUUAUUCAUUGUGACUUAAAACCUAGUAAUGUAUUGUUGGAUGAAAAUAUGGUUGCUCAUUUGAGUGAUUUUGGCAUAGCAAAGCUUUUAAGUGGAGAAGAUGAGUCUACGAUGCGAACAAAAACCCUUGCCACUAUAGGUUAUAUGGCACCAGGUUUGCUUUAAACAACUUUUUUUUUAGUUCAUUUUAAAUUUUGCAACUUAUUGAUUUUUACGAUCCUCACAUCAAAAUUUUAUUGAUUAUUUAUCUAAUUGUGAAAUUAAUUUGAUUUAUAGAGUACGGCAUAGAAGGAGAAGUAUCUACAAAAAGUGAUGUUUACAGCUAUGGGAUUAUGUUGAUGGAAACUUUUACCAAGAAAAAACCCACAGAUGAAAUUUUUGUCGGAGAAUUGAGCUUAAAGCGUUGGGUUAAUGACUUGCUUCCUACUUCAUUAGUGGAAGUUGUGGACAAAACUCUGCUAAGUGGAGAGGAAAAACAUUUUUCCGCAAAGGAGCAAUGUCUGUUGUCUAUCUUUAGUUUGGCUCUGGAGUGUACAAUAGAAUCACCGGAAAAGAGGAUUAAUGCAAAAGAUAUUGUUACCAGGUUACUCAAGAUAAGAGACACAUUGAGUAAAAGGAUCAGAAAUUUAAGUUAAUUUCGUUUGCUUUCAUUGAUAGUUAAUCUGAAUUCAUGUAAUAAGUGUAGGAAUCUUAUAUCUUUUCCUUUCAUAUAUUUUUUUUUCUUGAGAAAACUGUUGUAGUCAUCUUGUUUCCAUGGGCAGAGUUGAUUUACUUCUUCCAAGAAAUGCUACUGAUGACCUUUGUUUUAUGGCAAUCCCUAUCUUACGUGCAUGUAAGAUACAUCCCCUUCACAUGAAUAAUGUGUGAGUCCAAUCCCUAUCUUAUAUGCAUGUAAGAUACAUCCCCCUCACAUGAACAGUGCAUGUGUGGGACCCACACACUGUUCAUAUGAGGGAGAUGUAUCUUGCAUGCAUGUAAGAUAGAGGGAUCCUUGUUUUAUACUUUCUCUUUUUUUUGCAUGUGGUUAGGUAGAACAGUGGUUUGGCUGCAGGCUAAGAAGUCUAACUACACUAAAAGAAUAUGAUUUAAUUUAUUAAACAAAACUUCAAGUUCAAGAAAAGUAUUUCACUGCCCCCAAUGCUUUGGACACCUACUGGUAGGUUUGUACGUGUCCUCAACUUUUUUUUAGAGCACAAACUUCGAGUCCCAUGGAGAUUCAAACAUUCCUUUCUCGCAUCCCGAGCACUAAAUGUUUGGAAAUUGGUGGGUGAAGCAGAACCGCAGCUAAUAUGAAAUUGGAAGAAAAUAAAGAACAAGCACAAAAAGAGAAUACCAGAAUUACGUGGUUCGGCUUUUAGCCUACGUCCACGGGUGAAAACAGAAGGAAAUAUUUUACUAGUAAAAAGAAGUUACAAGUAUUGUAGUAUUUUAGCUCACUUCCCAAAAUCCCAAUGCACCCAAACUCUCAAAACACCAAAACAAGAGCUUAUAAUUUCAAGCUCUCUAAACUCUCUCUAAAUACAAGAAAACUCUUCUCAAAAUUGGAUAAGCAAAUGAGGGAAUGAGCCCCUCUAUUUAUAGACAAAAUCUUGGCUACAAUUCACUUUUUUUUUAAAAUUAUUUAUUAUUGUUCAAAAUUUCAACAUUCAAAGUUUGAUAUUCAAACUUUGAAUAUCUAGAAGUUUGAAUUUGAUAUUCAAAGUUCGAACAUCAAGACACCCAAUCUUGACAUUCUCCCACUUGGAGAUUUGAUUGAGAACCAAACAAUCUCCACACCAUUCUUUCUGCUUUGCCAUUGCCAUGUUGCUUACGUUUCUGCUAGGCCAUACGAGGAUCUAUUCCAGACAAACUUGUCAGUAUUGAUUGGCUUGGUCAAAACAUCUGCUAGGUUCUCCUUCGUAUGGAUUUUCUGUAAAUCCACACUUCCGUCUUCUACUACUUCUCGAACGAAGUGAUGUACUCCUAUGUGCUUUGUCCUGGAAUGAAAGGCUGGAUUCCUUACAAUGUGCAAGGCACUCUGACUGUCACAAAACACAGAAAUUUUCUCUUGUUUGUGCCCGAGCUCCUCCAAUAAUCUUUGUAUCCAAAUAGCUUCCUUGCAAGCUUGUGUAGCUGCCAUAUAUUCUGCUUCUGUUGUAGAUAAAGCCACAACAGUCUGUAGUUUCGAAACCCAGCUUACAGCUGCUCCCGCAAGUGUAAACACAUAACCAGUAGUGGAUUUCCUUUUAUCAAGGUCUCCUACAAAAUUUGAAUCCACAUAGCCCCUGACAGUAAACUCUGAUCCUCCAUAACAUAAUACAACAUCUGAGGUUCCUCUGAUGUAUCUCAGAAUCCUCUUCACAGCUAUCCAAUGCUCUCUACCAGGAUUCGCCAUGUAUCGACUGACUGCUCCCAUUGCUUAUGCAAUGUCUGGUCUAGUACAUAUCAUAGUGAACAUCAAACUUCCCACUGCUGAUGUAUACGGUACUCGAGACAUCUCCUUCCUCUCUGCUUCAUUGCUAGGACACAUACUUGAGGAUAAUUUGAAAUUAACAGGAAGUGGGGUAGAAAUUGACUUACAAUCUUGCAUGUUGAAGCGCCGCAAAAUUUUCUUCAAGUAAUUCCUCUGCGAAAGCCAAAUCUUCCUGUUAUUUCUGUCUCGGUGAAUUUGCAUCCCUAGAAUCUCGUUUGCUGGUCCCAAGUCCUUCAUUUCAAACUCCCUAGCCAACUGUGCCUUCAAUUCUUGGAUUCGAUCUUUGUUGAGACCUGCUACCAACAUGUCAUCCACAUACAACAGCAAAAUAAUGAAAUCAUUAUCUUCAAACCUCUUGUAAUAUGCACAAUGGUUUGAACUGAGUCUGUUGUAUCCAAGGCUCAUAAUGAAGGAAUCAAAUCUCUUAUACCAACACAUCGACGCCUGUUUGAGACCGUAUAGAGAUUUAUUCAACUUGCAAACCAAUUUCUCCUUUCCUGUUUCUGUAAAACUUUCUGGUUGGAGCAUAUAUAUUUCUUCUUCAAGUUCUCCAUGAAGAAAUGCAGUUUUCACAUCUAAUUGCUCUAGAUGUAAGUCAAAUGUAGCACACAUCACCAAGACUACUCUGAUUGUUGUGAGUCGAACCACCGGAGAAAAUAUCUCGUUGAAGUCAAUACCUUUUUUCUGAGCAUAUCCUUUCACCACCAAUCUCGCACGAUACUGCUCCACUUGGUUAUUGCCAUCACGUUUGAUCUUGUAGACCCAUUUGUUUCCAAUGGCUUUUCUUCCACGUGGUAGUGGUACAAGUUCUCAUGUCUUGUUCUUGUGUAGAGCUUCAAUUUCUUCCUGCAUUGCUGUCAUCCACAAAAUAACAUCUGAGCUGUUUAAAGCUUCAUGGAAAGUUGAAGGCUCUCCAUCUUCUGUUAGAAGAUAGUAUGCAACAUUGAUCUCUGUGACAUACUCCGAGUGCCACGUUGGCGGUCGUCUCUCACGAGUUGACCGACGAAUUUCUUGAGCCUCGGACUCGACUAGUUCUUGUUCCUCGUGCUCUGGUGCUGCUUCAGAAGAAUUUGAAUCUUCUGAAUUAUUUUUCACAUAUACCGGUACAGUUUCUGGCUUUUCUUUUACAGUGCUAUCAUCCUCAUCUUUCCUUUGCAAUUGAUCUUCUAUAAAAAUAACAUCUAUGCUGAUGACGAUCUUGUGGGCAGUAGGAUCCCACAGACGAUACCCUUUUACUCCAUCAGCAUAUCCCAAGAAGAUACAUCUUCUAGAUUUUGCAUCCAGUUUUGUUUUUUCUUGAGCAUUGUACAUCACGUACACAGGACAUCCAAAUGCAUGUAGGUAGGAAUAAUCAGCUGGCUUUCCAGUCCACAUCUUCAUCGCUGUCUUCAGCCCAAUUACUGUAGAUGGUGAUCGAUUUACUAUAUAACAGGCAGUUUUGGUUGCUUCUACCCAAAAUGAAUUGGGUAGACCAGCAGUCCUCAACAUAGCUCUUAUCCGUUCUGUAAGAGUUCUAUUCAUCCGCUCUGCCACUCUAUUUUGUUGAGAAGUAUAUGCCACCGUGAACUGUCUUUGAAUACCUUCUUGCUUACAAAAAGCAAAAAACUCGCUGUCUAUAUACUCUCUACCAUUAUCUGUCCUCAAGCACUUGAUCUUUUUACCAGAUUCAAGUUCUACUGCGUUUUGUAUUCUUUAAACACUGGAAAUACAUCUGACUUUUUCUUAAUUGGAUACACCCAACAUCUUCGGGAAUAAUUAUCAAUGAAAGUCACCAUGUACUUUGCACCUCCCAUGGAUAUAUCCGGUGAUUCCCAAAUAUCAGAAUGAAUCAAGUCUAUAAUGCAUUUACUUCUAGCAAUAGAUCUACUGAAUUUUAAUUUAUGCUGCUUACUUGUAACACAAUGCUCGCAAAAUGGUAAACUUACCGAUUUGAGCCCCGGAAGCAAUUUUCGCUCAGAGAGAAUCUUCAAUCCUUAUUCUAACAUGUGGCCAAGUUUGAGAUGCCACAUCAUCGUUGACUCUUCUCCAUUUGACGCGACACACGCAUCAGCCUCUUGUAGUGUUUCUCCUUUAAGCAUGAAUAAAUUAGCACCGAUCUUUUCUGCCUUCAUCAAUACAAACGCACCUUUAACGAUCUUCAUAAUUUCAUUCUCCACAUGAGUUUUGUACCCAUGACUAUCCAUUUGUCCCAAAGACAAAAGAUUUUUCUUCAGGCCGUUGACAUGUCGUACCUCCCUAAUUGUGCGAAUUGUACCAUCAAAUAUUUUUAUUUUGAUAGUACCAAUACCAGCGAUCUCCAAGGCAUGAUCAUUACCCAUAUAUACAGAUCCUCCUGAGAUAGGUUCAUAUGUGUGGAACCAUUCUCUCCGAGAGGUCAUGUGCCAGGUAGCUCCUGAGUCUAUAAGCCAGACAUCAGAUAGUCGUUUUCUGCCUUCUGAAACAGUUGUUGUUUCGCUGUAGAGAAUUUCGCCAUCAUCCGAGGUACUUACGACACAACUCUGAGCAUUUGAUGACUCAAGUUCUUUGCCCUCUCUUCUCUUCUGGUUACUCCAACACUCUUUCUUGACGUGCCCUUUCUUGCCACAAUUGUAGCAUUUAACAUUCUUCUUACUUCUAGAUUUUGAUCUACCAUGAUUUUGACUCCCAUUGGGGCCACGUUCCGUUGAUCUCCCUCUCGUCACCGAUAGCGCCUCCGCUUGCUGUGAACUUGCUUGUCUGUUUUCCUUAUUUUUCCGCCUGCUUUCCUCAUUUAAUACGAAGGCUGCAACAUCGUCGAAAACUAGACUGUCCACUGGAUUGUUGUUCGUUAAGUUGAUGAUGAGUUGAUCAUACUAAUCUGGUAGACUUUAAAGUAGAAGCUCUGCACGUUCAUUCUCCUCUAUAUUAUGACCCAACGUUGUAAGUUGUGAAAAUAGAGUCUUCAAUGUGUUGAUGUGGUCGGUCACCAUUAUAGAUUCCGCCAUUUGAAGAGUAUAGAGUUUCCUCUUCAAGAAGAUUUUGUUGUGUAGUGACUUGACCUCGUACAAUUUUGUGAGAGUAUCCCAAAUUUCCUUCGCUGUAUUUUUCUUUGCCACACUGGAUAAUACUCCGUCUGCAAGUGCCAAGUGUAGAUCAGAAAUAGCGUUGCCAUCUAUCUCGUUCCACUUGUCAUCAAUUAUCUCCAUGGGCCUUUCUCCAAUUGCUGCCAAGUAAUUAUUUUUCCUCAAUACAGCUUUCAUCUUCAUUUUCCACAACGAAAAAUUAUUUCCGUUAAAUUUCUCAAUUUCAUACUUUGCUGCCAUUUUGUUGAUAACUAUUGUACACAAACUAGUGUAUCACAUUGAAUAGUUGUGAGUAUGUGUAAAAAUGCACACCAGGAAAGUUUCCAGGAAAGACUGGAGGGGUCACAAUGGUCCCACUUAAAACUCAGACUCCUUAAGCUCUUAUCACCUUUGUGACAGAACUUUCCUAGACAUGUACAAAACCACACAGUUGCUUUACUCACACCACUAUUCCCUGCUUUGCACCGCCAAAUUCUUGGAUCGCUCCUACCGUUUUACGUGAAUAGUACUGUAUACGUGAACAGUACCGUAUACGUGAAUAGUACCCCUUACGUGAACAGUACCCGACUCUAAAAAAUAUAACAAAUAGCUCUGAUACCACUGUUAGGAAAUUGGUGGGUGAAGCAGGACCGCAGCUAAUAUGAAAUUGGAAGAAAAUAAAGAACAAGCACAAAAAGAGGAUACCAGAAAUUACGUGGUUCGGCUUUUAACCUACGUCCACGGGCAAAAAUAGAAGGAAAUAUUUUACUCAUAAAAGGAAGUUACAAGUAUUGUAGUAUUUUAGCUCACUUUCCAAAAUCCCAAUAUACCCAAACUCUCAAAACACUAAAACAAGAGCUUAUAAUUUCAAGCUCUCUAAACUCUCUCUAAAUACAAGAAAACUCUUCUCAAAAUUGGAUAACCAAAUGAGGGAAUGAGCCCCUCUAUUUAUAGCCAAAAUCUUGGCUACUAUUCACUUUUUUUUAAAAAUUAUUUAUUAUUGUUCAAAAUUUCAACAUUCAAAGUUUGAUAUUCAAAGUUUGAAUAUCUAGAAGUUUGAAUUUGAUAUUCAAAGUUUGAAUAUCAAGACACCCAAUCUUAACACUAAAUUCAUCAGACUGACAACUGGGACAUAUAGAAGAGCGAAAUAACUGGGACAUAUACAAGAGUGAAAUGUUUAGAGCACGCUAAGUUCGAGUGAAAGAGAUUAAUUUACGGAAACUAAACCCAAGAGAAUAAAGGACAACACUUAUGUGAAGCGACAUAAUUGUAUUGAUAGCACAAUGUCAAAUUCAUACAGAGAUCUAGUAUACUAUUUACAGCCGGUAAGGGCUAAGAAUUGAUGUAGCUAGAAUACAAAGACGAUAAGGUAUGUUGUGCACUAUUGUUUUAUUCUACGAUCAAUCUUGACCCUUGAUGCUUGGCUCUCAAUCUUGUCCAUUGAUCUUCUUUGAUUUUGGACACUUCAAGACCUUUCAGUAUCAUUCCUUGUUGUUGGUGUCUUCCGUGCUGUAGAAUUCAUAUACAAGCCUUCCCGCCGACUUGCCAAGUAUUCGUUCAUUGAUGCAUUUUUAUCAAACAGCUGGGCUACUUAUGCCAAACACCGCCUGGUUUAACUCCCCCUCUCUAGCUCAACUAUCUGGGAAGACAAUUAAUUGAGAUAUGAAUCAGAAAAUUAAAUUUUAAAAAUUGUAUUCGGACUCUACAUUUUGUAAUGAACAUUGGUUUGACUUGUUAUACAUUUAUGCGUACAUAAUUAAUAACCGAUUCUCAAGUGCGGACAUUCAAGAGCACUGCUUAAAGACCAAAUAUUUUGAUUUACUAUUUUUUGUCUUUCAAUUUUCUUUUAAGUUCUGAUGACGUCCGCAUUUUAAAAUCAUGUGGAACAAAGGCCUGAGGUGCAUAUAAAAUUCUUUUAUUUUUCAGAGGAAAAUGGGUGAGAGAAGAAGAUUUGGCAAAAGAAUUGCAACGGCAUUUGAAACUAGUCUUCGUCUUUUAAUUCUUUUAUAUUUGUUUUUGUUAUUGAUGUUAGCUUGGAUGUGUGCGCGUGUGACUGAAUUCAACUUCUAUUUGUUUUUGUUAUUGUUAUUAAUUUUAUUUGUUUUUGUUAAAUUGGAUCACAAAAAAGGGUGGUCCAUUAUCAAAUCAACACGGUUUAAUUAUUAUUAUUUCUAUGCUUUUUUUAUGAACAAAUAUAAAAUAAAAGGACAUAUACACCCCAAAUUUUAGUGCAAUAGUCAUCAGCAUCCCUAAAUUUUUAAAAAAAGACAUCAAGAUCAUUUUUUGAUCUUAAUACUCUUAUACGGUACCUCUAUUAUUCCUAAAAAUUGACUCUAAUGUUUUAUAAUAAAUAAAAAUAAAAAAUUAAAAUAAAUGUAAUAACAUAUAAUUUUAAAAUAAUUUCAAUAUUUAAAAAAUAUUUUUAACAUUUUACAAUCUAUUAAAUAUAUUUUAUUAUAUUAAAGUAAAUUUUAUAAUAAAUAGAAUCAUAUUAUUAAGAUAAAUGCAUUAAAAUUUAAAUUAUUUUGAAUAUCAUGUAAGAUAAUAAUUUUAACAUUACUAGUAUGUCAGAAUUUUUUUUUUUAGUUGUAGAAUGUAUUUAGUGCAAAUAUUUAUUUCAAAUCUCUACAAUAAAUAAAAGAUUAAAAUAAAUAUAAUAAUUUACAUAUCUAAAUUUAUUAAAAUAUUUUAAUAUUGUUAGUCUACCGCAUAGAUCACAAUAUUUAUAUAACAUUUGUAUUUAUUAAAAACUUUAAAAUCAAUUCUUUUGAAAAUAAUAGAGGUAAAGGGUAUAAUGGUCAAAAGGGGGACUUUGUACCCCUUUCUGAAAAUUUGAGAGUGUUGGUGAUCAUUUCUCCAAACCUUCAGGGUGUAGAUGUCCUUUUCCCAUAAAUAUAUGAGAAAAUUGUCAUACAAUAUCUGAAUUCUGAAGUAACAAGAAUCACCUUUAUGAAAUCAUAUUGCUUUCCAUGAUAGACUGUUACCAUUUUUCUAUAAUAGAUUGAAUUUAGUAAAAAAAUUGAUUAAGAUGUCUACUCAUGGAGAGUGAAAUUUAUGUUCAAAACUAAUUUCACAUUAAGUAUAUAAAUGUGUGUGUGUGUGUGUGAUUUAAUUCAUUAAGCACGUGUAACUUUAAGUUGAAGACAUGCAUUCAUCCCCUCGCCAAUGAUUCAGAAAAUAAUGCAAAAAGAAUGAAGUACAAAAUUUAUACAUAUAAAGCGACAUAAUUUUAUUGAUAUCAUAAUAUCAUACUGAAAUUGGAACUGAGAAGAGGCUCUAUUAAUUAAGUAUAUUAAAUAUCAAUUAAAAAUACAAAAUGACAAAAGAAUAGCUGCUGGUCUAGAGGUGGCUUACUACAUUCAUACAAGAUCGUUUCUUGUUCUCUAAGAUGUGGAUUAUACUAAUAAUGCUAUGCAAACUUAUCCAAAGGUCUAUUAAUUAAUUCAUUAAUCCGACGGCUCGUUAGGUUGUCCUUUCAUCCAUACAGCUGCAUGCUUGUCUUCUUAUAUGCUGAUCUUAUCCUCUAGAUCUGUUCAGGCUGAGUGAUCUCGAUCUUAUCCUCUAGAUCUUAUGCGAUCACGACCUGUUGCUUGGUGAUGUCGAAUGCCUGGCCUUUACUUCUCUGAGCCAAUUGAUCAAACAAUUUGUUCAUUUUAUCGAACACCUUCACCAACAAACAUUUGAUUUACUUUUGAUGGCUUUUAAGUGCAUUUGAUGAUUAUUUUUGCUCCAACUUCAGAUAAACCAAACGCUAGUAUAUUAGAAGAAGAAAUUAACUGGCAGCUAACCAGGCCAAAGUAGCGACUCUAUAUAAAAAAUAUAUAUAUAAAAUAAAAAAUAAAAAAUGGGACUUUAUUUAAUUAAUUGUUGGUCUAAAGCUGUUGGUAUCCGUUGGCCACGUUUCUGAAGAGUCAUCUCAAAUCGAAAUUUUUAACGAACAAAGAACUUUGCUUUUUUCCAUUGUUCACAUUGCUGCUGGCUGCCGCCCGUGAGAUAAAAGUGCUACAAUCCAAAAUGUUCCACCAUCAUUUAUUCUAAUUUUAAUUUUCCAAUGGAAAAAAUUACAUAAUUAAAAUGGCUUCUAAUAUCAUUUCCACACCUCAAUAUGUGUCACUAUCAGAAGGUUGUUUUCGUGAUUCAUGGUAAAUUUGGAUUACAGCACCUGUACUUUCUGAUGGUUCAUUAUUUAUUCUCAGGAAUCGAGUCUCCUUACAUUCACUACAACAAAUAGUUAUAUUACCGACCAUAUAUUUUUAAGGGUACCAUUUACUCUUGAUAAUAAGUACGUUUUACAAAGGUAUUACACUGUCGUCGGAUAAACGUAGAAACUAGUAACUAUUUUUCCAAGGGUAAUUUGCCCCUCGAUGGUAAUGAAUAUUUUGUCGGAAAAGUCGAAAUUACACUGAUUUUUUUAAAUGAAUUGUUUUUUAUUUUGAAAUAAUAAUCAAUAAAGAAAACCCAAAAAAAUUACUUCAGCAAACUAACUAAAGACAGCGACUACUAUUUGAAACCAUUGCCUAUUUCAAAUAUAUAAUAUUUAAGAAAAAAACUCGGUUACAAAUAAAAUCACAAAUCAAUGAAGUUUACUCAAUUCACCGGAAAAAAAAAACCCUAGAAAUUCUAUCACAAUUCCCGCCGUCAGCAACGAUCUCUCAUUCACACCGGCACCAACCUCUCAUUCAUGGGGGAACCGAUCUCUCCUUCUGAUGUCAGUAUGUCAAAAUUCCUUUUAUUCGAUUUGCAGAUACGGUCUGAAUCUUCUUAUUGAUUUUCAAUUUCAGCUUAAAAUUAGUCGAGGCAUCUUCAAUUUGCCGGCAAUUUCAGCCACGAUGAUGAUGAUUAAACCACAACCUGUGGGCUACGGCGACCAAGACGUCAAGCUUAAGGCUCAACGAUCGAUUAAAGAACCAAAUCAUCGGUAGCUAGACGAAGAAGCUCUCGUUCCUCAAGGUUGAUGUCGUUCUUGCCGUUUGCAGAAGCCGUAUCGGCCGAUAUUACAGCCUAGCAGGUUCACAUGUGGCUUCAAAGCCGUCUAAGCCAUGCUAGACGCCAGCCUAUUUCCUGAUUUGUCUCUGAUAUUUUCUCGUAGAGAUGAACAAGUGAAAUUUCAAAUCUAUUAUCUUUCUCUUUUGGUUUUAUUAUUGCAUAUUUUUUAAAUUUUUAAUCUUUUUAUUACUGAUUUGGGGAGCUUAGUGUUCAAUUUGUAUGAUCACAUAAGAGGAUCCUGUGAUAUUUAUUUAUCUGACAUUUACAUUUUAAUGUUCAUUACUGAGUAAUGAUCUAUGUUUGAGUUUUUGAUCAUCAUCUGCUAACUGAUUUUUUCUUUUAAUUUCAUGAAUUAUAUAUAUAUAUAUAAUUUCAUAGCUCUUUAGUAUAUGGCUAAGAGCAGAGCACAUCUAAUUUUGAGCCAUAUAUGAUGCCACUUGUUAUUUAUUAAUUAAUAGUAGAGUUAAUUAAAUUUAAAAAAAAGAAUUGAAAGAUAAGAAGUAACAUAGAAUUUUUUUUUUAAAAUCGAAUAUCAUUUUAUUGUAGUACAUUAGCUCUUGUUUAAUGAUUAUAUUUAGUUAAUGGAUUCAUUCAUUAGUUUGUUCAGAAAUUGGAGUUGCUAUAUUUUGAUCCAAAUGAAAAAUAAAAACUUAUAAUGAAGGAUGGAUGGGUGUCAUUUUCCCUUAUAGUUUUUAUAUUGCUUCGUAGAUGAUUGUAUUUAUUUUUUAUGCGAUCAAGCCUCAAUUCUUGUAUCUUUUAUGGCACCAUUUUAAUAGAACUUGAUCGAUACUUGCAGUUUUUCUGCCAAAACAAUUAUAGGGCGGCAUACAAAUUUUGUAGAGGUUACUUUGUAUAGCCUAAUUCAAGAUUUCUUUUUUCUUUGACUUUUGACAUGCAAUUCUUAUUUUGACCAUUAAAUGGAAAUUAAUCAUGCAUUUUCUCAGUAGUGUGAUGCUUAUUUGGCUUUUGACAUGCAAUUCUUGUAGAGAUGAUGCUUUUGGGAUUCAUUUCACUCGUACUCACUAUCAGGUGUCAAGGAAGCUCAUGUGAGCCAAAUAGUCAGCAAAGCAGAGGAUUAUAACAGCAGCAACUUACAGCUGCGAGUUGAUGAUUUGGACUGCCAGCUGGCACCUGGUGGUUAUAUAAUUUCUUGUACUCGUAACUGAUUAGUUGUAGUUUGUUAAUAAGCUGCUGCAUGAUUAGCAUGUGAGAUUAGUUUAGCUAGUAUGGUUAAUCAGUUACGUGAGUAUAUAAAGCAAAGGCAGCACAUUUCCUCUGUAAUCUUGUUGAAAGAAAUAAAAACAAAUUCUCAGAUUCUUAUCAUUUUCUCUCAAUAUUUCUUAGUCAUCAAACAAGCUGUUUUGUCACUUGGUAUCAGAGCCAAGAUAAUGGCGUCUGUUAAUCUAGUUACUUCAAAUCAGAUCCAAAAUACUCCCGCUGUUUCAACUAAUAUUUCAUUCACUUUCAAUACACCAGUGAAGCUUGAUCAAGCUAACUAUCUCAUAUGGCGAUCUCAAGUGCUUGCUUCAAUUCGUGGCAACAGACUUGAAAAGCUUAUUGAUGACUCGAUUACUCCUCCUCCAUCUCACAUUGCUCAAAGAGUUGGAGAUGACGUCAGAUCUGUGGAGAAUCCAGACUUUAUAUCUUGGAGAUCUCAGGAUCAAGUGCUGCUUGGAUGGUUACUCUCUUCAAUGAGUGAAGGAAUCAUCAGUCUAGUCUUCAAUCUGGAGACAUCACGUGAGGUUUGGAAAGCUGUUGAGGUACAAUUUGGUUCUCAAUCCAAAUCACGACUGUUACAUCUAAGAUAUAUGAUGAAUUCUACUAGAAAGGAUGAUAUGAAAAUCACAGAUUACUUCAUUAAAAUGAAAAACAUAUCUGAUAAUAUGGCUGCAGCAGGAAGUGCCUUGAGUAAUGAUGACUUAAUUUUGCAUGUGUUGUCUGGUUUAGGACCAGAUUAUAAUUCAGUAGCUACCUAUAUAACUGGUCAAGUAGGAACUGGAAAAAUGGAUCUGAAUGAAGCUUAUGCAAUGCUUUUAACUCAAGAAGUUAGGAUUGAACAACAGUCUCAUAUGCUAGCUGGUACAGAUAUGAAAAAUAACUUUGAAGCAAAUUUUGCUCAAAACAGAGGACCUAAGAAAGGAAACAUGUUCAAUGGAAAAGGUUUUGGUGGUUAUGGCUAUAAUUCUGGUUCUGGAAAUAACUAUAACUCAGGCUUUAGCAAUAAUGGUUAGUACAAAGGAAACUUUGGUACUGAGUUUGCUGGUACUGGUUUUAACAAUCAGUUCAAAGGAUACCAGUCCAGUAAUCAUGGAGGGGGAGGAGGAGGUAACUGGAAUAACAACAAUGGACCAAGUAACUUUAACAGUGGCAAACCAUCUGUGAAUCCUAAGCCACAAUGGAAUGCAUCAAAGCCUACCUGUCAAAUUUGCCUCAGGCCUGGACACACUGCAAAUAUUUGCUGGAAACUUGAAGAGUUUAUUACUUCAGGUGCUUACAAACCACCACCAAAUAGAGGACCUAAGGCAGCUUAUCUGGCUAACAUGGAUGCUCCAGUUGACAACAAUUGGUAUCUGGAUAGCGGAGCCACACAUCACCUCACAAAUGAUAUGAAUAAUGUGAAUGGUGUUGAACCUUUUGCAGGUAAUUCCAAACUUAUUGUUGGAAAUGGUGUUGGUUUGUGCAUAACACACAUAGGUUCUGUUGUUCUAAGAAUGCCUGAUGAUCUGAAUUAUUCUGAUCUUAAGCUAAACAACAUUCUACUUGUUCCAAAAAUAACCAAAAACCUGAUAAGUAUUUCCCAAUUAACCAAAGAUAAUAAUGUUGUGGCUGAAUUUACUGAUAGUUUCUGUUUUGUGAAGGACAAGGUGAAGAAUUCAGUUAUGCUACAGGGCAAAGCUGAAAAAGGUUUAUAUAGAUUGUUGUGUGUUUCCUCAACCAAGUCCUCUGCUUCACAGUCAAACCAAGGUCUUCUUACUCAUGUCGAGUCAGCUGUUUCAAAUCAGCCAAUUUCAAUGUUUUCAACUGUUGUUUCAAAAUUUCCAAAUAAAACUGCUUGCUGUUUGCAUACAGAAGCACUAUGUUGUCAAACUCCUAGUUGUAUGUUGAAUACUAUGGUAUUACAUCAGAGACUAAGGUGCUUAGUCAUGUAAUCAAUUCUUGUUCUUCCUUAAAGAAUGUCAGUGGUAAUAAAACAAUCGAUUCCUGUGAUGCUUGUAAGAUGGGAAAAAUGCAUAAACUUCAUUUUUCAAUUACUGAAACCAAAACCAAAAAUCCUUUGGAACUUCUACAUACUAAUCUAUGGGGACCUUCUCCCACACCUUCUAUCCAAGGAUACAAAUACUAUGUUAGCUUUGUGGAUGACUUCACAAGGUUCACCUGGAUUUUCCCUUUGAAAACCAAAGCUGAUACAUUUCAAGUGUUUAAAAUCUUUAAAGCUCAGGUGGAAAAACAAUUGGAUAAGCCUAUUAAAUGUCUUCAGUUAGAUUGGGGUGGGGAAUACAGAUCUUUUGUUCAUUUUCUUCAUGAAACAGGAAUACAAUUUAGACAUUCAUGCCCUUAUACACACAAUCAAAAUGGUCUUGUAGAAAGAAAGCAUAGGCACAUCACUGAGUUGGGUUUAACUUUACUUGCACAAGCUAAAAUACCCAUCAAAUUCUAGUGGGAUUCUUUUCAUACAGCCACUUACAUUAUUAACAGAUUACCAACUCCUGUUCUUUCCAUGAAAACUCCCUAUGAAUGUCUCUUUCAUUUGCUACCUGAUUAUCCUUUUCUCAAAACUUUUGGUUGUGCUUGUUUUCCAUUCUUAAGAGAUUACAAUCGUCACAAGUUUGAUUUCCAUACAUCCAAGUGUGUCUUCCUAGGAUACAGUCCAUUACACAAAGGUUACAAGUGUCUUCAUCCAUUAGGGAAAACUUAUAUAGCCAGCCAUGUUCUUUUUUAUGAAACCUCUUUUCCAUACUCUACUGAUUCACAUUUUUUGAAGUCCUUGCCACCUAAGGUGUCUGACUUCCAAUACAAUUCUCUACAGUUUUACAAUAUUUCAGUUCCUCAUAGCAAUCUAAAACCUUUUGAAGCUGCUGCAGCAGACACUGAUUCUCAUACUUCUAGUUCUAAUUACAAUAUCAUGUCACCUUCCUUCUCUACUCAUCCUGUUUCUUCUACUGAUACCAUAUCCUCACCUAUUAUUUACACCACAUCUCCUAUCACAACUCCAAACACUACAUCUUCACCCAUCAUCCAUCACCACUCUCCAGAAUUUCCUAUAACACAUCAGGUUCCUUUACACACAUCACCUUCCAGACCAUCUUUCUCCUCUGCUCAUCCUAUGAUUACCAGAGCUAAAGCUGGUAUCUUCAAACCUAAGGCAUUCUUAACAGCACAUAAUAGCUUAGAGCCUUCUAGUGUUGAUGAAGCUUUAGCUGAUCCUAAGUGGCAAGCUGCAAUGCAACUGGAAUAUGAUGCACUUAUUCAAAACAAAACCUGGAGUCUAGUUCCAAUGGAUCCAGCUUAUAAACUGGUGGGUUGUAAGUGGGUUUUCAGAACAAAGUAUAAUCCAGAUGGCUCAGUCUCUAAGUAUAAGGCUCGGUUGGUUGCUAAGGGUUUCCAUCAGACAGCUGGGGUUGACUAUUCAGAAACUUACAGUCCUAUAGUUAAGUCUUCCACUGUCAGAGUUAUACUGAGCUUAGCAGUCAUGCAAGACUGGAAUGUUAGACAAAUAGACAUCAACAAUGCCUUUCUUAAUGGGGAUCUCACUGAAGAUGUGUUCAUGCAACAGCCAGAGGGUUUUGUUUCAGGGGGAGGCUACGUCUGCAAGCUAAACAAAGCCCUUUAUGGUUUAAAACAGGCACCAAGGGCCUGGUAUGAUAAACUUAAGGGCUGUCUUACUGAUUGGAAGUUUACAAACGCUAAGGCUGAUACCUCACUGUUUAUUAGGCAUGACAUUAAAGGCAUAAUCUUUGUUUUGAUCUAUAUAGAUUAUAUUCUAGUCACAGGACCAGAUUCAGUCUUGCUGGAGGCUUUCAUCACAAACUUGAGUAAAGUAUUUGCCUUAAAAGACUUAGGUCUGGUUUCAUACUUCCUUGGUAUAGAAGUCAGCUACACAGAUCAUGGAAUGCAUCUCUCCCAAACUAAGUAUAUCAAGGAUUUGCUAGCUAAAGCAUCAAUGCAGAACUGCAAAGAGACAGAAACUUCUUUCAGCACAGGCUACAAAUUAGAAAGAACAGCUAAAGGUCUUUUGGGUGCAGAAUUUGAAAAUCCAACUCUCUACAGAAGUAUAGUUGGAGGACUUCAAUACUUGAUCUUAACCAGACCAGACAUUGCCUAUUCAGUACAUAAACUUAGCCAGUAUCUAUGUGCCCCAACUCUCCAACAUUGGUUAGCUUGUAAAAAGGUGUUGAGAUAUUUACAAGGAACUAUUACACAUGGUCUUUAUAUUCAGCAAGAGGGGACUUUGGAAACAAUUGGCUUGACAGGGUAUUCAGAUGCUGAUUGGGCGUGUGAUAUUGAUGACAGAAAAUCCAUUGGAGCUUACUGUAUUUUCCUUGGCAAUAAUCUAGUUUCCUGGUCUUCGAAAAAGCAAGCUAUUGUAGCAAAGUCUAGCACUGAAAGUGAAUACCGACCAUUGUCGGCAGCAAGUUCAGAGCUUACUUGGCUACAGUCCUUGUUUUCUGAGCUGAAGAUUAUCAAGUUGCCAACUUCUGUUCUCUGGUGUGAUAAUCAGAGUGCAGGUGAUCUAGCUAAAAAUCCAGUAUUUCACUCUAAGUCCAAACAUAUAGAGCUGGAUGUUCAUUACAUUAGAGAUAAGGUUCUGAAUAAGGAGUUAGAAGUAAGGUACAUUCUCACUGAAGAGCAAGUGGCAGAUGUUCUUACUAAGCCUCUGUCAUUUCCAAAAUUUAGUUAUUUUCGUUCCAAGCUCAAUGUGAUCAACAGACCCUUGAGCUUGAGAGGGGAUGUCAAGGAAGCUCAUGUGAGCCAAAUAGUCAGCAAAGCAGAGGAUUAUAACAGCAGCAGCUUACAGCUGCGAGUUGAUGAUUUGGACUGCCAGCUGGCACCUGGUGGUUAUAUAAUUUCUUGUACUCGUAACUGAUUAGUUGUAGUUUGUUAAUAAGCUGCUGCAUGAUUAGCAUGUGAGAUUAGUUUAGCUAGUAUGGUUAAUUAGUUACGUGAGUAUAUAAAGCAAAGGCAGCACAUUUCCUCUGUAAUCUUGUUGAAAGAAAUAAAAACAAAUUCUCAGAUUCUUAUCAUUUUCUCUCAAUAUUUCUUAGUCAUCAAACAAGCUGUUUUGUCACUUCAGGCAUAGGUAUAUUUCUAAAAUAUUUCUUCCUGCAAAGGUUGCAGACACUAUGUUGCUGUGCAAGGCUGGUGGUAUGCACGAGACAGAGGAGUAAGUACUUGCUUUGUAGAAGAUUUUAGCUCGUCUUAAGAAUUAUAUAUGAAUUAUUUUUGCUAAAAGACAUAUUCUAACUAGUUUUAUGUUUAAUUGACAAAGUGUGGAGGUUCUAAAUGGCAGUGAUCAUCAUUAUGAUAGUGUGGUUCCUUUGGAUCCUUCCAAAAAUAGUCUGAACAAUGAAUGUGGUAUAAUCUAUCUCUCACUGAUCCUUGCUGAAAUAUUUUAUUAUCAUGUAGCCUAUGAAGUUAAAUUUUAUGGUUUGAAGAAUAUUUUUUAGUUUAUUUAUUAUAAUUGAUCUGCUAUUGAACUAUUUCUCAUUAUAAAUAAUGACAAACAAUAUCUACGGCUGUUGUUACACUACAAAUCCUUUGAUUGAGAUGCAUAUUUGUAUAAAUGGUUAGGCAUUGUAAUCACUUCACUUCUCAAUCAACAUCAAUUACUGAACACAAUUAAAGGUUUGUUUAAGUUACUCAUUCAUGCGUUUCAACAUUUUAGAUUAAAAGGUUUGGUUACUGUUGAUAUAAAUGUUUCUGCUUUUGUAUCGAAUGGGUGCGGUUGUUUCAUGUUUUCUGUAAGGUUGCCAAGAAAGGGAAAGAUAUGAAAUAAAGUUUCCAGUUUUGCUUUGUUUUCAUUUUGCUUUCUAAUUAACAAAGGGGAGUGAAUUCCGUCGGCAAGUGCAAACUAAACCUAAAUUAUCAAAUUUAUUUAUUAUCAUCAGGUCCUUAAAAUUUAAAAUUUAAAUUUAAAUCUUGACGGCACUUUAUAUCAUUAGGUCCUUAAAAUUUAAAAUUGAAGACACAUAAUGAAAUAUAUAUAAAUUUCAUCCUCAUAGGAAAGGAUCCUCUAAUAAUCUUAAAAUAUUUGAGCUUUGAAAGAUUUUUUAAAACAAAUGUACUUUUAUUUUUGUACAAUCAAUAUUUACUUAUUUAUUAUAUUUUUAUUCAUUAACUAUCAAUCAUGUGAGUAUAUUUACUCAAAAAUAUCAUAUCAACGGAGCAUCUUGAUCCCACGCACACGCAAAUCUGUAAAUUUCUAUACGCUUCACUUACCUCUAGAAUCAAUUAUCUAAAAUGCAAGUUUGUGGCCACAAAAAAAGCCAAAGAAAGAAGAUAAUAACAAUUGACUUGUAUAUUAUACUCGUACAAUCCACUCGACGUAAUGAUAUCCUUUUAAUAAGGCAAUGGCUGAUGAUCUCCAUUGAAAAACUAAUUCAAUUUUUUUGCCUCAUUUAACUUUUUGGUUGUUGAAAAUAACCUUAAUUAUCAAAUAAUUGGAGAAAGAGUAAAGAACAUUUAACAAAUUUAUGUGCAAAAAAAUAAAAAAAAAGGAGAAGUUGAAGAGAAAGGGUGCUUGCAGAAGUGGGUGUCAAAGAAAAAUUGGUCCAUAAGAAUUAUUGAGGUUAUUUUUUGGCAAUAUAAAAUUUUUAUAGCAAGUAAAAAUUAAUUUUUUUUCCAAUUCACUAAAAACUUCUGCGACAGCAUUUUUUAUGGGUGCUUAUACCCUCCCUUUAAAGAAAAAAUAAUUUAAUGCUUAAGAUAGUAUUAAAUACGAAAAUAUCAAUAUCUGACUACUCAAAUUUAUAUCAUUAGGUCCUUAAAAUUUAAAAUUGAAGAUACGAAAAAAUUGAAGAUAUGAAAGGAAAUAUAUAUAAACUUCAUUCUUAUGGAAAUGAUUCUCUUAUAAUCUUAUAAUAUUUGAGUUUUGAAAAUUUUUUAAAACAAAUGUAAUUUUAUUUGUGUACAAUCAAUAUUUACUUAUUUAUUAUAUUUUAAUUUAUUUAUUAUAUUUAGUCAGAAAAAUUAUAUCAAGAGAGAAGCCUAAUUUCACGCAAACACAAAUACAAGACAAAUAUGUUAAUUUCUAUACUAUUCACUUUCCUGUAGAAUCAAUUAUCUAAAAUGCAAGUUUGUGGCUACAGAAAACUCGCCAAAGAAAGAAGUUAAUAACAAUUGAGCAUUGAUAGCAAAACUAAUGCAUCAUUUUCUUCUUGACUUGAUGAGAUGGCGCCAUUACAAAAAAACAAGUACCUUAAUUGACGGGCACUGAGUGAUGUGAAUACUACCAGCCAGUUCAUCUCUUCCAGUCUUGCUUAAUCACAAUCACAAACACCACGAGAUCGACAUUUGCAUUAUAUAUAUCUUCAGCAAUCGAAACACCUUGCAUUACCAAAUUAACCAGUAACAAACAAAGCAAUGUUUCAUGGAGAGAAACCUUAGUCUCAGUAUGAUCAUUGUGUCAUUAACCCACUGCCUGCUUCUUUGCUUGGUUGAUGCUGCAGCAGCAGCAGCAGCAAGCAGCAAUAUUACCACAGACCAACAAGCUCUUCUUGCCCUGAAAGAUCAUAUAACUUAUGAUCCGACCAACAUUUUUGCCCAUAAUUGGACCUCGAAUACCUCUGUUUGCACCUGGAUUGGCAUCACUUGUGCUGUCAAUAGCCAUAGAGUCACAGCCUUAGAUAUUUCUCAAUUCAAUCUACAAGGCACCAUCCCUCCUCAACUUGGAAACCUCUCUUCACUCACAACGCUUAAUCUUAGUCAUAACAAGCUUUCCGGAAGCGUUCCCACCUCCAUCUACACCAUGCAUACGCUAAAAUUUCUUGACUUCACUGAUAACCAGCUCUCUGGUUCAGUUUCUUCCUUCGUCUUCAACAUGUCUUCAAUAUUAGACAUUCGUUUGACCAAUAACAGACUUUCUGGUGAGCUUCCGAAAAAUAUUUGCAACUAUCGUCCUUAUUUGAAAGCCCUUUUUUUGGACAAAAACAUGUUGCAUGGCAAAAUUCCUUCUGCUUUAUCAAAGUGCAAACAACUGCAACAAUUAAAUUUGCAGUUCAAUAAUUUAUCCGGUGCAAUACCAAAAGAAAUCGGCAACUUGACCAUGCUCAAAGAGAUAGACCUCGGCUACAACAAACUCCACGGUAUGUUCAUAAUACUAUCUAAAUAUUUUAAUUUCUCACUUGUUAAUUGUCUUGAAUAUCUUAGAUAAGAUCUUGUAAGUGAGAUUUUUUGCAUCUAUGUUAAUUUACCAGGUGAGAUACCCCACGAAAUCGCUAAUCUUCGAAAUCUAGAGGCUUUAGUGCUAGGAAUGAACAACCUAGUUGGUGUGGUAUCAGCUAUAAUCUUCAACAUGUCAUCACUGAAGGUACUUAUCCUCAUCAAUAACUCUCUCUCCGGAAGUCUCCCAUCAAGAAUGGACCUUUCACUUCCAACUAUUGAGCAUCUUAACUUGGCACUUAAUAGAUUUUCUGGAACCAUUCCUAGUUCCAUCACCAAUGCUUCUAAGCUCUCCUUUCUAGAGUUGGGAGGAAACACAUUUUCGGGCUUUAUUCCAAACACAAUUGGAAAUUUAAGAAACCUUGAGUGGCUCGGCUUGGCUAAUAACUCCUUGACAUCUUCAACCUCAAAAUUGAGCUUUCUUUCCUCUUUGGCAAAUUGCAAGAAAUUAAGAUCCUUAAACUUAAUAGGCAAUCCGCUUGACGGCUUCCUUCCAAGUUCAAUAGGUAAUCUUUCCAUGUCUUUGAAAAUACUUCUCAUCGCCAAUUGCAGUAUUAUUGGCAAUAUUCCUCAAGCAAUUAGCAAUUUAAGCAACUUGCUGGCCUUAGUAUUAGAACGCAAUAAAUUGACUGGACCAAUUCCAAUUACAUUCGGCCGACUGCAGAAACUCCAAGGCUUAUAUCUUGCAUCCAAUAAGUUGGUAGGUUCAUUCCCAGAUGAGCUUUGCCAUCUAGGUAGGCUGGCUGUAUUGGCCUUACUUGACAAUAGGCUUUCAGGAUCUAUACCUUCAUGCGUAAGUAAUCUCACUUCUCUAAGAUCUCUCUAUUUAGAGUCCAAUAGGUUUACUUUUGUCAUUCCCUCAACUUUCUGGAGCCUAAAAGACAUCUUGUUCUUUGACUUUUCAUCAAAUUUCUUGGUUGGUCCUCUUUCUUUAGACAUAGGAAAUUUGAAGGUGCUUGUAAGAAUAAAUUUAUCAGAAAAUAACUUAUCCGGUGAUAUCCCAGCCACAAUUGGAGGACUGAAAGACCUUCAAUUUAUGGACCUAGCAUAUAAUAGAUUGGAAGGCCCAAUUCCUGAAUCAUUUGGUGACUUGACAAGUUUGGAGGUUUUGAAUUUGUCAAAUAAUAAAAUCUCUGGGUCUAUUCCAAAAUCCAUGGAGAAACUCUUUUACCUCCGAGACUUAAAUCUCUCUUUCAAUGAACUAGAAGGUGAGAUUCCUAGUGGAGGAAUUUUUGCCAACUUCACAGCUGAGUCAUUUAUGGGAAAUGAGUUAUUGUGUGGUUUACCAAAUCUUCAAGUCCAACCAUGCAAAGUUAGCAAGCCGAGGACAGAACAUAAAUCAAGGAAAAACAUACUUCUCAUUGUGAUUGUUUUGCCAUUGAGUAUUGCUCUAACAAUAGCAAUCACUCUGCCUCUCAAAUCUAAGCUGAUCGAAUGUGGAAAAAGAAGCACAGUGUUGUCAAAUGAUAGUGUCUUGUCAUCACAAGCAACACUAAGAAGAUUUUCAUACUUAGAACUUUUACAAGCAACAGAUAAUUUUGCUGAAAACAACAUAAUUGGCAGAGGAGGUUUUGGUUCCGUUUAUGGAGCAAGACUUGAAGAUGGGAUGAAGAUUGCAAUAAAAGUGUUUCACCAGCAAUGUGCAAGCGCAUUGAAGAGUUUUGAGGCUGAAUGUGAAGUGUUAAAAAAUAUUCGCCAUCAAAACCUUAUCAAAGUUAUCAGCAGUUGCUCGAACGAUGACUUCAAAGCAUUAGUCCUAGAAUACAUGUCCAACGGGAGCUUGGGGGAUUGGCUGCAUUCUAGCAAUUAUGUGCUGAAUAUAUUUCAGAGGUUGAACAUAAUGAUUGACGUUGCAUCAGCUUUAGAAUAUCUCCACUUCGAUCAUUCAACUCCUAUUAUUCAUUGUGACUUAAAGCCUAGUAAUGUAUUGUUGGAUGAAAAUAUGGUUGCUCAUUUGAGUGAUUUUGGCAUAGCAAAGCUUUUAAGUGGAGAAGAUGAGUCUAUGAUGCGAACAAAAACCCUUGCCACUAUAGGUUAUAUGGCACCAGGUUUGCUUCAAACAAUUUUUUUUUGAGUUCAUUUUAAAUUUUCCAAAUCAUCGAUUUUUACGAUCCUCAUAUCAAAAUGUUAUUGAUUAUUUAUCUAAUUGUGAAAUUAAUUUGAUUCAUAGAGUACGGCAUAAAAGGAGAAGUAUCUACAAAAAGUGAUGUUUACAGCUAUGGGAUUAUGUUGAUGGAAACUUUUACCAAGAAAAAACCCACAGAUGAAAUUUUUGUCGGACAAUUGAGCUUAAAGCGUUGGGUUAAUGACUUGCUUCCUAAUUCAUUAGUGGAAGUUGUGGACAAAACUCUGCUAAGUGGAGAGGAAAAACAUUUUGCCGCAAAGGAGCAAUGUCUGUUAUCUAUCUUUAGUUUGGCUCUGGAGUGUACAAUGGAAUCACCGGAAAAGAGGAUUAAUGCAAAAGAUAUUGUUACCAGGUUACUCAAGAUAAGAGACACAUUGAGUAAAAGGAUAGGAAAUUUAAGUUAAUUUCGUUUGCUUUCAUUGAUAGUUAAUUCAAAUUCAUGUAAUAAGUGUAAGAAUCUUAUAUGCUUUCCUUAGAUUUUUUUUUUUUUUUGAGAAAACUGUUGUAGUCAUCUUGUUUCCAUGGGCAGAGUUGAUUUAGUUUUUCCAAGAAAUGCUACUGAUGACAUUUGUUUUAUACGCUCUCUUUUUUUGCAUGCGUUUAGGUAGAAUAGUGGUCUAGCUGCAGGCCAAUAAGUCAAGCUACGCCAAAAGCGUAUGAUUGAAUUUAUAAGAGUGAAAUAAUUAGCAAAAAGAGUUUAGAAUGACAACUGGGACAUACAUAUAUAAGAGUGAAAUAAUUAAAAAAUAAUGCUUUUUUGUUUGUCGUGUUAAAAUCGUAAGUACCGAAGUACUGUGAAAGAGAUUAAUUUACAGAAACUGAAGCCAAGGGUUCAAAAAAAAAGUGCAAAGAGAAUAAUUGUAUUGGUAGCACAAUGUCAUAUUCAUACAGAGAUCAAGUAUAUUAUUUACGGCUAGUAAGGACUAAGAAUUAAUUGUACACUAUUGUUUUAUUCUACAAUCAAUCUUGACCCUUGAUGCUUGGCUCUCAAUCUUGUCCAUUGAUCUUCUCUGAUUUUGGAGACUUGAAGACCUUUCAGUAUUAUGCCUUGUUGUUGGUGUCUUCCAUGCGGUAGAACCGACGACUUGCCAAGUGUUUGUUCAUUGACGCAUUUUAUCAAACAGUUGGCCUGCUCAUAGCAAACAGCUCCUGUUUUAAUUCGAUGUUAUACGGGUAUUUCAUUUAUUUGAGUAGGGGUUAGGGGUCAAUUGGAUACAAAUUCAAAAUUAUCCUUACUUGAGAUGGUGAUAAAAAUUGGGGAUUUAAUUUGGAUGUGAUUAGCUACAAAUAUUAAGCUCAUACAUUUAAUUCAAAAUUGGAGGGCUGAUAUAUGUGCAUCAUCGUGCACGUUAUAGUGACACUGCGUCACCAUCCCACAACCUCUCCAAUGAAAAAUUGACAUGCAUCUUGUGCGCUUCUGAUCAAAAUCCUGAAAAUUAAUCACAAAGUUAUACUUUUAUUAUAAAAAGAAUAAAGAAACUCCAAGAAAAAAAAAAUAGACUUACAUAAAUAGUUUGAGUAUUCUAGAUUCCAAGUUGUCUAUAUUAGCUUGAUCUUUUUAUAAAUAGUCAUCUUCGAAAAAAAAUUCCACCACCAUAUAUUUUAAUUUUAUGUUAAUUAAUAAAUAGAAAAAAAAUCAUUUUAGAAUUAAUUAAAACAUUAUUUAUUGUUGCCAAAAAAAAGGAAGAAUUUAGUGAUAAGAAAAAAGUGUCUCAAAUAUACGUUAAAAAAAUUAAUCAUGGUGGGUUCGAUUGAUUGAAUUUUUUUUUUUAUCUUUUUCUUUUUUAAGAAUUAAGACAAUUGGAUUGAUUGAGUAAUAAUAAAAUAUAUUUAUUUGGCAAAUGGCAGUUAGGCUUUCUUCUGAUGCAGAUUAAUUAGAGAGAAUAUAUAACCAUUUUAAGCUCGUCAGAUUCGGAACCUGCUUAUCUGUCGUGUGGGGAUCACUUCCGUGUCUUAUUUUUCUACAAAAAUCUAGACCAUUGGAUUUCCCAUUAGUCAAUAGAUAAAUGUUUGAUCUUGAUUCUUGAUUAAGAUCGAAGUUUGAUUCUAACCAACAUGAUGUCUGAUUCAGAUUGCGAAGCCAGCAAAUUGAAAGUAACUUGUUCUAUUUUGAUAAAACAUUCUCAUAGUAAAGUGAAUUACCAUCCAACGAUCCAACUCAUGUUUUCAAAUUGUAAAUUGCAAAUCGUGUGUUUGCCCCAUUACAGAGUUUCUUCAAUCUGAAAUAGAGAAUCAUUUGUGUUCUAGAUUAAUCGUGGGUCUAUAUCCAAAUCUAAAAAUUGACUAAAUUCUUAAUCCUAACAAGAAAAAUUGAAGAUUAAAAACAACUAAUUUGGUACCAUACCACUAUUGUAACAUAGGUAGAUCCUCUAUUAAUUGGAGUAAAGAUUGAAUUAUCUCAUUUAUUAAGGUUUAUCAAAAUCUUGUGUCAAAAUCUAUUAAUGAUAUAGGUUCAAGGAUGAAAGAGUCACUUCAUUACUUUUGAGUUCCCAAAUAGAUGAAUGGGUGUUAUUUUUGGAUUCCGGAGAGUCGAAAAUAUUAGGAUAGGUGCUAAAUCGAAUUAAGUUGUAGAUAAGAUAGAAAUGGAUUUGGAGAGAUUGGAAUCCUAGGUAAUCCGGUGCACGUUGUCGUGUUAAAUUAUCGUUGACUUCACGUUGACUGAAGCAUUAUUGGAAGAAACAAGUUUAUUGAUGUGAGGCCUUUGAGAUUGUAAGUGUUAAAUCUGAGAAGAAUACCCACACACCCAUUAUCCUAUUACUCUUAUAUCACAUGAAGAGAAUUCAACAUUUGAUUCACACGGAAAAAAUUUGUGAGGAUUGUGAGGGUUGAUGGAAUAUAAUUUAGAUACAAAGUGUUUACCAGUGCGAUGCUUCGCAAGUGUUCUUGAAUCAAUAUAAACUCACAUUAUUUUCAUAGUGAUUGUUUCAUCUGCACGUGGAUAUAAUCACAUGUCGAGAUUUUUUUCCUUAAAUUAUGGUCUUAUUUAGUAUUGAGGUGUUAUAUCUUUUAAGGUACAAUUAUUGUUGGAAAAAAGUUACAACUAUCAAAUAAAAUUAAUACUAUGUGCUAAAUAUAAUUGUUAAAUAAUAAUUUUGACAAAAUUAGUGAAGUUAUAUAGAUUUUUUUUCAUCAUCCAAGUAUAAAAUCAAAUCAACUUAACUUCUAAGUUAUAUAUCGGUUACUGUUUAUCAUAUGUUUUAGUUCUGUAACUUUUAAGUUAUAGUUACCCAACCUCAAUUCUAAACAAGACCUAUAAAGAUCAAAGAUUUCCUCAUUAAAUUAUAUGUCUUGUGAUUGCUUAUUUAAUUUAUAUUUUUGUUAUUUAUCUUUAUUAAUUAUAAUCAUCUUUUUAUAAAUUAAAAUUGAAGGAAGUUGAUUGAUGUUGUUGACACACACGCACACACUCACAAAGACAUAUUGGAAGUGCUUACGUCGACUCGAAGUUGUUGGGAAUUAAUGCAUGUAUUGAUUUAUUGGGAGUGUUUAAAUGAUUUUGUGAUUUACUUGAUUUAUUGAUUGAAUAUUGUUUGAUUGCUUCAUAUCCAUUCUAGAAAGUUUAUUUCUUUGUGAAAGUUCAACGAAAUAUGUUUUUUUUUUUUUAAAUAAGGGUGUUCUAAAUAAUUUUAAAAAAUAUAUGGACUAAUUAGAAUUAAUUAUUAGGUAAUUAACUCAAUCUGUACGGGGUAAAACAACAUUUAUCCUAAUUAUAUCAUGAUAAAUACUUUUCCGAUUAGAAUUAGGAAAUCAUAGGUUUGUUGAAUUGUUUUUUUUUUAUUUUCCUUUGCGGAAACGGAUUAGAGAAUUAGAAAACAAUCAUGUUGAUGUCAAAAUCUGAUCUAGUCGGUUAGCGACUUAAUAUCAUAUUACUGCACCAGUAUUAAAUUUAUUUGGUAGAGAAUCGGCUGGUCAAUUGUCAAGAUGUCCUGCAAUCACUAGCGAUUAACCUACGAAUAUAUGAAAUUAUAGAAGACGGUAAGAGGCACCGGAAGUUUUUUCGUCGUGAACCUUCUGACGCUCAAGUCAGUUUAUAGGUUUACGAUAAUAAAAAUAAAUAAUUUCUAUUUAAAACAAAAAAUAGAGUUCAAAAGCUCAAAAAUAAAACCCAAUCCCAAUAUGAAAAUGAAUAUCUUUUUUUUUAGCUUGGCCGAAUCCUUCUGCCUCCUAAAGAAACAUAAUAGAGAAGCCGGUAGCCAUGUUCCCUAGGUAACGCCCCACUCCCCUCUUUUAUUCCUCCCCCUCUCUUCUGUUUCCUUCUUUUGCUCACUAUCCUUUAUAAUUUUUUAUGCUUGUCUUCCCAAAAUAGCCUUUGAAUACACAAGUAAAUGUCUAGGCUUUGGUGAGGAUAGUUUGGUUAUUGCAUUUUACAAGUAAGAUGAGUGGUGGAGAAAAAUGAGGAGUGCAUAUAACUCUUCAGCAAAUCCCACCAACAAUUCCAUUUUCUUAAUUAAUUAAUCUCCUUUUUUAUCCCCAAACAAAUCCUAAUGAUACUAUUAUCAGGUUUAAAACAGUACAUAAAUAGUGAAAAGCUAACUAGUCUGUAGAUUAAUUUGCUAAUUGCUAUCUCCUCUCUACGCGCUCUGAAUAAUUUGUUGCAUGCAAACUUUUUAUUUUAUGCAAAUCGUACGUACUGUAACAUUGGAAUUGAUGUAUAAGCAAAAAUACAAGAAUCUUUAUGUCAAUAAAAAUAGUUUUUUUUUCCUUUUUAAAUAAACACAACGCGAUGUUGCUCUUCUCUACAUUGUUGCUAUCUCUUUAUUCCCUUUUUUUUUUUUCGGCUUCUUAAAGCCUCAAACUUUGAUAACCAAAACUUCAUCAAACUUUGAAAAAAAUCUGUCUGGUUAGUUAUUAUUAUCGGAAUAAUUAUUUGAGAAUACUAAAACAAAAUAUAAAUAAGAAAAUACGGGGUUAAAUUUGGGGAAAACAAAAAGGCAUGUUGGAUAGAUUACUAUAGUUUAAGGGAAAAAAAAUCCAAUUGGGAAUUUUUUUCUUUAAUUUUUGUUUUACUUGAUUGAGAUUUCUCCUUAGUCCUUACAGUUUUAAGUUUGGACUCCGUAGGGUUAGUAAUUUAGUACUUCCUUUGCAAGCUGAGUGCAAGAAUGAAAAUCUUUAAAGAAAUUAAAAAAGAUUAAAAAAAAGCAUACCAAUAGGUAAUUAUAAAUAACCAUAAAUAAACAUAAACAAAAUGUUUAUGAAGUAAAUUACACAUGCACAUAUUAUUUUUUUGUUUUAUUUCUUACUUGUCAAUUUUAUUUGCUGCUUGAUAACCCGUAAAUACUAAUCUAGUACUGCUAAUUUCAGACACAAAAUUUUUAACUCUAGGCUGCAGUUUUACUCAAAAUGAUGACCACUGGCUUCGCACCAUUUAACCGGCAUACAUUUCUACAAAUUGAACAAGGCUAUUGAUUUUCAUUAUUAUUUUUUAUUUAUUUAUAAAUUACCAUUUUAAUUUUCACUUUUUAUUGGGCUGUUGAACGGAUUAGUGAAGUUGGUGGUCGUGAUGCACUCAUAAGGUACAAUUUUAUUUUAUAAUUUCAAAUUUGUAUUUUAAAAUGCAGGUACAUUAUGUAUACAUAAUUAUUGAUUUUCGUAUGUGGGUGUUUUGAAAUAUUGCUAAAAGACCAAACUUUAAUAAACUAUUUUUCAUCUUUUUUUUUCCUUUUUUCCUAAAGUUCGAGUGAUAUCCGCAUUUUAAAUUCAUGUGGAACAAAAUCUAAUGUAUGCACAAAAUUCUUUUAUUUUUUCCAAGAAAAAUGGGUAAGAGAAGAAGAUUUUUCUCUUGAAAAAGAAAAACUAAUAUGAUGCAAGCAUAGGAAAGAGGUCAGUGUUUUGGAUUAGAAUUUAGUAUUGAGCUGAAUUUUAUACUAAACUCUUUUAUGGUACUGCGAUUAAUAAACUCAUGAUUUGCUUUUGCUUUUGCUUUUACUUCAAGUGAAAGAAAGAGGAAACCUUUUGUUUUUUGUUUGAUUCUUGACUACAGAUGUUAGCUAUAUAGAGAGUUGAGGUAGCAGCCUUAAGUGAUGGUGAUAAAAAGAUUAGGCAGCGCACACAAUCUUACUGUCGUCCAGACCAUCCAGCUGUGAUGACUCUAGUUUUUUGGUUACAUUAGCUUUAGUGGAAAGGAGGGCCAAUUUAACAAAGACUAGAUUUGGUGGCUUACUAUAAUGCUUAUUCUCAGGGAAUCUAAUGUUAUAAGAUGAUUUAAUGAUCUUCUAUGAUUGUGAGUAGUAUAGUAUAAUUGAAAAGAGCCUGGGCUCCUAUGAUGAAUAUAUAAUAGUAACGCAGUACUGUGAUUGAAAAAAACACAGUUACAAUAAACUCUUCAUUUAUUCAUUGCGGAGAUUGAAUGGCAAACAGAGAAUAAAAUGAAGCAGAGGAAUCUCAUUGCCAGUAAAAUUGACCCUCUUUAAUGUUAUAUGGCACAGGUGUGUGUACAGCAAGAGCAAGUUACUUGCAGUUUUUAUUGUAAAAUAUACAGGUUAUGACCAUGAUCAUUGUAGUUAGGUUUUGAUGAUUUUAGAUGCUUUUUUUAUUUUUAUUUUUUAAAUUGUGACACCUUUGAUUUAUGGUAGUUUUGCAGAAGAAAAAAAUAUAUAUAAAAAUUAGGAGGGAUGAGUUAACUAACAAUUGCAAUCAUUGCAGUAAUGUUGAUGAGUGAUACAUCAUUUGAAAUUUACUUGUCAGUUGCUAAAAUGAUGAAAAAAAACAAUAAACAAUAGCAGUAAUAUUUUUAUGGAAAUUCUGGGUUUUUAUGGAAAUACUCUUGCUGAAAUUCUAAUUUUGACUUUCAACUCUUGGUUUUUAUGGAAAGUAAAAUGACUUGUUUGUUAUAUUCAUACAACCCACUCUACAUAAUGAUUUCAUUUUAAUAAAUGCUUGAUGAUCUCCACAGAAAAACUACUUCAAUUCUUUUUUUUUAUUUAACUUUUUGGUUGUUGAAAAUAGCCUUAAUUUUCAAAUCAUUGGAGAAAGAGUAAAGAACAUUUAACAAAUUUAUGUGCCAAAAAUAAAGGAGAAAUUGAAGAGAAAGGGUGCUUGCAGAAGUGGGUGCAAAGAUAAAUCAGUCCAUAAGAAUUAUUGUGGUUAUUAAUUUUUUGGCAAUAUAAAAAUUUUUCAGCAAAUAAAAAUAGAUUUUUUUCUGAUUUACUAAAAAAUUAAUUAAAAACUUCGGCGAUAGCAUUUUUUAUGGGUGCAUGUACCCUCCCUUUAAAAAAAAUAUAAUAAUUAAUACUUAAUAUAGUAUUAAAUACGAAAAUAUCAAUAUUUGACUACACAAAUUUAUAUCAUUAGGUCCUUAAAAUUUAAAAUUGAAGACACAAAAUGAAAUAUAUAUAAAUUUCAUUCUCAUAGGAAAGGAUCCUCUUAUAAUCUUAAAAUAUUUGAGCUUUGAAAGAAUUUUUAAAACAAAUGUACUUUUAUUUUUGUACAAUCAAUAUUUACUUAUUUAUUAUAUUUUUAUUCAUUACACUACUAGAAAAAUGGUCUUUUGUGACACUUGUCUUCUGACACUUUAUUAUAAAGUAUCAGUAAUUACAUAUAUUUGGGGCAUUUUCCGUGUUUAACAUAUAAGUAUCACAAAUUGCUAAUACUAUGGUGUCAGUAAAUUUAAUAUCACAGAUUCGUGACACUAAAGUAUUAGUAGUUAAAAAAAUAAAAUUUUAAUUUUGUAUCUAGUAAUAAUCGCACCGAAGACCCCGAAGCCAUAACCUUUUGCUUUUAACCGCUAUACCACUCGGCCACAAAUUGCAUUUUUGAACUUAUAAAUUAAUAAAUAAAUAAAUAUUAAAACUUAAAACCUAAAACCUAAAAAUUUUUCAUGUAUGGUAUGUGUGAAACCUAAAACCUAAAAAUUUUUGUUAAGUCAAAAAUCUAUCUUAUGGCCGCCGAAGCUUUCUUCCUUCUCUCUCCUUCCCUCUCUCUCGCUCUCUUUCUCUCUCGAACAAUGAUCUACCUUGAAAGCCGCCUCCGUCAACACCUUGAAAGCCGCCGUCCUUAAGCUAAAAUAUCCCUGAAAAGAACCCAGAAAGUGCUGUGAAGAAUUUGGGCAAAGCUAAGGUUUGAAAGUCCGAAUCAGUGUUGUGGUAACUCUUUGCCUCAUUCUCUAUUCUCAUUGUUUAAGUAUUUAUCUGUUAAUUGAUUGAUGUUUAUUGAGUGCAAAUGAGAGCUUGCACUUGUUUGGAAAUCCAGCCAUCUAGGGUUUUUGUUGCUUAUAAUCUAAUUUAUUGUUUAAUAAAAUAAAUAAAACGCAGCUUUAUUAUAGGUGGAAUUCAGUUUAUUAAGUGAAAGAAUGAUUACAAUCGGUGAUUAUGGAUUUAGGUUGAAUGCAAUUUGUUAAUUAAAAGAAUAAUGGUAAUCGACAGUCAUGGGUUUAGUAUGUAUUAUAUAUUUCGUUUAAUGGUGUGUAUGAAAACCCAAAACCUAAAAUUUUCUUAAGUAAAAAUCUCAGUUCUCCCUCACAACCUAUAAGCCCAUCACUCUCUCUCUCUCUCUCUCUCCCCUCUUUCUAGCUAACAACCCAAAACUUAUUGUGAAACCGCCAUUUCAAUCUUUCAAAGCUCAUUAGUUAGCUGGUCAUUGUGAAAAGUAAGGUUAUUGUUUGCUUUAUGUCUAAUUUACUUUAAACAUGGGGAUUGAUGAUAUUCGAGUUGCUGAACACUUGAUUUUGAGGUGAAAGAUUAAUUAAUAGUUUACAAAAUUAUGCUGAAAAUUUGAGGAUUGAUAGACUGUUGUUGUGAACUUGGUUGUUUCCGAACUUGACUAAAUGACUUUCAAUUGAUUUGAAAGUUUGAUUAAACUAAGUUUAAAUGAGAACAUUUUAAUUCUGGAAAUUUUGGAAUGAAUUGGGUCUAUAUUUGAUUUUGAAUGGAUUUCUCAAUAUGGUUGGUUGUUGUCCAAUUUUAUUAGAAAUUACAUAUGUACCAUGUUUGAUAUUGCAAACGUAUAGUUUAACAUAGUUAGAAUAAGCUGAAAUUCAGAUAAACUACACUUCUAUUUGCAUACUUCGAAUCUGGAAAAUUUUAUUUUGAUUGAACCUGUAAUUUAUUUUUAAUGAUUUUUCAAACUCUGCUGCCUCUGCAGUAACUUCUUUUGACAGAACUGUUCAUUAAUCUUUGAUCCUAUCAAACACCAGCCUACUGAUAUCGGAAUAGCCUCAAAUUUUAAUAUGUUGUUGACUUAUAUGUCCACUUAAAAUCUAGAAAGUAUCAUUCUAAUAUAUUUAGUAUUUUAAAUUUAAUAAAUAUUCAAACACCUGCUGCUACUUUUACAGUUUCAUAUGCAAUUUUAACUUAUAUAGUUUUAUCAUGUGAGAAGCAAAUGUAUGGUUGUCCAAAUGACUUGGAAAUUUUUUUUGUGGUGCAUUGAAAUGUCUAAUUAUGUUUUGUAAGUUUCAUAGCAUUCCAAAUUGAAUUAAAGAAAAUCUUAAAUUCAAGUUGUCAAUGUUUCCUAUUAAAUCUUAUUAGUGAUAAAUCUACUAACUUGCAGUACUUUUCAGGAAAAAAAAUGUGUCAACACUGUGAAUUGCAAUGGGAGAAGAAAGUACUAAAGGCAUAAAUCUUUUUUCAUUAUAUUUGGGACUAUUCUUAAAGGUUAGUCUUUUCCUUUUUCCUUUUUUUCUUUUUUAUUUAAGGUAAUCAUAUUCAUUUUAAUUUUAAUUACAAUCAAUUUGGCGUUGUUAGACAACUCGCACCAACCAGUCCAACAGCAAAUGAAGAUAACAUUUUUGAAAUGCAUUCAGUUUUUGACAAUAGCAAAAAGAAAAAGGAAAAAUGAUACUAGUUUAGGCUUUAGGAAAUUUGCACCAUCAUUCUUGCACUGCAGCUGCCUCUAUCUCGGUGCUCUCGGAGAAGUAAUCUUGCUUGAUUUUGCGUGAUAGUUGAUACAAGCCCGUCCUAGCCAUUACAAAAUUGACACUAAAAAGGUUCUAGUUUUUCAUAUUGUAGUUUGAAAAGUCUGCAAUGUUUGCUAUGCUGAUGCCCCAUUUGAAUGUUGGAGCCCAAAAAUGAAUGGUUUUAGGACCAGCCGGGUGGUUCCAAAAAGCUAGGAGCUUGUUAGCUAUUCUUUUUAAUUGAACUAAUUUAACUUAAAUAUUAGCCCGAUUAUUGAUUUCUAUGGUUUGCCAUUGAUUUGAGUUUGACAUUCUUGUUUUGUGUUGGUUUGAGUUUGACAUCCUAGUUUAAGACUUUGAAGGCUUCCAAGAAAUGAUUUUGGAUGAUGAGCAAAUGAGUAAUAGUUUGAAAAUUAAUUUACUGUAUCAAAUAUAUACUUAGUGUAGCAUAUUAAUUUUAAGAACUAUGGAUUAUUCCUUGAAUAUUCUAGUAAAUGGUUAUGUUAUAUAUGCAUGUCUUAAUAUAUAAUAAUUAUAUUUUGAAGUUUGUUUUUUUUUUUUUCCCUUUCUAGGUUUAGGAAAAAUGUUUAAAGUGAUUUUGGGUUAUGAUGUCAAUCAAGUUAAAGCAACAUUACUUGUGAGUGGAAAUAUAUAAUGAUUAUAUUUUUAUUCUACUUUUUUUUUAUCUUCUUAAAGUUUUAUAAUUAGGCAAAAUUAAUGAAUACUUAAUUACAAUUUAGGGUGAUAUUCUUUAAAUGGUUCACAUGAAUAGAUUUAAGUAGUAUAAUAAAUCUCAUACUCACUUUAUAAAGGCUUAACUAAGUUUGCAAAUAUUAUUUCUUUUAGUAGUAAUAAUUUUGGAUCGAACUCUCAAAUUAUUGAAAUAUUUUAUGUCCAAACUUUAUUAUGCCUAAUAUAAAUAUUGAGAUUCAUAGUUAUUUUAUGCCCAGUUUAAGGAAACUGUAGUUUGAGGACUUAUUUUUUGCCUUGUUAAAUAAACUUUUAGAAUGAAUAAAUUGAGGAAAUGAGUGGUGAUUUAUUUAUAAUAGAGCAUUUGUGAUAGCUUUUAACUAUGCACAAAAAUCAUUUGGUAUAUGUAGAUAGAGUAACAUGCUUGUGCUGAAAGUAGAUAUUACAUUGAAAACUUCUUGUCUACUAUAGUUUGCUAUAUAUAUAACCUUUACCAAAAGAGAAUAAUUGAGUUUAUUUAUAAAUAGCUUAUGAGGAUUUUUUUUUUCUUUCGAACAAAAUAAUUUUAUUUCUGUUAAUUGUUGUUUCUCUAAUGGCUGGAUAUUGGCAGCUAAUUUUUUUUUUCUUUUCCAUGUAUUCAUAUGCAGCUUUGAUCAAUGUGUUUGAAGUGUUUAUUCCUCAACUUCACUUAUAUCAUAACCCAUACAGUCUAUUGAAUGGAGAAGCUGCUGGCGUGAUAACGCAAUUAUACUACUCAUAUUCAAACAGUGAAAGACAAUCAUCCUUCUCAAUUUAGCUUCUAGAUUUAUUAAAUUUAGCCACAAGUAGUAGGUAUUUGAUUGGAUGGUAGAAAUUUUUAUGUAUUGAAUUUGGAUUAUUGAGUUAUGAGAGUAGGAUAUCUCAUAUUUUUGUUAUUGAAGUUUUGGAAUUUGUAAUAUAUACUAAUAAUAUUUAAAUGUGAAAUGAAAGAUUUUGCGAUAUAAAUCAAUUUCUUUUUGUUAUUUUGUGGUGCUUUUUAAUUUUACCAAUAAAUCAAUAGACAAUGAUCCAAUUCUUUUUUUUUUUAAAUAAAUUAACUAGUGAUACUAUGGUAACAGUAAUCAUAGACACUAAUAAAAUAUCAAUAAUUACUAACACUAUGGUGUCAUAAUAUUGGUGAUACCGUAGUAAUAGUAAUCACUGACACCACUUACAAGUGUCACUAUUUUUCUGACUCCCAGAUUACUGGCACAAUUAACAAGUGUCAAUGAAAGUAAUUUCUAACACUAUUCUAAAGUCAGUAAAUACCAUUUUUCUAGUAGUGUUAACUAUCAAUCAUGUGAGUAUAUUUACUCAGAAAUAUCAUAUCAAUAGACAAUCUUGAUCCCACACACACGUAAAUAUGUUAAUUUCUAUACGCUUCACUUAACCUGUAGAAUCAAUUAUCUAAAAUGCAAGUUUGUGGCCACAAAAAAAGCCAAAGAAAGAAGAUAAUAACAAUUGACUUGUAUAUUAUGCUCAUACAAUCCACUCGACAUAAUGAUAUCAUUUUAAUAAGGCAAUGGCCGAUGAUCUCCAUUGAAAAACUAAUUCAAUUUUUUUGCUUCAUUUAACUUUUUGGUUGUUGAAAAUAACUUUAAUUAUCAAAUAAUUGGAGAAAGAGUAAAGAACAUUUAACAAAUUUAUGUGCAAAAAAAAAAAAAAGGAGAAGUUGAAGAGAAAGGGUGCUUGCAGAAGUGGGUGUCAAAGAAAAAUCUGUCCAUAAGAAUUAUUGCGGUUAUUUUUUGGCAAUGUAAAAUUUUUAUAGCAAGUAAAAAUUAAUUUUUUCCGAUUUACUAAAACAUUAACAAAAAAACUUCUGUGACAGCAUUUUUUAUGGGUGCAUAUACCCUCCCUUUAAAAAAAAUAAUAAUUAAUGCUUAAUAUAAUAUUAAAUACGAAAAUAUCAAUAUUUGACUACUCAAAUUUACAUCAUUAGGUCCUUAAAAUUUAAAAUUGAAGAUACGAAAGGAAGCAUAUAUAAAUUUCAUUCUCAUGAAAAGGAUUCUCUUAUAAUCUUAUAAUAUUUGAGUUUUGAAAUUUUUUUGAAACAAAUGUAAUUUUAUUUGUGUACAAUCUGAAAUGGCCCAAAACGUCAUAAAACUUUUCAAAUAGGUUCAAUUUCAGAACUUCCUAAAAAUAGUCGUCUUUCCCCAACUUUCUGAAAUUAUGAUAUAGCCCCAAAGAUUUUAUUAUUUCGCACAAAGGUCCUUUUCAACAUAAUACCCAUAUUUUUCAAAGUUCUCAAAACCUUUCACUUUAGUCCAAAAUAUUCAUAAAUUAUAGUAUGGCCCAAAACAUUUCAAAUGUUUGUAAAAACGUCCAACUCUGAAAUUUAAUACUUAUUAAAAACAAAGAUUUCAAAUCUUAGCAUUUAAAUCCAAAUUACUCAAAUCGAUAAAAUACUUUAUUUUAUAAAAAUAAAACCUUUUAGUUUAUGAAAAGUAUUUAAUUAAAUUAAUCUCUUGAGCUUCUCAAAUGCUAAAUCAUGCAUCAAUUAAAUCAUACCGGCUUUACAAGAAUUUAUCGCACUAAUUUGUUCGUUGAGCUCUAAACUAUAUUCUUGAUGUCGCCGUUGUCCGCUGAGUGUCUUCAAUCUUGAUUUCACUUGAUUCACUUGCAUAAAUAUUAUCCUUAAAAAACUAGUGAAAAUGUGAAAUACAAUAUUUAUUAAAUCACUCAAUACAUAUGUUUGUUAUCAUCAAAAUUACAUUAUGUAUAGCCCUUUAGGCUAACAAUCUCCCCCUUUUUGAUGAUGACAAACAUCUCAUGUAUUUUGACAUUUAUACUCCCCCUUAAUACAUGGCAUAUAUAAUUAAACAUAUAAAUCAAAUUCAAAACAAAAACUCCCCCUGAAUAUUUGAUUUAUGAUAAUUUGUAAGCUCCCCCUUAAUAUUUCAAAACCAUGCAUAAAUACUUGAAAUACAAAAUACGUAUUACAUGUCUUCAUAUUCAAAAUACAUGACUUCUCCCCUUCAUCAUCAAAAUUACUAGAAAUUCAUGCGAAGAUCGAUAAUAUGUCAAUGGUUAAUCAAGAAACAUAUAAUAACCAAACAUCCAAUUAACCAUUAAAUGAUCAUGAAUCAUCAUGCCAUCAAAAGAAUGUUCUAAAUGCAUAUUAUCCAAAAUCAUAUUGUAUGCUCCCCCUAAAUAUAUGGCCAAUUAAAAAAUUUAACCAAAAUGAUAUUAUCCAAAAACAUAUCAUAUUUAUCUCUCCCUUCAUAAAAAAUAGAUAGAUGCAAUCGAAACAAGAGCAUAAAAAAUAAUUCGAUAAAGAUAUUACCAAUUUUGUGCGAGCAAAAAUUUCGGCAGAGUCUCCCCUUAAAAUGAACAAAUCCUUAAAUAUACAACAUGGUUAAAAACACUUCCAUAUAAGCUGAAACAAUUAUAACAAACCAACAACUCCAUUAAUUCAUCAAGCAAUACACAUACAAUCAUCAAUCAUCAAAAGUACUAUAAAUCCAUGCUUAUACCAAAAAGAAUAUCUCAAUGAUUAAUCAAGAAGCAUAAAAAUAAAGCAUGCAAUUAAUCCAAAGAGUCAUAUUCAUUCUAAGAAUUCAGAAAAUAUCAUCCAAAUAUAAAUUAUCCAAAUAUUAAACAACCAUCAUCCGUAAUCCACAAUUAGAACAAUUAUGCAUAUGAAAAUGUAGGCGCAUAAUAUAAUAAGGAACCAUGGUAAUUUAAAAUACCCAAAAAUGCACAAAUUCGGUUUUGGAAAAUAAUUAGUGAAAUGAAUGAUUUUAAACCGAUUGUAUUGAUCCAAGAGAUGAUUUAAGAUAAUGGAUGGUGUUGAUUGGAUCAAAAGUGGACUAAAAAGAGUUUAAAUUGGAAGAGAAAGAAAUGGGUAAGUUAGGUUUUUUGAUUUUGGGUUUUAUGUGGAGAGAUAAUGAAAUCAAGUUUUGAGAGUGAAAAUUGAAGGAGUAAUGGAUGAAUAAUGAGUUGGAUGAUUGAUUUUAGCAAGAGAAUGAGUGAAAGAUGAAGAAAUUUGAGAAAGAAAAUGGAGAACACUAUUCACGCGUGAAUGAAAUGAGAAUGGAAUGAUGAAGAACAAGUGAAGAAAUCAUGAUGGAGAAGUGUUUAAUGAAGAUAAAAUGCAUGGGUAUUAGUUUGAAUGGUUGAUUUGGGCAUGAAAAUGGAUGAAAAAAGAAGAAAUUGAAAGUGAAAAUGGAUGGGUUGCUCACGGUUUUGAGUGAAAGAGAGAACAUGUGCAGAAAAUUAACAAAGGAAGAAGAAGAAGCAAAAAAAAUUUUCCCAACCCGUGACCAAGCGGCUAGCCGCUUGCUCUCGGGUUGGGGACAGUUUCCAAGCGGCUAGCCGCUUGGAACAGGCGGCUAGCCGCCUGUUCCAGCUGCACUCAAGUUGAUUUCCGACUAAUUUCGAUCAAUUUUGUGACCAUUUUGUGAUCCUGAAACAUCUCAAGAGCCAAUUUAAUGCAUGAUUCAUGAUUUUAAACAUCUAAAAGAUGAUUAAUUCAAACAAAUAAUCCAUCCAACAAGCAUAUAUUCAUGAAGCACAUAAGCAUUCAAAAAUUAAUAAAUCAAACACCACAUAUAUCUAACUUGCUCAAACACUUCAUAAACAUUAAUAAUCAUCAAGCAAACGAUUUUAAUAGAUUCAAUAACAUAAAUAGAGAUGUUAAUGCGAAAAUUUCAUCAUCCCAAGUUCAUGCCGAAUUUUUGAAAAUUGUUCUUCGCAAAGGGGUUUUGUAAAAAUAUCGGCAAGUUGUUUUUCCGUAAAGAUAAAUUCUAAUGCAAUAUCACCUUUUUGAACAUGAUCUCUCAAGAAAUGAUGCCUAAUCUCUAUAUGCUUGGUUCUAGAAUGUUGAAUGGGAUUCUUUGAAAGAUUUAUGGUGCUAGUAUUAUCACACUUGAUAGGAAUUUGUUCAAGAUUAAUACCAUAGUCUCUAAGUGUUUGUUUCAUCCAAAGUGCUUGUGCACAACAACUACCUGCGGCAAUAUAUUCCGCCUCAGUAGUUGAGAGUGUCACCGAAUUUUGUUUCUUACUAAACCAUGAAACAAGUGAAUGACUAAGAAAAUGGCAAGUUCCACUAGUACUCUUCCUAUCGACCUUGUGACCAGCAAAAUCGGCAUUCGAAUAACAAGCUAAAUCUAUAUGAGUUCCUCUAGGAUACCAAAGGCCAAUAUCUAUGGUUCUACUCAAAUAAUGAAAAAUUCUUUUAACAUAAAGCAAAUGAGAUUUCUUGGGACAUGAUUAAAAUCUUGCACACAAACAUACACUAAACAUGAUAUCGGGUCUACUUGCAGUUAAGUAAAGUAAGGAUCCAAUCAUACAUCGAUACUUUUUAAUAUCAACCACUUUACCUUUUUCAUCUUUAUCAAGCAUGAUUGUUGUACUCAUUGGAGUAUUCUUGGUAUUUGAUUCAUCAAUACCAAAUCUCUUGAGCAAGUCUUUGACGUACUUAGCUUGGUUGAUGAAGAUCCCCUCAUUGGUUUGUUUGAUUUGAAGUCUAAGAAAAUACUUCAAUUCUCCCAUCAUGCUCAUCUCAAAUUCCUUACUUAUACAAGAGGAAAAUUCUUUGCACAAAGAUUCAUUAGUAGAACCAAAAAUAAUAUCAUCAACAUAAAUUUGAACAACAAGUAUAUCUUGAUUUUUAUUUUUAAUAAAGAGGGUAGUAUCUGCUCUUCCCAUCGAAAAAUCGUUAUCCAAUAAGAAAUUUUUAAGCCUAUCAUACCAUGUUCUAGGUGCUUGUUUUAAUCCAUAUAAUGCUUUUGAUAACUUAUACACAUGAUUUGGAAAUUUCUCAUUUUCGAAACCAGGGGGUUGUUUCACAUAAACUUCCUCCAUAAUAUAACCAUUUAGGAAAUCACUCUUGACAUCCAUUUGAAAUAAAAUAAAAUCUUUAUGACAUGCAAAUGCUAACAACAUCCUAAUGGAUUCUAAUCUAGCUACAAGUGCAAAAGUUUCAUCGAAAUCGAUUCCUUCUUCUUGGUUGUAUCAUUGAGCCACUAAUCUACCUUUAUUUCUUACAACCACACCGGAUUCAUCCAUUUUAUUUCUAAAUACCCAUUUAGUGCCUAUAAUGGAUUGAUGUUCCGGUUUAGGAACCAAUUCCCAUACUUUAUUUCUCUCAAAUUGAUUUAACUACUUUUGCAUUGCCAUAAUCCAAAACUCAUCAUUUUCCGCAUUCGCAAAAGAUUUUGGUUCAAUUUGAGAAAUAAAUGCAGCAUGCUCACAUGUGUUUCUAAGUGAUGAUCUAGUUGUGAUACCUCUUGAAGGAUCACCUAAAAUUAAAUCCUUAGGAUGAGCGGAAACAUACCUCCACUCCUUGGGGAGUGUUUGAGAACUACCUUCUUGUUGCUCCAGCUCCAUAUUUGUUUGUUCUUCUUGUCUAUCCUCUUGAUUUUCUUGUGGUGCAUUCUCUUGAUUCUCUUUUGAUGAUUCUUCUUGUAAUUCUCCAUCUGCAUUAUCAUUAACAACUCCUUUCUCCGCAGAGGAGGGGUUAGAUUCAUCAAACGUAACAUGCAUGGAUUCUUCCACAACUAAAGUUCUUUUAUUAUAAACUCUAUAAGCUUUGCUUGAGUUUGAAUACCCGAGAAAGAUGCCAACAUCAGAUUUUGGAUCAAAUUUAUCAAGAUAAUCUUUUUUGUUUAAAAUAAAACAUUUGCAUCCAAAAACUUUGAAAUAACCAAUGUUGAGUUUUCUAUCUUUCCAAAGCUCAUAGGGAGUUUUAUUGAGAUGAGGUCUAAUCAACACCCGAUUUAAAACAUAACAAGCGGUGUUGACGGCUUCGGCCCAAAAAUAUUUUAGUAAUGCAUUUUCAUUUAACAUGGUCCUAGCCAUUUCUUGAAUAGACCUAUUCUUUCUCUCAACAACUCCAUUUUGUUGUGGAGUCCUAGGUUAUGAAAAUUGAUACUCAAUGCCAAAAUCAUUACAAAAAUUUUCAAAUGCAUGAUUUUCAAACUCUCCACCAUGAUCACUUCUAAUACAAGUAAUAGAAUAACCCUUUUCAUUUUGAACCUUUUUAUAGAAAAUUCUAAAUGCAUCAAUGACAUCAUCCUUAUUAGCUAAGAAUAAUACCCAUGUGUAUCUAGAAUAAUCAUCUACAAUUACAAAUGCAUAAAAUUUGCCACUUAAACUAGCAUAUCUAGAGGGUCCAAACAAAUCUAUGUGAAGUAAUUGAAGAUGUUUUAAAGUAGAGAUAUGAUUCUUGUUUUUGAAAGAGGUUUUGAUUUGUUUUCCAAAUUGACAUGCUUCACAAAUUCUAUCCUUUUGAAAACCAAUUUUUGGAAGACCUUUAACUAAAUCGUUUUUCGAAAUUUUUGAAAUUAAAUCCAUGCUUGCAUGUCCUAGUCUUCUAUGCCAUAACCAACCAUCAUCAUGCAAUGCCGAAAAACAUUUAUCAUGAGUAGAUGCACAUUCUAUAUCAAUCGUGUAAACAUUGCCACAUCUAUUUCCCAUAAACAAAAUUUUCCCAUCACAUGCAUUCUCAAUAACACAUCUUGAUUUAUCAAAAACAACUUUAUAACCUUUGUCACAUAGUCGACUAAUGCUAAUCAAAUUGUGUUUCAAAUUUUCAACAAAACACACAUUUUCAAUUAGAGUUGAAGAAAUUUUACCAACAUUUCCAAUUCCGAGAAUUUUUCCUUUUGAGUUAUCUCCAAAGGAUACAUCUCCACCAUUUUCGAUUUUGGUGAAACUUGAGAACCAUGCAUAGUUUCCUGUCAUAUGCCUAGAACAUUCGCUAUCCAAGUACCAUUUAUUUUUCUUUUUCUUCAAGCCCGGCAAAGAAAAUCUUAUGUCUUAGGUACCCAAACCUUUUUGGGUCCUUGAUCGUUAGCAAUGGUUCCUUUUGGAACCCACACACAUUUGACACCAUUAUAUGCAUUCCUUUUUACGGGACAUCUAUAUUUCAUGUGGCCAUUUUAAUUACAAUAAUGACAAAAAAUCUUAUGAUCAUUUGUGGAGGUAGCUUUAACAAAAUAAUUCUUAUAAUCUUUUGCUUCAAGUUAGGCUUAUACCCAAGUCCUCCUUUAUCAAAAACACAUUUUUGGGAGUUAAGCAUGUUAUCCAAUAUCUUUUACCCAUUUCUAAAUUUUAGAACAACAUUACUAAGUUCAAUAUUCUUUUUCUUGAGCAUUUCAUUUUCCUUUUUCAAAUCAUCUACAUGUGACUCUAAAUGCUCAUGUAAAGUGCUAGAUUUUUCAUUUAAUAAUGCAACUCUAUUAUGCAAGGUUUUAUUCUCUAAUUCUAAUCCUUUAAUCUUCUCAUUCAAUGACUCAUUGCAUUUUUGCAUGGCAUCCUUUUCAUUUGUAGAUUCUAGCAAUUUCUUUUUAAGGCAUGCAUUCUUUUUACUAAUUUUCAUCAACUCAUCAUGCAUUUCUUUAAAAGCAUCAUAUAAUUCAUCAUAGGUUGGAUCACUUACCUCAUUGAGAUCAUCAUCAUCUCCUAGUGCCAUAAGUGCUAGGUUUGAUACUUCUUGCGACUCAUCUUCAUCACUUGAAUCUUCAUCGCUAUCAUCCCAAGUAGCAACCAUAGCUUUCUUCUUGAGUUUGUUGAGAAGUGGGCAUUCCGAUCUUAUAUGGCCGGGCUUCUUGCAUUCAUAGCAUAUGAUUACCUCUUUCUUCUCCUUUUGGUUUUUGAAAUUUUUGAAUUUUCUUCGGUCACCGGGUUUCAUGAAAAAAAUUUUGAACCUCCUUGCUAGCAUAGCCAACUCCUCAUCAUUUGGCUCACUUUCCCCAUCACUCUCAUAUUUGGUGACUUUGAGAGCAAUGUUUUUCUUCCUUUCCUCAUUUCCUCUUUCAGCUGCUAAAUCUUCCUCAUAAAAAUAAGAAAACCAAUUAAAUCAUCAAUAGGUAAGAUAUUCAAAUCUUUAGCUUCCUCAAUGGCAGUCCUUUUUGGUCUCCAUUCCUUAGGUAACGACCUAAUGAUUUCUUAACUUUCUCGCUAUUUGAAAAGGUCUUUCCUAGAGCUCCUAGAGUGUUUACUAUAUCCGUAAAUCUAGUAUACAUAGAAUACACACUCUCAUUUUAUUCCAUUUGGAACAAUUCAUAUUGCCGAGUGUACCUACUAAUUUUAGACUCUUUCACUUGAUUCGUGCCUUCAUAAACAACUUCAAGUUUGUGCCAAAUUUCAUUAGCACUUUCACAACUAGACACUCUAUGAAACUCUUUCUUAUCGAGUGCACAAAGCAAGGCAUUCAUGGCUUUGGAAUUUAGAGAAGCUUUUCUCUUUUCCAAUUCAUUCCAUUCCCGUGAAGGUUUCGGAAUGUCUUCCCCAAUUUCAUUUUUAGUCAAAGGCAUAAAUGGACCAUCACAUACAACUUCCCAAAUUUCAUAAUCUAAUGCUUGUAAGUAAAUUCUCAUCAUAGUUUUCCAAUACGGGUAGUCAUUUCCGUCAAAGAACGGUGGCCUAGUUGUGGAUUGUCCUUCCCUAAAGAUUGAAUCAUUUUGGGUUGCCAUGGAUCUUUUACUCUAGACGGUUAGUCCUAACAAGAGAACCAAGCUCUGAUACCAAAUGAAAUGCAAGUAACGCAACCCAAGAGGGGGGUGAAUUAGGUUUUUAAAAUAAAUGCAAUACGAUUCGCACAAUAAAUCAAUCUAAUGCCUUAAUGAAAUAGAGAACAAUAAAUUCAAACAAGCGUAAAAAUAAAAGAGCAAGGGAAGAGAAAAAUGAACACGUGGAUUUUUACGUGGUUCGGCAAUCCCCGCCUACGUCCACGCCUCCAAGCCAACCAAGCUCGAGAAUUUCACUAUCCAAGCCUCCCAAGGCUUCAAGUUUUUACAAUUGACUUCCAAGGUGUCAAUGAACCUUUACAACCAAGAGAUUAUCUCCCCAAUCUCUUCACUCCAAGUGUUUCCCACACUUACACACUCACAAUUUGAUAAGAAAUGAAAAUUACAACAAAAACUCUCUUUAAGAGUGGAUAUGCAACUAAUAGCUCAAUAAUGAUUCAAUCAAUGAUGAUUUGUGUUUUGGAAGCUCAAUAUAUGUUGUAUGAUCUUAUAUUUGCGUGCAUUAGUUCUUAGAAUGAAGUUUGAGUUGAGUUUUUAUAGUGAAAGCCCAAAAACUAGCCGUUAUAGGCAAAUUCCCGCGCCCAAGCGGUUAGCCGCUUGAUUAUCUGGCUAGCCGCUCAGGAACAGUGAUAUUACCAUUAUCUUUAAAUUGCUACAGUACUACUGUUCACUAAAAUUACACUUUAGCCCAAAAUUUUCUAUAAUUAUACUUUGGCCCAAAACGUCAUAAAACUUUUCAAAUAAGUCCACUUUCAGAACUUCCUAAAAAUAGUUGUCUUUCCCAAACUUUCUGAAAUUAUGAUAUGACCCCAAAGAUUUUAUUAUUUCGCAUAAAGGUCCUUUUUAACAUAAUACCCAUAUUUUUCAAAGUUCUCAAAACCUUUCACUUUAGUCCAAAAUAUUUAUAAAUUAUAGUAUGGCCCAAAACAUUUCAAAUGUUUGUAAAAACGUCCAACUCCGAAAUUUAAUACUUAUUAAAAAUAAAGAUUUUAAAUCUUAGCAUUUAAAUCCAAAUUACUCAAAUCGACAAAAUACUUUAUUUUAUAAAAAUAAAACCUUUUAGUUUAUGAAAAGUAUUUAAUUAAAUUAAUCUCUUGAGCUUCUCAAAUGCUAAAUCAUACAUAAAUUAAAUCAUACCGGCUUUACAAGAAUUUAUCGCACUAAUUUGUUCGUUGAGCUCUAAACUAUAUUCUUGAUGUCGCCGUUGUCCGUUGAGUGUCUUCAAUCUUGAUUUCACUUGAUUCACUUGCAUAAAUAUUAUCCUUAAAAAACUAGUGAAAAUGUGAAAUACAAUAUUUAUUAAAUCACUUAAUACAUAUGUUUGUUAUUAUCAAAAUUACAUUAUGUAUAGCCCUUUAGGCUAACACAAUCAAUAUUUACUUAUUUAUUAUAUUUUAAUUUAUUAACUAUCAAUCAUGUAAGUAUAUUUAGUCAGAAAAAUUAUAUCAAGAGAGAAUCCUAAUUUCACGCAAACACAAAUACAAGAAAAAUAUGUCAAUUUCUAUACUAUUCACUUUCCUGUAGAAUCAAUUAUCUAAAGUGCAAGUUUGUGGCUACAGAAAACUCACCAAAGAAAGAAGAUAAUAACAAUUGAGCAUUGAUAGCAAAACUAAUGCAUCAUUUUCUUCUUGACUUGAUGAGAUGGCGCCAUUACAAAAAAACAAGUACCUUAAUUGACGGGCACUGAGUGAUGUGAAUACUACCAGCCAGUUCAUCUCUUCCAGUCUUGCUUAAUCACAAUCACAAACACCACGAGAUUGACAUUUGCAUUAUAUAAAUCUUCAGCAGUCGAAACACCUUGCAUUACCAAAUAAACCAGUAACAAACAAAGCAAUCUUUCAUGGAGAGGAACCUUAGUCUCAGUAUGAUCACUGUGUCAUUAACCCACUUCCUGCUUCUUUGCUUGGUUGUUGCAGCAGCAGCAGCAGCAAGCAACAAUAUUACCACAGACCAACAAGCUCUUCUUGCCCUGAAAGAUCAUAUAACUUAUGAUCCAACCAACCUGGUUGCCAUUAAUUGGACCUCGAACACCUCUGUUUGCACCUGGAUUGGCAUCACUUGUGAUGUCAAUAGCCACAGAGUCACAGCCUUAGAUAUUUCUCAAUUCAAUCUACAAGGCACCAUCUCUCCUCAACUUGGAAACCUCUCUUCACUCACAACACUUAAUCUUAGUCAUAACAAGCUUUCUGGAAAUGUUCCCUCCUCCAUCUACACCAUGCAUACGCUAAAAUUUCUAGACUUCACUGAUAACCAGCUCUCUGGUUCAGUGUCUUCCUUCGUCUUCAACAUGUCUUCAAUAUUAGACAUUCGUUUGACCAAUAACAGACUUUCUGGUGAGCUUCCAAAAAAUAUUUGCAACUAUCUUCCUCAUUUGAAAGCCCUUUUUUUGGACAAAAACAUGUUUCAUGGCAAAAUUCCUUCUGCUUUAUCAAAGUGCAAACAACUGCAACAAUUAACUUUGCAGUCCAAUAAUUUAUCCGGUGCAAUACCAAAAGAAAUCGGCAACUUGACCAUGCUCAAAGGGAUAUAUCUCGGCUACAACAAACUCCACGGUUUGUUCAUAAUACUAUAUAAAUAUUUUAAUUUAUCACUUAUUAUCUUUCGUGAAUAAUUUAGAUAAGAUCUUGUAAGUGACAUUUUUUGCAUCUAUGUUAAUUUACCAGGUGAGAUACCCCACGAAAUCGCUAAUCUUCGAAAUCUAGAAGCUUUAAUGCUAGGAAUGAACAACCUAGUUGGUGUGGUAUCAGCUAGAAUCUUCAACAUGUCAACACUGAAGGUAAUUACCCUCAUAAAUAACUCUCUCAGCGGUAGUCUUCCAUCAAGAAUAGACCUUUCACUUCCAACUAUUAACGAGCUUAACUUGGCACUUAAUAGAUUUUCUGGAACCGUUCCUAGUUCCAUCACCAAUGCUUCUAAGCUCACCUUGCUAGAGUUGGGAGGAAACACAUUUUUGGGAUUUAUUCCAAACACAAUUGGUAAUUUAAGAAACCUUGAGUGGCUCGGCUUGGCUAAUAACUACUUGACAUCUUCAACCUCAAAAUUGAGCUUUCUUUCCUCUUUGGCAAAUUGCAAGAAAUUAAGAUCCUUAUCCUUAGAACGCAAUCCACUUGGCGGCUUCCUUCCAAGUUCAAUGGGUAAUCUUUCUAUGUCUUUAGAAACACUUUUUAUCGCCAAUUGCGGUAUUAUUGGCAAUAUUCCUCAAGCAAUUAGCAAUUUAAGCAACUUGCUGGCCUUAGUAUUAGAAGGCAAUAAAUUGACUGGACCAAUUCCAAUUACAUUCGCCCGACUGCAGAAACUUCAAGGCUUAUAUCUUGCAUCCAAUAAGUUGGUAGGUUCAUUCCCAGAUGAGCUUUGCCAUCUAGGUAGGCUGGCUGAAUUGGCCUUACUUGACAAUAGGCUUUCAGGAUCUAUACAUUCAUGUGUAAGUAAUCUCACUUCUCUAAGAUAUCUCUAUUUAGGGUCCAAUAGGUUUACUUCUGUCAUUCCCUCAACUUUCUGGAGCCUAAAAGACAUCUUGUUUUUUGACUUUUCAUCAAAUUUCUUGGUUGGUCCUCUUUCUUUCGACAUAGGUAAUUUGAAGGUGCUUCUAGGAAUAAAUUUAUCAGAAAAUAACUUAUCGGGUGAUAUGCCAGCCACAAUUGGAGGACUAAAACACCUUCAAAUUAUGGACCUAGCAUAUAAUAGAUUGGAAGGGCGAAUUCCCGAAUCAUUUGGUGAGUUGACAAGUUUGGAGGUUUUGAAUUUGUCAAAUAAUAAAAUCUCUGGGUCUAUUCCAAAAUCCAUGGAGAAACUCUUUUACCUCCGAGAGUUAAAUCUCUCUUUCAAUGAACUUGAAGGUGAGAUUCCUAGUGGAGGAAUUUUUGCCAACUUCACAGCUGAGUCAUUUAUGGGAAAUGAGUUAUUGUGUGGUUUACCAAAUCUUCAAGUCCAACCAUGCAAAGUUAGCAAGCCGAGGACAGAACAUAAAUCAAGGAAAAACAUACUUCUCAUUGUGAUUGUUUUGCCAUUGAGUGUUGCUCUAACAAUAGCAAUCACUCUAGCUCUCAAAUCUAAGCUGAUCGAAUGUGGAAAAAGAUGCACAGUGUUGUCAAAUGAUAGUGUCUUGUCAUCACAAGCAACACUAAGAAGAUUUUCAUACUUAGAACUUUUACAAGCAACAGAUAAUUUUGCUGAAAACAGCGUAAUUGGCAUAGGAGGUUUUGGUUCUGUUUACGGUGGAAGACUUGAAGAUGGGAUGAAGAUUGCAAUAAAAGUGUUUCACCAGCAAUGUGCAAGCGCAUUGAAGAGUUUUGAGGCUGAAUGUGAAGUGUUAAAAAAUAUUCGCCAUCGAAACCUUAUCAAAGUUAUCAGCAGUUGCUCGAACGAUGACUUCAAAGCAUUAGUCCUAGAAUACAUGUCCAACGGGAGUUUGGAGGAUUGGCUGCAUUCGAGCAAUUACGUGCUGAAUAUUUUUCAAAGGUUGAACAUAAUGAUUGACGUUGCAUCAGCUUUAGAAUAUCUCCACUUCGAUCAUUCAACUCCUAUUAUUCAUUGUGACUUAAAGCCUAGUAAUGUAUUGUUGGACGAAAAUAUGGUUGCUCAUUUGAGUGAUUUUGGCAUAGCAAAGCUUUUAAGUGGAGAGGAUGAGUAUGUGAUGCGAACAAAAACCCUUGCCACUAUAGGUUAUAUGGCACCAGGUUUGCUUCAAACAACUUUUGUUUUUAGUUCAUUUUAAAUUUUCAAACUUAUUGAUUUUUACAAUCCUCACAUCAAAAUUUUAUUGAUUAUUUAUCUAAUUGUGAAAUUAAUUUGAUUCAUAGAGUACGGCAUAGAAGGAGAAGUAUCUACAAAAAGUGAUGUUUACAGUUAUGGGAUUAUGUUGAUGGAAACUUUUACCGAGAAAAAACCCACAGAUGAAAUUUUUGUUGCAGAAUUGAGCUUAAAGCGUUGGGUUAAUGACUUGCUUCCUACUUCAUUAGUGGAAGUUGUGGACAAAACUCUGCUAAGUGGAGAGGAAAAACAUUCUGCAGCAAAGGAGCAAUGUCUGUUGUCUAUCUUUAGUUUGGCUCUGGAGUGUACAAUGGAAUCACCGGAAAAGAGGAUUAAUGCAAAAGAUAUUGUUACCGGAUUACUCAAGAUAAGAGACACAUUGAGUAAAAGGAUAGGAAAUUUAAGUUAAUUUCGUUUGCUUCCAUUGAUAGUUAAUCUGAAUUCAUGUAAUAAGUGUAGGAAUGUUAUAUCUUUUCCUUUCAUAUAUUUUUUUUCCUUGAGAAAACUGUUGUAGUCAUCUUGUUUCCAUGGACAGAGUUGAUUUAGUUCUUCCAAGAAAUGCUACUGAUGACAUUUGUUUUAUACUUUCUCUUUUUUUGCAUGCGUUUAGGUAGAAUAGUGGUCUAGCUGCAGGCUAAUAAGUCAAGCUAUGCCAAAAGCGUAUGAUUUAAUUUAUUAAACAUAACUUCAAGUUCAAGAAGUGUUUCUCAUUGCCACCAAUGCUUUGGACACCUGUUGGAAGGUUUGUUGUCCUCAGCUUUUGUUUAGAGCAAAAGUUCGAGUCCCAUAAAGGCUCAAACAUUCCUUUCCUUCUGUCCCAAGGGCGCCUUCUGUCCUCUGUUUUCUGUUUCCACACACAAAUAGCCAAAAGAAUUUAGAAUGACAACUGGGACAUAUAUAAGAGUGAAAUAAUUAAAAAAAUAAUGCUUUCUUGUUUGUCGUGUUAAAAUCGUAAGUACCGAAGUACUGUGAAAGAGAUUGAUUUACAGAAACUGAAGCCAAGGGUUCAAAAAAAAAGUGCAAAGAGAAUAAUUGUAUUGGUAGCACAAUGUCAUAUUCAUACAGAGAUCAAGUAUAUUAUUUACGGCUGGUAAGGACUAAGAAUUGAUGUAGCUAGAAUGCGAAGAUGAUAAGGUAUGUUGUGCACUAUUGUUUUAUUCUACAAUCAAUCUUGACCCUUGAUGCUUGGCUCUCAAUCUUGUCCAUUGAUCUUCUCUGAUUUGGGAGACUUGAAGACCUUUCAGUAUCCUGCCUUGUUGUUGGUAUCUUCCAUGCUGUAGAACCGCCGACUUGCCAAGUAUUUGUUCAUUGAUGCAUUUUAUGAAACAGUUGGCCUGCUCAUAGCAAACAGCUCCUGUGUUAACUCCCCCUCCAUAGCUCAACUAUCUGGGAAGACAAUUAAUUGAGCUUGUUUCACAAUUAUAUGAAUCUGAAAGUUCAAUUUUAAAAAUUACAUUCGGACUCUACAUUUUCUAAUGAACAUUGGUUUGGCUUAUAAGCUUAAUAUGCUUAGGCUUAGGCUUGGUAAGAUUAUCGGUCGGUAGAUGAACAAGUUUUAGAGCUUUCGAAUUCAUGCCAAUUAAUUUUCAACUAGGCUAUUACCACAAUAAACAUUUAGAAAUCUAAAUUUGUUCAUUAUAUAUUCUGAUCAGCACUUGAACAUCCAUGCAGACUCCUAUUAAUUAUAUCCUCUAAUGGAGAGAACUCAUUGCCUCAGAAUGAUCACUGUGUCAUCAACCCACUGCCCGCUUCUUUGCUUGGUUGUUGCAGCAAGCAACAAUAUUACCACAGAUCAACAAUAGUUUGUCCAUUUGUUUCAGUGAGGUCGUCAUUAAAAAUUAAUUUUCAUAUUGAUUUUCUUAAUUAUAAAUAAUACUAAUGAUAUUUCAUAGUUAUAAAUAUAUUAGAAUUAAUCGAAAUCAUUUUUUUAGUGCGGCAUGGCUAAAACUACCUUUUUUUUUUAUAAGUAAUUACUACUUUAAGGAAAAUACUUCUAUUUUCAGGGAAAAGUCAAGUACCCGUAGUUGUGAAGACUCGAGCUCACCCUCUUAUGAUAAAUCUUCAUAUCAAUUACAUAAAUAUCCUCUAAAUUUUUAGUUAACUAUUCAAAAUUCGAUGUUAUACGGGUAUUUCAUUUAUUUGAGUAGGGGUUAGGGGUCAAUUGGAUACAAAUUCAAAAUUAUCCUUACUUGAGAAGGUGAUAAAAAUUGGGGAUUUAGUUUGGAUGUCAUUAGCUACAAAUAUUAAACUCAUACAUCUAAUUCAAAAUUAGAGGGCUGAUAUAUGUGCAUCCUCAUGCACAUGAUAGUGACACGUGUCACCAUCCUACAACCUAUCCAAUGAAAAAUUGACAUGCAUCUUGUGCGCUUCUGAUCAAAAUCCUGAAAAUUAAUCACAAAGUUAUGCUUUUAUUAUAAAAAGAAUAAAGAAACUCCAAGAAAAAAAAAAGACUUACAUAAAUACUUUGAAUAAUCUAGAUUCCAAGUUGUCUAUAUUAGCUUGAUCUUUUUAUAAAUAGUCAUCUUCGAAAAAAAAUUCCACCAACAUAUAUUUUAAUUUUAUGUUAAUUAAUAAAUAGAAAAAAAUCAUUUUAGAAUUAAUUAAAACAUUAUUUAUUGUUGCUCAAAAAAGGUAGAACUUAGUGAUCAGAAAAAAGUGUCUAAAAUAUAUGUUAAAAAAAAAUCAUGGUUGAUUGGACUGAUUGAAUUUUUUUUCUUUUUCUUUUUUAAGAAUUAAGACAAUUGGAUGGAUUGAGUAAUAAUAAUACAUAUUUAUUUGGCAAAUGGCAGGGAGGCUUUCGUCUAAUGCAGAUUGAUUAGAGAGAAUAUAUAACAAUUUUAAGCUCAUCAGAUUCGGAAGCUGCUUAUCUGUCGUGUGGGGAUCACUUCCGUGUCUUAUUUUUCUAGAAGAAUCUGGACCAUUGGAUUUAACAUUAGAUAAAUGUUUGAUCUUGAUUCUUGAUUAAGAUCGAAGUUUGAUUCUAACCAACAUGAUGUCAGAUUCAGAUUGCGAAGCAAUCAAAUUGAAAGUAACUUGUUCUAUUUUGAUAAACACAAGUUCUAAUAAAAAAAUUCUAAGUGUAUAUAUAUAUAUAUAUAUAUAUAUAUAUAUAUUUUUUUUUUUUUUGUGUUCAAUUUAUCUAGUCAAAUCUAUUUUUAAAUAUUUUAUUAACAAUGAUAUGAAAAUAUUCGAACCCCUUCUCAUUGUAAAGUGAAUUACUAUCCAACUACACCAAAUAAUGUUUUCAAAUUGUAAACUGCAAAUCGUGUGUUUGCUCCAUUACAGCGUUUCUUCAAUUUAAAAAAGAGAAUCAUUUGCGUUCUAGAUUAAUCGUGGGUCUAUAUCCAAAUCUAAAAAUUGACUAACUUGAUUUCUAUUAAAUUCUUAAUCCUAACAAGAAAAAUUGAAGAUUAAAAAUGACUAAUUUGGUACCAUACCACUAUUGUAACAUAGAUGGAUCCUCUAUUAAUUGGAGCAAAGAUUGAAUUAUCUCAUUUAUUAAGGCUUAUCAAAUAGAUGAAUGGAUGUUAUUUUUGGAUUCCGGAGAGUCGAAAAUAUUAGGAUAGGUGCUAAAUCGAAUUAAGUUGUAGAUAAGAUAGAAAUGGAUUUGGAGAGAUUGGAAUCCUAGGUAAUCCAGUGCACGUUGUCGUGUUAAAUUCUCGUUGACUUCACGUUGACUGAAGCAUUAUUGGAAGAAACAAGUUUAUUGAUGUGAGGCCCUAGAGAUUGUAAGUGUUAAAUCUGAGAAGAAUACCCACACACCCAUUAUCCUAUUACUCUUAUAUCACAUGAAGAGAAUUCAACAUUUGAUUCACACGGAAAAGAUUUGUGAGGAUUGUGAGGGUUGAUGGAAUAUAAUUUAGAUACAAAGUGUUUACCAGUGCGAUGCUUCGCAAGUGUUCUUGAAUCAAUAUAAACUCACAUUAUUUUCAUAGUGAUUGUUUCAUCUGCACGUGGAUAUAAUCACAUGUCGAGAUUUUUUUCCUUAAAUUAUGGUCUUAUUUAGUACUGAGAUGUUAUAUCUUUUAAGGUACAAUUAUUGUUGGAAAAAAGUUGCAACUAUCAAAUAAAAUUAAUACUAUGUGCUAAAUAUAAUUGUUAAAUAAUAAUUUUGACAAAAUUAGUAAAGUUAUAUAGAUUUUCUUUUAUCAUCUAAGUAUAAAAUCAAAUCAACUUAACUUCUAAGUUAUAUAUCGGCUACUGUUUAUCAUAUGUUUUAGUUCUGUAACUUUUAAAUUAUAGUUACCCAACCUCAAUUCUAAACAAGACCUAUAUAGAUCAAAGAUUUCCUCAUUAAAUUAUAUGUCUUGUGAUUGCUUAUUUAAUUUAUAUUUUUGUUAUUUAUCUUUAUUAAUUAUAAUAAUCUUUUUAUAAAUUAAAAUUGAAGGAAGUUGAUUGAUGUUGUUGACACACACACACACCCACACGCACACACUCACAAAGAUAUAUUGCAAGUGCUUACGUCGACUCGAAGUUGUUGGGAAUUAAUGCAUGUAUUGAUUUAUUGGGAGUGUUUAAAUGAUUUUGUGAUUUACUUGAUUUAUUGAUUGAAUAUUGUUUGAUUGCUUCAUAUCCAUUCUAGAAAGUUUAUUUCUUUGUGAAAUUUCAACGAAAUAUGUUUUUUUUUUUUAAAUAAGGGUGUUCUAAAUAAUUUUAAAAAAUAUAUGGACUAAUUAGAAUUAAUUAUUAGGUAAUUAACUCAAUCUGUACAGGGUGAAACAACAUUUAUCCUAAUUAUAUCAUGAUAAAUACUUUUCCGAUUAGAAUUAUGAAAUCAUAGGUUUAUUGAAUUGUUUUUUUUUAAUUUUCCUUUGCGGAAACAGAUUAGAGAAUUAGAAAACAAUCAUGUUGAUGUCCAAAUCUAAUCUAGGCGGUUAGCGACUUAAUAUCAUAUAGCUGCACCAGCAUUAAAUUUAUUUGGUGGAGAAUCGGCUAGUCAAUUGUCAAGAUGUCCUGCAAUCACUAGCGAUUAACCUAUGAAUACCUGAAAUCACAGAAGACGGUAAGUGGCACCAGAAGUUUUUUCGACGUGAACCUUCCAACACUCAAGUCAGUUUAUAGGUUUACCAUAAUAAAAAUAAAUAAUUUCUAUUUAAAACAAAAAAUAGAGUUCAAAAGCUCAAAAAUAAAACCCAAUCCCAAUAUGAAAAUGAAUAUCUUUUUUUUUAGCUUGGCCGAAUCCUUCUGCCUUCUAAAGAAACAUAAUAGAGAAGCCGGUAGCCAUGUUCCCUAGGUAACGCCCCACUCCCCUCUUUUAUUCCUCCCCCUCUCUUCCGUUUCCUUCUUUUGCUCACUAUCCUUUAUAAUUUUUUAUGCUUGUCUUCCCAAAAUAGCCUUUGAAUACACAAGUAAAUGUCUAGGCUUUGGUGAGGAUAGUUUGGUCAUUGCAUUUUACAAGUAAGAUGAGUGGUGGAGAAAAAUGAGUGCACAUAACUCUUCAGCAAAUCCCACCAACAAUUCCAUUUUCUUAAUUAAUUAAUCUCCUUUUCUAUCCCCAAACAAAUCCUAAUGAUACUAUUAUCAGGUUUAAAAUAGUACUGCGAUUGAAAAAAACAAAGUUGCAAUAAACUCUUCAUUUGUUCAUUGUGGAGAUUGAAUGGCAAACAGAGAAUAAAAUGAAGCAGAGGAAUCUCAUUGCCAGUAAAAUUGACCCUCUUUAAUGUUAUAUGGCACAGGUGUGUGUACAGCAAGAGCAAGUUACUUGUAGUUUUUAUUGUAAAAUAUACAUGUUAUGUCCAUGAUCAUUGUAGUUAGGUUUUGAUGAUUUUAGAUGCUUUUUUAUUUUUUUUAAAUUGUGACACCUUUGAUUUAUGGUAGUUUUGCAGAAGAAAAAAAUAUAUAUAAAAAUUAAGAGGGAUGAGUUAACUAACGAUUGCAAUCAUUACAGUAAUGUUGAUGAGUGAUACAUCAUUUGAAAUUUACUUGUCAGUUGCUGAAAUGAUAAAAAAAACAAUAAACAAUAGUAGUAAUAUUUUUAUGGAAAUUCUUGGUUUUUAUGGAAAUACUCUUGCUGAAAUUAUAAUUUUGACUUUCAACUCUUGGUUUUUAUGGAAAGUAAAAUGACUAGUUUGUUAUAUUCAUACAAUCCGCUCUACCUAAUGAUUUCAUUUUAAUAAAUGCUUGAUGAUCUCCAUUGAAAAACUACUUCAAUUCUUUUGUUUUAUUUAACUUUUUGGUUGUUGAAAAUAGCCUUAAUUUUCAAAUAACUGGAGAAAGAGUAAAGAACAUUUAACAAAUUUAUGUGCCAAAAAUAAAGGAGAAAUUGAAGAGAAAGGGUGCUUGCAGAAGUGGGUGCAAAGAUAAAUCAGUCUAUAAGAAUUAUUGUGGUUAUUAGUUUUUUGGCAAUAUAAAAAUUUUUCAGCAAAUAAAAAUUAAUUUUUUCCGAUUUACUAAAAAAUUAAUUAAAAACUUCGGCGAUAGCAUUUUUUAUGGGUGCAUGUGCCCUCCCUUUAAAAAAAUAUAAUAAUUAAUACUUAAUAUAGUAUUAAAUACGAAAAUAUCAAUAUUUGACUACACAAAUUUGUGUCAUUAGGUCCUUAAAAUUUAAAAUUGAAGACACAAAAUGAAAUAUAUAUAUAUAUAAAUUUCAUUCUCAUAGGAAAGGAUCCUCUUAUAAUCUUAAAAUAUUUGAGCUUUGAAAGAUUUUUUAAAACAAAUGUACUUUUAUUUUUGUACAAUCAAUAUUUACUUAUUUAUUAUAUUUUUAUUCAUUAACUAUCAAUCAUAUAAGUAUAUUUAGUUAGAAAAAUUGUAUCAAGAGAGAAUCCUAAUUUCACGCAAACAAAAAUACAAGACAAAUAUGUCAAUUUCUAUACUAUUCACUUUCCUGUAGAAUCAAUUAUCUAAAAUGCAAGUUUGUGGCUAUAGAAAACUCGCCAAAGAAAGAAGAUAAUAACAAUUGAGCAUUGAUAGCAAAACUAAUGUAUCCAAUUCUUCUUGACUUGAUGAGAUGACGCCAUGAUGUAAACACAAGUACCUAAAUUGACCGGCACUGAGUGAUGUGAAUACUACGAACCGGUUCAUCUCUUCCAGUCUUGCUUAGUUACAAUCACAAACACCAUGAGAUCGACAUUUGCAUUAUAUGUUAGGAAAUUGGUGGGUGAAGCAGGACUACAGCUAAAAUAAAAUUGGAAGGAAAAUAAAGAACAAGCACAAAAGAGAAUACCAGAAAUUACGUGGUUCGGCUUUUAGCUUACGUCCACGGGUGAAGACAGAAGGAAAAUAUUAUACUAGUGAAAAGGAGUUACAAGUAUUAUAGUAUUUUAACUCACUACCCAAAACCCCAAUACACCCAAACUCUCACUCACUAGACUCACAAGAGCUUUAUAAUUUUAGGCUCUUAAAAUCUCUCAAGCUCUCUCUCCUUCUUAUUCUCUCACAAAUUGAAUGCUUUAGCUCUUCAUCUGCACUUCUAUCUAUAGCAAAAUAGUGGCCAAGAAAAUCAACGAUUUUAGCCCACUAAUUAUGGCUUCAAUUUCGUCAAUCCGCGUGUAUGAAUUUUGUGGGCUAUGUCCUCCAUUUUCUUUGAUUUGCUGGCACCAAAGUCAAGCACCAAAUUUGGUGCUGACUUUUAAGUGCUUGCUUUGACAUUAUAUAUAUCUUCAGCAAUCGAAACACCUUGCAUUACCAAAUAAACCAGUAACAAACAUAGCAAUCUUUCAUGGAGAGAAACCUUAGUCUCAGUAUGAUCACUGUGUCAUUAACCCACUGCCUGCUUCUUUGCUUGGUUGUUGCAACAGCAGCAGCAGCAAGCAGCAAUGUUACCACAGACCAACAAGCUCUUCUUGCCCUGAAAGAUCAUAUAAUUUAUGAUCCGACCAUGGACAGAGUUGAUUUAGUUCUUCCAAGAAAUGCUACUGAUGACAUUUGUUUUAUUCUUUCUCUUUUUCUUUUUUUGCAUGUGUUUAGGUAGAACAGUGGUUUGGCUGCAGGCUAAGAAUUCUAACUACACUACAAGAAUACCUUUCCAACAUCUACUGGUAGGUUUGUACGUGUCCUCAACUUUUUUUCGGGGCACAAAAUUCGAGUCCCAUGGAGACUCAAACAUUCCUUUCCCACAUCUCGAGCACGCUAAAUUUAUCAGACUGACAACUGGGACAUAUACAAGAGUGAAAUGUUUAGAGCACGCUAAGUUCGAGUGAAAGAGAUUAAUUUACGGAAACUAAAGCCAAGAGAAUAAAGGACAACACUUAUGUGAAGCGACAUAAUUGUAUUGAUAGCACAAUGUCAAAUUCAUACAGAGAUCUAGUAUACUAUUUACAGCUGGUAAGGGCUAAGAAUUAAUGCAGCUAUAAUACAAAGACGAUAAGGUAUGUUGUGCACUAUUGUUUUUAUUCUACAAUCAAUCUUGACCCUUGAUGCUUGGCUCUCAAUCUUGUCCAUUGAUCUUCUCUGAUUUUGGAGACUUCAAGACCUUUCAGCAUCGUGCCUUGUUAUUGGUGUCUUCCGUGCUGUAGAAUUCAUAUACAAGCUUUCCCGCCGCCGACUUGCCAAGUAUUCGUUCAUUGAUGCAUUUUUAUCAAACAGCUGGGCUACUUAUGCCAAACACCGCCUGGUUUAACUCCCCCUCUCUAGCUCAACUAUCUGGGAAGACAAUUAAUUGAGAUAUGAAUCAGAAAACUAAAUUUUAAAAAUUGUAUUCGGACUCUACAUUUUGUAAUGAACAUUGGUUUGAAUUGUUAUACAUUUAUGCGUACAUAAUUAAUAACCGAUUCUCAAGUGCGGACCAAAUAUUUUGAUUUACUAUUUUUUGUCUUUCAAUUUUCUUUUAAGUUCUGAUGACGUCCGCAUUUUAAAAUCCUGUGGAACAAAGACCUGAGGUGCAUAUAAAAUUAUUUUAUUUUUCAGAGGAAAAUGGGUGAGAGAAGAAGAUUUGGCAAAAGAAUUGCAACGGCAAUAUGAAACUAGUCUUUGUCUUUUAAUUCUUUUAUAUUUGUUUUUGUUGUUGUUAUUAAUUUUAUUUGUUUUUGUUAAAUUGGACCACCAAAAAGGGUGGUCCAUUAUCAAAUCAACACGGUUUAAUUAUUAUUAUUUCUACACUUUUUUUAUGAACAAAUAUAAAAUAAAAUGAUAUUUACACCCCAAAUUUUAGUGAAAUAGUCAUUAACACUCCUAAAUUUUUAAAAAGAGACAUUAAGAUCAUUUUUUGACCUUAAUACUCUUAUACGGUACCUCUAUUAUUCCCAAAAAUUGACUCUAAUGUUUAUAAUAAAUAAAAAUAAAACAUUAAAAUAAAUGUAAUAACAUAUACAUUUUAAAAAAAUUUCAAUAUUUAAAAAAUAUUUUUAACAUUUUACAAUCUAUUAAAUAUAUUUUAUUAUAUUAAAGUAAUUUUAUAAUAAAUAGAAUCAUAUUAUUAAAAUAAAUGCAAUAAAAUUUAAAUUAUUUUGAAUAUCAUGUAAGAUAAUAAUUUUAACAUUAUUAGUAUGUCAUAUUUUUUUUUUAAUUGUAGAAUGUAUUUAGCGCAAAUAUUUAUUUAAAAUCUCUACAAUAAAUAAAAGAUUAAAAUAAAUAUAAUAAUUUACAUAUCUAAAUUUAUUAAAAUAUUUUAAUAUUGUUAGUCUACUGCAUAGAUCACAAUAUUUAUAUAACAUUUGUAUUUAUUAAAAACUUUCAAAUCAAUUCUUUUGAGAAUAAUAGAGGUAAAGGGUAUAAUGGUCAAAAAGGGGACUUUGUACCCCUUUUUGAAAACUUGAAGGUGUUGGUGGCUAUUUUUCCAAACCUUCAGGGUGUAGAUGUCCUUUUUCUACAAAUAUAUGAGAAAAUUAUCAAGAAAUACUGAACUUUGAAGUAACAAGGAUCACCUUUUAUGAAAUCGAUUGCUUUUCAUGAUAUAGACUGUUACCAUUUUUCUACAAUAGAUUGAAUUUAGUAAAAAAUUGAUUAAGAUGUCUACUCAUGGAGAGUGAAAUUUAUGUUCAAAACUAAUUUCAACAGGCAUGCACCACCGAACGUGUUUCUCACGGAAAAGUUGCUUGGAUUUUUGGGACUUCCUGUUCAAAUAUUCAACACGGCAUGCACCACGCGAUUGAACAUGCAAAAGUAGGGGUCUAUUUUCAUUUCCAGCAUUAUAGAAAUCUUAAUUUUGUUCAUUAGUUAUUUUGAUCAGCACUGUUGAAUCUCCAUGUAUUGCCAAUCACUAGGAAACAACAUAUUCUUAUUAAUUAUAUCCUCUAAUGGAGAGAACUCAUUGUCUCUGUAAGAUCACUGUGUCAUUAACCCACAGCCUGCUGAUUUGCUUGGUUGCUGCAGCAAGCAAAAAUAUUACCACAGAUCAAAAAGCUCUUCUUGCCCCAAAAGGUCACAUAACUUAUGCUCCAACCAAUCUUUUGACCGAAAAUUGGACCUCAAAUACCUCUGUUUGUACGGGGAUUAGCAUCACUUGUGAUGUCAAUAGCCGCAGCCUUGGAUAUUUCUCAAUUCAAUCUACAAGGCACCAUUAUUCCAAACACAACUGGUAAUUUAAGAAACCUUAAGUGGCUCGGCUUGGCUUAUAAACUACUUGACAAUUUUCCUCUUUGGCAAAUUGCAAAAAAUUAAGAAUCUUAGGCUUACUGGAAAUCCACUUGAUCGUAUCCUCUCAGGUUCAAUAGGUAAUCUUUCUGUCUUAGGAAAGAUUUCACAUCGCCAAUUGCAGCAUUAGUGGCAGAAUUCCUCAAGUAAUCAGCAAUUUAAGCAACUUGCUGGCAGUUGUGCAAAAUUUUAAUAUACUCGCAAGCGCACGAAUCUAGAAAUAGAAUAAUGGUAACGAGGUCAAACCCAUAGGGAUUGUUUUAAAAUGACAAAAGAAUAGCUGCUGGUCUAGAGGUGCCUUACUGCAUUCAUACAAGAUCGUUUCUUGUUCUCUAAGAUGUGCAUUAUACUAAUAAUGCUAUACAAACUUAUCCAAAGGUCUAUUAAUUAAUUCAUUAAUCCAACGGCUUGUUAGGUUGUCCUUUCAUCCAUACAGCUGCAUGCUUGUCUUCUUAUAUACUGAUCUUAUCCUCUAGAUCUGUUCAGGCUGAGUGAUCUCUCACAUUUGCCAUAUCAGAAGAUUACAUGCCAGUAAUGUCAUGUGAUGACCUGUUGCUUGGUGAUGUCGAAUGCCUGGCCUUUACUUCUCUGAGCAAAUUGAUCAAACAAUUUGUUCAUUUUAUCGAACACCUUCACCAACUAACAUUUUAUUUACUUUGGAUGGUUUUUAAGUGCAUUUAAUGAUUAUUUUUGCUCCAACUUCAGAUAAACGAAACGCUAGUAUAUUAGAAGAAGAAGUUAACUGGCAGCUAACCAGGUCAAAAUAGCGACUCUAUAUAAAAUAAAAAAAUGCGACUUUAUUUAAUUAAUUGUUGGUCUAAAGCUGUUGGUAUCCGUUGGCCACGUUUCUGAAGAGUCAUCUCAAAUCGAAAUUUUUAACGAACAAAGAACUUUGUUUUUUUCCAUUAUUCACAUUGCUGCUGGCUGCCGCCCGUGAGAUAAAAGUGCUAAAAUCCAAAAUGUUGCACCAUCAUUUAUUCUAAUUUUGAUUUUCCAAUGGAAAAAAUUACAUAAUUAAAAUGGCUUCUCAUGAUUCAUGGUAAAUUUGGAUUACAGCACCUGUACUUUCUGAUGGUUCAUUAUUUAUUCUCAGGAAUCGAGUCUCCUUACAUUACCAAACUAAUAACAAACAGGAAUCUUUUAUCCUUUCACGGUGAGAAAUUACAGUCUUCGUAUGAUCGCAGUGCCAUUAACCCACUGCCUGCUUCUUUACUUGGUUGUUGCAGUAGCAGCAGCAAGCAACAUUACCACAGACCAACAAGCUCUUCUUGCCCUGAAAGCUCAUAUAAGUUAUGAUCCAACUAAUCUUUUGGCUCAAAAUUGGACCUCAAAUACCUCUGUUUGUAACUGG
rnacentral:lncRNA from 1 species